rnacentral:lncRNA from 1 species
AAUUGUCAGGGUUAUAGUGAUUACAAACCUUCCCUAACUUUAUUUAUCUUCACCAAUGAAAAUAGGUCAACAUUUAACAUUCUUUUACAACCAAGUACACCAAGUCUUACAAUUAAAGGUUUAAGGUUACAAAGCAUAGUUACUUAAGACUCUUAGCUUUAUCGUAAGGCACCUUAGACAAUUCUAUUACCACACAAAGACCUGGGCCUAUUUCUUAUAAACACGGCAAGAAUCACAUCCAAGGUCAAGCAAAUUCAACAACAAGGUCAUACGGCAUAUACCCAGCACAUACCCAACUCAUUGGCCGAUUUGAGGCACAAAACAAUAGAAUAUUAUCAUAAAACCACCACAAUAUCACUGGAUUCGAAUAUAAGAAUAAUAUAAAUAUAAUUGUUCAAUUCAAUCAUUACCCCAAAUCACGAAUACUAGCGAGACUAUAUUAAUUCAUGCCACUGGCAGCAGCACAUUCUUUAAUAAAAUCCUUCAAAUAUAAAAAAUCAGCUACAUGCGAAUCUAGAAUUUAAAAGGAAAUAUACAAUAAUUUUUUGGAGAGAAGAAAUCCCUUUCCACUUAUAUUGAAGAUAAUUCAAGAAAAUGACAGGCCCCAAUUCGCAGAUCAUCAAAACAAACCCCAUUACUUGCAGUUGCUUGAUGCUCGAUAACGUUACCUCUUUUUUUUUUUCAAUUUAUAAUUUUUUCCUUUUUGUGAAUAACAGAAUCUCAAGAUAAAAUAUUGCAGUAUGACUUAAUUGUAACUCUAUCGGUUCAAAAACAAAAAAUGACAAGCCCUAUCAAUUAUCAUUCAAUUAUCAAUCCCUAGAAAUCAUCUCAAUAUUUCAAGUAAUAAUUUCUCAAUUGCAAAAUCAAAUUAUUGAAACUGAAAUUUCAAGUAAUAUUCAUAAACUAAACUGAAACGUCCUGCAUAUUUAAAUGACAUGAUAAGAUUUUUAAUCAUAUAUUAAAUUAGAGAGAGAGAGCUCACCGAAAUUAUUGGAAGACAUAAGAGAGAGAUACAGCAAGAGUGAUAGAUUGAAGCUGACGAAUUGAAGCUAUGAGUGACGAACUGAAGCUGAGAGUGAUAGAUUGAAGCUGACGAAUUGAAGCGAGAGUAACAGAUCGAGUAAGCCUGAGUAAAUGGCACUCUUUCGACUACAUCUUUGCUCUUUGCUGUGAUGGGUGGUGAAUAUUCUUGAAUACCAAUUUCAUUGAUCCAAAAUUCUAGAUGUAGGAGAAAACAAUAGCAGAGAGAAUAUGAAGGCUGUUACUUUGAGGGAGAGAGAGGCAUCACAAUCCAACGGCUGUGAUUUUUUAGAUAAGUCAAGUGAUGACAUAAUGACUGGCAUAUCUGGUCGCCAAAAUGAGUAAUCAAACAUAUUAACCAUUGGAUGUUUCUACUUCUAUAUAACGGUUGCCCUUUCUUUUAAAGUUAUUGUUACGUUCGGAAAACGUGACCACACAAUCAAAUGUUCUUCUAUUGUCAAAAACAAUAAAUACAUGAGUUUCUUUUUUUAGGUUAUGUCAAUUCAGCAGUUAAGCAGUUAGUGGUUUGUUUACUUAUGAGACCGAAUAAUUAAAAUAUAAAACAAAAAUGAUUAAUAACGUUUACUUGUUAAAAUAUAAGAGAAAUAAAAAUGAAAUAUAUAAAUUCACAUACUAUUUAAAUUAAAGAAUAAUAAUAGAGUCAUAACUUUUUUUCCAGUCAUCACUUUAUUUAAAAAAGAGUUGAACUAUAGGCACUCCUCUGAAAUUCUUAAAAAAAACCCUCUCAUGUUAUAAUUACAUUAAAGGAUAAAUUAAUCUAAUUAUACCGCUAUAUUUGUCUCGCUAAAUCUUUACAUCCACACAACUAUAUCAAAGUGUUUUACAUUUUUUUUUGUUUUCUUUUGCAUUCUAUUUUUUUAAUUUAAAAAAAUUACAUAAUAGCUAUUUGAGUCACUUCUUAAUUCAUACAUAUACAAGAAAUUUAAUAAUUCAAAAAUUUGUAUAAAAAAAAAUUUAGUUGGAGUUGUUUGGAAGAAACUAAAUUUUCUUUUGAAAUCAGAAAGAAACAGAAAAAAAAAAACAAAACAAAAAAAAGAAGACAUUUUGGGAAUUAAAGUAGGUAGAAAAGCAGCUUGAAACGUAAAUUACAAGGGUGCUAAUAGUCUUACUCUUUGAAAAAUGCGGCCUGAACUGACAAAAUGCCGACCUAACCAAUUUUUUAUGACGAUGAUUAAUACUUGUUCGUUUCUCCUUAGCUCUGUUUCUUACAUUGAUGCAUACAUGACUUAAAAGCUUCAUCUUCCUCUAGCUUCCUUUCGUGAAAUCCAAUAUCUUCUGUAGAAAUUCGAAUAAUCUCAUUUUGACUUUGAGUAAGCUUUUCAGUUCAAUUAUCUUGCUGUAGUUUAUUUUUGUAUUUGCACAAAAUAAUGCAGUCAGAACAAAAUAAUUAUGUAACCCGAAGCAAUUCCUUCCAUCUCUACGAUAUUAACAAAAGCCAAAAUUUUCAACCAUAAUUACAAUUAAUUUGCUACUUAAACAACGUGAAGUUACAAAAUUUUGGUUUCUAAAUGCGGAGCUAAAAACCUCUAGCAUCAAUAUAUUGGGAAUUGCGCCCUCAUCGUCUUAAGAUUAUUUGUUAAUAAUUAUGUAGAAAGGAAAAAAGAUGGAUGAUUUCAAUUUCCACCAAUCGAUAUGCAUGCACGAGUCUGAACUGAGACUGAGAAGACUAUUAGUACAGUGACGGAGGAAAAUAAUCUACUGAAGCACCGAGUUGCCCAUUUGGAUUUUUCGGAGAAGGUUGAUCUUUAAAGUUCAUUGUUUAUUCAACCAACCACAAAAAAAUUUAUUAUUUAUUCAACCAAUCAUAAACAAUCUUUUGUAUAUUAAAUUUUUUUUUAAAAGUUCCAGAUGAAAUGAUAUUUUGAAUAUUAUCUGCAAUAUUCACGUGAUUGGUACCACAUUUUUUAUUUUCUUAUUAACAAAAUUAUUUAUUUCGUAGGGACCGUAUUCACGCUUCCAAGUUUCUCAUACAUAUGCAAUUUAACCAUUGCGGUUGAUUAGCAUUUGAGUUUUGACAUGGGAAGCGGUAGGGAUGGGAAUAAAAUCCGGAUCCGCAUGUUAAAUAAUGCAGAUUUACAUGUAAGAAAUUAAAAUCUGCACGGAUCCGAAUCCAAAUUUAAAUAUAAGUGCAUUCAAAAAAUCAGAUAUUCUGCUAAUUUUUAUAUUAAAUUAAAAAAAUAUAUAUUAACUUUAACUUAAAAACAAAUUUAACCCAACUCUCACAUUCACACGCGCUCACAACACUUUUCCAGCAGCCACAACCCACAAACCCCUAACACCCAAAUCCCCCUAAUUCCGUAGGAUGUCGCCGUCUGCCUCACGGCCUCGCCUAAGCCUUGUGUCCAAGCCUCGAUCUAAGUCGGUCGCUGUCGUUGCGCGCUGCACGCCUCGAUCUGAGUCGGUCGCUGCCGCUGCACGCUGCACGCCUCGAUCUGAGUAAGUUGCUGCCGCUACACGCUCGAUCUGAGUCAGUUGCUGUCGAAUCCUCGCCAUCGAAGAAGCCUCUCGCUGUCGAAUCCUCGCCCUCGGAGAAGCCUCGUCUAAGCACUUUAAUUAAAAUGGUCUUGGCAAGCCUUGUUGAAUCCUUUGGCCUUUGUUGAUUCAAUUUAGUUUAAUUUUGAAUAAAUUUCUUUGCUGAUUCGUUUCAUCACUUUAAUUAAAUGCAUUAAUUUUCAAUAUAAUGUAAAUGUUUAAUAGGUUUUGGGAUUAGGUUUUAAUUUGGAAAAUUGUUGAAUUUUUAAAUUAAAAAUUUAAAUGAAAUCUUGGUGAAACCUGUUGUCAUCUGCCGGUUAACAUAGCUAGUCUCUGAAAUAAUUUCUUGAUUCACUAAUUAUGAGUUCAAAUUUGAUGCAGAAUGGGCAACCAGCCUACUGCAAACAAAUCUUCUGGAACAGUUCAGAUGAAGGGACAGCCAAUCCAGCAAAACAGUUAUAAACAACUCUAAAUAAAUUCAUAUACGCAUAGCAGCUAAUUACAGUCUUGAUACUUCAUUAGGUUUUUGUUAAUUUUCUAUACAGUUGUGCUGUGCAUUAAAGUUUUGUUAAAUGAAAUCGGUAGGUGAGGAUUAAUUAAUCAAUUAAUUAAGAUCCAGUUAAUGUAAUUAAUUUUAUUUGAUUUUUUUAAUUCGAGUUCUAAAUUAAUCAAUUAAUUUAGAUUCAUGUGAAAUUGAAGUGAAUUAGUUUCGAUCUGUUUUUCGUCCUAUGUUUGUCUGUGUUUACUCUUACUUUUUUUUUGUUUAAAUUUUCGUUUUCUUAUUGUUUACUGAAUAAAUUUCUGAGCUGUAUUUGAGUAUGAUUGAUUUGUGAUUUUAAUUUGUGACUUUUUUUUUUGGAAUUUAAAUCUGAAUGCUUUUUAAGUUGAAUCUGAUUGUGUUGGGCUGCGAUUUAAUUGAGUGAUGAGGGAGCGCCAAAUUGUGAGAGCCAAAUAUUCAAUAACCGAUAAAUUAUAUUUAUAAAUAUUAAUAGCGAUGGCACAUAAACAAUUAAUUCAAGAACUUGCCCAUAGUGAUUAAUUUAAAGAGUAUAAGUAACAUUGCAGUACAGUUAGCCCUUGCGUGUUUAAUUAGCAAUUGAAAACUAAUGUUGCUGAUGAGGUAGAACAUUAUAACACUGUUGCUGAUGAGGCAGCUGGUAAUUCUUCUGGUGAAGAUAUUAAGACUAUUAAAGCUGAAAUGUAAUUAGAGAAAUAUAAUGCAUUCCCUUAGUUUGCUUUUUGUUUUUGAUAUUUGUUUGGCUAAUGCUUUGCUUAGAUUACUUUUUGUUUUUGAGAUUUUAUUGGCUUAGUCAUGGGGUAUUGUUUUCUCUUCUAAUUUCUAUUUUUGUUGUUAUGGGAUUUUAUUGGCUUACUUUUUGUUUUUGAGAUUUAUCCAGUGCUUUCAAUAAAUCAUGGUCGAUUUACUGUUAAUUAAUCAAAUUUAAUUUACCCAAAUUACUCAUGUACACGAUCAAAAUAAUUAUAAUUCCAUGAUAUAUAUACACGCGCGCACACAAACAAAAUGUAAUUAACUUUGAAAUAUAAAAUAUUUAAAAUAAUCACCGUACUAACAAUUCACAAAUCAGAUUUUAUAUAAAUAGACGCAAUAAUGUUAAUCUAGCGAAUCCAGUCAUAAUAAUUUGAUUUUCAUUUAUAUUAAUUAUGUCAAACCAUGCUAUUUUAAUAAAUAGCACUUGAGAAUAUAUAUAUCCAACAUGUAAAAUUUCAAAACAAUAUUUGCCAAAAUCUGAUGAAGAGAAUAUACACGCACGCACAUAUAUAAUCGUACAGCAGAAGGAUAAAUAAAAGAAAAUGAAGUUUCAACAGUUGAAUAAUGCAAAUUCAUUUUUUUUUAACAAGCAUUUUAUUGUUUAAUUAAAAAAUUCGAAAACCGAUUGGUCUUAUAUACAUGAUAAAAACUCACCGACGCCGAACCAUAUUCAUUUAAAUUAGUUUUCAACUGAGAUUUGAAUUUUAAAAUUAUAUAAACAAGCACGCCCAAUUUUUUUUUUUAAAAAGUAGUAAUUAUAAAAUAUUUAUGUCGUCCUCUAAAAAACCAAUUUACAAUCUAUAAAACCAAUUUACAAUCUAUUUCAACAUAAGGUAUAUGGGUUAACAAGUCCCAAUAUUGUCCUCCAUCCUUUCUGCACUUCUCUUCUAUCAACCGACAUCUCCAGAUGUCUAAUUGCAAAAGUGAGGAAGGCAGGCCCUUCUCCGGAAAGUAUUUGAGCUUGGGACAUUCCCAGAGAUACAAUUCAGUGAGGUUUUGAAGAUCAACAAUUGAAGAAGAUAGGCGUUCCAGAUUUGGAAAUUUAUAAAUGCUCAGAGAUGUUAGAGAGGCAGGAAGAGGAAGCGCGGUCCCUAAUCUUUUGUCCUCUAGUGGAAAUGACGCCAUGUCGUCAUCGCAUCCUCUGAUUUCAAGACGUCGCAGAGAGGAGAAUCUGUGAAAUCCCCGUCCCCGCUCAAUCAUUGACUUCCAAAUCUCCAUAUUACCCCAAAUAUCAAGUGACUGAAGGUUGGUGGGGAGGCCAUCUUCUUCUUCAAGGCUUGGAAGCGCACCUCCUUUUCCUAUUGUUAAUUCUUGAAGAGAGCUCAGAUUGUGCAUUCCCUUGGGUAAGGCCUCUAGUCUCUUACAAUUAGAUAUCGCCAGCCUCCUGAGUUUCGCACAAGGCAAUCCCCCUUCGGGAAAGGACACCAGAUUUUUACAACUAUCUAUGCUGAUUGUUUCAAGAGAUGUGUUGUUGUCCAACCUUUCUGCUAUUGACUUCAACUUUGAACAACUCCAAACAACGAGGGACUUAAGAGACGAAGGUGGAUUGCCAACUUCAAGGGACUCAAGCGUGGCAGGUAACUCGUUUUUUGAAAAUAUACAUGUCAGAGAUGGACAACUAAUAAUUUCUAAGUGCUCGAGAAGAGAUGAGGUGUACCUUCUGCUGCUGCUGCUACACUGGAUGCCCUCUUCCACUGUCAAAGUCCUUAUAUUAUCACAAUCUCUGAUGCUCAACUUCUUAAGGCUCGGUGGCAGCUGGACAGCAGCAACAUAUGUCAACGAAUGGCAAUUCAGAAUAUUCAAGAUCUCGAGAGACGAAUUGGUGUCGCACAUCCAUGCCUCUGGUAACGAUUUCAGUGCACCACAAUACCUAAUCUCAAUUUCCUUCAACUUGGAAGGCAGAGCAACCUCAGGAAAGGAAACAAGGGAACUGCACUUCCAGAUUUCUAUCUCUCUCAAGGAACUGAGGCUGAACGAUGAUUGUGGCAGCUUCACAAGGCCUUCGCAAUUACUCAAUCUUAGAUAUUCAAGUCUGCAUGACAACUCGCAGAGCUGCUGUUGUUGGUCUUUCUUUUCCUCCGCCACCAAGGAUUGAAGUUUGGGACAGCUUGUAAUCGUCAGUCUUUUGAGAGAGCAAAUGUCUUGCAGUAAUUCGUUAUGACUCUUCCAUAUAUGUGUUUCAUUUUUAAUAUUUUUUAUCUCCAAUUCUUCCAGUUUUGGUAUUCGCGGCUUCAAUGGCCCUGCGAGAAACACUUGAUUUGAUGUAUCUCUACAAACCACUGCAUUCUGUGAGCCGAGAUGAUCAAUUGCACUUCUCCACACAACCUUUUUACAUCCACGAAUUACCAAUUUGCAAAGAGCUGGAAGACUCCUAAUUGAAAUUGACAAUUCUUCGCAUUGUUCAAUAACAAGCAUCUCCAAUGCAGGAAGCUGCUCUGGAAAUGUUCCUUGCAGUUUAGAACAUCUUAAAAUGUGAAGCUCUCUCAAUUUAGGAAACCCUUCAACUCCCUGACUGGAUCCAUGAGGAAACCACUCUUCCCACUCUUGCAGGUCUUCAAAAUGAAGAGUCUCCAAGCAUGUAAAUGGAAUUUGAGAGUCAUCCCCAUAGAACUCUGAACCCAAUCUCUUUACUCUACUCAUUCCACGCACUGUAAGAUGCUUCAGAGAGGGCAGUUGGCCGACUGACGGCAGGGCAGUACACAUGCCGCAAUCUUCAAAUUUAAGUGUUACUAAAUUUAAGAAUGAGGAAUCUCCUAACCAUGUUGGAAAUUUUGUACCUCCAUAGCCACAGAUGCCAAAUUGUUCCAGAUUUUUAUGGGGUUUGAGCAUGUCAAGCACACCCAUUUCAGUUUCUGCCUCCCUUGAAGAUGAACCAUCGGUGCUGCAAGUCCAAUUAAGCGAUAAUUCUCUAAGAUUCUUCUUUCCAUCCAACCGAGCCUCCUUUGCAUCACCAAUGUCUUUUACAUUCUCUAAUUUUGAAAUUUUAAGUGUCCCCUGAAGAUGUAUCAAUGACUUUAGCUCUCGUAACCCAGAACCAUUGUCUUUUCCCACAGCAAAAUUACCCAGCGUUUGAAGACAAGUCAGCUUACCAAUUCCUAGUGGCAUUUCCUCCAAGGAAUCUGUAUUUGAAUUAUUGAGAUGAUGCAAUUUGAUGAGAUUUCCCAUGUCUGCACACAACUUCUUCAGUCGUCGACAGCCCUCCAAAAGAAGGGUGUGCAAGUUGUAAAGCUUGCUGACUGAUUCAGGCAGAGUUUUAAUCUCAGUUCCAGACAGGUUAAGGUGCCUUAAAUACCUCAAAUCACCAACUGAAUCCGGCAGCUCGGCGAUGCAAUAUCCACGCAGAGAGAAGACCCUUAAGCUUUGGAGUUUGAACAACUUAGGAAGAAUGCUAUGAGCCAAGUAUCCAUGCCGACUAUUUAACAUCACUGGUAAAAAAGUUCUCAAAUGUUGGAUAUCAUACAAUUUCUCAAACCUUUGAACGCCAUCAUAAUCUCCACGAAUGUACGACAGAUAACGAAGAUUUCUAGAAAAACAUUGUUGCUUGUUAACCUCCGAGGUAUACUCCAGUGUGAAGUAUGUCUCCCCUGCAGCCCAACGGGCAAGGUCGUUGAUAAGAUCGUGCAUAACAAAUCGUGAUAUACUGUUGCUCGAUUGCUGGAAAAAAGAUCUUCCACGUAGCUCUUGAAAGAACUUUCGACCGAGAUCUUCACUAGGAUUCCCACUCUCUCCGUGAUUCAAGAAACCCACAGCACUCCAUAAUAAAAUUAUCUCCCCCUCUUCAAAUUCAUAAUCCUUUGGAAACAAUGAGCAAUACGCAAAGCAUUGUUUCAAAGGUGCCGAAAGAUAAUAGUAGCUCACUCUAAGCGCCGGCAUAAUGUCACAUCUCUCUUCUUGCAAUUCCCAUAUCUUGGUACUGAGCACUCUCUCCCAAUCACAUCUGUCAUCUUUUCCUCGCAAAAGUCCUCCAAGUGUUUGCGCUGCCAAGGGCAAGCCAUCGCAUUUGGCCACUAUCUUCUUGCCAAUUUCCUCCAAUAACUUAUCUGACCCCAAAGAGUGUUGAGCGAACACAGACAGACAAUCAUCAUUUGACAACUUUUUCAAUUGAUAAGCCCGAACAGUCCCCAUGAUGGCUGCAACCUCUUGAUUACGAGCUGUGACAAUAAUCUUACUUCCCGGUGCGCCAGCUUCAAAUGGAGGUCUGAGUCGAUCCCAAUCAUUGUAAUUCUCAUUCCAAACGUCAUCUAAAACAAGCAAAAAUUUUUUUCCAGAUAACUUCUUCUUCAGCUCCUCUUGAAGCUUAUUCAAGUUGUGAUUAUCCACGUUCUGGUCAGGAACAAUGGAUAUCAAGAUUGUUUUUGUUAGCCUGAAAACAUCGAAAUCAUCAGAGACACAAGUCCAUGCCUUGAGAUCAAAAUGAUCCUGCACUUGCUUAUCAUUGUAGACAAGCUGAGCAAGAGUGGUUUUGCCCAGCCCGCCCAUACCUAUGAUAGGAAUAACAGAGAAUUCACCAUCGUUGCUUAAAUCAUCCCUCAAAAGCAGUUCUACAACAUCCUUCUUUUCUGUUUCUCUGCCAUAUGCUUUGGCUUCCUUCACCAAAGAAGUUGUCUCUCGCCUUUGCCUGUCUUUUAUGGUCCUCCCACCUGAACUUACGUUCAAACCCAGCGAAUCCUUCUGAGUUACAAUUUCUUGAAAUCUGCCGUUGAUCUCUUUGAUUUUGGACAUUAUGGCGUAAUCGAACUGAAUCGAUUGUGGAGCAAAAGUGGUGCAGCAAGUGGGAAUGAGCUUCCGAAACUUACUUGUUCUUGUACGACUGCUACUGGGUUGAUCAAGAGCAGCAGCAGGUUCUCCAUUUCCAAGCAGCAACUUCCUCCGGAAAACCUCAGUUUGAAACUCAUCCAACAGGUCCUCAACAUCAUAAGCCAAGUUCUGAAGCUCGCCAAGCCACAACUUCACAGACUGAUCAGUCGUUUUCUUCUCCUCAGCAUCAGCAAGCACCGCCUUGAUCAUCACCAACAUAUUCUUCCACUUCUUUAGGUCGGCCUGGAUUUGCUCUUGGCGUGCAAACAACCGAAUCCCCUCUGAAGCUAACUUAUUGACCAGCAAAUCAACGGAAGCCGUAAGGAUUGCCUCUCCGAUGAUUGACAUUUUUUUUUUGUUUUUGUUUUGCAAAGAAAGAAACAGAAUUUUGAGUUUUGAAAAGCAAAAUGAGAAAAUUGAACAGUAAGUGUGGAGGGUCAAGCAAAAUGCGCGUAACAAGUCUUCCGCUUGUUGUUUAUUCCAGUAAAGCUAGAAUAAAAACAGAGCCCACCACCCAUUAAUAAUAAUUGAGCAAUUCACCAACCACCAAUCACCAGUCACCACUACUCGUUACCAUGAAUAUAAUAAAUUGCAACUUGAUAUUUGCAGGGUCCAGCAACAUUGACCCAGUGUCCGGGUAAAUGCUGAUAAAUCAAAACGUUUAUCUCUCUCUCUCUUUUCCAUAAAAUUACUUUAUUUAUUGAAUUAAUUUCCAUGCUAAAACGAAGACUUAAAAGUGCACUACAAUUUUUUAUAAUCACAAUGAUAAUUCUUACUAUCAUGUUAUCUUAAUGUCGUGUCAAAAUAAAUUAUAACAAAGUUUUUUCUAUAUGAAUACUCUUUUCAUUUAUAAAUUUUUCAGUUUUUAAUAUUUUUCUCACUCUUUUAGUCUUAAUAUUUGUAUUCCUCUCUUCAAACUUUCUUAAUUAUUUAAUUUUUAAAGAAAAAUCUAAAAAAAAGUAAGAAAAACAUUAUACUUAGAAAAUAAUGAAUAUUUUAUGGGUAUAAUACAAUUUUGUCUCACCUAUAAAUUUGUUGUUUAGCAAUUAGUUUGAGAAUUUUAAAAAAUUAUUUACAGUAGGAUAAAUUUUUAUUUAAUUUAUUUUUUCACAAUAUUGUAUCUUAAUUAAUUAAGUUGUUAUGUUUAUUACAAAAAUUUUGUUUUGGCUUAGAGGAUUACUUCUUAAAUUCAAAUUAUUUUAAUGAUAAUAAAAGAUAUUUAUAUUGUGUAAACAAAAUAAAAUUGAAGAGAGAAAGAAAAUAUAAAUGACUUAAUUCUAUUUAUAUUUGUCCUUAAAAUGUAAUUGUAAUAGAAUAAGGGUUUUAUAAGAUUAAUGAAGGGAUACCGAUAGUCCUACUCUUAUGGAAAAUGGCAGUAAAAAUGGAAUGUAUCCACUACAAACCUUCGCUUUACAAGUCUUCAAUCAAACAUGUAUUGAUUUGUAAAAGGAUCACUAGCAUCCGAUUAUUGGGAGGUAUUAUGGAGAAGUCACGCUUAGUAUUUACAAUUCAUGUAAGAUGAAUUUGUAAGACUUAUUAAUUUCGAUGAAAAUAUAGAUUUAUUAAGUUACUAAUUCAUUAAGUUAACAUGAGAUAUUAAUAUUUACUAAUUGUGGCGAUUAAUUUAUUUAACUUGUCAUGAUUUUCAAUUAAGAAGGAAGUUCAGUCAAUUUAUGGAAAGAAGGAUAAUUUUUUUUUUCAGAAUUUUAAUUUCUAGGAUUUUAUUUCACUUUGUUUCGAUUGUUGAUGUUGCUAAAGAGGCAGUGAAAGUUUGCUGAAUGCCAUCAGAUGCUUGUAUCUUAUCUCACAAAAUGUCAAUAUCGGUUUGUUUCCCUAUAGGCGCAGCCAUCAUGAAUUGAAAGUAACAACGUGAUGAGCAUAUAACAUAUACAUAUUUUACCAUUAAUUAUAUAAUUGUUAGUUAUUUUUAUUUGUUAUUUUUAAUUAAUUAAAUUAUUUUGUUGAAUAAAAAAUUAAUUAGAGAUUCUAGAUAAAAAGGGCAUGAAGAAGUUUAAUUUGGGAAGCAAAAAAAAAUAAAUUGAAAGAUAAAAAUACAGACAAGGAUUAAUGGAAUCCAAGCCGAAAAAAUCAAAGCACAAGGAUUUUCUUAAUGUCAUUAUUUAGGCAAGGGUUUUGAUGCAGCGGAAGUUUAAGAGAAUCAAAUCUGAAGAAUUUAUUAAGAGAAUCAAAUUGGAAGUUUUGAUGCAGCAAAAAAAAACUGAAGUUUGAAUUUCACUCACAUAGGUAAUAAGAGAAUUAAAUUAUUGUUAGAUUAAAUUGAUUAAAAAAAAUUAUCUGAUAUCCAAAACAGCAUAUCAACAAAAUUGAAAUAAAAGAAAAUUGAAGAGAAAAACCAUCGAGAGAACGAAAAUUAACACACGAAAAUUUCGAUAACUUCACUUAUUAAAACUUGGUUAUUUCAUUUUCAUUGAUAAUCAUUUUGACACCGGUCAAAUUUAAAAGUUUAAAUAAUGGGGGCGCUAUUUCUUUCCAGCUAUGCCCAUCGACUAAUUAAAAUACCGCCGAAACAGUUCAGGGAUAGUAUAGUAAUUUCAUUUAACAGUUUUCGUGCUUCAAAUCAUCAAAUCAAACUCACGGUUUCCGACUUGUAAUGGGUGCAACUCAUGUUUUUCAAACAUUAAGAUCUUUUGCCAUUCUGUUACUAUCCCAUGGUUAUUUAAGUUACAAGAGACAGUAAAAAACAUCAUCAUAUUUUAACGUCCUUUGAAUAUUUGAAGAGGUUAAAAUUUAGGCAGUGUUAUAUAAAAUAUAAUGUAAAUUAGUCUCAGUAAUUGUGUAGUUGUAUGUGAGAAAACAUACAAUGUAAAAGUGUGUGUGAGAAAACAAAAAAUAUGAAUCACCUUUGAUGUAGUUGUAUGGUUGUAAAGAAUUAGAUGGAGAAAUAUAGUAUAUAAUUAAAUUUAUUUUGUUCUUUAAAACGGAUAGGUUUUAUGCAAAUUUUUCAGAGGAGUGCCAAUAUUUCAACUCUAUCAUUGCUAUUAGUUUGUCUUGUAAUUCAAUCAUUGCCGACAAGUAUUAAUUGUGACUAUUAUUAUUUUAAAAAUAUUAUUAUUAUUAUCGUCGUUAUUCUUAACAGCAAUGACUAGAAUUAUAAUAAUAACAAUAACGUCAAUACAAUAAUAUAACAACAUAAUAAUAUUUUAAUUGGGGUCUUCCACCUGGGUAUGCAUGAUUCCUUGUGACAUGAUAUAGGGUGCGUUUGGGAUUGAGGUUAGGCAGCUGUAGCUUAAAAGCUACAGCACUAAAGUGUUUGAUAAACACUAACUGCUGUAGCUUUUAAGCUAUAUUGAUAUGAUUUUUCACUUGUAUAAUACAAAAUCUAUUAUAUCUUUAAAAAUUUUAUCAAAAUUAUUAUUUAAAAUUUAUAUUUACUAUAUAUUAUUAAAUUUUGUUUCAUAAUUACAGUUUUUUUUUCACAGCAGCUGUAGCUUAAAAGCUACAACACCUCAAUCCCAAACGCACCCAUAGAGCCAAUUAAAUUCUGAAAUGCGUGCAAUAAAGACUGUAAAGUGACCAGUUAUUCCGGUUGAAUUCACAAGAGCUCUUGUUUGUGUGUUUAUGUUUCAAGUUGUGUACUCUGUGUUACGAGUUCUCUAAUUAGUCUGAUAUUAUCGCAAUUAUUGCUCAAUAAUGUUACAAGUAUUAUAAUAUAUGUCACUAGUACGGUCGUUGUCUCGAGUGGUACACAUUAAGGCACAAAUUUAGAACGAAAAGCUUCCCAGUAAAAUAAGUUAUUUAAUUAAUUAAAUAAGAAUAAAAUGAAUUUGUGAAAGAAAUUUAAAUUUUAUUUUGAAUUAUUUUGACCAAAAUUUAAGUUUUUUUUUUUUAAAUUUGUUUAAGAAAAUGCAUUGUAAUUGUCUUGUUUUAAUUGGAAAAUCAAUAAAAAAAAUUAUGUAACAGAAAAAAAAAAAAAAAAAAGCAAAACGGUUUGUUUUGGAUGGAGUCCAUAGAUUCCAAUAUUUCCUUCACGAAAACUACAAAAAAUUAUCAAAGCCAUCAAUUUCUACACUCUCACCGAGCAAAUACUCUCAACCUAGAUGAAAGUGUAUAAAUCAACCCCAAUCAGUCCAUCAAUGUCGUCAACCUCAUACAGCAUAAAAAAAUCUGUGUCCAUUAAACCGCCAUCUUGCCAUCUCGUUGUAGUAUUUUACUGUUCAAAUCUAGUUAUCAAUUGGGCAAAAUGGGGACCAAUCUGCAAGUCUUUAAAAUAGAAAGAAACUUUAAUUGAGCACUAUGUUCACGGUGGUGGACCCGGCGGCAGUAAUCUUUAGGGUGGAGUUAUUUAUAUUUUAAAAAUUAUUUUAAACACUCUAAUUUUAAUAAGAAUAUGUAUUACAAAAAUAUUUAUCAUAUAAGUUACUAUUAAGAAUAAUAUAAUAUAUUAUAAGUCAACAUUAUAUAAUUAUUGUGAACACUUGUAUAGCACAAUCCUUAUUUAUUUUAUUAUUCUCAUGACUUAAAUAUAAAAAUUUUUAUUUCCAACAUCUUAAUUAAUAUGUAGAUGAAUAAUAAGGAAAUUAACUUUGAGAAAAAAUUAAAUACAAAAUAUGUGUAAUACUUUUAAAAAAUAAAAUAAAACAAAAGUAUUGCACAAGAUUUUUUUUUGGGAGGGAUUUUGCCAUUCUUCUUCUUCUUCUUCUCCUUCUCUCUCUCUCUCUCUCUCUCUCUCUCUCUCUCUCUCUCUCUCUUUUGGUAGUAUUUAUGGAACAUUUUCUCUUGUUAUGUUCUCAUUGCAAGUUAUUUUGGGUGCAAAAGUCAAUAUUAAAAAUAAAUUAAAUAAAAAAUUAGUAACUAAAAUUAUGUUAAAUUAUUUUUUUACAACUUAAUUUUUAAUUAUAUUUUGUGAGUAUAUGCUAAAUCUCUUAAAAAUAGAGUGUUGAAUAAUUUUAUUAGUUUUUUUAAAUAAAUGAAGCUAAGUAACUUAAAAAGUUUAGUAAGGAUAUUUUUGAAUUUUAAAUAAUGUACAAAGUAAAAUUUAAUUUUUUUAUAAUUAAGCUACGAGCGUGCAAAGUAAUAUUUAGAGUGCUAAUAGUCCUACCCUAAUCUUUAUCAUCACAUUAUUUUCCAUAAAAAGUUUACAAUUAUCUCUUUAUUGGAUAAUUUUGUUCCCUCUCUUACCGUUAUGUUCCCCUACAUUCUCAUAUCUGCAUCACCAUUUAAAUUGUAAUCAUAACGUUAAUCUUUAUCAUUUCACAUAUUUUGCCAAAUUUAUACGCACUGCAAAGCUCUUUCCUUUUUUUUUUUUUUCCCGUUAAGUUUGCUAUAAUGUACAUGAAGAAUAGUUAAAGAGCUCUUUCGAGUCCUUAUCCUUUCUUUCGAGUUUACUUUUGCUUUUUUUUUUUUUUAACGUUUCUCUGGAAUUCACUUCAACAUCACUGGCGCGUUUUCUUCUUUCUCACUGCAACAUCAACUGGGCCACCACCUCUUGCCUCUCCCGGUUCCCCUCAAUUUUCGUAUUCAAUGUCCACCGUUGAUUGUACAUUUAUUAAAAUUCUGUGGUUAUUAUUUUUUGCAUAUAUUUAAUUCCACACGGUCUAGAUCGUAGUUGUGUCCUUUUAAUUGAGGAUGAGAAUGAAAUUAUGAAAUUUAAGUUGGGUAAAAAUGGUGAGUAUGAGGAAAUUAAAUUACAAUUCUUUAAGAUAAAUAAUUUGUAAAUCCCACAUAUUUCAUUUUUAUUUCUCUAGUUAAAUUAUAUUUUAAUAAAUAAAUAUAAUCAAUUAUUUUAAUAUUUUAAUUAAUAAACACGACAUUAACUACGGAACUAAAAAAUCCAAAAAAAAAAAAACAGAGGCGUGUGUGUAUUGCUUGUGACAAAUGUCACCCAUGGAAAACCUUGUGAAAGGCAUUUGAAUGUGUGGCCACAUUUAAUGAACGAAACGAUAACUUUAAAAGAAAGUAUGUACUGUGUUAAUUAUUAGGCUUUAGCUUAAUGAUUUCAAUUAGUUUGUCUUUUAAUUAAAUUAUUGCCGACAAACACUAUCACGACCCACGUCCGCUACUUGUGUGAAUGUGUGUAUAAAUAUCCGCAGCAUAUUAUCAAACUUGAUGCGUGAUCAUCUUUAAGUUUUGGUUACGGUUCAUCAGACGUUAGAAGACAUCUUUUUUAAUUUGAAGAAGAUGGAAACUCCGCAGGUUCUUAUGCCAUGUUCAAUUGAAUGUCAUUUAUAAUUUUUAUUUUAAUAUUAUGUAUUUAUGAAUAUAAUUAUUAUUAUGAUUUUUUCAAAUAAAAACGGAUGGUCUAAGGGUAAUUCAAUAACUAUGUACAGUAUUAUUAAUGAUGAGAGCGUGAAUGAUAAUUUAGAUUUUAUUCUCUUCUCUCAAUACAGAAGAAAUCUCGACUGUAGUAGUUAAGUGUUAUGUAACUCUUUCGUAUUAUGUUCAAUUAAUAAUAAAAUGAUGAGUUAUUAUUACCUGUCAAUUAUGUGAGUGUCUUUGUUUGAUUUAGUUCAACUUAUAAAAUCUCUUGAGAUAUAUAAGAGAUUUUCUUUGUUUACUUUCAUGUACCGCGUCUUCUUGUAAAAAGUAAUUAAUAAAAAAAAUAUCAUUGUGUGCCAUGUAUUGACUAAGUUAGUGUAUUCAUGUUAGGUUAAUUGUGCUCUCUCUUCUUGAUUUUUUUUUAUUAAAAAAAACUCCACGUAUUCUUGGUUAGCUAAUUCUUGCAGGUAGCAAGUGAUCGAUCCUUUUCUUUCCCCUACUGCUGUACCACCAAAUCCUUACAAUUACAUAUCAAGUGGUAUUCGAGCCGUCAAAGGAUCCAUGGAAACACGCAACAAAUCAAAUGCUGAAUUUUGCGAAGAGAUUCACGAAAUCCUUGCUAUACAUGAGUCUAGUUUUGACCAAGUUCACGUCACGCAUCAGCUGCGGGUUUGAAUGGUACCUAGUGGAUAUUUUGUGAGUUCCCACUAAUAAAAUCACACUUGCACAAAACUUAAAAAUUUAAAUUACGUAAUUCAAAUUAUAAAUUUAUAAUGGUAGCCUAAAAAAUCACAUAAAAUACUUAAUUCUAGAUUUUAUCAAUGUAAAUGAGAAAUGACAGUUUUAACAUUAAAAUAAAUACACAAAAUAUAUCAAUUUAACAUAAAUUUUUAAAUUUAAUUACCAAAUACAUAAGUCUAUCGCAACUCAAAGUGCUUUCAAUUGAAAACGAAAAAAGAGAAAGAAAAAAAAAACAAAGAACUACAAAUCAAAAUAGCAGCCAUGACCCAUUUUACAGUCUCAUUCAAUACCACUAGCACCCAUCAAACACGAUUUUUCUAAACAAAGUAUAAAGUACAAAAUUACAAUAAGCAUAUCAUACUCCAUGCUUUAAGUUAAAGAUCCUUAUAUCUUUUUAUGAAUAAUUUUUUAAUGAAAUUUUAUGAUUAAAAUUAAAAAUACAAACAUUCAAAUAAGAAUGUCGGACACUUGCGCAACUAUUCACCAAAUUUUUUCUCUAUAAAAAUCGACCUGCAACUUUCAAUAGGUUUAAAUUUAUAAUAUCAAACCUGAUUGCAGCUCGCAAAAAUUAUCCGUUGCGGCCAAGACUUUGGAUUUGCGAUGAUUUUGCCACCCUAAGUGUAGUUAGUAUUGUAUAUCAUGUGGCUCUUAUAAAAAGCCUAGAAGUUGUUUGAAUAACGGGGUAGACACAUAUCUCCCAAAGAUUUUCUCUUUUUCAAAUUAUUAUUUUUUCUCUAUUAUUGUAACUUCGAAUCCUUAUAAAUUACAGAUUGGAGACAUGAACACAAUGUUUUGACAUAGUGGACUUUUGGCUUGUCCAAAGAAAUUUAGGAUAGAUUUUUACGCACUAAGGUUCUAUUUACUAUUGAAGUUUUAGAACUUUUAAGCCACACCAGAAAUUUUUAUUGUUUUGAUAGAGUUGUAGUCUUUGAUAUGUGAUUAGUAUUAAUUAAGUGUUAUGUUUACAAUAGUUAAAGGCAUAUUGAAUCAAAAUCCACUUCUAAGGGCUUGAUUGAGUGAUUGUAAAGUAGGUUUUUAGUUUGCUAGCCACUCAAGUUCAAAUAUUGGAACCACAUAGCUUUAUAGCCAAGUGAGAGAACUUGUGCCCUAAAAAUUGAGGGGUGCAUAUCGAGUUUUACCACCAAUAAAAGUUGGUGUUAAAACUUUAAUUUCCCUCCUAUUAAUGGAUAUGGGUGAUUAGGAGUUUACAUCCCCUCCUAUUAAUAGACAGGGAUUAUUAGGAAUAUUAAAAAAAAGUUCAAAUAUUGAAAAUGUAGGUAUGGGUUAUAAAAUUCAUAAUAUAAAGACACAAAAUCAAGAUAAAGAUUUAAAAAUUUAGAACCAUGAGAGCGUGACUUGUAAGUUUCAAAGAAGCAUGUGCAAAUAUAUGCAUUAUCGAUGCCCAAUUAAGGGUGGGCAUUAAGAUCGGGUUAACCCGAACCGAACCGAAUCAAACUUAAAAUUUAUUUUGGAUUUAAUUUGGUUAUAGUUGAAGCUUUCAACUGAGUUCAAAACUUAAAAAUGAUUGGGUUGUAUUUCUGUUCGAAUUUAACUCCAGAAGACUAAUCAAUCCAAUCGAGUUAAGUAAGCAAAUUAAGAAAAAAAAUCCCAAAAAAUUAAAACUAACCCUAACUAAAAUAUUCGACCGGGGCCUCCUCGUUUUCUUUUCUUCUUCCUCCUCUCGCUCACCCCUAAUGCCCAUUCAUGGAAAUCCAACAGCUCCAAACGCGUUUCAGCCGCUCGCACGUGUGAGAAAUUUUCCUUCUCAUAGGAUUAUUCGUUUCCUUCGCUUGCAUGCCAGCAGAAUAUUCAGGCCGAGGAUUUUUCCGGGCCUAGCCCAACUAUAAGCUCUCCCAAAACCCAAUCAUAAGUUCAUAACGUUUAGCGUUUGCUAUUACUAUAAUAUUUUUUAACGAAUUUUCACAUUCAUCAACAUAGGCUGACAGAUUUUGUAGAAAAUAAAAUUAAAUAAAAAUACAAGCUCACGAAAUUCCUUUUCCGAUGUGGGAAUCUAUCUACACCUUUCACGUGCUUUUUUUUUUUUGGUGGUGGGGGAUUCCCUUGCUUUUGUUUGCAUUGCCUUAUUGGAUAAAAGUUUGUACAACAUCGUCUGUUUGGUUAAAGCCGAGCAUGAGUGAAGAAAUUUUUUUUAAAAAAAAUUUCCCAUUAAUUUGCAACAAGUAUUAAUAAAGUGCAUGAGAAAAGACACCGGGAUAUGCCUUUUUUAAAAUGAAAAUAAAUGUGUUAAUUAGUCAAUUUAAAUGGUAUGACAUUUUGAAAUGAUAGAAGUGAUCUAAAGUUUAAAUCUUACACUUAAUUUAGGGGUGGGGAUUAAUUGAUGUAAUAUAUAAUAACGAAUUCGAAAGAUAAUUAAAAAUUAAAAGAAAAUAAAAAAGUGCUUUCUUUUUUAUGAUGGUAAUUUGUUUAGAUGAUGAAAACUCUUAGAGUGGUAUUAUCAAUACAUAGUAUUUAUUUUAUUAUAUUUUUAAAUUAAUAAUAAUUAUUAAUAUUCUUAACUAUGUAAAUCACAAUUAUUUUAUUAAUUUUAAUUUAAAUUAUAUAAAUAAAAAAUUAAUAACAACAACACAAAUGAAACAUUAUUAUUGAUAAUAUAGUACAAAUUAAUUUUUUUAGAAUAAAAUAUUUAUUAUUAUUAAUUACUAAUAUUAAAUAAAUAUAAUAGUAUUAUUUUUAAAUAAGUAUAAUAAUAUUAUAUUUUCAAAUAAAAAUAGAAUAUAGUAAUAUUAUUAAUUCUUUAUGAAUAUAAUAAUAUUAUUUUUAAGUAAUUUUAACUUAGAAUCAAUAUAAAUUAUUAUUUUUAACCAAAAAAUUAAUAUUAUUUUAAAUAUGUUUAAUAUUAUUAUUUUUAAUAAAUUUAAUUUAUAAAAUAAUAAAAUAUUAUUAUUUAAAUAAAUAGGAUUUUACUUAUUUUAUUAAAUUUAAUAAAAUAAAUAUGUUUAAUAUUAUUAUUUUUAAUAAAUGUAAUUUAUAAAAUAAUAUAAUAAUAUAAUUUAAAUAAAUAUGAUAUUAUUUAUUUUAUUUUAUUAAAUAUAAGGGUAAAAAAUGAAGAGAGGCGAGUGAAUUCCCACUCCCACCUUCCUCCAUGGGAGUGGGAAUCCUACUCCCCACUCCAAAAUUAGGUGGGAUCCACACAGUGGAAUUCUCACUCCUCCUUUGAAAAUUAUAAGUAAACAUUGGAGUAAAAGUAAUCCACACUCCUCACUCUCACUCCUUAAAAUAAACACUACAUUAAAGAAGCCACUGACUCAUAAGAAAACCAUGAUUAAGUACACGACGAAACAUGUGAGCUCGUUUUUCAAUUUCUUUGAUCACUCAUAAGCUUUUCUAUACCACUCACUAUAUCAUCCUUUUAAGUCAAUUUUGACUGAUCAUAAGAGAUUAUGCACCCCACCUUGAGAUGAUUGAUCACCAAUUUGGCAUUGUAACGUUGAUCACCUCUAAUUGGCCAUGCUAAAAUUGGGACCCCAUUGCCAAUUACUUCUACAGUUAAAUUUUAUCUACAGUGAGAUAAAAAUCCACCUAUUAAUUGAUAACUUAGUAUCAAUAAUUAUGGCGCCGUUCCAUCUAUUAUCAAACCCUUUUUACCGGCUCUACUAUCUAAACCACUACGAAAAUAAGCUGGUUAAAAAUAAAAAAUCCCCAGUUACUCUGCUCAAACUCGUUAAUAUUUGUUUCCACCACCAAAGCAGCCACUCGUAUCUUUUAUUAAGCAUAAUGUUUUUAAACAAAUAUGAUGAAAACUCUUAGGGCCAGUUUGGUAAUGCUGCAGCUUUUAAAAUAAUUGCUGUUAGCUGUGCUGUAGAAAUAAUCAGCUGUGAAGAGAAUCAGUUAAGUGUUUGGUAAAUUUUAUUUUCAAAAGUACUGUGAAUUUUGAAAGCAGUUAUGGGUGUUUGGUAAAUUUUAUUGUUAAACUGCUGUAAGAAAAUAAAUGACCAAAAUGUACAUAAUGUAAGAUGAAAUUUACCUAUACAUAUAAAAAUGUUGUAAGAAAAUAAAUUUACUUGCACUAGAGAAGUUUUGAUAGAACACAAAAUAUGAAGAAAUAGGGUAAACGAAAGGUGUGCGUUAAUUAUAAUAAAAAUUUAUUAAAAUAUUGAUUUUAUUUCUAAUUUAACUAAGGAUAAUUUCGGGUUUAAGUAAUAAUUGUAAGGAUAUUUAUGAAAUUAUAUUAAAGGAUAAAAUUGAUUCUCAAAAUCAGAAUCUAAAAGUUACUAUUUCCCUGCUUUUCAAAAUCAGUUGUAGGAGGAGCUGAUUCUGGCAAAAGUGAUUUUGAUUUUCUUUUACCAAACACCAAAAUUAGCUUUUAGAUUUUUAAAAUCACUUUUAACCCUCCCAAAAGCAAUCCCAAACGGGGCCUUAGAGUGGUAUUAUCCCAUGUUUACUCCAAUGAUUUGGUAUACGCACAUGUAUUUUGGUAUACGCACAUGCACGCUAUAAAUUUAGUCAAGAAAAGUGAAUGUAUCUACAUACAAAUACUUAUCCCAUAUAACUUCAUUUCUUCAACUGAAGAAUCGGUCGUCUCUCAUUUUUUAUUUAUUAUAUAAAGAUAAAUAUAUAAAUUUAAAUGGCGAGAAGAGCGGACGAGGAAUACGAUUACUUGUUCAAAGUGGUAUUAAUCGGCGAUUCGGGAGUCGGCAAAUCGAACUUACUCUCCCGAUUUACUCGUAACGAGUUCUGUUUGGAGUCCAAAUCCACUAUUGGCGUCGAAUUCACCACCCGCACUCUUCAAGUAACUAACUUUUCCUCUUUCACUUCUCUUCAUUUUUAUUAGUUAAUUAAGAUCCAGUUAAUGUAAUUAAUUUUAUUUAAUCUUUUAAAUAAAGUUCUAGAUUAGGCUAACUUAGAUUCAUGUCAAGUUGAAGUGAUUUACUUUCGAUCUCUUUUUCGUCCUAUGUUUAUUUGUACUUACUAUUACUUUUUUUUUGGGUAUUUUCGUUUUUGAAGUGUUUACUGAAUAAAUUUCUGAGCUUUAUUUGUGUAUGCUGAUUGAUUUGUGAUUUUAAUUUGUGAUUUUUUUUUUGGCAUUUAAAUUUGAAUGCUUUUUAAUUUGAAUCUGAAUGUGUUGGGCUGCGAUUUAAUUAAGUCAUGUGUGAGCACCAAAUUGUGAUAGCUAUAUAUUGGGGUGAAAAUUUGGGAUUUAAAGCUAUGUAUUUAAGAUGCAGUUAAUUGGCAAGUGAAAAUUAUGGGCCGGCAGAUUUUGUCAUUGGAAGACUGUUCUCCACAUGUUGAAGUUAGUGAUGCAAGUUGAAACCAAUCUGUUUAAGCUUGGGGUUUCAUGUCUUGAAUCAAGGCUGUGACUUGGGGUGGGUUGAAAGUAUUAUAGCUUUAGCUAUUCCUGAAGUGAUCUGUUUAGACUCACCGUGAUGAGACCGAGUGCUGUACAGUAAAAUGAAAGGAAGUUGGAAAAUAUUUACUUAGCAUUUCGCGUUACUAAUGUUGAACUAAUAAAACCUAGCCCCUAUCCUAGUGAAUUUAUGUUAAAAAGCUAUGCACGCAUUAAGUUAGUGCGAGAGUCUGCUGAAGCAUAUGUCAGCUGUGUGUUUGGAGCUGAGUAUUCUUCAUUCCACAUUUUGGGUUUUGGUUGACCUCCAGCAUGACUCAACCCACUUGAGUUAAAAGCCCUAGAGUUACAUUCUACCCAUGAUAUUUGAGUUUAUCAAGUCACCUUAUUUUAAUACUUCUCUGGAAAACAAAUAUAUAUGUUAAAUCAGGUAGGAAAAAUAAAAAGUUAAUUAUUUUAAUACUAAGGUUUUGAAACAUUAAGAUCUUUAGCCAUUAUGUUACUAUCCCGUAGUUAUUUAAGUUACAAGAGAUAGUAAAAAAUAACAUCAUAUUUUAAUUACUUACACUAAUCCUACAAGUGCUGAUGGUCUAAAGUUGCUGCUGCUUGCACUGAAUCAGUGGUCAUGGGCCAGCCAAGGUUAGGUGAGGCCAACUCAUUAGCUUGUGAAACUUAAAGAAGUCUUAGGUUUGGAAAAGAUGGGGCACAGGUUACAAAAAUUUUUUGAGUUUUGGAUUGAAGGAACAAAAUUGUUGAUGUCUAGCUCACAAUAUUUGAAGUCACUCUGUGCUUCAUCAUGUCAAAUGGAUUGAAUUGCUGUAAGAUCAGGUCAAAUUAAAAUGUUUAAACUCAUUUUUAAGAAACGAAUUCUCAAUUGGACCAGCCUUUCACAGAAGCUGAUAUCACAGAAGCUUUGAGUCAGAUGCAUCCAACCAAAGCCCUUGGCCCAGAUGGUCUCCCAGUAGUAUUUUUCCAAAAGCUUUAGAAUUCAGUAAGCGAAGGAGUUAUAGCCACUUGUCUGCAUAUCCUCAAUGAUGGAGGUAAUAUUGCUCCUUUGAAUCAUACAUACAUUGCUUUAAUCCCCAAGAUAGCAAAACCUAGGACUCUGAUGGAGUAUAGACCAAUCAGCAUAUGUAAUGUAAUUUAUAGGAUCAUUGCAAAGACUAUAGGGAAUAGGCUGAAGCUAAUCUUAGAUCAUGUUAUUUCGCCAACUCAGAGUGCUUUUAUGCCAAAUAGGUUCAUAACUGAUAAUAUAAUUAUUGGGCAUGAGUGUCUUCAUAAGUGGACAAAGCUAUGUUCCAGAGGUGAGAUAGGAAAUUCUCCCGCACGACACAGCAGAAACAAACUUUCCCUUUCAUUUUCUUUUCUCUUUCUCGCUCUCCAAACAGAGCAAAAGGACCGUCGGAAGAUUCUUCACUUCCAUCCAAAAUCAUGAGCAACGAAUAGUGAGCCUCCCUGUUUCCUUCCUUUUUUUGAUAUUAACAUUGUUAACAUAUACUCAUUUUAAUUUGACAAUACUUCAACUUUUUUUAUUUUUUUGCCUUUUCAUUUUUUUUGUUGAAGCAAUUAUCUGUUCAAGCUGUUGCUUAUCGAAGACUCGUCCUUCGGAAAGUCCUGCCUGCUGCUCCGAUUUGCUGUCUGUUGACUUUUCCUUUCCCUUCUUAUUUUCUUUUUUUAUAUUAAUUACUUUCUAUUUUAGCUUUUUGUUCUCUGAAUUUGUGUUAUUAAAAUGAUAAUUUAGAUGACAAAUAAUUGUUAUUCUUGUAAAUUUAGGUUUUCAUUACGUUAAUUGUUAGUUUUUAGGUUUAUUAAUGUAAUUUUUUUUGUUUUUUUUUUUUCAAUUUUUCAGGAUGAUUCUUAUGUCACCGCUACAUCAGUACCAUUGGAGUUGAUUUUGUGAGUCUCUCUUCUAUAUAUAUGUAUAUAUGUGUAUAAGUUAUAAUAUGAGUCUAUGUACGUGUAUGUAUGUAUGUGCAUGUAUAUGUGGAAAGAAAUGUUGGCAGACUUCAGCAUUUUACUCUUUUUUUUUUUUUUUUUUUGGGAGAAAAUAAGAACUGUGGAGUUGGAUGGGAAGACGAUCAAACUGCAGAUUGUGAGUCAAAAUUUCCUUUUAUCUUGUAUUGAGAGAAAUUCGAUUUGUCUUAUUUAGUGAAGGUUAUGUUCAAGAACCUUGUCUUAUUUUCUUUGUUUGAAGAGUGAUAUGUUGAAAUGAGUGUAUUUGUCUUAUAAACAUCAUUUAGGUAAUGUCUUAUGUGUGAUUGUUUUGCAUCUGUUGAGUGGGACACUGCUGGACAGGAGCGAUUCAGGACUAUAACUAGCAGUUAUUACCGAGGAGCCCAUGGAAUCAUAGUAAGGAGCCUUUCCGGUUCUUGGUUUAAAUCAGAAAGUUUGUGAUUUACAUGUGACAUCUUAACAGCAUUGUAUGUGUUUAUUAACUUAUUUUUCAUCUUUCGUUAAGCAGUACAUUUUCCAAUAAAUCUGUAUACAAGAUGAUGUAGUCCAAGAAUGGGAGCGAUAAUAUGAUGCAAAUUGUCUAAUAAAUUCUUAUGACAUAUGAUGUUGUCGGAAGUAAAAGUCUUGCAAUGCUGUAUUCUCUUUUAAGAAAGAAUAAGUGGUAAUCUUAUUUUUCCAAUUUUUUAAUUGAGCAACUGUGUGAGAUUAAUUAAAUGUGUUGGGAUUUCAACAGAUUGUCUAUGAUGUAACUGAGAUGGAGAGCUUCAAUAAUGUCAAGCAGUGGUUGAAUGAGAUUGACAGAUACGCAAAUGACAGUGUAUGCAAGCUUCUAGUGGGGAACAAAUGCGAUUUAGUUGAGAACAAGGUUGUGGACACACAGACAGCCAAGGUAUAUUCGUGACUUCUGUCGCCUGAACUUUGAAUAUAAUUUUAAACUCUUCUCAAGUGCAUUUGCUUGAUAAGUUUCUGCAUACCCAGGACACUCAAACUUUGGACAGUUUGUAUCUCAAGCUGGAAUCUUUUUUGUCAAUACGACUUGUUAAAAUAAGGGUUAUUAUCGUUUGAAUCCUUCAAGAAUUGCAAUAAAUCUAAAGUCCAUAAAAAAAUAUGAUUCCAUCUUUUUACUAUUAUAUCUAGACAAAACCCAUUAUUUUACUACAUUUCAUUGGCACGGAUAGUUGACCUGUUGGCUGACUGAUAAAAUAUCAAUUUUGCACUUUAUAUUAAUUCUUUUUUGGUUAAAAAAUAACACACAAAGUAUUACAAUAUUAUAAAUUCAAAAUAUAAAGUAGUUACAAAUAAUUCCUAUUAGCCUAUGAAUAUAAUAUUUGAUACCUCUAUUUGUGUAAUUUUUUUCCAAUGGUGAAAUUGUUAUUUUUUUUUGUACUAACGGAAAUGUAGUAAAAUCAUAAGUUUUGUAAAGAUAUAGUAGUAAAAUGAUAGACUAAAAUACUUCUUGUAGUUGUUUGAUAUAUUGUAAUUCUUAAAGUAGUCAAUUGAUAAUAUCCCCUAAAAUAAAUGUUCGUAAUAUGUUCUCAUUUUAAUGCAACUGAUUGUUUAAUAAAAUUGUAUUUCUUUGUUAAUCUUUUAUCAUGUGCAUGCUCAGUGAGAAUUUGACUUACUAGAACACAAGUUUGACUCUUCAUUUAAAUGUCUCUUGUAUCAUAUCCUUUAAUGUUGAGUGUGAUUCCAAUAAAAUUGAGUAGGGAGAUCCUUAAAUACCUUUUCCUUUUUUCCAAGGGCCUGCCAAAUUGCUCUAAGUGGUUCUACCCUUUAUCAAUGAAUAAUGAAAAUAAAAUUUUUAUUAAAGCAUUUUGUUCCUUAAAUGGUGACUAAUAGUACCCCUUUUUUUUGGAGAGGAAAGCCAAACAUGCCCAAAGAGAAUCAUUUACUUUCCUCUAAUGUAUUUUCUAAUUCGUUUUGAGCCUUGAAUGUCUGUUUUGGUGCGUAUUCUCAUUCCAUGUUGAAUCUUAUCCAUAUGGACAACCCCACUUACAAAAAAGUCUAAUGAAUCUAUUGAAGUUCAUAUGAGGUUUGUGCUUUAGAUUUAGACCUCUCUCUCUCUCUCUCUCUCUCCACUUACAUGUCUUUCACUUACCUGUCUUUCACUUACCUGUUUGCAUGCAUGCCCAUGCACACACUUUCACGAUAAUACUGUAGGGGAAAAAUCAUGUUUUUAAAUUUUAUAAAACCUUUUGAAGAUCGCUCUCAUAUAAUAUAUAAGAAUUCGUAUUCUAGAAAUCGUACCUUGAAAAUCCGAGUUGGCUUUUCCACUGAAGUGAUUUAGGCUCCUAGAUCACGAUCUGCCACCACCACUCCUGUUAGAUCACGAUCCGUCAUCACCACGCUUGUUAGAUCACGAACUGUCGCCAAUGAUCUUCCAGGUUAUGACUCAGGUUCGAUCUGCACUUGACGUGUGGGCGCCUUUAUCACUGCCAAAGCAACUAGCACGAGAAAAUUUUUCUCUCAAUCAUGGAGAGAAAAAUCUUAUUCUCUGAUUUGUAUAAAGUGGCUUCUUCCUUUUUCUUUUGAGAAAAUAAGCCUUAUAUAUCUCCCUUUAGUGAAAACCCUAGGCUCCAAAUAAUGCCCUAAAUAAAACUCACGUUAUUUUCUUUUUCAAUAGGGAACCCACCUUGUAAAAUAACAUAAGGCCCCUUAUACAAAAGCUAAUUAAAUGGAGCCUCCCACUAAAUGAUAUAUUUAGGCUUUUGACCCAAAUAGCUAGUUAUCUUACUUAUUAGUCCAGUGGUGGUGCAGUCAAUUAAAUGAGCUAACCCGGGGAUCAUUUGGGAACAUACAAUAGUGGCUACAAUAAUUAGGCCUGUAAUUAAACUAGCCUAAUUAUUUAAUUCCAAAUCUACUCCACUAAAAGAUUGGAACUGACUUCCAUAAUUGUAUGCUCGAAUAAUAAUUCGUCCCAAGCCACAUUGAUUUCUUUAGUGCACAAUCCUUUGUACCACAUCGUUAAUUAAAUUGAUAUCUCAACUGUCCAAUCAAUUUAAUAACAUCUUAUUCCUUGAUCCUUACUGGUUUUCUCUAAUGAUCAUUUUCAACAUACUAAAUAUGUUGACACACUCUGGCCAGAGAAUUCUAUGAUCAAGUGCCGAAAACCCAUCAAGAGAUGUGUUGUACAAAUUCUAUAUUGUUAAUCCAUAACUCCAAUACUCAUAAUUGCUCCCACCAAGAUACCGGGUAAUCUUGACCACAAGUAUGUGUUGUGUCCAUUGGUAACUCAAAUGGAAUAACAAUUACAAUCAUGAAAUCAUAAUUAACUCAAGAUUAAGAUUACAGUAAAAUCAACGCCUAUGAGAUUUAAUAAGUCUGACAGUUAUUACAAAGUUAAUUAAAUCUCACAUGUGAUCCUGUUCAAUGUAGUCGUACUACAUCAAUAAAUUCAUACAUGAUUAAGACAAAUCAUUCAAUGAAUUUAUUACAGUCUAUACCUAAAUAAAGUGCCCAACUUUAUUUAUCAACUGCGAACUAAAUUUAUUUAAUCAUAAGAUAACUUGUAUUUAUGUCUUCUGUGAAUCCACAUGGUGAUCACAUAAAUACAUAUAAUAUGAUUAAAUGGACUUUAAUACAAAUAUUAAUGCAAUUAAGAUAUUUGAAUAAAAUACCUCAUUUAUUUUAUUAAUCAGAAAAACUGUUUAUUACAAUUAAAUAAACACAUAUGCUUUUAAAGAGCAUAUUUUCCCAACAAAUACACGGUCACUCGUACUUGUGUUUUGGUUGAAUUACUGGCUGCUAACCUCUGUAAUUCAGUUUGAAACUUGCCACCCUUAGUGCUUCACUCAAAUGGUUGGUUAGGGUGAGAUCUGUAUCGUUUUCUUGGUCUCUUUCCAAGGUUAUCUAAAGGGAUUUGGCAGUCUGAUUCUUUAGGGAAUAUCAUUGCAUAAGAUAUCUAUUGUUUGUUAAUGAAUAAUUUCUAUUUAACUAGUUAUCUAUAUAAAUUGGUAAAUUUUAACUGCAUAAUUUGCAUGCAAUAAGAUUUUAUAAGAAUCUUGUUUUCAACUCAUGACUUAGACUAAUGUGAUAUGUUGAGCAUUAAGCUACAAGAUCUGCACAUCAAAGUGCUUCACAAUGUUAAGGAGAAAGCAUCUUUUUCUGCUUCUUCAUGUGAUUUAAAGUUUCCAAGGUACUUAUCCAAUAAAAUAUCUUUCAAGACUUUGGAAAUGCUUUUAUAUAUGACUGAGAGAAACUUGUUGGGUUGGUUUUUAGCAACAGACGGAGUUAUGGACUUUGUGUUGACUUGUUAUUGAUUAAGACAGUACAUCGGCUGAUCUAUUGGCAUCAAGCAGCAGAUGCAGAAAUUAUGGGUGGCAUACCAUUGUAUCCAAAUAACAUACUACAUUGAUUUUUCUGACUUUCUGUUGGUCUCCGAGUGAAAUGCAGGCAUUUGCAGAUGAACUGGGGAUUCCUUUCCCGGAGACGAGUGCCAAAGAUGCAAUCAAUGUGGAGCAGGCUUUCUUGACCAUGGCUGGCGAGAUUAAGAAAAAGUAAAAUCACUUAACUCUUUCCUUCUUGCCGACUGUUCUUAUUUAACAAUCACUAUUAUUGCUGGUUAUAUGCAUUGUGAUGAAAAUUCUGCAAUGAGUAACUUUUUACCUAAUGUUUUCUGUUGGAACAAAUUACUCUGGUAGAAAAGCCCUACAGGGUUUGAGAAAUCCCAUGAUGUGAUGAUUGUGAGCAUUUUAGACACCGUCUAUGGGUUUAUUUUGUGACUAUAAAAUGUUAAGAUUGUUUCUAGUUUUGGUUUGUAGUGCAUAAAAGGAUUCAAAAUUUGACAUCUGUCUAAAUCAGAUUAAUAACAUGAUAAUGUACAUAUGCAAGAUGUGAGGAAUUGUUUUAUCUCACCCCUAAACUUUAAGAAAUUGAAACAGUAUUAUUCAAAAUAUUUAACAUUUCCAGAAUUGAUAGUUGUCUAUUUGAGCAGUGACUGGUGGUUAUCAUGAACUGAUGUGCGGUUGUGGUUUCAAAUCUUGGUGAAACCUGUUGUCCUAUGCUGAUUAACAUAGUUAGUCUCUGAAACAAUUUGUUGAUUCACUAAUUAUGAGUUAAAAUUUGAUGCAGAAUGGGCAACCAGCCUACUGCAAACAAAUCUUCUGGAACAGUUCAGAUGAAGCGAAUGCCAAUCCAGCAAAACAGCGACUGUUGUGGUUAGCCGAGCAUCUUAUUUUACUUCUACAUGUUAGCUGACUGAUUGUAGACAGUUUUAACUAUGUUGACUGCAUUAUCUUAUGAAUCUUUUAAUCUGUCAAAUAUUUAUUUCCUGCUUUAAGUUCUUUCCCGUUUAUAACAAAUUUAAUUUCUUGCUCCAUUGGAUUCCAAAUUCCUGUCAAUUUACGAGGGAAAAAGAAAAGAGAGACGAAAUGGGAGAAAAUGGUCAAAUUUGUUAGGCGGAGAGAGCUGUUUAAGUAGUUUUUGUUCUCGUUUAUUGUCGUGACCCUCAUGUCGCUUAUCGAUUACCUGGAAGUCCGGUCGUAUCGGAUGGGUAAAGUUACCGAAUCGGCAUCAUUUUGGGUGAAAUAUCAUAUUUAUGUGACACUUUUGAUAAUAUUUUUAUGUGUUACAGAGUAUGAUAAUAUGGUACAGCUGAGAGCAUCUGAUUAAAUGGAGCUGCUGAUGCUUACGUGUGUUGUUGAGUUAGUUAUCCAGCUCAGCAGUAAAGAUAACGAACUGGACUGCAUGCAUAUUAGAUUCAACAAACUGACAAGCUACGAGAUGCCUCUGAUCUUUUACUAUAAAUAACAAGUUGUAAUCAUCAGUCAAAUAAUAAGAAUAUGAUCAUUUUCAGAUCUGAUUCUUUAUGAUUUUCUUUCAUUUUCUUGUUAGUUUCUCUUAAACCAAACACUAUAUACAAACUCUUUCAUGGUAUCAGAGCAAACAAAUGGCAAAUUCGAAUCAAAAUUCUGGAUCCUAUAGUUUUAUUACUCCGAUAAAACUAGAUCAUAAUAACUUCAUUGUUUGGCGAACUCAGAUUCUCACAUCCAUUAAAGGAAAUGGUUUAGAAGAUUUCAUCAAUGGAAAUCAAGUCUGUCCGGAAAAAUUUUUCUCUGCUACAAGCUCUGCUGCUGGUUUCUCAUCUGGAACAGAUAAUCAAGAGAUCAAUCCAGCUUACACAAUGUGGAUAAAGACGGAUCAAUUGAUUCUGAGCUGGAUGCUCUCAUCUAUUCAACCGAAUUUGCUGACAACUGUGAUCCACUGCUCAACUGCAAAGGAACUGCUGGAUACACUUACAAGUAUGUUUGUUUCCCAGUCACAAGCUAGAAUAAUGCCUCUAAAAAUGCGAAUCCAAACUCUUAAAAAAGGCUCGAUGUCCAUAACUGAUUAUUUUGCAAAAAUGAAAAGGAUAUCUGAUAGCUUAGCUUUAGCUGGAAAACCUGUUGAAGUGAAUGAUUUCGUUCAACAUGUUUUGACUGGAUUGGAUUCUUCUGAUUAUGAGUCACUAGUUACUACUGUGUUAGCUAGAGGAGAUAAUAUCAGUCUUGAUGAGUUUUAUUCAUUGUUAUUGAGUCAUGAAAAUCGUGUGGAACAAAAGAGAGGAAAAAUUGCAAGUGAUGUUACACAUAACUUGUCAGCUAAUGUUGCUCAAAAGCAGUUCAAUCCUGGUAAAAACACUAGUGGUAAUCAGAAGUUUAACACUGGAUCGUAUGGAGGAGGUUAUAAUUCUGGAGCUGGAUCUAGUGAUGGUAACUUCUCACAAAUUGUAUGCCAGAUCUGCUUCAUUCCUGGUCAUGGUGCCAAUAAAUGCAGGAAUAUGUUUAACUCAGCUUUUGUUCCUUCAAGAAAUCAAGGAAGAGGUAGUUUUAAUGGAAAUUUUAGGCCUGGUCAGAGGCAGUAUGGUAGAGGUUUUGGCUAUGCUAAUGGAAAUAGGUCUUCUAUGGCUUAUGGAAAUUUUGGUAAUUUUGGUAGAAAUCUUAAUCCUCAAUAUGGUGCUGGAAUUGGUAACUCUCAGUUUGGUAAUUUCAACAUACCAAGAGCACCUGGUUAUCAAGGUCAUUUGAUGUAUUCAGAUCCAACUGCUUUCAAUGUUUAUCAACCAUCUAACUCUCAUGGUGGUUACUCUCCUGCUCAUGUUUUUGUUCCUACUGGAGAUUACUCUGGAUCUCCUUCAGUCCCUGUUCCAACUCAUGCACCUGAGAUGAUUGAAGAUCCAGCUUGGUACAUUGACAGUGGUGCUACUAACCACAUCACAAAUGACUCAGGUAAAUUACUGGAUCUCAAGCCAUAUGUUGGCACUGACAAAUUGCUUGUUGGGAAUGGUUCUGCAUUGCAUAUUAAACAUAUUGGAUCAGUAUUGCUAGCUACUACUGCAAAUAAACCCUUGUGUUUAAACCAUGUUCUUCAUGUUCCAAAUAUUAAGAAAAAUUUACUCAGUGUUUCAAAGCUCUUAGUAGAUAACAAUGUGACACUUGAGUUUUUUGCAAAUGUCUGUGUUGUCAAGGCCAGGAACUCAGGGAUCACUUUGCUUAGAGGAAUUGCAACAGGGGGAUUGUAUCAAGUCCAAUCUGCAACUCAAGUCUCUGAAACUAGCUCAGCCUUGUCAUGUCAACUUUCUUCCAAUAAACCUCAGUCUUUGUUUGCUUUUCAUUCUCCUUUGUCUAGUGAUAUUUCUCCUGAAAUAAGUAAGAGUACUUUGUCUCAUCAUUUGCUGUGUAAAUCAGCCUUGGCUGUCAAUACUAGCUCAGUCGAUGUCAAUGUUUUCCAUAAAAGGCUAGGACAUCCUGCCUUACACACACUCAAAUCUGUAUUGAAAGCUUGUAAUAGUUUCAAUGUACUCAAUAAAACUCCAAACUUUUGCAAUGCCUGUCAACAUGGUAAAAGUCAUCUUUUACAUUUUGGAUCUGUUCCAACAAAAACAACUGCACCAUUACAACUUAUAUAUGCUGAUUUGUGGGGACCAUCACAUGUUGCAUCCACUCAAGGCUAUAUAUACUAUCUGUCCAUUUUAGAUGAUUUUAGCAGAUUCACAUGGAUUUUUCCUUUGACUGCUAAAUCAGAUGCUCUCCAAGUCUUCACAGAAUUCAAAUCCUUUAUUGAAAAACACUUACAACAACUCAUCAAAAUAGUUCAAACAGAUUGGGGAGGGGAGUUUAGAACCUUUGCAUCAUAUCUCACUCAAUUUGGAAUUCAGUUCAGGCACCCUUGUCCACAUAUCCAUCAUCAAAAUGGAAGAAUUGAGAGAAAACAUAGACACAUAGUUGACAUUGGCCUCACUCUGUUAGCUCAAGCUAAUUUACCACUUAAGUUCUGGUGGAAUGCCUUUCAUACUGCUGUAUUCCUUAUCAACAGACUACCCACACCAACUUUGAAUAACAUUUCACCUUAUCAAAAACUUUUUCAGCAAGUACCAGAUUAUGCCUCUCUUAGGGUCUUUGGUUGUGCUUGCUUUCCUUAUCUCAGACCUUAUAACAGACACAAGCUCAGUUUUAGAUCAAACAGAUGUGUUUUCAUUGGGUAUAGCUCUUCUCAUAAAGGGUAUCAGUGUCUUCAUUCAUCUGGUCGUGUGUAUGUGUCCAAUCAUGUCAUCUUUGAUGAACAAUCCUUUCCAUAUGUAUCUGGAUCAGACUUCUCUUCCAUUGCUCAGUCUUGCAGUCCCUUAGAUAUUUCUUCAGAGUCCAAAGUUACUCUUGUUCCAAUCCCACAAGUACAAUCCCCCCUGCAAGAAUCUCCAGCAAGUGAUUACCUACCUGCUGACACUCCACAGGUAUUCUCUCCAUCUUCAACCUCCUCUUCAUCAUCUACUUCAACAUCACAUACACAUCCUAUACAUCAUACACAAUCUCCUCCUCAUAUAUUACCUGCUGCACCACCUAUAGGUCAUCCCAUGAUAACCAGAUCCAAGGCUGGUAUCUUUAAGCCUAAAUCUUUUUUAGCUGCUUUACUAGCCAUACCUUCAGAACCUACUUCUGUUUCAGCUGCUUUAUCUGAUCCAAAAUGGUUUAAGGCAAUGCAAGAAGAAUUUCAAGCACUUCAGAACAAUCAUACAUGGGAUCUGGUCUUGCCAAGUGAACCAGUUAAGGUAGUUGGAAACAAAUGGAUAUUCAAGAUAAAAUAUCAUGCUGAUGGAACCAUUUCUAGAUACAAAGCCAGGUUAGUGGCUAAGGGGUUUCAUCAGACACAAGGAGUUGAUUACACAGAAACAUUCAGUCCAGUUGUUAAAGCAUCCACAGUCAGAGUUAUUUUAAGUUUAGCAGUUCUGAAUAAAUGGGAGCUCAGACAAGUGGAUGUGAAUAAUGCUUUUUUGAAUGGCAUAUUAGUUGAAGAUGUGUACAUGGGGCAGCCAGAGGGCUUCAUUGAUCCAUCUCGACCUCUUCAUGUCUGUAAGUUGAAAAAGGCUCUCUAUGGUUUAAAACAAGCCCCCAGGGCAUGGUUUGAGAGACUGAAAGAUGCUAUGGUUGUGAAAUGGGGUUUCCAAAAUUCAAGGUCAGACAACUCCCUUUUCUACAAGUGGAUAGGUGAUCAAGUAAUUUUUGUUCUUGUCUAUGUGGAUGAUAUAAUCAUAACAGGCUCAAGUGAUAAAAUGGUGCAGCAAGUGAUCACAAAUAUGCAAAAUGCUUUUGCUUUGAAGGAUCUGGGAAAAUUGAGUUAUUUUCUUGGGAUAGAAGUUACCAAAACAGCAUCUGGAAUUUAUCUAUCUCAAUCUAAAUACAUAGCUGAUAUUCUAACCAAACACAAUAUGGCUGACUGCAGUCCAGUUCCUACUCCCAUGGCCACUGGUCAUUAUCUUACAAAGGGGUCAGGAAGUGUUAUUUCAAAUAGUUCUCAAUAUAGAAGUGCAGUUGGAGCCUUACAGUAUGUGACUCUCACUAGGCCAGAAAUAGCUUUCUCUGUAAACAAACUUAGUCAGUUUUUAGCUUCACCAACAGCAGAGCACUGGGAGGCUUGUAAGAGGCUUCUUAGAUAUUUGAAAGGAACAAUUCAUUUUGGAUUACAUUUUUAUCAUUACGGCACUAUGCAGAUAAAUUGUUUUAGUGACUCAGAUUGGGCAUGUGAUAAGGAUGAUCGCAAAUCAGUGGCUGGUCAUGCUGUUUAUCUUGGUUCAAAUUUGGUUUCUUGGUCGUCUAAGAAACAGGCAGUAGUUUCCAGAUCAAGCACUGAAGCUGAAUAUAGAGCUUUGGCUCAAGCUACAGCUGAGGUUACUUGGAUUCAGUCCUUACUGAAAGAGCUACAUAUUCAUCUUGUCACAGCCCCCAUAAUGUGGUGUGAUAAUCAAAGUGCCAUAGCUUUAGCUCACAAUCCUGUUUAUCAUGCUAAAACUAAGCAUGUUGAGCUUGAUAUUCACUUCAUCAGAGACAAAGUAACAGCUAAGCAAAUUACAUUUCAGUUCAUUCCCAGUGAAGACCAAAAUGCCGAUGUUCUUACCAAGGCAUUAACUUUUAAUCAGUUUCACUAUCUAAGAAGCAAGCUGAAUGUCCAUCCAGGUCAGUUCAGCUUGAGGGAGGAUGUUACAGAGUAUGAUAAUAUGGUACAGCUGAGAGCAUCUGAUUAAAUGGAGCUGCUGAUGCUUACGUGUGUUGUUGAGUUAGUUAUCCAGCUCAGCAGCAAAGAUAACGAACUGGACUGCAUGCAUAUUAGAUUCAACAAACUGACAAGCUACGAGAUGCCUCUGAUCUUUUACUAUAAAUAACAAGUUGUAAUCAUCAGUCAAAUAAUAAGAAUAUGAUCAUUUUCAGAUCUGAUUCUUUAUGAUUUUCUUUCAUUUUCUUGUUAGUUUCUCUUAAACCAAACACUAUAUACAAACUCUUUCAUUAUGCAAUAAAAAAAUGCUCAUGGUACCCGUUUCACAUUGUGAAGCGCAUGAUCAGAUCAGAGCAGUCUGGAUUCUGGCAUCACAAGCGGAUGCUUUGACUUGCUUAGUUUGUUUUUUGUUUCUGAUAAUUUCUCGACAUUGGGUGGGAUAUUGUUUCUCUUUUGAGUUUCUCUUUUUAUUUUUUAUCUUAUGGAAUUUGGAGAUAGUGUAAAUGUAUGAAGAUGACGUAAUCAAGUUGUUUUGAUAAAUUCCCCUGGUCGGUUUACUUCACUAACCAUUAAUGCGCAAAACCUCCUAAUGACCCUCAAAAAUCCCGUACAUAAUUAAAGAAUUUCAAUUUUAUAUGUACAAAAAUAAAUAACUCUCAAAUAUAUUAUUUGAUAAUUCUCAAAACAACAAUUCGCUCUAAUAAAUCUCGUAGGAAAUACAUAGUCUAUAUUGUAAGUCUUUUCGAGACUAAUUCAAAGAGAAAAUACGAAGGAUAUAUAAUUGACCUUUAUCUGUCAUAAAGAACUCUAAAUAAAUUCAUAUACGCAUCGCAACUAAUUACAGUUUUGAUACUUCAUUUGGUUUUUGUUAAUUUUCUAUACGGUUGUGCUGUGCAUAAAAGUUUUGUUAAAUGAAAUCGGUGAGGGUUAAUUAAUCAAUUAAUUAAGAUCCAGUUAAUGUAAUUAAUUUUAUUUGAUUUUUUUAAUUCGAGUUCUAAAUUAAUCAAUUAAUUUAGAUUCAUGUGAAAUUGAAGUGAAUUAGUUUUGAUCUGUUUUUCGUCCUAUGUUUGUCUGUGUUUACUCUUACUUUUUUUUUGUUUAAAUUUUUGUUUUCUUAUUGUUUACUGAAUAAAUUUAUGAGCUUUAUUUGAGUAUGAUGAUUGAUUUGUGAUUCUAAUCUAAAUGUGUUGGGCUGCGAUUUAAUUGAGUGAUGUGUGAGCGCCAAAUAUUCAAUAACUGAUAAAUUAUAUUUAUAAAUAUUAAUAGCGAUGGCACAUAAACAAUUAAUUCAAGAACUUGCCCAUAGUGAUUAAUUUAAAGAGUAUAAGUAACAUUGCAGUACAGUUAGCCCUUACGUGUUUAAUUAGCAAUUGAAAACUACUGUUGCUGAUGAGGUAGAACAUUAUAACACUGUUGCUGAUGAGGCAGCUGGUAAUUCUUUUGGUGAAGAUAUUAAGACUAUUAAAGCUGAAAUGUAAUUAGAGAAAUAUAAUGAUUAAAGAGGUGAGCUUUGAUAACCAUCUCUUUAACUAUAUCACUUAAAUAACUAACUUUUUAAUAUUAAAGCUGAAAUUUAAUUUCCACUAUUUUUGAUAUUUGUUUGGCUAAUGCUUUGCUUAGAUUACUUUUUGUUUUUGAGAUUUUAUUGGCUUAGUCAUGGGAUAUUGUUUUCUCUUCUAAUUUCUAUCUUUAUUGUUAUGGGAUUUGAUUGUAGUGUUCAUAUACGAAAAUUAUGUAAUCAAGUGCUUUCAAUAAAUCAUGAUCGAAUUACUAUUAAUUAAUUAAAUUAAAUUUACUCAAAUUACUCAUGUACACGAUCAAAAUAAUUUUAAUUCUAUGAUAUAUAUACACGCGCGCACACACAAACAAAAUGUAAUUAAUUUUGAAAUACAAAAUAUUUAAAAUAAUCACCGUACUAACAAUUCACAAGUUAGAUUUUAUAUGAAUAGACAGAAAUAAUGUUAAUCUAGCAAAUCCAAUCAUAAUAAAUUGAUUUUUAUUUAUAUUAAUUAUGUCGAACCAUGCUAUUUUAAUAAAGAACACUCCGGUGUUUAUAUAUCCAACAGGUAAAAUUUCAAAACAAUAUUUGCCAAAGUCCGAUGAAAAGAAUAUACACGCACACACAUAUAUAAUCAUACAACAGAAGGAUAAAUAAAAAAAAAAAUGAAGUUUCAACAACUGAAUAAUGCAAACUCAUUUUUUUUAAACAAGCAUUUUAUUGUUUAAUUAAAAAAUUCGAAAACCCAUUAGCCUUAUAUACAUGAUAAAGACUCACCGACGCCGAACCAUAUUAAUUUAACUUAGUUUUCAACUGAAAUUUAAAUUUUGAAAUCACAUACACAAACACGCCCAAUUUGAAAAAAAAAAGUAGUAAUCAUAAAAUAUUUCAAUCGUCCAUUGUUCAGUCACCAAAAACCAAUUUACGAUCUAUUUCAACGCCUAAUUUGAAAAAAGAAAAUACUAAUAAUAAAAUAUUACAGUCGUCCAUCCUUUCACAAAUAAAAAAUAUCACCAUAAACAUCGGGUAUAUGGGCUAACAAGUCCCAAUAUUGUCCUCCAUCCUUUCUGCACUUCUCUUCUAUCAACGGACACUGAUUGAUACUUAAUUGCAAAAGUGAGGAAGGCAGGCCCUUCUCCGGAAAGUAUUUGAGCUUGGGACAAUUCUGGAGUCGCAAUGAAGUGAGGUUUUGAAGAUCAACAAUUGAAGAAGAUAGGCGUUCCAGAUUUGGAAAAUUGAAAAUCUCCAGAGAUGUUAGAGAGGGAGGAAGAGGAAGCGCGGUCCCUAAUCUUUUGUCCUCUAGUGGAAAUGACACCAUGUCGUCAUCGCAUCCUUCGAUACGUAGACGUCGCAGAGAGGAGAAUCUGUGAAAUCCCCGGCCCCGCUCAAUCAUUGACUUCCAAAUCUCCAUAUUACCCCGAAUAUCAAGUGAAUGAAGGUUGGUGGGAAGGCCAUCAUCUUCUUCAAGGCUUGGAAGCGCACCUCCUAUUCUUAAUUCUUGAAGAGAGGUCAGAUUGUGCAAUCCCUUGGGUAAGGCCUCUAGUCUCUUACAAUCAGUUAUCUCCAGCCUCGUGAGUUUCGCACAAGGCAAUCCCCCUUCGGGAAAGGACACCAGAUUUCCACACCUCAUUAUCCGUAUGUCUCGAAGCUGGCGGAGAUUAUGUAAACCACUCGGUAAACUUUUCAGAUUUUCACAAUCAGGAAUGUAGAUUGUUUCAAGAGAUGAGUUGUUGUCCAACAUUUCUGCUAUUGACUCCAGCUUUGAACAUCCCCGAACUAAAAGGGACUUAAGAGACGGAGGUAGAUUGCCAACUUCAAGGGACUCAAGCGUGGCAGGUAACUCGUUUUUUGAAAAUAUACAUGUCAGAGACGAACAACUCUCAAUGUGUAAGUGCUCAAGAAGAGAUGACGUGUACCUUCUGCUGCUUCUGCUGCUGCUACACUGGAUGCCCUCUUCCACUGUCAAAGUCCUUAUAUUAUGGCAACCGCAGAUCUUCAAAUUCUUAAGGCUCGAUGGUAGCCUGACAGCAGCAAUAUAUGUCAACGAACAACAAUAGUGAAUAUUCAAGAUCUCGAGAGACGAAUUGGUGUCGCACAUCCAUGCCUCUGGUAACGAUUUCAGUGCAUCACAUGCUCCAAUAUGAAUUUUCUUCAACUUGGAAGGCAGAGCAACCUCAGGAAAGGAAACAAGGGAACUGCACUUGUAGAUUGCUAUCUCUCUCAAGGAACUGAGGCUGAACGAUGAUUGUGGCAGCUUCACAAGGCUUUCGCAAUCACUCAAUUCUAGAUAUUCAAGUCUGCAUGACAAUUCGCAGAGCUGCUGUUGUUGGUCUUUCUUUUCCUCCGCCACCAAGGAUUGAAGUUUGGGACAGCUGUCAAUCGUCAGUCUUUUGAGAGAGCAAAUGUCUUGCAGUAAUUCGUUAUGACUCUUCCAUAUAUGUGUUUCAUUUUUAAUAUUUUUUAUCUCCAAUUCUUCCAGUUUUGGUAUUCGCAGCUUCAAUGGCCCUGCGAGAAACACUUGAUUUGAUGUAUCUCUACAAACCACUGAAUUCUGUGAGCCGAGAUGAUCAAUUGCACUUCUCCACACAACCUUUUUACAUCCAUCAAUCUCUAAUUUGCAAAGAGCUGGAAGACUCGUAACUGAAACUGACAAUUCUUCACAUCCUCGAAUAACAAGCAUCUCCAAUGCAGGAAGGCAUUCUGGCAAUGUUCCUUGCAGUUUAGAACAUCUUAAAAUGCUAAGCUCUCUCAAUUUAGGAAACCCUUCAACUCCCUGACCAGAUCUAAGAGGAAUCCAGUCUUCCCAUUCUCGCAGGUCUUCAAAAUGAAGAGUCUCCAAGCAUGGAAAAGGAAUCCGAGAAUCAUUCCCAUAGAACUCUGAACCCAAACUCUUUACUCUACUCAUUCCACCCACUUCAAGAUGCUUUAGAGAGGGUAGUUGCCCGACUGACGGCAGGGUAGUACACACGCCACAAUCUUCAAAUUUAAGUGUUACUAAAUUUGACAAUGAGGAAUCUCCUAACCAUGUUGGAAAUUUUGUACCUCCAUAGCCACAGACACAAAAUUGUUCCAGAUUUUCAUGGGGUUUGAGCAUGUCAAGCACGCCCAUUUCAGUUUCUGCCUCCCUUGAAGAUGAACCAUCGGUGCUGCAAGUCCAAUUAAGCGAUAAUUCUCUAAGAUUCUCCUUUACAUCCAACCGAGCCUCCUUUGCAUCACCAAUGUCUUUUACAUUCCCUAAAUUUGAAAUUUUAAGUGUCCCCUGAAGAUGUAUCAAUGACUUUAGCUCUCGUAACCCAGAACCAUUGUCUUUUCCCACAGCAAAAUUACUCAAAGUCUGAAGACAAGUCAGCUUACCAAUUCCUACUGGCAUUUCCUCCAACGAAUCUGUAUUUGAAUUAUUGAGAUGAUGCAAUUUGAUGAGGUUUCCCAUGGCUGCACACAACUUCUUCAGUCGCCGACAGUCUUCCAACAGAAGGGUGUGCAAAUUGUAAAGCUUGCUGACUGAUUCAGGCAGAGUUUUAAUCUCAGUUCCAGACAGGUUAAGGUGCCUUAAAUACCUCAAAUCACCAACUGAAUCCGGCAGCUCGGAGAUGUGAUAUCCACGCAAAGAGAAGACCCUCAACCGUUGGAGUUUGAACAACUUAGGAAGAAUGCUACGAGCCAAGUAUCCACGCGAACUCUUUGUCAACAUUACUGGUAAAAAAGUUCGCAAAUGUUGGAUAUCGUACAAGCCCUCAAACCUUUGAACGCCAUCACAAAAUCCGCGAAUGUAUGACAGGUGACGAAUAUUUUUGGAAAAACUUUGUUGCUUGUUAACCUCUGAGGUAUACUCCAUUGUGAAGUAUAUCUCCCCCGCAGCCCAUUGAGCAAGGUCGUUGACAAGGUCGUGCAUCACAAAUCGUGAUUUAUUGUUGCUUGAUUGCUGGAAAAAAGAUCUUGAACGUAGCUCUUGAAAGAACUUUCGACCUAGAUCUUCAAUAGGAUUCCCACUCUCUUUGUGAUCCAAGAAACCCGAAGCACACCAUAAUAAAAUUAUCUCCUCCUCUUCAAAUUCAUAAUCCUUUGGAAACAAUGAGCAGUAUUCAAAGCAUUGUUUCAAAGGUGCCGCAAGAUAAUAGUAGCUCACUCUAAGCGCCGGUAUAAUGUCACAUCUCUCUUCGGGUAAAUCCCAUAUCUUGCAACUGAGCACACCUUCCCAAUCACUCCGGUCAAGUUUACCACGUAAGAGACCACCAAGAGUUUUCGCAGCUAAGGGCAAGCCGUUGCAUUUGAUCACUAUCUUCUUGCCAAUUUCCUCCAAUGACUUGUUUGAACUGAAAUCUCUUGUCCCCAAAGAGUGUUGAGCGAACACAGACAGACAAUCAUCAUUUGACAGCUUUUUCAAUUGAUAAGCCGGAGCAGUCCCCAUGAUGGCUGCAACCCCUUGAUUACGAGCUGUGACAAUAAUCUUACUUCCCGGUGCGCCAGCUUCAAAUGGAGGUCUGAGUCGAUCCCAAUCAUUGUAAUUCUCAUUCCAAACGUCAUCUAAAACAAGCAAAAAUUUCUUUUGAGAUAACUUCUUCUUCAGCUCCUCUUGAAGCUUAUUCAAGUCGUGAUUAUCCACAUUCUGGUCACUAGCAAUUGAAAGUAGGAUUGAUUUUGUAAGCCUGAUAACAUCAAAAUCAUCAGAGACGCAAGUCCAUGCCUUGAGAUCAAAAUGAUCCUGCACUUGCUUAUCAUUGUAGACAAGCUGAGCGAGAGUGGUUUUGCCCAGCCCGCCCAUACCAAUGAUAGGAAUAACAGAGAAUUCACCAUCAUUUCUCAAAUCAUCCCUCAACAACAAUUCAACAAUUUCCUUCUUUUCUGUUUCCCUCCCAUAUACCUUGGCUUCAUUCACCAAAGAGGUUGUGGGUAGUCUUUGCCUAUCUUUUUUGGACCUCCCAACUGAACUUACGUUCAAACCCAGCGAGUCUUUCUGUGUUACAAUAUCUUGAAAUCUGUCGUUGAUCUCUUUGAUUUUGGACAUUAUGGCGUAAUCGAACUGAAUCGAUUGUGGAGUAAAAGUGGUGCAGCAGGUAGGAAUGAGCUUCCGAAACUUACUUGUUCUUGUACGACUGCUACUGGGUUGAUCAAGAGCAGCAGCUGGAUCUCGAUUUCCAAGCAGCAACUUCCUCCGGAAAGCCUCAGUUUGAAACUCAUCCAGCAAGUCUUCAACAUCAAAAGCCAAGUUCUGAAGCUCGCCAAGCCACAACUUCACAGACUGAUCAGUCUUCUUCUCCUCAGCAUCAGCAAGCACCGCCUUGAUCAUCACCAACAUAUUCUUCCACUUCUUUAGGUCGGCUUGGAUUUGCUCUUGGCGUGCAAACAGCCGAAUACCCUCUGAAGCUAACUUAUUGACCAGCAAAUCAACGGACGCCGUAAGGAUUGCCUCUCCGAUGAAUGACAUUUUUUUUCUUUUUCUUUUUUUUUUUGGUUUUGCAAAGAAAGAAAGGAGCAGAAUUAUGGGUUAUGGAAAGCAGAAUGAGAAAAUGGAACAGGUGAGAAAAUGGAUAAUUAAUCAGAACGAGUUUGUGAUUGUGAAGGGUCUGGCCCAGCAAGCUUAGUAGAAAUCACGCGUUUAUACUUUAUUGACCAAUGACUAAUAAUUUGGCAAUUCACUCAUCACCAUUCACCGCCACUUGGUAAGCAAAAUGAAAAUGCUUGGUAAUUAAGUGUGGUCAAGCAAAAUACGACGUAAAAUGUGUCAAGGGUCUCCCCACUUGUUGUUCCUUGCAGCUUAGAAAAGAAAAACAGAGCCCACCACCCAUUAAUAAUUUAGCAAUUCACCAAUCAUCACCACUUGUUACGAAACCAUCUCAUAAACCAAGUUCGUAGGUCGAGCGGUUAAUCCAGUGUCUAUUUCCUAGAACCUUCAUCUCAUAAACCAAGUUCAAUCAAAACGUUCCUCUCUCUAUUUUUUUUUUUUUAAAAAACUCCUAAAACGUUUCUUUUUAGAAAUAUUUUACUUUAUUCAACUAAUAUGAUAUCUAACAAAUAGACACAAUUGAAUCACUCUAAAGUGAAGAUGAAAGGGGAAAAAAAUAACCUUCCAACUACCAGUAAUUUAGCAAGCUUCACUUUAUUCCACCAAAGUGUAAAUAAAGCCAGCCCCCACCACCAUCAAUAAUUUUGCAAGCUUCACACGCUUGUUGUCUUCUCCUUGACGAACUGGACAUGAGUGGACCAAGAACCAAUGACAGAAUUUUAAAAAUAAUAAUAAGAGAAAAACCUACACAUUUUCGACUUAGAGUAGAACCAUAAUUAAUGCUAAAAUCUACUCAGCUAACAUUUUCAAAAUAUUGUUCUUUAUGAUUUUCAAAACCUUGAUUAAGGUUCAUCUCAAAUGUUUGAAGAGAGUCUAUCAAUUCUUCUAUGCUAAAAAUAUCAAAAUUCUUACUUUUUCUUCAAACAUUGAAUAAUAAAAAAAAAAGUUGAAUAUGGAGGAAAGUAGAAUGCAUCCAUCUUCGCUGUAGAAGUCUUCUACUUAUUAAAGCAAGUUAGAAUAAAAGAUUUUAAUCUCUCUUUUUAUUCCUGUAAGUGCACUACAUUUUUUUUUAAUCUCAAUGCGAAGUCGUAUCAUAAUGUUAUAUUCCUAUUGUAAAACAAAAUUUUAGAUAAAACAAAUUCGACUCAUUUUUUAAAGGUAUAUAUUUAGUAGGUUACUAACAAAACUAACAAAACGUGAUUAUUACACUAAAUGAAAUAAAAGACAGUACUAUCACCAAUAAUUUAGCAAGUUUCGCAUGCAUGUGUUUCUAAAAACAUUAUAUGGAAUCAAACAACAGUGAUACAAAGAGAAAAGUGGAAAUCCUCUGAUUGUAUUUUUCUUUUUCUUUUUCAAAAGAAAUGGUGGGGUUGGUUUGUUUGCAAAGUUAUUAGCGUGGGUCUAUUUGUUUUUGUUUUAACUUUAUUAAUCAAUAAGCAAACGUGUAAUGAUUUGUAUAUAUCACUAGCAUCACAUUAUUGGGAGGUAUUGCGCUUAGUAUUCACAAUUUUUAUAAGAUGAAUUUGUAAGACUAAUUAAUUUUGAUGAAAAUGUAUUGUUACUAAGAUAUUAUUUAAUUCAUUAAGUUAACUUGAGGUAUUAAUAUUCACUAAUUGUGGUGCUGAUUAAUUUACUUAACUUGUCACCAUUUGCAAUUAAGAAUGAAGUUCAAUCAAUUUAUUGAGAAAAAAAAAUAAAGAUACCUUUUUUUCUUUAGAUUUUAAUUCUUAGGAUUUGAUUUCACGCUCUUUUAUUUUUUUACGUUGCUAAAGAGGCAGUAAAAAACUUGCUGAAUGUCAUCAAAUACUUUUAUCUCAUCUCACAAAUUGGUAAUAUUUGUUUGGUAUUUCAUCUCAACAGACGCAGUAAGGAUUACCUCUCCAAUGACUGACAUUUUUUUUUUUUUUUGGGGCAAAGAAAGAAACAGAAUUUUGAGUUUCGAAAAGCAAACUAAGAAAAUUGAGCAGCAAGUGUGAAGGGCAAGCAAAAUGCAUGUAGCAAGUCUUCCACUUGUUGUUUAUUCCAGUAAAGUGAAAAUAAAAACAGAGCCCACCACCCAUUAAUAAUUGAGCAAUUCACCAAUCACCAGUCACCACCACCCGUUACCGUAGGAUAAAAUUUUAUUUAAUUUAUUUUUUCACUGUAUUUUAUCUUAAAAAAUUAUUUACAGUAUGAUAAAAUUUUAUUUAAUUUAUUUUUUCAUUGUAUUGUAUCUUAAUUAAUUAAGUUGUUAUAUUUAUUGCAAAAAAUUUAUUUUGGCUUAGAGGAUUACUUCUUAAAUUCAGAUUAUUUUAAUGAUAAUAAAAGAUAUUUAUUUUGUGGAAGCAAAAUAAAUUGAAGAGAGAAAGAAAAUAUAAAUGACUUAACUCUAUUUAUAUUUGUCCUUAAAUAUAAUUGUAGUAUAAUAGGGGUUUUAUAAGAUUAAUGAAGGGGUGCCAAUAGUCCUACUCUUAUAGAAAAUGGCAAUAAAAAUAGUGGAAAUUUAGUGUAAUAAAAAGGAUAAACCAUAAGAAAUUAAUGUUUACAUCAAGAUACGUUAUAAAUAUUGUUUUUCUUAAGAUGUUAUUUGCCUCCACCAAUCGAAUAAUACACAUGAAUUAAACAAAUAUGACUCCAUGAUACAAUAAAGCGCUUAUUUAUUUGUUUAAGUUAUAUGUCGACGAAGCAAAUUUGAAUACUUUUGAAUGUUGUAAGCAUGUCAAGAAUCAAUAUAUUAUUUCUACAAAAAGAAACAAUAUAUUAGAUAUUUAAAGCAUAAAAAAUAGAUGUUAAUUGAUUAAAUUUGAUUUAGGAAAGAAGGCUACGAAAAGAGUGGUGUAAGGUCAUUUUAUUCAUGUCUACAUAGCCCUAUUAUUUGGGUUGUCAUUUUUUUAUAAUACUCCUUCAUGGCCAUUAGAUCAAACACUCAAAUCCCUACUAUAGCUAAUUAGCUUAUUGACCAGUAACUUACAGGAUGCCAUAAGGAUUACAUCUAUGAUGAUUGACCUUUUUUUUUUUUGGGUGGGGGUAGGGGGGAAGAAACCGAAUUAUGAGUUUAUGGAAAUUAGAGCAAAUAAGAAAGUGAAUUACAACAGAAUGAGUUUGUGAUUGUGAUAGGUCGAACAAGUCUAGAAAUCAAUUAGGCAAAAACCACCACGAAAGUUAAAAAGGAAAAAUAGCGCCCACCACAAAUAUAAAAUUGGAGGAGCUUAGGAUCAUGCCUUUGCUUUACAAAUUAAAUUAAAUAAAAGCCAAACCAAGAACCUUGCUUUUGCUUAACAUGAUUAAUUAGGCACUAUUUCAGAAAGAACACAAAAAUAAUAAACCCUUUUAUUGAUCUUAAAUGUCAAGAAUAAAGUAACAUUUUCUCCUCUUACCGUUUCUUCAGGUUCAUUUCAAAAGUUUGAAGAGAGUUUAUCCAUUCUUCUAAACUAAGAAAAAGAAAAUCAACAUUAUUGCUUUCUUCUAUUCUUGCUUUCUUCAGAUGUUGAAUAAAAAAAAAUAUAUUGUUAAAUAUGUAGGAAAAAAACAAACAAAGUGAGUUAAACAAAUAAAACCUAGGUAAAUUAACUGACGCAACACUGGAAAUCACAACUGAAAAUAUAGGAGGGAAAAGAAAAAUCGAAACAGAAAAUGAAACCCGAGGCCUGCACAGGACAAUUUCCUUAAAACAAAUUUACCACCUACUGAAGUGCUUUAGGUCUGCUGGUAACUGUUUCUCAGGAUACAACGAGCACGAAUUUUCGGUCAAUCACAUACAGGUAAUGUCGGCGAACUACAACAGUGGCAAACUCAAUAAGAAAAAACAAAUGAAAGAAGGAGGAAAGGAAAAUUUUCAAGUGCUCUGUGUGCUGGUUUCAGUGUGUAUAAAAAACAGAAGAGGAUGUGCUUUUUUAUACUCAUGUGAGGAUAUAACAGCAGCAUUGUAUUGAAUUUCGGAAUUCAAUAUAUGCCAUUAAAUAGUUAUAACAGCCAAUUCAAUUCCAUCAACUGAUUUCAAAAUUGAAUUCAAAACCAGUUAAAAAAUAAUUGUUGUGAAGUUGUUACAACAAAAAAUUCAAAGGAAAUUAAAAAUGUGCUAUGCAAGCUUGGAUGAUUUUGGACUGACAUUCGCGUACGCAGGACGCACACGAGUUUAACCAAAUCGGUCUUGGAUUUGCACCCCCUACGCACGCGCGUGUAGAGAGAGUCUCUAUCCUUAUAAUUAUUACUCAUGCAUGGUUAAAUGUUUAUAUAUAAACACUAAUCCUUGGGCUUCUUUUUCUCAUGUGGGAAAAGUUUCAUUUGCUUUCAAAUUUCCAACUUCAAUAGUGAACUUUGAGAGACAAUUUCUCAUUCACCCAAGCACUAUUUUGAGAAAAUAAAAUUAUAUUUUUGAAGUAUUAACAUAAUAGAAUCCAAACCUCACAAGAUUUCUCACUUUCGCUAAGUGAGACCCACUCAAAAUGUGCCCUCAAAAUAUCAUAUAGACAUGCUAUUUUUUCAACAAAAUAAGGAGGAAAUUAGAAUGUAUCUACCUUUGCUAACCUAAAAUAAAAGAAAUUAAUCUCUCUUUUAUUACUAAAGUACACUAUUUUUUUAAUAAUUGUAUUGACAAUGACAACAUGUAUCAUCGAUUAUAUUCUUGUUGUGUUGAAAUAAGAUAUAAAAAAUCUUGGAUCAAGAGGAAUUCGACUCAUUUGUUAAAGGUACAUAUUUUAUAUACUAAAAACAAAAAUUAACAUAACACGAUUAUUACACUAAAGUGAAAUGAAAGCCAGUACCCACCAGUUCACCAACAGUAAUUUAGCAAACUUUGCAUUCUCGUGUUUGAGGAAAUGGACAUUGGUGAAUUAACCAAAGGACCAAUGAAAGAAUUGUAAAUAACAAAAUGGAGAUUACACUUUUUUUCCAUAUAAUUGUUCAGGCAAUGAAACUAAUUUUGAGACAUUUUCAAAUAAACUUAUUUUCAAAAGCAAUACAAAAUGAUUUCGUUUUAUUUUGAAACAUUUCAUGGAAUCAAGUAGUAGUAAAAUAAAUAGAAAAGUGGUAAUUCCCUCAUUUUAUUAUUUUCUUUUUUAAAAGGAGAUGAUGGGGUUGGGUUGUUCACAAAAUUAUUGGUGCGGGGUCUGUUUGUUUUUGUUUUAACUUUAUUAAUUAAUUAGCGAAGCAAACAUGUAAUGAUUUGUAAAAGGAUUACUAGCAUCAGAUUAUUGGGAGGCAUUAUGGAGAAGUCACGCUUAGUAUUUACAAUUCAUGUAAGAUAAAUUUGUAGAUUUAUUAAGUUACUUGAGAUAUAUUUAUUAAUUGUGGAGAUUAAUUUAUUUAACUUGUCAUGAUUUUCAAUUAAGAAUGAAGUUCAGUCAAUUUAUGGAAAGAAGGAUAAUUUUGUUUUCAGAUUUUUAAUUCUUAGGAUUUGAUUUCACUUUGUUUCGAUUGUCGAUGUUGCUGAAGAGGCAGUGAAAGUUUGCUGAAUGCCAUCAAAUGCUUGCAUCUUAUCUCACAAAAUGUCAAUAUCAGUCUGUUUCCCUAUAGGCGCAACCAUCACGAAUUUAAAGUAACAACAUGAUGAGCAUAUAACAUAUACAUAUUUUACCAUUAAUUAUAUAAUUGUUAGUUAUUUUUAUUUAUUAUUUUUAAUUAAUUAAAUUAUUUUAUUAAAUAAGAAAUUAAUUGGAGAUUAUGGAUAAAAAGGACAUGAAAAAGUUUAAUUUGGGAAGCAAUAAAAAUUAAAUUGAAAGACAAAAAUACAGACAAGGAUUAAUAGAAUCCGUGCCGAAAAAAUCAAAGCACAAUGUUUUUCUUAAUGUCAUUAUUUAGGCAAGUGUUUUGAUGCACUGGAAGUUUAAGAGAAUAAAAUCUGAAGAAUUUAUUAAGAGAAUCAAAUAGAAAGUUUUGAUGCAGCGAAAAAAAUCUGAAGUUUGAAUUUUGCUCAUAUAGAUAGUAAGAGAAUCAAAUUAUUGUUAAAUUAAAUUAAUGAAAAAAAUUAUCUGAUAUCUAAAACAGCAUAUCAACAAAAUUGAAUUAAAAGAAAAUUGAAGAGAAAAACCAUUGAGAAAUUUCGAUAACUUCACUUAUUAAAACUUGGUUAUUUCAUUUUCAUUGAUAAUCAUUUUGACACCGGUCAAAUUUAAAAGUUUAAAUAAUGGGGGCGAUAUUUCUUUCCAGCUAUGCCCAUCGACUAAUUAAAAUACUGCCGAAACAAUUCAGGGAUAGUAUAGUAAUUUCAUUUAACAGUUUUCGUGCUUCAAAUCAUCAAAUCAAACUCACGGUUUCCGACUUGUAAUGGGUGCAACUCAUGUUUUUCAAACAUUAAUGUGUUUCAAACAUUAAGAUCUUUAGCCAUUCUGUUACUAUCCCGUGGUUAUUUAAGUUACAAGAGACAGUAAAAAAUAUCAUCAUAUUUUAACGUCCCUCGAAUAUUUGAAGAAGUUAAAAUUUAGGCGGUUUUAUAUAAGAUGUAAUAUAAAUUGAUAUCAGUAAUUAUAUGAUUGUAAAUAUCAUGAUCAAUAGUCUCUUAUAAAAAAAAAAAAAGAACAAGUGUCAUGAGCCCAUUUAGAUUAACUUAUAUUUGAGGGGGAAAUCUUUGUACACCAUGGUAUAUAUUAUAUAUAUAGACAUUGAUGAAUUCGCACAGUACAACUAAGUAUUUUUUUUUUUUGAAUACUGGUUACACACCAGAUUACUGGCAAUUGCUAUUAUAGCAGACAUUACACUGAUAUUUACAAUCAAAUAUACAUAAUUGAGACUUAUAUUAUUACAUUAAAUUCUAUGAAGUACAUUUCCAAACAAAUAACCCUUAUAGAGCAGAGAUGUCCUUGCUCCACUCGCAUUUCGCAGGGAGAAGAACUUAUAAAAAUUUAGCCCCCACAAUACUUUUGUGGAGGGUUGAACCGCUGCUCUCACGCUUGUGAGGGCAGCAGUCCAACCCGCAGACCAAGGGCCCAAUGGCGUACAACUAAGUAAUUGCAUGCGCCAUUUGUGCCAAUGUGUAUAUAAAUAUAUAUAUAUAUAUAUACACCCUGCUUGCAUUGCAUUAACUACGUCCCUAGUCACCCACGUCCGCUACUUGUAUGAAUGUGCAUAUAAAUAUACAUAUCCGCAGUGUUAGGAAUUUAGAUCUAUUAGAAAUAGAUAUAGGUAAUUAAAAAACCAAAAAUUAAGAACUUCAUUUUUUUUGGAAGUACUAUUCACGGUUACUGUUCACGACUACUGUUCAUCAUCAUAAAAAAUAUUAAUUUUCAAAAACAUAAUAAAAUGCAGAAAAUAAAUGACACAGAGAUUUUUACGUGGUUCGAAUUAACCAAUCAUACAUCCAUGAGGCCACGCCCAGAUGAAAAGCAAUUCAUUAAGUUGAGAUGUUACAACCUAUGGAUUUACCAAACUUAAGACUCUCAUUUACAGUUUAUCACCAUACAGUUUACUCAACCUUAGAAUGAAUCUGCUUCUCUUGAAUAAUCACUACCCCUCUUGAUCCGCGAUCUUCAAGGCACUUCGCAAAGUGAUCAAUAGCAAUUCUUCAAUUCUUCAAUGUCUAGUGAUACAAGAUACACAUAGACUCUCCAUAGAGAUUAACAGAAGAUGAGAAAAAAAAUCAACACAACAUGAUGCGCCAGAUCCGGAUUCUUUGGGGAGGAGGCCGAAUCUUACUUCUCUGCUUUAUGCUCUGCGUUAUAUGAUCUUCAAUUGUGAAAUACCUCUCUUUAUAUAGGCACUAGAGUUUUACCAAAAUAGCAAGUCUUAAAAGACUUGGAUUCUUUCCAAAUAAGAGUUGCAUUCCUCUUAUAAUUCCCAUGAAUCUGAAUAGGAAUAAAUCUAACCUUCUUACCUUGCUUGUCUCCUAAGAAAUAUUUAGAGCAUUUAAUGAACUCUCUGUUUGAACCAACUUCUUGCUCUAAAUAGAUCUCAUGCGCUAAAUAUAAAAUCUCACCAUUAAUUAACUUGCUAAAUUAAACAUCUAAUUAAAUUAAGAAACAAAUAUUCCUAAUACUAAAUUAGUGAAUUAAUAAAUUAAUCCAUAUUACAAUAUAUGCAAUAAAUAAAUUUUCAAUUUAACUAGACUUGCCAUAAAAUAUCAACUUUAUAAAUAUUGGACUUAACACGCAGCAUAUUAUCAAACCAGAAUCAGAAGCAACUUAAGUUUUGAUUACGGUUCACCGGAAGUCACAGCUAGCAAGUGAUCCUUGCAUCAUUUUACUAAAUAUACAAUGAAAUUAACCCCCGCAAUUUCGGCCUUUGCCAUAGUCGUUUUGUUUAUUAGGUUUAUGUUUAUCAACAUGAUUGUCAACCAUAAUCACAAUCAAGUUGUUAAUUAUUUUUAAAUAAUGUGAAGGAACAAGAUUUUGGUCUUUGAAUGUGGAGUUAGAAAUAUCUCACCUCAAUAUACGGUAUUGUGCUCUCAUCAUCUUAACAUUAUUUGUUAAAAAUUAUGUCAAAGAGGAAAGCAGAUUCAAACAUUACUUCAAUUUUCUUUAAGAGCAUCAAAAAAUCGUUAAUAGGCUACUGUUAUUUGAUAGUACGAUUUCACAAAAGGAAGCUGGAGGAAGAUGAAGCUUUCAAGUCAUGUGUGCAUCAAAGUAAGAAACAGAGCUAACGAGAGAUGGACAAGUAUUAACCACUGUUAUCAGAAAUUAAAUAUAUCAGCAUUUUGUUAUAUCAGCAGAGACGCGUGUACGUAUUGCUUGUGACAAAUCUCACCCAUGGAGAACUUUGUGGACGGCAUUUGAAUGUGUGGCCUCAUUUAAUGAACGAAACGAUAACUUUAAAAGAAAGUAUGUACUGUGUUAAUUAUUAGGCUUUAGCUUAAUGAUUGCAAUUAGUUUGUCUUGUAAUUAAAUUAUUGCCGACAAACACUAUCACGACCGACGUCCACUACUUGCGUGAAUGUGUGUAUAAAUAUCCACAGCAUAUUAUCAAACCUGAAGCGUGAUCAUCUUUAAGUUUUGGUUACGGUUUAUCAGACGUUAGAAAAUAUCUUUUCUAAUUUGAAGAAGAUGGAAACUCCUUAUCCAGGUUCUUAGGUCAUGUUCAGUUGAAUGUUAUUUAUAAUUUUUAUUUUAACAUUAUGUAUUUAUAAAUAUAAUUAUUAUUAUGAUUUUUUCAGGUAAGAAUGGAUGGUCUGAAAGUAACCCAAUAAUUAUGUACAAUAUUAUUAAUGAUGCGAGCGUGAAUAAAAAUUUGGAUUUUAUUCUCGUCCCUCAAUACGGAAGAAAUCUUGACCAUAGAGGCUAAGUGUUAUGUAACUCUUUCGUAUGUAUUAUGUUUAAUUAAUAAUAAAAUGAUGGGUUAUUAUUAUGUCAAUUAUGUGAGUGUCUUUGUUUGGUUUAGUUCAACUUAUAAAAUCUCUUGAGAUAUUUUCUUUAUUUAAUUUUGUGUACCGUGUCUUCUUGUAAAAAGAAAUUAAUAAAAAAAAUAUCAUUGUGUAUAAUGUAUUAACUAAGUUAGUGUAUUCAUGUUAGGUUAAUUGUGCUCUCUCUUCUUCAUAUUUUUUUUUUUUAAAAAAAAACUCCACAUAUUGUUGGUUAGCUAAUUCUUGCAGCUAGCAAGUGAUCAUUUUCUUUCCCCUACUGCCGUAGCAUCAAAUCCUUGCAAUUACAUAUCAAGUGGUAUUCGAGCCGUCAAAUGAUCCAUGGAAACAAGCAACAAAUCAAAUGGUGAAUUUUGCGAAGAGAUUCACGAAAUCCUUGCUAUACAUGAGUCUAGUUUUGACCCAGUUCACAUCACCCAUCAGCUGCGGGUUUGAAUGGUACCUAGUGGAUAUUUUGUGAGUCCCCACGUAUAAAAUCACACUUGCAACAAAACCUAAAAACUUAAAUUACGUAAUUCAAAUUAUAAAUUUAUAAUCAUAGCCUAAAAAACCACACAAAAUACUUAAUUCUAGAUUUUAUCAAUGUAAAUGAAAAAUGAAAGUUUUAAUAUUAAAAUAAACUCACAAAAUAUAUCAAUUUAACACAAAUUUUCAAAGUUAAUUACUAAAUACAUAAGUCUAUCGCAACUCAAAGUGCUUUCAAUUGAAAACGAAAAAAGAGAAAGAGAAUAAAAAAUAAAGAACUACAAAUCAAAGUAGCAGCCAUGUCUCAUUUUGCAGUCUCAUUCAAUACCACUAGCACCCAUCCAACACGAUUUUUCUAAACAAAGUAUCAAGUACAAAAUUACAAUAAGCAUAUCAUACUCCAUGCUUUAAGUUAAAGAUCCUUAUAUAUUUUUAUGAAUAAUUUUUUAAUGAAAUUUUAUGAUUAAAAUUAAAAAUACAAACAUUCAAAUAAGAAUGUCGGACACUUGCACAACUAUUUACCAAAUUUUUUCUCUAUAAAAAUCGACCUGCAACUUUCAAUAGGUUUAAAUUUUAUAAUACCAAACCUGAUUGCAGCUCGCAAAAAUUAUCCGUUGCGGCCAAGACUUUGGAUUUGCGAUGAUUUUGCCACCCUAAGUGUAGUUAGUAUUGUAUAUCAUGUGGCUCUUAUAAAAAGCUUAGAAGUUGUUUGAAUAACGGGGGAGACACAUAUCUCCCAAAGAUUUUCUCUUUUUCAAAUUAUUAUUUUUUCUCUAUUAUUGUAACUUCGAAUCCUUAUAAAUUACAGAUUGGAAACAUGAACACAAUGUUUUGACAUAGUAGACUUUUGGCUUGUCCAGAGAAAUUUAGGAUAGAUUUUUACGCACUAAGGUGGCGUUUGUUUUUUUGUCUGAAAUCUGAAUAGACUUGAAUUAGUCUGAAUUCUGAACAGGUCUGAAUGUUUGAAUCUGAAUAAUAUGUUUGUUUUUUCAUCUGAAUCUUGAAAAAUAAGUAUUAAGUUGUUUGUUUUUUUCAACUUAAAAAGCUAAAAAUAUGUACUUUUACAUUUGUAUCCUUAUUAAAUUUAAAUGUCAAAUAAAUAAUAUAUUAAAUACCACAAUAUUUUAACAUUUAUAAGUAAAACUAUAUUCAAGUGAAUACAUAAUUAUUUUAAAAUUUUAAUAUAUAAAAUACCAUAAAUUUCAAAUUUUAUCGUAUAUAAUAUAAGAAAGAAAAAACAGGGAUAUUUUUAUGUGGGGUAAAUAUCUAUGGGUGAGUUUUGGGAUAGACAUGAAAAAUAAAUUAUAAAACAGGGAUAUUUUUGACAUUAGCAAGUAAUUGACUUAAUUCAGAUUUCUCCAUUAAGUAAAAAGCUAAAAAAAAUUAGCUUAUUUUAUUAAGUCAAAAUUAUCUAAAAAGUCUCAUUAAGUUAUAAAAACAAACACCUCUAAUUAACUUAAUUAAUUAAGUUAAGUCACUUUAAGUCAUUAAGUUAAAAAACAAACGCCACCUAAGACUCUAUUUACUUUUGAGGUUUUAGAACUUUUAAGCAACACUAGAAAUUUGUAUUGUUUUGAUAGAGUUGUAGUCUUUGAUAUGUGAUUGGUAUUAAUCAAGUGUUAUGUUUACAAUAGUUAAAACACAUAUUGAAUCAAAAUCCACUUCUAAGGGCUUGAUUGAGUGAUUGUAAAGUAGGUUUUUAGUUUGCUAGCCACUCAAGUUCAAAUAUUGGAACCACAUCGCUUUAUAGCCAAGUGAGAGAACUUGUGCCCUAAAAAUUGAGGGGUGCAUAUCGAGUUUUACCACCAAUAAAAGUUGGUGUUAAAACUUUAAUUUCUCUCCUAUUGUGGAUAGGGGUAAUUAGGAGUUUACAUCCCCUCCUAUUAAUAGAUAGGGGUUAUUAGGAAUAUUAAAAAAAAGUUCAAAUAUUGAAAAUAUAGGUAUGUGUUAUAAAAUUCAUAAUAUAAAGACACAAAAUCAAGAUAAAUAUUUAAAAAUUUAGAACCAUAAGAGCGUGACUUGUAAGUUUCAAAAAAGUAUGUGCAAAUAUAUGCAUUAUUGAUACCCCAAUUAAGGGUGGGCAUUAAGAAAAAAAAUCCCAAAAAAUUAAAACUAACCCUAACUAAAAUAUUCGACGGCGGCCUCCUCGUUUUCUUUUCUUCUUCUUCCUCCUCUUGCUCACCCUCAAUGCCCAUUCAUGGAAAUCCAACAGCUCCAAACGCGUUUCAGCCGCUCGCACGUGUGAGAAAUUUUCCUUCUCAUAGGAUUAUUCGUUUCCUUCGCUUGCAUGCCAGCAGAAUAUUCAGGCCGAGGAUUUUUCCGGGCCUAGCCCAACUAUAAGCUCUCCCAAAACCCAAUCAUAAAGUUCAUAACGUUUAGCGUUUGCUUUUACUAUAAUUUUUUUUAACCAAUUUUCACAUUCAUCAACAUAGGCAGACAGAUUUUGUAGAAAAUAAAAUUAAAUAAAAAUACAAGAUCACGAAAAUUCCUUUUCCGAUGUGGGAAUCUAUCUACACCUUUCACGUACCUUUUUUUUUUUUUUUUGUGGUGGGGGAUUCACUUGCUUUUGUUUGCAUUGCCUUAUUGGAUAAAAGUUUGUAGAACAUCGUCUGUUUGGUUAAAGCCGAGCAUGAGUGAAGAAAAAUUAAAAAUAAACAAUUUUCCAUUAAUUUGCAACAAGUAUUAAUAAAGUGCAUGAGAAAAGACACCAGGAUAUGUCUUUUUUCAAAUGAAAAUAAAUGUGUUAAUUAGUCAAUUUAAAUGGUAUGACAUUUUGAAAUGACAGAAGUGAUCUAAAGUUUAAAUCUUACUCACAAUUACUUUAGGGUUGGGGAUUAAUUGACCUAAUAUAUAAUAACGAAUUCGAAAGACAAUUAAAAAUUAAAAGAAAAUAAAAAAGUACUUUCUUUUUUAUGAUGGUAAUUUGUUUAGAUGAUGAAAACUCUUAGAGUGGUAUUAUCAUUACAUAGUUUCGAGCGUUGCCAACGUGAAUAAUAUUUAAUUUCGUUUAUAUAGUUAUAUCUCAACUAACAUUUAAACAGAAGUAAGCUGUAAAAAAAAAAUGAACCAUUGAGAUUUGAGAGAACGAAAAACUAAAAAAAAAAGUUAAAAAAUUAGAUCUCAAUAAAUUUACUUGAGAACUACUUUACUUAUUAGUGACGAGAAAACACAAAGAAUAAUGAUGUAUCUCAAUUAAUAAGACAGUUUUUGUAUUUUUCAUUUAUUCAAGAAUCACGAAACUUCAUUGAAAUUUGUUAUUUCAUUGAUAAUAUAUUAAUAUUGAACAAUUAAUGUAGGAGACAUUCCUUUUCAAUUAUACCCAUAUAUUAAUUAAAGACUACCAAAAAGUUCAGGGAUACUAUAGUAAUUUAAGUUAACAAUUUCUGUGCUUGAAAUCAGCCGAUCAAACUCACUUUAAAAUAAACUGAGAAAUCAAAAUCACAUUCUCCGAUUCUACGAUUUCAAUUCAUCUUAUUUCUUCAACUGAAAAAUUGGUUAUAUUUCGUUUUAUUUUAUUUUUAUUUUUAUAUAAAGAUAAAUAUAAAAUAUUUUUUUGAUUACAUGAGACUAUUGCUCAAAUUACAACUCAUAUUACAUGAGAAUAUAACUGAUAUGUACAAAUCAGACUAUAAUUAGGACCAACAUACAUCAAAUCUAAUGGAGCGUUGCCCAAAUUUUAACCCUCUCAAAUAUUCGAGGGAUGUCUACUUCUCGCACUGAGACAAAAAAAUAGACUGCCUUCACUCAAUUUUAUUUAAGAAAAGAAAUACUCCCACAUACAUUGUGGGGGCUCGAACUGUUGCUCUCCAACUUGGAGAGCAGCAGCUCUCACCACUCGGCCAAAGGCCGAGUGGCUGAUUUAUAUUUUGGCCGAGUGGCUGAUAAAUAUAAAAUAUAAAUGAAGAGGAAACUGUUAAAGUAAAAUCAAAAGAAGGACACGAGUUUUAUUGAAAAUGACUCUUUUCAUCAUUUUACCGGAUUGAAUGUAUCUACAUAUAAACUAAAGAAGCACAUUUGUUUCCGACUCUACGCUUUAAAUUUAGCUUCAUUUCUUCAACUGAAGAAUCGGUCGUCUCUCAUUUUUUAUUUAUUAUAUAAAGAUAAAUAUCUAAAUUUAAAUGGCGAGAAGAGCGGACGAGGAAUACGAUUACUUGUUCAAAGUGGUAUCAAUCGGCGAUUCGGGAGUCGGCAAAUCGAACUUACUCUCCCGAUUUACUCGUAACGAGUUCUGUUUGGAGUCGAAAUCCACUAUUGGCGUCGAAUUCGCCACCCGCACUCUUCAAGUAACUAACUUUUCCUCUUUCACUUCUCUUCAUUUUUAUUAGUUAAUUAAGAUCCAGCUAAUGUAAUUAAUUUUAUUUAAUCUUUUAAAUAAAGUUCUAGAUUAGGCUAACUUAGAUUCAUGUGAAGUUGAAGUGAUUUACUUUCGAUCUCUUUUUCGUCCUAUGUUUAUUUGUACUUACUAUUACUUUUUUUUGGGUUUAAAUUUUCGUUUUUGAAGUGUUUACUGAAUAAAUUUCUGAGCUUUAUUUGUGUAUGCUGAUUGAUUUGUGAUUUUAAUUUUGUGACUUUUUUUUUGGAAUUUAAAUUUGAAUGCUUUUUAAGUUGAAUCUGAUUGUGUUGGGCUGCGAUUUAAUUAAGUCAUCUGUGAGCGCCAAGUUGUGAUAGCUAUAUAUUGGGGUGAAAAUUUGGGAUUUAAAGUUAUGUAUUUAAGAUGCAGUUAAUUCGCAAGUGAAAAUUAUGGGCCGGCAGAUUUUGUCAUUGGAAGACUGUUCUCCACAUGUUGAAGUUAGUGAUGCAAGUUGAAACCAAUCUGUUUAAGCUUGGGGUUUCAUGUCUUGAAUCAAGGCUGUGACUUGGGGUGGGUUGAAAGUAUUAUAGCUUUAGCUAUUCCUGAAGUGAUCUGUUUAGACUCACCGUGAUGAGACCGAGUGCUGUACAGUAAAAUGAAAGGAAGUUGGAAAAUAUUUACUUAGCAUUUCGCGUUACUAAUGUUGAACUAAUAAAACCUAGCCCCUAUCCUAGUGAAUUUAUGUUAAAAAGCUAUGCACGCAUUAAGUUAGUGCGAGAGUCUGCUGAAGCAUAUGCCAGCUGUGUGUUUGGAGCUGAGUAUUCUUCAUUCCACAUUUUGGGUUUUGGUUGACCUCCAGCAUGACUCAACCCACUUGAGUUAAAAGCCCUAGAGUUACAUUCUACCCAUGAUAUUUGAGUUUAUCAAGUCACCUUAUUUUAAUACUUCUCUGGAAAACAAAUAUAUAUGUUAAAUCAGGUAGGAAAAAUAAAAAGUUAAUUAUUGAGUUGUAAUGGUGCAACUAAGGUUUUGAAACAUUAAGAUCUUUAGCCAUUAUGUUACUAUCCCGUAGUUAUUUAAGUUACAAGAGAUAGUAAAAAAUAACAUCAUAUUUUAAUUACUUACACUAAUCCUACAAGUGCUGAUGGUCUAAAGUUGCUGCUGCUUGCACUGAAUCAGUGGUCAUGGGCCAGCCAAGGUUAGGUGAGGCCAACUCAUUAGCUUGUGAAACUUAAAGAAGUCUUAGGUUUGGAAAAGAUGGGGCACAGGUUACAAAAUUUUUUUUGAGUUUUGGAUUGAAGGAACAAAAUUGUUGAUGUCUAGUUCACAAUAUUUGAAGUCACUCUGUGCUUCAUCAUGUAAAAUGGAUUGAAUUGCUGUAUGAUCAGGUCAAAUUAAAAUGUUUAAACUCAUUUUUAAGAAACGAAUUCUCAAUUGGACCAGCCUUUCACAGAAGCUGAUAUCACAGAAGCUUUGAGUCAGAUGCAUCCAACCAAAGCCCCUGGCCCAGAUGGUCUCCCAGCAGUAUUUUUCCAAAAGCUUUAGAAUUCAGUAAGCGAAGGAGUUAUAGCCACUUGUCUGCAUAUCCUCAAUGAUGGAGGUAAUAUUGCUCCUUUGAAUCAUACAUACAUUGCUUUAAUCCCCAAGAUAGCAAAACCUAGGACUCUGAUGGAGUAUAGACCAAUCAGCAUAUGUAAUGUAAUUUAUAGGAUCAUUGCAAAGACUAUAGCGAAUAGGCUGAGGCUAAUCUUAGAUCAUGUUAUUUCGCCAACUCAGAGUGCUUUUAUGCCAAAUAGGCUCAUAACUGAUAAUAUAAUUAUUGGGCAUGAGUGUCUUCAUAAGUGGACAAAGCUAAGUUCCAGAGGUGAGAUAGGAAAUUCUCCCGCACGACACAGCAGAAACAAACUUUCCCUUUCAUUUUCUUUUCUCUUUCUCGCUCUCCAAACAGAGCAAAAGGACUGUCGCAAGAUUCUUCACUUCCAUCCAAAAUCAUGAGCAACGAAUGGUGAGCCUCCCUGUUUCCUUCCUUUUUUUGAUAUUAACCUUGUUAACAUAUACUCAUUUUAAUUUGACAAUACUUCAACUUUUUUUAAUUUUUUGCCUUUUCAUUUUUUUUGUUGAAGCAAUUAUCUGUUCAAGCUGUUGCUUAUCGGAGACUCGUCCGUCGGAAAGUCCUGCCUGCUGCUCCGAUUUGCUGUCUGUUGACUUUUCCUUUCCCUUCUUAUUUUCUUUUUUUAUAUUAAUUACUUUCUAUUUUAGCUUUUUGUUCUCUUAAUUUGUGUUAUUAAAAUGAUAAUUUAGAUAAUAAAUAAUUGUUAUUCUUGUAAAUUUCUGUUUUCAUUACGUUAAUUGUUAGCUUUUAGGUUUAUUAAUGUAAUUUUUUUUUUUCAAUUUUUCAGGAUGAUUCUUAUGUCACAGCUACAUCAGUACCAUUGGAGUUGAUUUUGUGAGUCUCUCUUCUAUAUAUAUGUAUAUAUGUGUAUAAGUUAUAAUAUGAGUCUAUGUACGUGUAUGUAUGUAUGUGUAUGCAUAUGUGGAAAGAAAUGUUGGCAGACUUCAGCAUUUUACUCUUUUCUUUUUUUGGCAGAAAAUAAGAACUGUGGAGCUGGAUGGGAAGACGAUCAAACUGCAGAUUGUGAGUCAAAAUUUCCUUUUAUCUUGUAUUGAGAGAAAUUCGAUUUGUCUUAUUUUCUUUGUUUGAAGAGUGAUAUGUUGAAAUGAGUGUAUUUGUCUUAUAAACAUCAUUUAGGUAAUGUCUUCUGUUUGAUUGUUUUUCAUCUGUUUAGUGGGACACUGCUGGACAGGAGCGAUUCAGGACUAUAACUAGCAGUUAUUACCAAGGAGCCCAUGGAAUCAUAGUAAGGAGCCUUCCCGGUUCUUGGUUUAAAUCAGAAAGUUUGUGAUUUACAUGUGACAUCUUAACAGCAUUGUAUGUGUUUAUUAACUUAUUUUUCAUCUUUCAUUAAGCAGUACACUUUCUAUUAAAUCUGUAUACAAGAUGAUGUAGUCCAAGAAUGGGAGCCAUAAUAUGAUGCAAAUUGUCUAAUAAAUUCUUAUGACAUAUGAUGUUGUCGGAAGUAAAAGUCUUGCAAUGCUGUAUUCUCUUUUAAGAAAGAAUAAGUGGUAAUUUUGUUUUUCCAAUUUUUUAAUUGAGCAACUGUAUGAGAUUAAUUAAAUGUGUUGGGAUUUCAACAGAUUGUUUAUGAUGUAACUGGGAUGGAGAGCUUCAAUAAUGUCAAGCAGUGGUUGAAUGAGAUUGACAGAUACGCAAAUGACAGUGUAUGCAAGCUUCUAGUUGGGAACAAAUGCGAUUUAGUUGUGAACAAGGUUGUGGACACACAGACAGCCAUGGUAUAUUCAUGACUUUUGUCGCCUGAACUUUGAAUAUAAUUUUAAACUCUUCUCAAGUGCAUUUGCUUGGUAAGUUUCUGCAUACCCAGGACACUCAAACUUUGGACAGUCUGUAUCUCGAGUUGGAAUCUUUUCUGUCAAUACGACUUGUUAAAAUAAGGGUUGUUAUCGUUUGAAUCAUUCAAGAAUUGCCAUAAAUCUAAAGUCCAUAAAAAAUAUGAUUCCAUCAUUUUACUAUUAUAUCUAGACAAAACCCAUUAUUUUACUACAUUUCAUUGGCACCGAUAGUUGACCUGUUGGCUGACUGAUAAAAUAUCAAUUUUGCACUUUAUAUUAAUUCUUUUUUGGUUAAAAAAUAACACACAAAGUAUUACAAUAUUAUAAAUUCAAAAUAUAAAGUAGUUACAAAUAAUUCCUAUUAGCCUAUGAAUAUAAUAUUUGAUACCUCUAUUUGUGUAAUUUUUUUCCAAUGGUGAAAUUGUUAUUUUUUUUGUACUAACGGAAAUAUAGUAAAAUCAUAAGUUUUGUAAAGAUAUAGUAGUAAAAUGAUAGACUAAAAUACUUCUUGUAGUUGUUUGAUAUAUUGUAAUUCUUAAAGUAGUCAAUUGAUAAUAUCCCCUAAAAUAAAUGUUCGUAAUAUGUUCUCAUUUUAAUGCAACUGAUUGUUUAAUAAAAUUGUAUUUCUUUGUUAAUCUUUUAUCAUGUGCAUGCUCAGUGAGAAUUUGACUUGCUAGAACACAAGUUUGACUCUUCAUUUAAAUGUCUCUUGUAUCAUAUCCUUCAAUGUUGAGUGUGAUUCCAAUAAAAUUGAGUAGGGAGAUCCUUAAAUACCUUUUCCUUUUUUCCAAGGGCCUGCCAAAUUGCUCUAAGUGGUUCUACCCUUUAUCAAUGAAUAAUGAAAAUAAAAUUUUUAUUAAAGCAUUCUGUUCCUUAAAUGGUGACUAAUAGUACCCCCUUUUUUUUUGGAGAGGAAAGCCAAACGCCCAAAGAGGAUCAUUUACUUUCCUCUAAUGUAUUUUCUAAUUCGUUUUGAGCCUUGAAUGUCUGUUUUGGUGCGUAUUCUCAUUCCAUGUCGAAUCUUAUCCAUAUGGACAACCCCACUUACAAAAAAGUCUAAUGAAUCUAUUGAAGUUCAUAUGAGGUUUGUGCUUUAGAUUUAGACCUCUCUCUCUCUCUCUCUCCACUUACAUGUCUUUCACUUACCUGUUUGCAUGCAUGCCCAUGCACACACUUUCAAGAUAAUACACGGUCACUCGUACUUGUGUUUUGGUUGAAUUACUGGCUGCUAACCUCUGUAAUUCAGUUUGAAACUUGCCACCCUUAGUGCUUCACUCAAAUGGUUGGUUAGGGUGAGAUCUGUAUCGUUUUCCUGGUCUCUUUCCAAGGUUAUCUAAAGGGAUUUGGCAGUCUGAUUCUUUAGGGAAUAUCAUUGCAUAAGAUAUCUAUUGUUUGUUAAUGAAUAAUUUCUAUUUAACUAGUUAUCUAUAUAAAUUGGUAAAUUUUAACUGCAUAAUUUGCAUGCAAUAAGAUUUUAUAAGAAUCUUGUUUUCAACUCAUGACUUAGACUAAUGUGAUACGUUGAGCAUUAAGCUACAAGAUCUGCACAUCAAAGUGCUUCACCAUGUUAAGGAGAAAGCAUCGUUUUCUGCUUCUUCAUGUGAUUUAAAGUUUCCAAGGUACUUAUCCAAUAAAAUGUCUUUCAAGACUUUGGAAAUGCUUUUAUGUAUGACUGAGAGAAACUUGUUGGGUUGGUUUUUAGCAACAGACGGAGUUAUGGACUUUGUGUUGACUUGUUAUUGAUUAAGACAGUACAUCGGCUGAUCUAUUGGCAUCAAGCAGCAGAUGCAGAAAUUAUGGGUGGCAUACCAUUGUAUCCAAAUAACAUACUACAUUGAUUUUUCUGACUUUCUGUUGGUCUCCGAGUGAAAUGCAGGCAUUUGCAGAUGAACUGGGGAUUCCUUUCCUGGAGACGAGUGCCAAAGAUGCAAUCAAUGUGGAGCAGGCUUUCUUGACCAUGGCCGGCGAGAUUAAGAAAAAGUAAAAUCACUUAACUCUUUCCUUCUUUCCGACUGUUCUUAUUCAACAAUCACCAUUAUUGCUGGUUAUGUGCAUUGUGAUGAAAAUUCUGCAAUGAAUAACUUUUUACCUAAUGUUUUCUGUUGGAACAAAUUACUCUGGUAGAAAAGCCCUACAGGGUUUGAGAAAUCCCAUGAUGUGAUGAUUGUGAGCAUUUUAGACACCGUGUAUGGGUUUAUUUUGUGACUAUAAAAUGUUAAGAUAUUUCUAGUUUUGGUUUGUAGUGCAUAAAAGGAUUCAAAAUUUGACAUCUGUCUAAAUCAGAUUACUAACAUGACAAUGUACAUAUGCAAGAUGUGAGGAAUUGUUUUAUCUCACCCCUAAACUUUAAGAAAUUGAAACAUUAUUAUUCAAAAUAUUUAACAUUUCCAGAAUUGAUAGUUGUCUAUUUGAGCAGUGACUGGUGGUUAUCAUGAACUGAUGUGUGGUUGUGGUUUCAAAUCUUGGUGAAACCUGUUGUCAUAUGCUGAUUAACAUAGCUAGUCUCUGAAACAAUUUGUUGAUUCACUAAUUAUGAGUUCAAAUUUGAUGCAGAAUGGGCAACCAGCCUACUGCAAACAAAUCUUCUGGAACAGUUCAGAUGAAGGGAUAGCCAAUCCAGCAAAACAGCAACCGCUGUGGUUAGCCGAGCAUCUUAUUUUACUUCUACAUGUUAGCUGACUGAUUGUAGACAGUUUUAACUAUGUUGACUGCAUUAUCUUAUGAAUCUUUUAAUCUGUCAAAUAUUUAUUUCCUGCUUUAAGUUCUUUCCCGUUUAUAACAAAUUUGAUUUCUUGCUCUAUAGCAUUCCAAAUUCCUGUUAAUUUACGAGGGAAAAAGAAAAGAGACGAAAUGGGAGAAAAUGGUCAAAUUUGUUAGGGGGGGAGAGCUGUUGAAGUAGUUUUUGUUCUCGUUUAUCAUCGUGACCCUCUUGUCGCUUAUCUACGACCUGGAAGUCCGGUCAUAUCGGAUGGGUAAAGUUACCGAAACGGCAUCAUUUUGGGUGAAAUAUCAUGUUUAUGUAACACUUUUGAUAAUAUUUUUAUGCAACAAAAAAAUGUUUGCAGUACCCUUCUCACAUUGUGAAGCGCAUGAUCGGAUGAGAGCAGUCUGGAUUCUGGCAUCACAAGCUAAUGCUUUGAUUUGCUUAGUUUGUUUUUUGUUUCUGAUAUUUUCUCGGCAUAGUGUAAAUGUAUGAAGAUGAAAUUGCUGGGUUGGUUUUGUUAUGGAAUUUGGUUUAGUUCACUAACCAUUAAUGCGCAAAACCUCCUAAGACCCUAAAAAAUCCCGUACAUAAUUAAAGAAUUUCAAUUUUAUAUGUACAUAAAUAAAUAACUCUCAAAUAUAUUAUUUGAUAAUCCCAAAAACAACAACUCACUCUAAUAAAUCUCGUAGUCAAUACAUGGUCUAUAUUGCAAGUGUUUUCGAGACUAAUUCAAAAAGAAAAUACGAAGGAUAUAUAAUUGACUUUUACUUGUUAUAAAGAACUCUAAAUAAAUUUAUAUACGCAUCACAGCUAAUUACAGUCUUGGUACUUCAUUAGGUUUUUGUUAAUUUUCUAUACAGUUGUGUUGUGCAUUAAAGCUUUGUUAAAUGAAAUCGGUAGUGAGAAUUAAUUAAUUAAUUAAUUAAUUAAGAUCCAGUUAAUGUAAUUAAUUUUAUUUGAUUUUUUUAAUUCGAGUUCUAAAUUAAUCAAUUAAUUUAGAUUCAUGUGAAAUUGAAGUGAAUUAGUUUCGAACUGUUUUUCAUUCUAUGUUUGUCUGUGUUUACUCUUACUGUUUUUUUUGUUUAAACUUUUGUUUUCUUAUUGUUUACUGAAUAAAUUUCUGAGCUUUGUUUGAGUAUGAUGAUUGAUUUGUGAUUUUAAUCUAAUGUGUUGGGCUGCGAUUUAAUUGAGUGAUGUGUGAGCGCCAAAUUGUGAGCGCCAAGUAGUAAUUAUAAAAUAUUUCAGUCGUCCACUGUUCAGUCACCAAAAACCAAUUUCUAAUCUAUUUCAAAACAAUUUUUGCCAAAGUCCUCCUGGGCUAAUUAAUUCAUACAUUAAUACAGUCCUCCUCUGCUGAAUAAUGCAAACCCGUUACGUUAUUCUACCAUUUCUUAAAUUUAAAGCAUUCCACCAUUUAAUAAAAAAAUUCGAAAACCCAUUAUAUACAAUACAAAAAGCCCACCGACACCAAACCAUAUUAAUUUAAAAUAGUUUUCAAUUGAGAUUUGAAUUUUAAAAUUACAUACACAAACACACCCGAUUUUAAAAAAUAAUAAUAAUCCUAACAAUAAAAUAUUUCAGCCGUCCUCUGUUCAGUCACCGAAAACGGAUUUCCAAUCUAUUAGAACAACCGGUAUAUGGGUUUCCAACCAAUAUUGUCCUCCAUCCUUUCUGCACUUCUCUUCUAUCAACGGACAGCCCACGAUGUAUAAUCGCAAAAGUGAGGAAGGCAGGCCCUUCUCCGGAAAGUAUUUGAGCUUGGGACAAUCCGCGAGAUACAAUUCAGUGAGGUUUUGAAGAUCAACAAUUGAAGAAGAUAGGCGUUCCAGAUUUGGAAAAUUAGAAAUCCCCAGAGAUGUUAGAGAGGCAGGAAGAGGAAGCGUGGUCCCUAAUCUUUUGUCCUCUAGUGGAAAUGACACCAUGUCGUCAUCGCAUCUGCUGAUUGUAAGACGUCGCAGAGAGGAGAAUCUGUGAAAUCCCCGUCCCCGCUCAAUCAUUGACUUCCAAAUCUCCAUAUUACCCCAAAUAUUAAGUGACUGAAGGUUGGUGGGAAGGUCAUCUUCUUCUUCAAGGCUUGGAAGCGCACCUCCUAUUCCUAUUGUUAAUUGUUGAAGAGAGGUCAGAUUGUGCAAUCCCUUGGGUAAGGCCUCUAGUCUCUUACAAUUAGAUAUCGCCAGCGUCCUGAGUUUCGCACAAGGCAAUCCCCCUUCGGGAAAGGACACCAGAUUUUUACAACUAUCUAUACUGAUUGUUUCAAGAGAUGUGUUGUUGUCCAACCUUUCUGCUAUUGACUCCAGCUUUGAACAUCCACCAACACGAAUGGACUUAAGAGACGGAGGUAGAUUGCCAACUUCAAGGGACUCAAGCGUGGCAGGUAACUCGUUUUUUGAAAAUAUACACGUCAGAGAAUCACAACAGUAAAUAUGCAAUUCCUCAAGAAAAGAUGAGGUGUACCUUCUGCCGCUGCUACACUGGAUGCCCUCUUCCACUGUCAAAGUCCUUAUAUUAUCGCAACGGCAGAUCUGCAACUUCUUAAGGCUCGAUGGUAGCUGGACAGCAGCAAUAUAUGUCAACGAACGGCAACCCUCAAUAUUCAAGAUCUCGAGAGACGAAUUGGUGUCGCACAUCCAUGCCUCUGGUAACGAUUUCAGUGCAUCACAAUACCUAAUCUCAAUUUUCCUCAACUUGGAAGGCAGAGCAACCUCAGGAAAGGAAACAAGGGAAUGACAAUCGCAGAUUUCUAUCUCUCUCAAGGAACUGAGGCUGAGCGAUGAUUGUGGCAGCUUCACAAGGCCUUUGCAUUCGCUCAAUCUUAGAUAUUCGAGUCUGCAUGACAACUCGCAGAGCUGCUGUUGUUGGUCUUUCUCUUCCUCCGCCACCAAGGAUUGAAUUUUGGGACACCGUCUAAUCGUCAGUCUUUUGAGAGAGCAAAUGUCUUGCAGUAAUUCGUUAUGACUCUUCCAUAUAUGUGUUUCAUUUUUCAUAUUAUUUAUCCCCAAUUCUUCCAGUUUUGGUAUUCGCGGCUUCAAUGGCUCUGUGAAAAACACUUGAUUUGAUGUAUCUCUACAAACCACUGAAUUCUGUGAGCCGAGAUGAUCAGUUGCACUUCUCCACACAACCUUUUUACAUCCACCAAUUUCAAAUUUGCAAAGAGCUGGAAGACUUGCAACUGAAACUAGCAAUUCUUCACAUCCUUCAAUUGCAAGCAUCUCCAAUGCAGGAAGGUGUUCUGGAAAUGUUCCUUGCAGCUUAGAACACCUUAUAAUAUGAAGCUCUCUCAAUUUAGGAAACCAUUCAACUCCCUGACCAGUUCUAAGAGGAAUCCAGUCUUCCCAUUCUUGCAUGUUUUCAAAACGAAGAGUUUCCAAGCAUGGAAAAGGAAUCGGGGAAUCAUUCCCAUAGAACUCUGAACCCAAACUCUUUACUCUACUCAUUCCACGCACUGCAAGAUGCUUUAGAGAGGGUAGUUGCCCGACUGACGGCAAGGUAGUACACACGCUGCAAUCUUCAAAAUUUAAGGUCGCUAAAUUUGAGAAUGAGGAAUCUCCCAACCAAGUUGGAAAUUGUUUACCUUCAUAGCCACUGAUACAAAAUUGUUCCAGAUUUUCAUGAGGUUUUAGCAUGACGAGCACAUCCUUUUCAGUUUCUGCCUCCCUUGAAGACAAACCAUUGGUACUCUGUGUCCAUUGAAACUUUAACACUUUAAGAUUCUUCUUUCCAUCCAAUUGAGCCUCCUUCGCAUCACCAAUGUCUUUUACGUUCUCCAAUUUUGAAAUGUUAAGUGUCCCACGAAGAUGCGUCAACAAUUUUAGCUCUCGUAUCCCGGAACCACUGUCUUUUCCCACAACAAAAUUACACAGCGUCUGAAGGAAAGUCAACUUACCAAUUCCUAGUGGCAUCUCCUCCAAUGAAUCUGUCUUUGAAUUAUCGAGAUGAUGCAAUUUGAUGAGGUUUCCCAUGUCUGCACACAACUUCUUCAGUCGCCGACAGCCCUCCAGCAGAAGAGUGUGCAAAUUGUAAAGCUUGUUGACUGAUUCAGGCAGAGUUCUAAUCUCAGUUAGAGAUAGGUUAAGGUACCUUAAAUACCUCAAAUCACCAAUUGAAUCCGGUAGCUCAGAGAUGUGAUAUCCACGCAAAGAGAAGACCCUCAACCGUUGGAGUUUGAACAACUUAGGAAGAAUGCUAUGAGCCAAGUAGCCGGGCCGGCUACUUAACAACGUUACUGGUAAAAGAGUUCGCAAAUGUUGGAUAUCGUACAACUCCUCAAACCUUUUAACACCAUCGUAAUCUCCACGAAUGUACGACAGAUGACGAAGAUUUCUUGGAAAACUUUGUUGCUUGUCAACCUCUGAGAUAUACUCCAUUCUGAAGUACAUUUCCCCAGCAGCCCAUUGAGCAAGAUCAUUGAUGAGGUCGUGCAUCACAAAUCGUGAUAUACUGUUGCUUGAUUGCUGGAAAAAAGAUCUUGAACGUAGCUCUUGAAAGAACUUUCGACCUAGAUCUUCACUGGGAUUCCCACUCUCUCCGUGAUCCAAGAAACCCGAAGCACACCAUAAUAAAAUUAUCUCCUCCUCUUCAAAUUCAUAAUCCUUUGGAAACAAUGAGCAGUAUGCAAAGCAUUGUUUCAAAGGUGCCGAAAGAUAAUAGUAGCUCACUCUAAGCGCCGGUAUAAUGUCACAUCUCUCUUCUGGUAAAUCCCAUAUCUUGCAACUGAGCACACCUUCCCAAUGACUCCGGUCAAGUUUACCACGCAAGAGACCACCAAGAGUUUUCGCAGCUAAGGGCAAGCCGUUGCAUUUGAUCACUAUCUUCUUGCCAAUUUCCUCCAAUGACUUGUUUGAACUGAUAUCUCUUGCCCCUAAAGAGUGUUGAGCGAACACAGACAGACAAUCAUCAUUUGACAGCUUUUUCAAAUGAUAAGCCCGAGCAGUCCCCAUGAUGGCUGCAACCUCUUGAUUACGAGCUGUGACAAUAAUCUUACUCCCCGGUGCGCCAGCUUCAAAUGGACGGCUCAUGUCAACCCAGUCAUUGUAAUUCUCAUUCCAAACAUCGUCUAAAACAAGCAAAAAUUUCUUUUGAGAUAACUUCUUCUUCAGCUCCUCUUGAAGCAAAUUUAAAUCACUGUCAUCAGUAGUCUGCUUAGUAAUGGAUCUUAGAAUUGUUUUUGUUAGCCUGAUAACAUCAAAAUCAUCAGAGACACAAGUCCAUGCCUUGAGAUCAAAAUGACCCUGCACUCGAGCAUCAUUAUAGACAAGCUGAGCGAGAGUGGUUUUGCCCAGCCCGCCCAUACCUAUAAUAGGAAUAACAGAGAAUUCACCAUCAUUUCUCAAAUCAUCCCUCAACAGCAAUUCAACAAUUUCAUUCUUUUCUGUUUCCCUCCCAUAUACCUUGGCUUCAGUCACUAAAGAGGUUGUGGGUAGUCUUUGCCUGUCUUUUCUGGACCUCCCAGCUGAACUUACGUUCAAACCGAGCGAGUCUUUCUGUGUUACAAUAUCUUGAAAUCUGUAGUUGAUCUCUUUGAUUUUGGACAUUAUGGCGUAAUCGAACUGAAUCGAUUGUGGGGUAAAAGUGGUGCAGCAAGUAGGAAUGAGCUUCUGAAACUUACUUGUUCUUGUACGACUGCUACUGGGUUGAUCCUGAGCCGCAGCUGGAUCUCCAUUUCCAAGCAGCACCUUCCUCCGGAAAGCCCCAGUUUGAAACUCAUCCAACAAGUCUUCAACAUCAAAAGCCAAGUUCUGAAGCUCGCCAAGCCACAACUUCACAAUCUCAUCAGUCUUCUUUUCCUCAGCAUCAGCAAGCACCGCCUUGACCUUCAAAAGCAUCGUCUUCCACUUCAUUAGAUCGGCCCGGAUUUGAUCUUGGCGUGGAAACAACCGAAUCCCCACUGAAGCUAACUUAUAGACCAACAACUCAACGGACGCCGUCAGGAUUGCCUCUCCGAUGAUUGACAUUUUUUUCUUUUUUUUGUUUUGCAAAGAAAGAAACAGAAUUUUGAGUUUUGAGAAGCAAAAUGAGAAAAUUGAACAGUAAGUGUGGAGGGUCAAGCAAAAUGCGCGUAUCAAGUCUUCCACUUGUUGUUUAUUCCAGUAAAGUGAAAAAAAAAUAGAGACCACGACCCUUUAAUAAUUUAGCAAUUCACCGGUCACGAGUCACCACCACUCGUUACCAUGAAUAUAAUAAAUUGCACCUAGAUAUUUGCAGGGUCCAGCAACAUUGACCCAGUGUCCGGGUAAAUGCUGAAUAACGAGGAAAAUGGAAUGUAUCAACUACGAACCUUCGCUUUACAAGUCUUCAAACUCAUAAACCAAGUUAAAUCAAAACGUUUAUCUCUCUCACCCUUUUUGCCAUAUAAUUACUUUAUUUAUUGAAUUAAUUUCCAUGCUAAAACGAAGACUUAAAAGUGCACUACAAUUUUUUAUAAUCACAAUGGUAAUUCCUACUAUCAUGUUAUCUUAAUGUCGUGUCAAAAUAAAUUAUAAUAAAAUUUUUUUUAUAUGAACAUUUUUUUUAUUUAUGAAUUUCUUAAUUUUUAAUAUUUUUCUUACUCUUUAGUCUUAAUAUUUGUAUUUCUCUCUUCAAACUUUCUUUAUUAUUUAAUUUUUAAAGAAAAAUAUAAAAAAAGUAAGAAAAAUAUUAUACUUAAAAAAUAGUGAAUAUUUUAUGGGUCUAAUACAAGCCUGUAUUAUUUUUGACAAUGAAAGAGCACGCGAAAAAUCUCACUCAUAGAAAACUUUGUGAAAGGCAUUUGAAUGUGUGGCCACAUUUACCGAACGAAACGAUAAGGCUUUAGCCCUAUAAUUGCAAUUAGUUUGUCUUGUAACUAAAUUAUUGCCGACAAGCAGCCAUGCAUGUAAUUAGUCACAAGUUGCUUUGAAAUAAAUAGGUACUUGACAUUUGGCUCACUGAUUAUGUGUGCAAUAUUCCCGUAUUUCCCAUUACUUCCCGUACUUUAUGCAUUAUUGUUUUGUAUGUCUUUCGGUGUUUACGGUGUAGUUAGGGAUGGUAGCGGGUAGGGUCUGGUACGGGUUUGACAUCACCAAACCCGCAUCUACAAAAAAUUUUAAUUACGUAAUUCAAAUUAUAAAUUUAUAAAUAUUGCCUAAAAAAAAAUCACAUAAAAUACUUAAUUCUAGAUUUUAUCAAUGUAAAUGAAAAAUGAAAAUAUCAACAUUAAAAUAAAUACACAAAAUAUAUCAAUUUAACACGAAUUCUCAAAUUCAAUUAGCAAAUAAAUAAGUCUAUCACAACUCGAAGUGUUUUCAACUGAAAAAGAAAAAAAAGAGAAAGAGAAAAAAACAAAGAACUACAAAUCAAAGUAGCACCCAUAACCUAUUUCAUAGGCUCAUUCAACACCAAGAUUCAUUCAUUACCACUAGCACCCAUUCAACGUGGUUUUUCUAAACAAAAUAUAAAGUACAAAAUUACAAUAAGCAUAUCAUACUCCAUGCUUUAAGUUAAAGAUCCUUAUAUAAUUUUAUGAAUAAAUUUUUAGUGAAAUUUUAUGAUUAAAAUUAAAAAUACAAAUAUUAAAAUAAGAAUGUUGGACAUCUGCGCAACUAUUUGCUAUUUUUUUUUCUCUAUAAAAAUUCACCUGCAACUUACAGCAGAUUUAAAUUUAUAAUAUCAAACUUGAUUGUAGCUUGCAAAAUUUUUGGAUGUACGAUAAUUUUGCCACCCUAAGUGUAGUUAGUGUGUUUCCAAUUGGCUCCUAUAAAAAGCCUAGAAGUUGUUUGAAUAAUGAGGGAGGCAAAUAUUUCCCAAAGAUAUUCUCUUUUUCAAAUUCUUUUCUUUUCUCUAUUAUUGUAACUUCAAAUCCUUGAAAUUACAUAUUUCAAAUCCUUGACAUGAACACAAUGUUUUGACAUAGUGGCUUUUGGCUUGUCCAGAGAAAUUUAGGAUAGAUUUUGAUGUAUUAAGGCUCGUUUUACUAUUGAGAUUUUGGAACUUUUGAGCUACACUUGAAAUUUGUAUUAUUCUAAUAGAGUUGUACCCUUCGAUAUGUGAAUGGUAUUAAUCAGGUGUUAUGUUUACAGCAGUUAAAGGCAUAUUGAAUCAAAGUCCACUUUUGAUUGAGAUUUUAAAGUAGGUUUUUAAUUUGAUAGCUACUCAAGUUCAAAUAUUGGAACCACAGUGCUUUAUAACCAAGUGGGAGAACUUCUGUCCUGAAAGUUGAAGGCUGCAUACCGAGUUUUACUACCAACAAAAAUUGGUGUUAAGACUUUAGUUGCCCUCCUACUUAUAGAUAAGGGUAAUUAGGACUUUACAUCCCCUCCUGCUAAUAGAUAGGGGUUACUAGGAAUAUUAAAAAAAUGUUCAAAUAUUGAAAAAAUAGGUAUGGGUUAUAAAAUUCAUAAUACAAGAACAGUAAAUCAAGAUAAAAUUUAAAAAUUUAGAACCAUGAAAGCGUAACUUGUAAGUUUCAAAGAAGCAUGUGAAAACAUAUGCGUAUCGAUACCCAUUAAGGGUGGGCAUUAAGAUCGGGUUAACUCGAACCGAACCUUAAAUUUAUUUUGGGUUCAAUUUGAUUUUGGUUGAACCUUUCAACUGAGUUGAAAACUUAUAAACGAUUGGGGUNNNNNNNNNNNNNNNNNNNNNNNNNNNNNNNNNNNNNNNNNNNNNNNNNNNNNNNNNNNNNNNNNNNNNNNNNNNNNNNNNNNNNNNNNNNNNNNNNNNNNNNNNNNNNNNNNNNNNNNNNNNNNNNNNNNNNNNNNNNNNNNNNNNNNNNNNNNNNNNNNNNNNNNNNNNNNNNNNNNNNNNNNNNNNNNNNNNNNNNNNNNNNNNNNNNNNNNNNNNNNNNNNNNNNNNNNNNNNNNNNNNNNNNNNNNNNNNNNNNNNNNNNNNNNNNNNNNNNNNNNNNNNNNNNNNNNNNNNNNNNNNNNNNNNNNNNNNNNNNNNNNNNNNNNNNNNNNNNNNNNNNNNNNNNNNNNNNNNNNNNNNNNNNNNNNNNNNNNNNNNNNNNNNNNNNNNNNNNNNNNNNNNNNNNNNNNNNNNNNNNNNNNNNNNNNNNNNNNNNNNNNNNNNNNNNNNNNNNNNNNNNNNNNNNNNNNNNNNNNNNNNNNNNNNNNNNNNNNNNNNNNNNNNNNNNNNNNNNNNNNNNNNNNNNNNNNNNNNNNNNNNNNNNNNNNNNNNNNNNNNNNNNNNNNNNNNNNNNNNNNAGAUAUCAAAAUCACAUUCUUCAAUUCUACAAUUUCAAUUCAUCUUCAUAACUUCAACUGAAGAAUUGAUUGUAUCUCGUUUUAAUUUUUUUUUAUGUAAAGAUAAAUAUAAAAUAUAAAUGGUGAGGAGACUGAAAAAGUAAAAUCAAAAGAAGAGCACGAGUUUUAUUGAAAAUUACUUUUUUUUCAUCAUUUUGCCAGAGUGAAUGUAUCUACAUUUAAACGAAAGAAGCACAUUUGUUUGUAUUAGCUUUUUUAUUGUAUUUUUAAUAAUAAGUAAUUUUCAAUUAACUUAUAUCAUUUUUUACGAAAAUAAUAGGUGUUAGUUAGUUGAUUCAAAUGGCAAGACCUCUUGGGAUAGAGUUUGUAAUUUAGUGGCUUAUCAAUUGUUUAAAUAGGGCAUUAUUAGAGCCAAAUUAUUGUAUUUGGUUAAAAAACUCCUACUUUGCUUACAACUUUAUUAUCCUAUUAUGUUUAUUAAUAAAUAACAAUUUUAUUGAAAAAAAAACAAGAUAUGUUGAAAUGAUACAAAAAAUUUGGGUUGUAAAUCUUACUCGAAUUUAGCUUGAGAUUGGCAUUGUUAGCAUAAUAUUUGAAGAUAUAUUUUUUAAAUUAAAAAAAAAAAGAAAUUGGGUUCACACUAGUUAGUUUUAACUCAUAGUGAGAUUUAAACAAAAUCGGAAUAAUAAAUCUUGAUAUCCUAACUCAUGGAUAACAUCUACAUAAAAUAAUAAAAUCUAUUGUGUCGAAAAUAAGGGGUCUAAAGUUUGAAUUUCACUCACAUAGGUAGCAAGAGAAUCAAAUUAUUGUUAGAUUAAAUUAAUUAAAAAAAUUAUCUGAUAUACAAAACACAGCAUAUCAAAAAAAUUGAAAUAAAAGAAAAUUGAAAAGCAAAACGAUUGAGAGAACGAAAAACUAACACAAGAAAAUGCCGAUAAUUAAUUGCCUCAGCGGGCACCAACUUAAUUAUGCUUAUUAAAGCCUGGUUUAUUGUUAGAGUGCAAUUUAUGCACUAGUUUUGCAUUAUUUACUUCCCUUAAUAUCAAUGUUUUGCACUUAAUAAUAGUGAUUUACUUGUGUUUUACUUUUGUAGGUGCAAUUCUAUUAAUUGGUGAUAAAAUUAAGCUAAAAGAUGAUGUUUAAGGAGGAUUGUUCUCUUGGAGAAAUUAUGAGCGUCGAAGAACUUUGUUGAUAAGGCAUGGGCACGUGCUGUCAACUGCGGACCUGCAGUUUUUAGUUUAAACGUGUUUUGUAUUUUUGGCUAUUUUUGUAAUUACGAAUUUAAUAUUUCAGAUAUUAGUAUUUUAUUUUAAAUAGAACUCUAAAAGAGAAGAGAGAGAGAGAGUAUUUAAGAGAGGAAUCUAUUGUGAAAAAUGUAUUUACGCUUUAAUUUUUAUGUGAGCUUUGAUUAUCUUACAUUAGGGACAAUGUAAGUUCUUGGUGUGGGGGAGGGAUUUUUGCAUUAUUGAUGUCUGGAAGUAUUAUUUUCACUCUACUCAUCUAUUUUCAUUCUACUCAUCCUUAAAUGAUUUUGGAGUUAGUAUGCUUCAUAUAUUAUUAAUUUUCUUUUCUUUUCUUUCUCACUACUCUUUUCCCAUCUAUUUUUUUUACUACAUACAUCUUUCUCGCUUAUUAUCCUUUUUACCUUUCCUUUUAUUUCUCACUCAUACCUUCUUCUCAUUCUAUACCACUAUUGAUGGUUGAUUCAUUUGAAGAGUGUACAUGAUUUGAUAACAAAUUUACCAACUUUGUGAGGAUUUGAGCCUAUGAGCAACCACUUUGCUCUAAUAUUUUUGUUAUGUGAAUAUCAAUCUUAGUUUUUUUAUUCUAGAACUUGCUUUGUUAUGCAUGUUGAAGCCGCAUUACGGGAUUUUAUGCAUUAAAAUGAUAAGGGCAAACCCUUUUCCAUUUUUCUAUUCUCGCAUUUUUUUUCUCUACCCGAAGACCUUUAUUUGCUAUCUUUGUUUGAGCCUUAACCAUUACCCAUCUAAUCCUCUCCGUCUACUUAACCAUUUUUCUUCUUUUUGAGCCUCAAUUUAAGGAGAUUUUUGGACUCAUUGUGUGGAUAUAUUUUGUGUUUUUUUUACCUUGUAUUAAAGUUUCUCAAUUAGAUCAACAAGCAUUAUGCUUGAAUUAAAUUGUGCAAGGUUCGUUUCUUUUGUUUGAUUAAAAAAAACAAAAAAUAAAAAACAAAAAAAAGGAAAAAGAAAAAAAAGAAAAAGAAAAAAAAUCGAAAAAAAAUCGAAAAAAAAAAUUAAAAGUUUACAUUCUUGGUGACUUGAGUAGAAAUAAGCAUUUUGAUAUCAUAAGUUCAUUCAAUGAGUUCAUUCUUCUCAUUUUGAUAUCUUUUUCUCUUUCAUGGACCUUUCUUUUUCAUUUAACCUAUUUAACCCCAUUGCAACCCUUUUAAGACCCUUAGAUUUUUGCAUUUUAUUCAUGUUGUGGAUUGAGAUGUGAUAUAUGAGCAAGCUUAUGGUAAUAGCAUUCUUUGAUUUGAUUUGAGUGAAUAAAUGACACCCUAAACACUUUGAGUGCAUGGAGUGAAGUCAUUGAGAGGGCUAUUAAAUCUUGUUGCACUUGAAUUUUGAAUGUAUCUUCUUGGUGGUUGAAUGUUCUUAUUCUAUCUUAUGAGAUUCUAUGCUUUAAAAUCCUUGUCUCUCGAAUGUUGAUCGACUUAAUUUCUUGAGGUAUGGUUGCUUAGAAUUAUUUAUGGAUGAGUUGAGAUGAGAAUUGAGUGGAGAUUUGGGAUUAGUCUUGAGUUAUAUGCUUGAGGACAAGCAUCAUCUUGGUGUGGGGGAAUUUGUUAGAGUGCAAUUUAUGCACUAGUUUUUAAUUAUUUACUUCCCUUAAUAUCGAUGUUUUGCACUUAAUAAUAGUGAUUUACUUGUGUUUUACUUUUGUAGGUGCAAUUCUAUUGAUUGGUGAUAAAAUUGAGCUAAAAGAUGAUGUUUAAGGAGGAUUGUUCUCUUGGAGAAAUUAUGAGCAUCAGAAGAACUUUGUUGAUAAGGCGUGGGCGCGUGCUGUCAACUGCGGACCUGCAGUUUUUAGUUUAAACGUGUUUUGUAUUUUUGGCUAUUUUUGUAAUUACGAAUUUAAUAUUUCAGAUAUUAGUAUUUUAUUUUAAAUAGAACUCUAAAAGAGAAGAGAGAGAGAGAGUAUUUAAGAGAGGAAUCUAUUGUGAAAAAAAUGGGGAUUUUAGAUUGAAGAAAAGAAAGAAACCCUAGAUCUAAUUUUUCUCUUCUCUCUAUGAAGAACUAAACUUAUUUUUCUGGUUGAAGGUUAAUGAAGCUUUGAUUCAUCACUACUGUGAGAUCUUUCUUAUGCUUUAAUUGUUUUAUUACUCUUUGGGUAUUUGUUUAUUCUCUGAAUUAGUUUCAUGAUUAUGUUUGUUAAUUAGGUAAUUGGCCACUAUUUAAUUAUCAACUUAAUCUAUUGUCAAUUAAAGGAUUCAUCGUAUGAAGAAUUUAAUGUUUGUGACAAAUAACAUAGCAGAGAGUUGUGUUGUGAGAAUAAACAAUCUAAUUUAAAUGAAUCAUCAUAUGUGUUGAUUAGGAUUUGGGUCUCUUUGGUUUUUCAGGCUGUCAAUUGAUUAAAUCCUAUGAUCGUAUCUAGGAUUGUCUAUUGAUUAGGGAAAUAACCAACGGUCGUACCUUGGUUAUCGACUAGUUAAGGAGAGAUUGGCUAUUAGAGGGUCUCAGUAGUUAUAACCGGUCUAUUCAUAAGUAAUAAUAAUCUAUAUUUGAAUCAAUGAUCAGUAGUCGAAUCAAGCUGAGUUAAUUCCUUCAACCAGAGCUUUCUCCAAUUUGAAUCACAACUUUAAUUUACAUUCUCGUUAUUUUAAUUUAAUUUUUAUUAUUGUCAACAAAACCCCCAUUUUAUGUUUUACGUUUUAAAAGGAUUUAAAUAAUUACCGAUCUCUGUGGACACGACCCUGCUCAAUCACUAUACACAAUUUAUUUAGAGUAAAAAUUUAUUUUUGUUGGCUUCGACACCCACCAGUUAUUUCAUUUUCAUUGAUAAUCAUUUUGACACCGGUCAAAUUUAAAAGUUUAAAUAAUGGGGGCCAUUUUUCUUUCCAGCUAUGCCCAUUAGCUAAUAAAAGAACCGCCGAAAGGGUUCGGGGAUAAUAUAGUAAUAUGAUUGAUAAUCAUUUUGGAGCUGAGUAUUCUUCGUUCCACAUUUUGGGUUUUGGUUGACCAUAUUUUAAUACUUUUUCUGGAAAACAAAUAUAUAUUUAGUGACUUGUAAUGGGUGCAACUCAUGUUUUUGAAACAUUAACAUCUUUACUUACUUACACUAAUGCGGCAACUGCUGCUUGCUUUUUUUUUUUUCCUUUUGCUUUUGGUUAAUAAUAAUAAUAAUAAUAAUAAUAAUAAUAAUAAUAAUAAUAAUAAUAAUAAUAAUAAUAAUAAUAAUAACAACUUUUUAAUUUAAUAUAUUAUUAAAUAAUAUUUUUAUUUUUAUUUUUACAUUAUAAUUUAUUAUAACUAAUAAUAAAUAUUUAAUUUUGAAUAAUAUUAAUUUAAAAUUAAUAAUAUUAUAAAUAAUAAUAUAAACUAUUAAUACAAUUUAAAUAUAUCAAUAUAAUAUAAUAUUUAAUUUAAAUUAAUCACAAAAAAUUAAUACAAUAUAUUAUAAUACCAAAUAUUAUACAAUAUUACUAUAAUACAAUUAUGAUACAAUUUGAGGGAGAUUGUCAGCUUUUUCGGAUUAAAAAUAAUAUAUACCACUUACUCUAUUGUUUUUAUAAUGUUCAACAAUCCCCUUGAGAAAAAAAAAAAACGAAAAGAAGGAAUAAAUAGAUGAUUUGCUUGAUAUUGUAUCUUAGAAAUAUAAAAUAUAUAUUUAUUAUUAAAAGUAUUUAAAAAUAAUAAAGAGUACAUAAAAAAUAUCUUAUCCUCAACAACAAGAUCAGACGACGUCAAUUCAGCAAAAUGACUUGUACAAUUUGAAAGUCCAGCAACGGUCACCUCUUAAUGUUAUUUUUACUAUAUUAUAUUGAUAUUUUGUUUUGUUAAUCAUAUAAGUCAAUCAAUAAUUAUUUAAUCAUUAGAAUUAAAACUAAUGUAUUAAUUAAAAUUCAAAAUCUAUUAUAAAAAUAGUAAAUAUUAAUACAAAGAGAUGGACAUAUUACAAAAUACAUUCACCAAAAGUUCUAUUAUACUUAAAAUUCUCAUUCACAAAAAAAUAAUAAUAGUUGAAUACAUGUACAAAAAAAGGGGAUAAAUAAAAAAUAAUAAUAAUAAAUAAUAAAAGGAUAGUUUAUAUAAUAAAAAAUAAAUUUAUUGAAUAGGGAUGUUAAUAAUAAAGAAUAAUAGCCGAUCAAACUCACUUUACAAUAAACUGAGAAAUCAAAAUCACAUUCUCCGAUUCUACGAUUGACUCUUUUUCAUCAUUUUACUGGAGUGAAUGUAUCUAUAUGUAUUGGGGACCAUAAUGGAAACUGAUAGAACCUACAAGGGCUAAAAUUAGAACAACGAACGAUAUCUCAAAGUCGCCGAAACGUAAGUAAUUAAUCUUAUCUUUCAAUUGAUUUUUUGUGGAGACAGAGACAAACCCGAACAGCAAAUAGCCAUAAAUGAUAGGACAAUUAAAUUGGAACUCUCCGCGGACCCACGAUUUAAUAUCUUUAGAUUGUAACGGUUUAACCAAAAAAAAAACAAUUUUAGUAAAAUAUUUCUUAAAAAAUGAAAAAAAAUGUUGAAAAGAAGAACAAAAUUGUGGUCCACGUGUCAUUUCAAAAUAGGUUGCUGGCAUAAACAACCGUCCCCAUCUCGGACAGAUGUUAUUUGAGUGGUUGGUGCGCGUUUCCACUUUUUUGUUUUAGAUGCAACGACUCAUGCACUAUAUAUAUAUAUAUAUACGUAAUUUCUAUCUUAUAUAUGUAUAAGAUACAUUCUUUAUCUUUUAUCUCCCUUAUAGAAUAAUAUAUGUGUGGAAUUUAUAUAUAUUGUUCAUAUGAAAAAAAUAUAUCUUAUAUGCAUGAUAGAAUAAUCCAUGAAUCUAAUGUUAUUAGUUUAAAUAAUGGGUGCAACUCAUGUUUUUGAAACAUUAAGAUCUUUAGUCAUUCUGUUACUAUCCCGUGGUUAUUUAAGUUACAAGAGACAGUAAAAAAACAACGUCAUAUUUUAAUUACUUACACUAAAUAAAUUACUCACACUGAUGCCGCGUCUGCCGCUUACUUUUUUUCUUUUUUUUUAUCCUUUUGCUUUUGUUUUUAACUUUUACUUUUACUUUUUGACUUUUGCUUUUGGUUUAUUAUAAUAAUAAUAAUAAUAAUAAUAAUAACUAUUUUUUAAUUUAAUAUAAUAUUAAAUAAUAUUUUAUUUUUAAUUUUACAUUAUAAUUAUUAAUAUAUAAUUUAUUAUUCAAUAUUAUUAUAUUAUGUUUUUUAUUUUUAAUUAUAAUUUAUUAAUAAAUUUAUAAUUUAUUAUAACUAAUAAUAAAUAUUUAAAUUUAAAUAAUAUUAAUUUAAAAUUAAUAAUAAUAUAAAAUAUUAAUACAAUUUAAAUAUAAAUUAAUAUUUAAUUUAAAUUAAUCACAAAAAAUUAAUACAAUAUAGUAUAGCACCAAAUAUUAUAUAUUAUUAUUAUAAUACAGUACUAAUACAACAUAAUAUAAUAUAAUACAUUAAUAUUAAAAUAAUAUAAUACAGUAUGCGAAAUGAACCGAAAUGGUAUUACUUUGUUUGUCUUGUUAUUUACAAUUAUUUAAUCUGUAGACCCACUCAUGCUCCUUCUAUGCAACAUAGAUACAAUUUGAGGAAGAUUAUCAAUUUUUUCUGAGAAAAAAUAAUAUAUACCACUUACUCUUUAUUGUUUUUAUAAUGUUCAACAAUCCGUUUGAGAUGAAAAUAAAUAAAUAAAAAGAAGGAGUAAAUAGACGAUUUGCUUGAUGUUGUAUCUUAGAAAUAUAAAAUAUAUAUUUAUUAUUAAAAAUAUUUAAAAAUAAUAGAGAGUUCAUAAAAAAUAUCUUAUCCUCAACAACAAGAUCAGACGACGUCAAUUCAGCAAAAUGACUUGAACAAUUUGAAAGUCCAGCGACGGUCACCUCUUGGCACACAUACGGCAACGUGUGUAGCAUUGGCAAGAGGUCUCCCAGAAGGACGAUUAAGGAAAGAUUGCAAGACAAAAUCAUGAAAAUAGUAGUACAGAUAUGCAAUAUGCUAAAUUGUCCUCGAUUGAGUCAAUCGCAAUCAAGUCUUAGAAAUCGCACCCCUGUAUUAAUUUCCAGAAAUAUGUUUGUUCCAUAUUUAUCGUGCACGUAUACAUUGUAUGUAUUGGGAAUAGAAAGAGUGUAUGAAAAAAAAUUCUUCAUUCAUCGAUUAAAACUUAAAUUAUGUACGAGGGUUAAGCGCAGCGUUUUUAAAUUUAAAAAGCACAAGUGUCAAUCCACUAAGGUUUGGUCCAAUGGCUAGAGUCACUCCCUCGCGAAAUGAUUAGAGCUCCCACAAAUGUAUUGUACAAGUUUAAUUUAAAUUUUCUUCCUCAAAACUUAAGUGAAGACAUUAUUUUUCAUAGAAGUAGAGUUUUUCUAGGAGUUUGACAUCCCUCAAAUAUUAAAAGAAUUAAAAUCUGAACGAUACUAUAUAAAAUAUAAUUUAAACUGAUCUUAAUAAUUAUAUAAUUAUAAAUAUAAUGAGCAACAGUCUCGUUAAAAAAACAGAUCAAGUGUCAUGAGCCCAUUUAAAUUAACUAAUAUUUGAGGGGGAAAUCUCUGUAUACCAUAGUAUAUAUUCUAUAUCCAGUCAUGGGACCCAUACACGGAUGGUUCCACGUAAUUCGCAGAGUUGAACUGGAGACACUGAUUAGUUCGUUGUCUACUUACCAACUUAUGUACAACUAAGUAAUUGCAUGCACCAUUUGCGACUUAUCUAUCCACCCUGCUUGCAUUGCAUUAACUACGUCACCAAUCACCCACGUCCGCUACUUGUGUGAACGUGUAUAUAAAUACAUAUAUCCGCAGCAUAUUAUCAAACCAGAAUCAGAAGCAACUUAAGUUUUGUUCAUUAGGUUUAUGUUUAUCAACAUGAUAUAUUGUCAAUCAUAAUCGCAAUCAAGUUGUUAAUUAUUUUUUAAAUAAUGUGAAGGAACAAGAUUUUGGCCUUUGAGUGUCUGGUUAAAAAUAUCUCACCUCAAUGUACGGUGUUGUGCUCUCAUCAUCGUACUAUUAUUUGUUAAAAGUAUGUCAAAGAGGAAAGCAGAUUCAAACAUUACUUCAAUUUUAUUUAAGAGAAUAAAAAAAUCGUUAAUAGGCUACUGUUAUUUGUUAGUACGAUUUCACAAAAAAAUCGGUUUCUUAAACAACUCCAACUACAAUUUUUUUUUUACAAAUUUUUGAAUUAUUAAAUCAUAUGUGUGUGUAUAAAUUGAAUAGAAUUAAAAGUGGACUCAAAUGGCUAUUAUGUAAUUUUUUUAUAAUUAAAGAAAAGUUUAGAAUGUAAAAGUGUGUGUGAGAAAACAAAAAAUAUAAAUCACCUUUGAUGUAGUUGUACGGUUGUAAAGAGUUAGAUGGAGAAAUAUAGUAUAUAAUUAAAUUUAUUUUGUUCCUUAAAACGGGUAGGUUUUAUAAGAAUUUUCCAGAGGAGUGCUAAUAUUUCAACUUUUUUUCAAAUGAAGUGAUGUCCUGGAAUAAAAUCACUACUCUAUCAUUGCUAUUAGUUUGUCUUGUAUUUCAAUAAUUGUCGACAAGUAUUAAUUGUGAAUAUUAUUGUUUUAAAAAUUUUAUUAUUAUUAUCGUCGUUAUUCUUAACAGUAAUGACUAGAAUUAUAAUAAAAACAAUAACGUUAAUACAAUAAUAUAACAACAUAAUAAUAUUUUAAUUGAGAGGAUAAGAAUGAAAUUAUGAAAUUUAGGUUGGGUAAAAAUGAUGAGUAUGAGGAAAUUAAAUUACCAUUUUUUAAGCUAAACAAUUCAUAAAUUCCACAUAUUUCAUUCGUAUUUCUCUUAUAUUUUAACAAGUAAACAUUAUCAAUAAUUUUAAUAUUUUAAUUAAUAAACACGGCGUUAACUACGGAACUAAAAGAUCAAAAAAAAAAAAAAAAACAGAGACGCGUGUAUGUAUUGCUUGUGACAAAUCUCACCCGUGGAAAACUUUGUGAAAGGCAUUUGAAUGUGAGGCCACAUUUAAUGAACGAAACGAUAACUUUAAAAGAGAGUAUGUACUGUGUUAAUUAUUAGGCUUUAGCUUAAUGAUUGCAAUUAGUUUGUCUUGUAAUUAAAUUAUUGCCGACAAACACUAUCACGACCCACGUCCGCUACUUGUGUGAGUGCGUGUAUAAAUAUCCGCAGCAUAUUAUCAAACCUGAAGCGUACUAAUAAAGUAUUGGUUCCACUACAAUAGAGUCUCCUUAAGUGGUUUUGAUUGGGUUUGCUCCUCAGUUCGAGUCGCAGAAAAGUCACCUUUGUUGGGAGAACCUGUGCCUCUCAGUUCGAGCGGGGAUUUCUAGUCUGGAUUGUGAUACAGGCUUAAAGGUGCCUCCCACAGUUGGGGCCCUCCCCAGAAUACCUCGUUGUCAAAACCAAAAAAAAAAAAAAAAUCAAACCUGAAGCGUGAUCAUCUUUAAGUUUUGGUUAGGGUUGAUCAGACGUUGGAAGAUAUCUUUCCUAAUUUAAAGAAGAUGGAAACUCCUUAUCCAGGUUCUUAGGCCAUGUUCAGUUGAAUGUCAUUUAUAAUUUUUAUUUUAACAUUAUGUAUUUAUGAAUACAAUUAUUGUUUAUUUUAACAUUAUGUAUUUAUGAAUACAAUUAUUGUUAUGAUUUUUUCAGGUAAGAAUGGGUGGUCUGAGGGUAACCCAAUAACUAUGUACAAUAUUAUUAAUGAUGAGAGUGUGAAUGACAAUUUGGAUUUUAUUCUCGUCCCUCAAUACAGAAGAAAUCUUGACCAUAGCGGUUAAUUGCUAUGUAACUCUUUCGUAUUAUGUUUAAUUAAUAAUAAAAUGAUGGGUUAUUAUUACCUGUCAAUUAUGUGAGUGUCUCUGCUUGAUUUAGUUCACUUAUAAAAUAUCUUAAGAUAUACAAGAGAUUUUCUUUAUUUACUUUCAUGUACCGCGUCUUCUUGUAAAAAGAAACUAAUAAAAAAAUAUCAUUGUGUGCAAUGUAUUGACUAAGUUAGUGUAUUCAUGUUAGCUUAAUUGUGCUCUCUCUUCUUGAUUUUUUUGUUUUUUUUGGUUAAAACAAACUCCACAUAUUGUUGGUUAGCUAAUUCUUGCAGCUAGCAAGUGAUCCUUUUCUUUCCCCUACUGCCUGCCGUAGCAUCAAAUCCUGACAAUUAUAUAUCAAGUGGUAUUCGAGCCGUCAAAUGAUCCUUGGAAACACGCAACAAAUCAAAUGCUGAAUUUUGCCAAGAGAUUCACGAAAUCCUUGCUAGACAUGUCUUUUGUCCAGUUUAUUUCAAACUACGCGAGCAAUGUUCCCGUUACUGUUUAGUAUGUCUUUUGUUGUUUGCAAUGUAGUUAGGGAUGUUAGCGGGUAGGGUUUGGUACGGAUUUGACAUUACCAAAAGCCGGAUCUGUAAAAAAAAUUUAAUUAUCAAAUUCAUUGUGGGUUUUAUUUAUUCAUUUUUUUCCUCUUAACAAAGCCCAUCAGCUGCGGGUUUGAAUGGUACCUAGUGUAUAUUUUUGUGAGUUCCCACGUAUAAAAUCACACUUGCAACAAAACCUAAAAGUUAAAAUUAUGUAAUUCAAAUUAUAAAUUUAUAAUCGUAGCCUAAAAAACCACAUAAAAUACUUAAUUUUAGAUUUUAUUAAUGUAAAUGAGAAAUGAAAGUAAAACAUUAAAAUAAAUACACAAAAUAUAUCAAUUUAACAAAAAUUUUAAAUUUUAAUUACCAAAUACAUAAGUCUAUCGCAACUUAAAGUGCUUUCAAUUGAAAACGAAAAAAGAGAAAGAGAAAAAAAAAGAACUACAAAUCAAAGUAGCACCCGUGACCCAUUUCCCAGUCUCAUUCAAUACCACUAGCACCCAUCCAACGUGAUUUUUCUAAACAAAGUAUAAAGUACAAAAUUACAAUAAGCAUAUCAUACUCCAUGCUUUAAGUUAAAGAUCCUUAUAUAUUUUUAUGAAUAAUUUUUUCAUGAAAUUUUAUGAUUAAAAUUAAAAAUACAAACAUUCAAAUAAGAAUGUCGGACACUUGCGCAACUAUUUACCAAAAUUUUUCUCUAUAAAAAUCGACCUGCAACUUUCAAUAGGUUUAAAUUUAUAAUAUCAAACCUAAUUGCAGCUCGCAAAAAUUAUCUGUUGCGGCCAAGACUUUGGAUUUGCGAUGAUUUUGCCACCCUAAGUGUAGUUAGUAUUGUAUAUCAUGUGGCUCUUAUAAAAAGCCUAGAAGUUGUUUGAAUAAUGGGGGAGACACAUAUCUCCCAAAGAUUUUCUCUUUUUCAAAUUAUUAUUUCUUCUCUAUUAUUGUAACUUCGAAUCCUUAUAAAUUACAGAUUGGAGACAUGAACACAAUGUUUUGACAUAGUGGACUUUUGACUUAUCCAGAGAAAUUUAGGAUAGAUUUUUAUACACUAAGGUUCUAUUUACUAUUGAGGUUUUAGAACUUUUAAGCCACACUAGAAAUUUGUAUUGUUUUGAUUGGUAUUGAAUCAAAGGCAUAUUGAAUCAAAUAUUGUUUACAAUAGUUAAAGGCAUAUUGAAUCAAAAUCCACUUCUAAGGGUUUGAUUGAGUGAUUGUAAAGUAGGUUUUUAGUUUGCUAGCCACUCAAGUUCAAAUAUUGGAACCACAGAGCCUUAUAGCCAAGUGAGAGAACUUGUGCCCUAAAAAUUGAGGGGUGCAUAUCGAGUUUUACCACCAAUAAAAGUUGGUGUUAAAACUUUAAUUUCCCUCCUAUUGUGGAUAGGGGUAAUUAGGAGUUUACAUCCCCUCCUAUUAAUAGAUAGGGGUUAUUAGGAAUAUUAAAAAAAAGUUCAAAUAUUGAAAAUAUAGGUAUGGGUUAUAAAAUUCAUAAUAUAAAGACACAAAAUCAAGAUAAAGAUUUAAAAAUUUAGAACCAUGAGAGCGUGACUUGUAAGUUUCAAAAAAGUAUGUGUAAAUAUAUGCAUUAUUGAUGCCCCAAUUAAGGGUGGGCAUUAAGAAAAAAAAAUCCCAAAAAAUUAAAACUAACCCUAACUAAAAUAUUCGACCGCGGCCUCCUCGUUUUCUUUUCUUCUUCUUCCUCCUCUUGCUCACCCUCAAUGCCCAUUCAUGGAAAUCCAACAGCUCCAAACGCGUUUCAGCCGCUCGCACGUGUGAGAAUUUUUCCUUCUCAUGGGAUUAUUCUUCGCUUGCAUGCCAGCAGAAUAUUCAGGCCGAGGAUUUUUCCGGGCCUAGCCCAACUAUAAGCUCUCCCAAAACCCAAUCAUAAAGUUCAUAACGUUUAGCGUUUGCUAUUACUAUAAUUUUUUUUAACCAAUUUUCACAUUCAUCAACAAAGGCUGACAGAUUUUGCAGAAAAUAAAAUUAAAUAAAAGUACAAGCUCACGAAAUUCCUUUUCCGAUGUGGGAAUCUAUCUACACCUUUCACGUGCCUUUUUUUUUUUGGUUUAUCACAUGUUGAAGUUAAACAGUUGAAGUUAGUGAUGCAAGUUGAAGUUAGUGAUGCAAGUUGAAAGUUGAAAGUUGCAAAAGACUUGGUUGUGAUUUCUCCAAAGGAGAUUUUGAAAAUUUGUUCUGUUGAUUGCAGGUGGAUGAGUCUGUGACCAAGCUGGACUGCCGUGUGCCUCCAGUCCUCAAGCAAGUCCCUGCCCAAGCUCUCUCCGCGGCUCAAAUGGCUCCAGUAGUGGCACGAUCCGUGGCUUCUGAAGUGAAGACUGCCGGUGUAGCCGGCACCGCCUCAGGAAUGGCAAAAUCCGUUUACACCAAGUACGAGCCAGCAGCCAAGGAACUUUACUCCAAGUAAGAACCAAAAGCGGAGCAAUAUGCUGUAUCAGCUUGGCGCAAGCUCAAUCAGAUGCCACUAUUCCCUCAAGUAGCUCAAGUUGUUGUGCCAACUGCUGCCUAUUGUUCCGAAAAAUACAACCAAACAGUGGUGAGCGCUGCAGAGAAGGGGUACAAGGUCUCCUCAUAUUUGCCUUUGGUCCCUACUGAGAGGAUUGCUAAGGUGUUCAGCAACGAGGUUGUUGAAUCGCAGCCUCUGGCUUCUGCUGGACGUGAAGCUGAUGUUGCUGUGUAUUGAUAGCUGUGUUUUCUGUUUUCUGGCCUCACAAUUUUUCUUGCAAGCUGUGGAGUGAAAAUGUUUUCCUUUCUGGAUAUGGGUAUUGGGUUGAAAAUGGAGUGGAUUACGAUUAUUUAAUUUUUAAAGACAUUGCUUAAUUCUGUGGCGUCAGCAUAAUACUUUCUGUUUUUGACUUUUCUUCUGUGUUUAGAUUUUUAGUUCAUUGCUCUUAAUAGUGUUAAAAGUUGGUCACUUUCCUAAAGAAACUCUAAUGAAGGAAAUGAACUUUGGAAUUAAAGUAGAAAUUAUAUGAAAUAUUAAAUUUUAAUUAAAAUAAAAAAUAUAUUAAAAACAUCGUAAAGCAAAAAUUGAGCCAGCUAGAUCCAUUAAGAGUGGCUGGCCCAACCCAACGUCCCAACCCAACAUAACACAAUCACCAGAACUUGUGCUGAGUAUGAUUGUUAAUAUUAUAGCGUGUUUACUAAUAUCAUUCAAAUGUAAUAGUAAUGUAUAAUUAAACAAAAUCAAAAGUCUAUGAUUCCGCUAAUUUGGGGCUAGGGUUUUUCCUUUUCCCAUCCCUUGACUUAAUGAUUUUUAAAAAAUGAAAAUAAAACCCGCACGACAUGACGGGUUCAGUUCCGAUUUGGAUCAAAUUAAGUCCAGUUCGUUAUUGUGAAAUCGUAAUAAACAAAUAAAUUGGGGGCUGAAAAAUCUGGUCGGAAUUUCAAUUUGUAUUAAUUAAUUGACUUUUUGAAUUGCUUUCCAAUAAAAUUAAGCUAUGUUCAAGUGUUUGUAUUUUGGUAAAUUGUGCUGCAUCUAUUUUGCUCAUGUGAUUGUUAAUUUAUUUUGUUUUUCUAGGUUUUGUGGGUAUGAUUGUUAAUUUAUUUUGUUUUUCUGAGUUUUGUUCAUAUGAUUGUUAAUUGAUUUUGUUUGUUCUUUUCUUUACGUGCUGUAAUUUCAUUUUCCGUUGGGGUAAAUUCAAGAAUUAUGAUUUAUGAGUCUAAAUUGUUUUGAACGUAUAAUAUGCGAGGGUUCUGCCUACAAUUACUUUGGCUAGUGUGUCAACUGCAGGCUCUGUGGAGGGUAAGGUAAAAUAGUUUAUGAAUAAAUUGAAAAAUUGGUGAUAUAGGUGGUUACGGCUGAAAUUGUAGAAGAGUUUUAUUCAAUUUCUACCUAGUAAAUGUGAUAUUUACAAUCUCAGCAGAUGAGAGAGUAAGCUUUGCUAUUCAAUACAUGUUUCAUUAAUUCACUUGGGUAUUGAAACCCCGAAGCUUUUUUUUUUUUUUUGAGCAAAGGGAACCUUAUUCGGACUGUUCAACUAAGAAAAAAUGAUACAAGGAAAUGAAAUUAAGUGCCAUGAGGCAUCAGUGCCUACCUCAAUGCUUUCUUCUAUAUGUAACAUUUCUAAUACAUAGUAUGUACAUGAGUGAAAACCUUUGAAGUAAAUAAAUAUAUGUUUACUCUAUCAAAAUUGGACUUCCCUGCAAAUGCAAUCCCAUGAUUGACAAAAAAUGGCCAGCAUCGCUGUGGUGCCAUGUCUGAAAUUUGCUAAAACAACUCGGAGACGGCAUGGGGCACAAGAAGAGAGUUCUUAAGUUCCAAAAUUGUCUACGAUCAAGUGUUGGGAUGGUGAAUGCUUUCACCAUUUAUGCAACUGAGCGGUGAUACUUUUCACCACAGGAUAAUAUUCUGUGUGCACGUGCUUUUUAGCUUUCUCUGAACCAGGUUGCUCAAGCCACUCAUCAUACAAGCUUUUCACCAGAGAAUUUUUGAAAGGAUCAGCUACCAUUACAUUUUCCAAAUAUAUGGUUUCCAGUGUCUUAAUCAACUCCUUCGGUGAUUGCCCUGGCUUAGGCUUGACCUGACGUCCACCAUUCAUGCAACCUGAAGGGCAUGCCAUGAUCUCCACAAAGUGAUAAUCACAUUUUCGCAUUUUCACUCUCCUGACAAUGUUUUGCAGGUUCUGGAAGCCAUAACAUAGGGCAAAUUUCAACAACGUUUUUCCCUCCACUUCCAGAGCCACCUCUCGGAAAUCAGAGUUUCUGAUGGUUUUAAAUUCUAGACGACCUUCAAUAACUUUUCCAAAUAGUGUUUUAGCAGCAUGUCUGAAUACUGUUUCUGCAUAACCACCAGAACUUCCAGCGACCCCAUAAAGAUGUCCUUCAUCAUCAACAUUGGUCAAGAUAAUGCCCCAUAAUAUAGAAUAUCCAACAAUAAAACAUGCAUGAAAAUAAAUGCAAGUAAAUCGAGAUUAUGAAAAUCAUUCACCCACAAAAUGAGAGUGCCACAAUGAAUACCCAAAGCAGGCCACCAACAAAAUUUAAAACAAAAGUAAUUCGUGUAAAAUAUUAAUGGAGCCAAGCAAAGAAAACACAAGAAAUAAGAGUUUUGUUAUUUUACCUGUAGCACUAGGGUGCCAACUCUAACGUCUCCAACUAAAACAAUAAUACAUUUAUUGGUGGAAAAGGCAGAACGUUCAAGACCUUCGUAGCUAGUUUCAAUGGCAAGGGGAACGCUUGCAACCUCAACUCCAUACAUCAGUUUGUUAUUUGUUUAAACACAUAAGUCGUAAAAAUAUUUUCAACUUACUACAUGUGUUUUUUUACUAAGCAGUUGUUCCCCUCCAGGUGACUGGACAUAAACUCUAUUUAAUUUUUUAUAUAUUUUAUAUUUUGAAAAUUUGAUUUAUUGUAGACAAACAAGGGAGUUUGACAUAAUAAAUUCUUAAUUCUUAAUAUAAGGUAUGACAAAAUGAUAUUUUCAUUUAUUCUAGACAAAUUAAAUUUUGUCACAAUAAAUAUUAAUCCAUCAUAAAAUUAAAGGGAAAAUAAUGAUAAUUUAUAUAAUUAAUCUUUUCGGCAAUAAAUCUAAAUAAAAAAUGGUGAAAAGAAUUUAUUAAAUUUUAUUUACUACUAAGGGUGGAUCCAUAACCUUAGCCAUUUUUAGCAAAAGUAAAAUAAACAAAUAAAUAUUUUUUUGUGUAUCGACCUCGAACUCACCGAACUAUAAUAUAACAAGACACUCUUAUACUUGAGAGUUAAAAAUUACUUUUAAGUUGUGUCACCUAGAAGACUCUCUGUGUGUUAUUAUAUUAGGAGAAUUAUAUGCUUUCUACUUAAUAAAUUAAGAUUUACAAUAAAAUAUACUGACUAAAAGGGAUGCAUAUAUCCAACACAAUUUCUUUCGAACACUAAAAUUAUUAUUUUUUAUUUCACACUUAUUACUUUAAACUCUUAUACGAAACAAAUAAGGGCUACUAAAUAACAUGUCAGAUAAUUUUAUUACUUCUUUAAUUAUUACAAUUUAAUUCGGGCUUCUUCUGUAACAAACUAUACAACUCAUACUUUCUAUUACUUACAACAAAUAAAAUAGAGUGUCGAAUAUAUUUUUCUCUUUCUUUUUUAUUGUUUGAACUUAUCUUUCAUCUCAAUUAAGCCGCUAUUUCUUGGUUGAUGAUUUACUAUUUUUAAAUUUAUUGUUGUUAUUAUUACGCAAAUUAUCAUCACGCAAAUUAACAUGUACCAAUUUUUCCAUUUUCCAAUUGCAUAUAUAUUUACUAAAUGCUUCGGUACCGAUGUAAAGCAUCUCCUCAUACUGUCGUCAUCUUAUUUCUUCAAAUUAAUUAAAUCUAACAUGUAAUUUCAUUCCUGUAAAUUUACUUUAAUCUCAUCGCAUACAUUACAUUAUUUUUUAUUUUAAUAAAUAAUUUCUGCUAUAAUUAUCCUAUUACUUAAUUUUGAAAUUGUCAACAAUGAAUAUUAACCUACAUUAAUAGAUUAUGGGACAUUCUCCUAUCAAAUUACUGUUUUCUAAGGAACUAUCUUUUAUGCCUUCUAACGUAACCCUUUUAUCUUCCCUGAUGAACAUAAGAUUCGAAAGUCCUGUAACAUAUUUAGGUACGAGGCAGCAAUUUCACCUUCUAAUUUGAAAAGGAAACUGUAUUAUUCUUACUUUAAAUAACCCUUCAUACCUUAUUGAUGGGUAGAGAGACAUUUUGCAUCCCGUGCGUUACAAUUUUCUUAUUGAUGCCGACAUUCGUGCGAUUCACAUCUCGGUGUCCGAUUGAUAUUGUUUAUCGCCUCCAGCCGGCCGGGGGGGGGGGGGGGGGGUGCAUCUGUCACUAUACAACAUAAUCAGGCCUUCAUUCUUCUCAUCCGCCGCCAAUAUCGUUCAUCUUUGUUCUUUACCACAUGUUCUUGUUCAUUUAAUUUGGAUAUGUUGGUCCACAUCCCCCUGCACACGAAGGUUCACUUUUACGGGUGUUCGCGUCUCAGAUUUUGCGGAUUGCACAUCAAUCCAUAUAUUUUUAAUUCAAUAUAUACUAUUUCUCCUGAUUUCAUGAGUUUUUCCAGAUUUAGAGACUUAAAUCCUUUUCCAAUCCAUCUAAUACGGAAUUUUUUAAUUAUGCUAAUUUAUUAGGGUCUUAUUCUGUAACAAACUAUAAAACUCAUAGUUUCUAUACUUACAACAAACAAUUGAGACUGUCAUAAAAAAUAGUUAAAAUAGAGUGUCGAAGAUAUUUUUCUCUUUCUUUUUUCCUCUUUUAAUUGAUCAAUCAUCUCAAAAAAGCCUCCAUUUCUUGGUUGAUGAUUUACUAUUUUUAAAAUUAUUAUUAUUACACAAAUUAUCGUCGUCGUCGUCGUCAUAAUUAUAAUAUUAACCAUUACUAGUUUUAUUAUUAUUGUUGUUGUUAUUCAAAUUUGGAAAUGACAUGGCCUAUUAUUUAAACUCUAAGGAUAAAAUUAAAAUUACAUAUUAUUCAGGUUAAAUGGAAUUUUUCCCUUUUUUUCCCCACCAAUUACUUUUGCAAUGCAUUGCCUGAUCAUUUUUUUAUUAUUUAUUUAUUUAUUAUUAUUAUUAUUAUUAUUAUUAUUAUUAUUACACGCUACAUAAUUUUUCUUCACAUUUUUUUUAUAUGGUUUUCAUUUACUCAACUCAUACGCAAAUUUCCCACAAAAUCGAAUUAUACACUAACUCAACUGUAAAUUCAUGCCAGGCUACUUUUAAAAUUACAGUUGAUAUUUCGCAUUUUUUUUCCCACCAAGCACGCAAUUCAUUACCUUAAAUCCACUUCCAAAUGUUUUCGUCACUAUUUUCGAAAUUUUCAAAUCAUUCUAACCCCAACCCAUACUUGCACGCUUCCAACUUCUUGCUUUUAACCAAUACUUGCAUGCACUUUUUUUAAUUAUUUUACAUGCGUUACUGUUACAACUUCCAACUACUACAGGCGUUUUUUUGGUCAAAAAGUUGAUUCCCUGCAGUGUUACCGGCCCAUUACCUUUAUCUCAGGUUACUCUCUUGCGUCUGUGUGUCUCUUCUGCAGCCACGAGAUGAAAUCUAACGGUGACCAUGCUACAAGACAAACGACUUGGGUACGAAACCCAUGACGCAAAGUAGCUGCGGCCUAAAUCAGGUAGGAAAAAUAAAAAGUUAAUUAUUGAGUUGUAAUGGUGCAACUAAGGUUUUGAAACAUUAAGAUCUUUAGCCAUUAUGUUACUAUCCCGUAGUUAUUUAAGUUAUAAGAGAUAGUAAAAAAUAACAUCAUGUAAUUAUUUAAGUUAUAAGAGAUAGUAAAAAAUAACAUCAUAUUUUAAUUACUUACACUAAUCCUACAAGUGCUAAUGGUCUAAAGUUGCUGCUGCUUGCACUGAAUCAGUGGUCAUGGGCCAGCCAAGGUUAGGUGAGGCCAACUCAUUAGCUUGAGAAACUUAAAGAAGUCUUAGGUUUGGAAAAGAUGGGGCACAGGUUAUAAAUUUUUUUUGAGUUUUGGAUUGAAGGAACAAAAUUGUUGAUGUCUAGCUCACAAUAUUUGAAGUCACUCUGUGCUUCAUCAUGUAAAAUGGAUUGAAUUGCUGUAAGAUCAAGUCAAAUUAAAAUGUUUAAACUCAUUUUUAAGAAACGAAUUCUCAAUUGGACCAGCCUUUCACAGAAGCUGAUAUCACAGAAGCUUUGAGUCAGAUGCAUCCAACCAAAGCCCCUGGCCCAGAUGGUCUCCCAACAGUAUUUUUCCAAAAGCUUUAGAAUUCAGUAAGCGAAGGAGUUAUAGCCACUUGUCUGCAUAUCCUCAAUGAUGGAAGUAAUAUUGCUCCUUUGAAUCAUACAUACAUUGCUUUAAUCCCCAAGAUAGCAAAACUUAGGACUCUGAUGGAGUAUAGACCAAUCAGCAUAUGUAAUGUAAUUUAUAGGAUCAUUGCAAAGACUAUAGCGAAUAGACUGAAGCUAAUCUUAGAUCAUGUUAUUUCGCCAACUCAGAGUGCUUUUAUGCCAAAUAGGCUUAUAACUAAUAAUAUAAUUAUUGGGCAUGAGUGUCUUCAUAAGUGGACAAAGCUAAGUUCCAGAGGUGAGAUAGGAAAUUCUCCCGCACGACAUAGUAGAAACAAACUUUCCCUUUCAUUUUCUUUCUUCUUUCUCGCUCUCCAAACAGAGCAAAAGGACCGUCGCAAGAUUCUUCACUUCCAUCCAAAAUCAUGAGCAACGAAUAGUGAGCCUCCCUGUUUCCUUCCUUUUUUUGAUAUUAACAUUGUUAACAUAUACUCAUUUUAAUUUGACAAUACUUCAACUUUUUUUUAUUUUUUUGCCUUUUCAUUUUUUUUGUUGAAGCAAUUAUCUGUUCAAGCUGUUGCUUAUCGGAGACUCGUCUGUCGGAAAGUCCUACCUGCUGCUCCGAUUUGCUGUCUGUUGACUUUUCCUUUCCCUUCUUAUUUUCUUUUUUUUAUAUUAAUUACUUUCUAUUUUAGCUUUUUGUUCUCUGAAUUUGUGUUAUUAAAAUGAUAAUUUAGAUGAUAAAUAAUUGUUAUUCUUGUAAAUUUCGAUUUUCAUUACGUUAAUUGUUAGUUUUUAGGUUUAUUAAUGUAAUUUUUUUUUUCAAUUUUUCAGGAUGAUUCUUAUGUCACAGCUACAUCAGUACCAUUGGAGUUGAUUUUGUGAGUCUCUCUUCUAUAUAUAUGUAUAUAUGUGUAUAAGUUAUAAUAUGAGUCUAUGUACGUGUAUGAAUGUAUGUGUAUGUAUAUGUGGAAAGAAAUGUUGGCAGACUUCAGCAUUUUACUCUUUUUUUUUUUUUGGCAGAAAAUAAGAACUGUGGAGCUGGAUGGGAAGACGAUCAAACUGCAGAUUGUGAGUCAAAAUUUCCUUUUAUCUUGUAUUGAGAGAAAUUCGAUUUGUCUUAUUUAGUGAAGGUUAUGUUCAAGAACCUCUUCUUAUUUUCUUUGUUUGAAGAGUGAUAUGUUGAAAUGAGUGUAUUUGUCUUAUAAACAUCAUUUAGGUAAUGUCUGAUGUUUGAUUGUUUUUCAUCUGUUUAGUGGGACACUGCUGGACAGGAGCGAUUCAGGACUAUAACUAGCAAUUAUUACCGAGGAGCCCAUGGAAUCAUAGCAAGGAGCCUUCCCGGUUCUUGGUUUAAAUCAGAAAGUUUGUGAUUUACAUGUGACAUCUUAACAGCAUUGUAUGUGUUUAUUAACUUAUUUUUCAUCUUUCAUUAAGCAGUACAUUUUCCAAUAAAUCUGUAUACAAGAUGAUGUAGUCCAAGAAUGGGAGCCAUAAUAUGAUGCAAAUUGUCUAAUAAAUUCUUAUGACAUAUGAUGUUGUCGGAAGUAAAAGUCUUGCAAUGCUGUAUUCUCUUUUAAGAAAGAAUAAGUGGUAAUUUUUUUUUUCCAAUUUUUUAAUUGAGCAACUGUAUGAGAUUAAUUAAAUGUGUUGGGAUUUCAACAGAUUGUCUAUGAUGUAACUGAGAUGGAGAGCUUCAAUAAUGUCAAGCAGUGGUUGAAUGAGAUUGACAGAUACGCAAAUGACAGUGUAUGCAAACUUCUAGUUGGGAACAAAUGCGAUUUAGUUGAGAACAAGGUUGUGGACACACAGACAGCCAAGGUAUAUUCGUGACUUCUUUCGCCUGAACUUUGAAUAUAAUUUUAAACUCUUCUCAAGUGCAUUUGCUUGAUAAGUUUCUGCAUACCCAGGACACUCAAACUUUGGACAGUGUAUCUCGAGUUGGAAUCUUUUCUGCCAAUACGACUUGUUAAAAUAAUGGUUAUUAUCGUUUGAAUCAUUCAAGAAUUGCAAUAAAUCUAAAGUCCAUAAAAAAUAUGAUUCCAUCAUUUUACUAUUAUAUCUAGACAAAACCCAUUAUUUUACUACAUUUCAUUGGCACCGAUAGUUGACCUGUUGGCUGACUGAUAAAAUCUCAAUUUUGCACUUUACAUUAAUUCUUUUUUGGUUAAAAAAUAACACACAAAGUAUUACAAUAUUAUAAAUUCAAAAUAUAAAGUAGUUACAAAUAAUUCCUAUUAGCCUAUGAAUAUAAUAUUUGAUACCUCUAUUUGUGUAAUUUUUUUUCCAAUGGUGAAAUUGUUAUUUUUUUUGUACUAACGGAAAUGUAGUAAAAUCAUAAGUUUUGUAAAGAUAUAGUAGUAAAAUGAUAGACUAAAAUACUUCUUGUAGUUGUUUGAUAUAUUGUAAUUCUUAAAGUACUCAAUUGAUAAUAUCCCCUAAAAUAAAUGUUCGUAAUAUGUUCUCAUUUUAAUGCAACUGAUUGUUUAAUAAAAUUGUAUUUCUUUGUUAAUCUUUUAUCAUGUGCAUGCUCAGUGAGAAUUUGACUUACUAGAACACAAGUUUGACUCUUCAUUUAAAUGUCUCUUGUAUCAUAUCCUUCAAUGUUGUGUGUGAUUCCAAUAAAAUUGAGUAGGGAGAUCCUUAAAUACCUUUUCCUUUUUUCCAAGGGCCUGUCAAAUUGCUCUAAGUGAUUCUACCCUUUAUCAAUGAAUAAUGAAAAUAAAAUUUUUAUUAAAGCAGUUUUUUCCGUAAAUGGUGACUAAUAGUACCCCUUUUUUUGGAGAGGAAAGUCAAACAUGCCCAAAGAGAAUCAUUUACUUUCCUCUAAUGUAUUUUCUAAUUCGUUUUGACCCUUGAAUGUCUGUUUUGGUGCGUAUUCUCAUUCCAUGUCGAAUCUUAUCCAUAUGGACAACCCCACUUACAAAAAAGUCUAAUGAAUCUAUUGAUGUUCAUAUGAGGUUUGUGCUUUAGAUUUAGACCUCUCUCUCUCUCUCUCUCUCUCUCUCUCUCCACUUACAUGUCUUUCACUUACCUGUUUGCAUGCAUGCCCAUGCACACACUUGCAAGUUAAUACACAGUCACUCGUACUUGUGUUUUGGUUGAGCUACUGGCUGCUAACCUCUGUAAUUCAGUUUGAAACUUGCCCCCCUUAGUGCUUCACUCAAAUGGUUGGUUAGGGUGAGAUCUGUAUCGUUUUCCUGGUCUCUUUCCAAGGUUAUCUAAAGGGAUUUGGCAGUCUGAUUCUUUAGGGAAUAUCAUUGCAUAAGAUAUCUAUUGUUUGUUAAUGAAUAAUUUCUAUUAACUAGUUAUCUAUCUAAAUUGGUAAAUUUUAACUGCAUAAUUUGCAUGCAAUAAGAUUUUAUAAGAAUCUUGUUUUCAACUCAUGACUUAGACUAAUGUGAUAUGUUGAGCAUUAAGCUACAAGAUCUGCACAUCAGAGUGCUUCACGAUGUUAAGGAGAAAGCAUCUUUUUCUGCUUCUUAAUGUGAUUUAGAGUUUCCAUGUUACUUAUCCUAUAAAAUAUCUUUCAAGACUUUGCAAAUGCUUUUAUUUAUGACUGAGAGAAACUUGUUGGGUUGGUUUUUAGCAACAGACGGAGUUAUGGACUUUGUAUUGACUUGUUAUUGAUUAAGAUAGUACAUCGGCUGAUCUAUUGGUAUCAAGCAGCAGAUGCAGAAAUUAUGGGUGGCAUAUCAUUGUAUCCAAAGAGCGUACUACAUGGAAUUUUUCUGAUUUUCUGUUGGUCUCCGAGUGAAAUGCAGGCAUUUGCAGAUGAACUGGGGAUUCCUUUCCUGGAGACGAGCGCCAAAGAUGCAAUCAAUGUGGAGCAGGCUUUCUUGACCAUGGCUCGCGAGGUUAAGAAAAAGUAAAAUCACUUAACUCUUUCCUUCUUGCCUUAUGAUUGAUUCUGUGAUCCAUCACCCAUUUGUAAAUGCUGACUGUUCUAUUCAACAAUCACCAUUAUUGCUGGUUAUAUGCAUUGUGAUGAAAAUUCAGCAAUGAGUAACUUUUUACCUAAUGUUUUCUGUUGGAACAAAUUACUCUGGUAGAAAAGCCCUACAGGGUUUGAGAAAUCCCAUGAUGUGAUGAUUGUGAGCAUUUUAGACACCGUGUAUGGGUUUAUUUUUUGACUAUAAAAUGUUAAGAUUGUUUCUAGUUUUCGUUUGUAGUGCAUAAAAGGAUUCAAAAUUUGACAUCUGUCUAAAUCAGAUUAAUAACAUGAUAAUGUACAUAUGCAAGAUGUGAGGAAUUGUUUUAUCUCACCCCUAAACUUUAAGAAAUUGAAACAUUAUCAUUCAAAAUAUUUAACAUUUCCAGAAUUGAUAGUUGUCUAUUUGAGCAGUGACUGGUGGUUAUCAUGAACUGAUGUGUGGUUGUGGUGUCAAAUCUUGGUGAAACCUGUUGUCAUCUGCCGGUUAACAUAGCUAGUCUCUGAAAUAAUUUCUUGAUUCACUAAUUAUGAGUUCAAAUUUGAUGCAGGAUGGGCAACCAGCCUACUGCAAACAAAUCUUCUGGAACAGUUCAGAUGAAGGGACAGCCAAUCCAGCAAAACAGCAACUGCUGUGGUUAGCCGAGCCUGUUAUUUUACUACUACAUGUUAGCUGACUGAUUGUAGACAGUUUUAACUAUGUUGACUGCAUUAUCUUAUGAAUCUUUUAAUAUGUCAAAUAUUUAUUUCCUGCUUUAAGUUCUUUCCGUUUAUAACAAAUUUAAUUUCUUGCUUCAUCGCAUUCCAAAUUCCUGUCAAUUUACGAGGGAAAAAGAAAAGAGAGACGAAAUCAGAGAAAAUGGUCAAAUUUGUUAGGGGGAGAGAGCUGUUCAAGUAGUUUCUGUUCUUGUUUAUUGUCGUGACCCUCUUGUAGCUUGUCUAUGACCUGGAAGUCCGGUCAAAUCGGAUGGGUAAAGUUACCAAAACGGCAUCAUUUUGGGUGAAAUAUCAUAUUUAUGUCACACUUUUGAUAAUAAUUUUAAUGCAACAAAAAAUUGUUCGCGGUACCCUUUUCACAUUGUGAAGCGCAUGAUCGGAUGGGAGCAGUCUGGAUUCUGGCAUCACAAGCUAAUGCUUUGAUUUGCUUAGUUUGUUUUUUGUUUCUGAUAUUUUCUUGUCAGUGGGUGGGAUAUUGUUUCACUUUCGAGUUUCCUUUUUUUUUUUUGUUAUGGAAUUUGGAGAUAGUGUACAUGUAUGAAGAUGACGUAAUAAAGUUGUUUUGAUAAAUUCUCCUGGUCGGUUUACUUCACUAACCAUUAAUGCACAAAGCCACCUAAUGACCCUAAAAAAUCCCAUACAUAAUUAAAGAAUUUCAAUUUUUUUUGUUAUGGAAUUUGGAGAUAGUAUACAUGUAUGAAGAUGACGUAAUAAAGUUUUGAUAAAUUCUCCUGGUCGGUUUACUUCACUAACCAUUAAUGCGCAAAGCCACCUAAUGAUCCUCAAAAAUCCCAUUCAUAAUUAAAGAAUUUCAAUUUUAUAUGUACAAAAAUAAAUGACUCAAAUAUAUUAUUUGAUAAUUUCAAAAACAAUAAUUCACUCUAAUAAAUCUCGUAGCAAAUAUAUGAACUGUAUUGCAAGUCUUUUCGAGACUAAUUCAAAGGAAUACGAAUGACAUAUAAUUGACAUUUACCUAUCAUAAAGAACUCUAAAUAAAUUCAUAUAUGCAUCGCAGUUAAUUACAGCCUUGAUACUUCAAUUGGUUUUUGUUAAUUUUCUGUACAGUUAUGCUGUGCAUAAAAGUUUUGUUAAAUGAAAUUGAUAGGUGAAGAGAAUUUUUAGAAGCAGUCAUCAAAGUAAUGAUCAAUAUAAAUAUUGAUUGUCUCAAGUUAGAUUAUACAAAGAUGAAAUAAUGCUAAUAUAGUAAAUUCAAUCAUAAUAAUUUGACUUCCAUUAUAUUAAUUAUGUCCAAUCAUGCUACUUUAAUAAAGAACGCUCGAGCAUUUAUAUGUAUACAACAUACGAAAUUAAUUACAAAACUAUCUUUGACAAAGUCUGACCGGUCAACUAUCCAUCAAAUUUUGUAUUGUGUUACCGUUGAGCUCUUAUGUCAAAUAUGGAUAGACAGUGCUUUGGCUAACAGUGAGAUAUAUGCGAGCAUAAGAGCUUCGUUCUCUGUUUUUACGGUGUUUCUCUUUGUGGUUGUUGGACGAACUCUAAUGUGAAUUUCUAUCUAGUGGGUAUCCUGAUACUCUUAGUUAGUUUGGGAUUGUUGUUUUAUAUAUAAUAUUCAGUAUCCAAAAUUCAUAUGAUGAUAACCUUCAUUACUUUUGUCAUAUUUUCUUUCGUGUUGGUGUUAGUAUCUUAAUUUUGUACCCGAUGUUAAGGACAAUAUAUAGCUAAUUUGAAACUUCUAUAAUUUUACAUAUAUAGACGCAAAUUCAUUUUUAAGAGUGCAUUUAAUCAAGCAGUCCAGAUGUUUAUACUGAGUAAGUGGUUCAAUAUUAAUACAAAACUAUUUUAAGUAACAUGUGGCAUAUUCCAAUUCCAGUGAGCUUCCAACUCAGAUUCCCAAUUCAAAAGAAACGUUUUCAAUUUUCUCCAGAACAUUCUACAAAACGUUUCUUCUAGUCUCUACGCUGUGCUAGAAUUUUCUCUAAGUUUCUUUUGCAAAGACUUUUAAAGAAUUAUCCAAAUACCGAGCUUUCUUAGGGGGAGAGAGCUGUUCAAGUAGUUUCUGUUCUUGUUUAUUGUCGUGACCCUCUUGUAGCUUGUCUAUGACCUGGAAGUCCGGUCAUAUCGGAUGGGUAAAGUUACCAAAACGGCAUCAUUUUGGGUGAAAUAUCAUAUUCAUGUAACACUUUUGAUAAUAUUUUUAUGCAACAAAAAAAUGUUGUUUCACAUUGCUUAGUUUAUUUUUUGUUUCUGAUAUUUUCUUGGCAUUGGGUGGGAUGUUGUUUCUCUUUUGAGUUUCCCUUUUUUUUUUUUUAUUAUGGAAUUUGGAGAUAGUGUACGUGUAUGAAGAUGACGUAAUAAAGUUGUUUUGAUAAAUGCCCCUGGUCGGUUUACUUCACUAACCAUUAAUGCGCAAAACCUUCUAAUGAUCCUAAAAAAUCCCGUACAUAAUUAAAGAAUUUUAUAUUAUUUGAUAUGUACAAAAUUUUAUAUGUACAAAAAUAAAUAACUCUGAAAUAUAUUAUUUGAUAAUUUUAAAAACAACAAUUCGCUCUAAUAAAUCUCGUAAGAAAUACAUAGUCUAUAUUGUAAGUCUUUUCGAGACUAAUUCAAAGAGAAAAUACGAAGGACAUAUAAUUGACCUUUAUCUGUCAUAAAGAAUUCUAAAUAAAUUCAUAUACGCAUCGCAACUAAUUACAACCUUGAUACUUCAUUUGGUUUUUGUUAAUUUUCUAUACAGUUGUGCUGUACAUAAAAGUUUUGUUAAAUGAAAUCGGUAGCUGAGGAUUAAUUAAUCAAUUAAUUAAGAUCCAGUUAAUGUAAUUAAUUUUAUUUGAUUUUUUUAAUUCGAGUUCUAAAUUAAUCAAUUAAUUAGAUUCAUGUGAAAUUGAAGUGAAUUAGUUUCGAUAUGUUUUUCGUCCUAUGUUUGUCUGUGUUUACUCUCACUUUUUUUUUGUUUAAAUUUUCGUUUUCUUAUUGUUUACUGAAUAAAUUUCUGAGCUGUAUUUGAGUAUGAUGAUUGAUUUGUGAUUUUAAUUUGUGACUUUUUUUUUUGGAAUUUAAAUCUGAAUGCUUUUUAAGUUGAAUCUGAUUGUGUUGGGCCGCGAUUUAAUUGAGUGAUGUGUGAGCGCCAAAUUGUGAGAGCCAAAUAUUNNNNNNNNNNNNNNNNNNNNNNNNNNNNNNNNNNNNNNNNNNNNNNNNNNNNNNNNNNNNNNNNNNNNNNNNNNNNNNNNNNNNNNNNNNNNNNNNNNNNNNNNNNNNNNNNNNNNNNNNNNNNNNNNNNNNNNNNNNNNNNNNNNNNNNNNNNNNNNNNNNNNNNNNNNNNNNNNNNNNNNNNNNNNNNNNNNNNNNNNNNNNNNNNNNNNNNNNNNNNNNNNNNNNNNNNNNNNNNNNNNNNNNNNNNNNNNNNNNNNNNNNNNNNNNNNNNNNNNNNNNNNNNNNNNNNNNNNNNNNNNNNNNNNNNNNNNNNNNNNNNNNNNNNNNNNNNAUAAAUAACAUUGCAAUACAAUCUAGCCCUUACGUGUUUAAUUAGCAAUUACACGAACAUUAUAACACUCUGUUGCUGAUGCGGCAGCUAGUAAUUCUUCUGGUGAAGAUAUUAAGGCUGUUAAAGCUAAAAUGUAAUCAGAGAAAUAUAAUGCAUUCCCUUAGUUUGCUUUUUGUUUUUGAUAUUUGUUUGGCUAAUGCUUUGCUUAGAUUGCUUUUUGUUUUUGAGAUUUUAUUGGCUUAGUCAUGGUAUAUUGUUUUCUCUUCUAAUUUUCUAUUUUUGUCGUUAUGGGAUUUGAUGAUGGUGUACACAUACGAAAAUUAUGUAAUAAAGUGCUUUCAAUAAAUCAUGGUCGGUUUACUAUUAAUUAAUUAAAUUUAAUUAACUCAAAUUACUCUUGUACACAACCAAAAUAAUUUCAAUUCUACGAUAUGUAUACACACGCGCACACACAAACAAAAAGUAAUUAACUUUCAAAUAUUUGCCAUGCUAUUUUAAUAAAUAGUACUUGAGAAUAUAUAUAUCCAACAGGUAAAAUUUCAAAACAAUAUUUGCCGAAGUCUGAUGAAGAGAAUAUACACGCACACACAUAUAUAACCGUACAGCAGAAGGAUAAAUAAAAGAAAAUAAAGUUUCAACAGCUGAAUAAUGCAAACUCAUUUUUUUUAACAAGCAUUUUAUUGUUUAAUUUAAAAAAUUCGAAAACCGAUUGGUCUUAUAUACAUGAUAAAGACUCACCGACGCCGAACCAUAUUCAUUUAAAUUAGUUUCAACUGAGAUUUGAUUUGAAAUUACAUACACAAACACGCUCAAUUUAAAAAUAAAAAAUAGUAAUUAUAAAAUAUUUCUGUCGUCCUCCAUUCAAUUAUCAAAAAACGACUUUAUAAUCGAUUUUAACAUAAGGUAUAUGGGUUAACAAGUCCCAAUAUUGUCCUCCAUCCUUUCUGCACUUCUCUUCUAUCAACGGACAUCUCCAGAUCUGUAAUUGCAAAAGUGAGGAAGGCAGGCCCUUCUCCGGAAAGUAUUUAAGCUUGGGACAUCCAUGGAGUCGCAAUUCAGUGAGGUUUUGAAGAUCAACAAUUGAAGAAGGUAGGCGUUCCAGAUUUGAAAAUAAAAGAAUGCUCAGAGAUGUUAGAGAGGCAGGAAGAGGAAGCGCGGUCCCUAAUCUUUUGUCCUCUAGUGGAAAUGACACCAUGUCGUCAUAACAUCCUCCGAUUUCUAGAUGUCGCAUAGAGGAGAAUCUGUGAAAUCCCCGACCCCGCUCAACCAUUGACUUCCAAAUCUCCAUAUUACCCCUGAUAUGAAGUGACUGAAUCUUGGUGGGAAGGCCAUCUUCUUCAAGGCUUGGAAGCUCACCUCCUAUUCUUAAUUCUUGAACAGAAGUCAGGUUGUGCAAUCCCUUGGGUAAGGCCUCUAGUCUCUUGCACCAACGGAUACAGAGCUUAGUGACUUUCGCACAAGGCANNNNNNNNNNNNNNNNNNNNNNNNNNNNNNNNNNNNNNNNNNNNNNNNNNNNNNNNNNNNNNNNNNNNNNNNNNNNNNNNNNNNNNNNNNNNNNNNNNNNNNNNNNNNNNNNNNNNNNNNNNNNNNNNNNGAGACGUGUUGUAGUCCAACCUUUCUGCUAUGGACUCCAGAUUUCCACACAUCUGUAUACUAAUCUUUCGAAGCUGGCGGAGAUUAUGUAAACCACUCGGUAAAAUUUUGAGAUUUUCACAAUGAUAAAUGUUGAUUUUUUCAAGAGAUGUGUUGUUGUCCAACCUUUCUGCUAUUGACUCCAGCUUUGAACAAUGAGAAACAUAAAGGGACUUAAGAGACGGAGGUAGAUUGCCAACUUCAAGGGACUCAAGCGUGGCAGGUAACUCGUUUUUUGAAAAUAUACAUGUCAGUGAUGGACAAUCCCUAAUUUCCAACUCCUCGAGAAGAGAUGAGGUGUACCUUCUGCCGCUGCUACUCUGGAUGCCCUCUUCCACUGUCAAAGUCCUUAUAUUAUCGCAACGCCAGAUCUUCAACUUCUUAAGGCUCGAUGGUAGCUGGACAGCAGCAAUAUAUGUCAACGAACAACAAUACUGAAUAUUCAAGAUCUCGAGAGACGAAUGGGUGUCGCACAUCCAUGCCUCUGGUAACGAUUUCAGUGCAUCACAAUGCCCAAUCUGAAUUUCCUUCAACUUGGAAGGCAGAGCAACCUCAGGAAACGAAACAAGGGAACUGCAGUUGUAGAUUUCUAUCUCUCUCAAGGAACUGAGGCUGAACGAUGAUUGUGGCAGCUUCACAAGGCCUUCGCAUCGGUUCAAUUCUAGAUAUUCAAGUCUGCUUGACAAUUCGCAGAGCUGCUGUUGUUGGUCUUUCUCUUCCUCCGCCACCAAGGAUUGAAGUUUGGGACAUCUGUCAAUCGUCAGUCUUUUGAGAGAGCAAAUGUCUUGCAGUAAUUCGUUAUGACUCUUCCAUACAUAUGUUUCAUUUUCAAUAUUUUUUAUCUCCAAUUCUUCUAGUUUUGGUAUUCGCGGCUUCAAUGGCCCUGCGAGAAACACUUGAUUUGAUGUAUCUCUACAAACCACUGAAUUCUGUGAGCCGAGAUGAUCAGUUGCACUUCUCCACACAACCUUUUUACAUCCAUCCAUCUCUAAUUUGCAAAGAGCUGGAAGAGUCGCAAUUGAAAUUGACAAUUCUUCGCAUUCUACAAUAACAAGCAUCUCCAAUGCAGGAAGGUGCUCUGGAAAUGUUCCUUGUAGUUUAGAACAUCUUAAAAUGUGAAGCUCUCUCAAUUUAGGAAACCCUUCAACUCCCUGACUGGAUCCAUGAGGAAUCCAGUCUUCCCAUUCUUGCAAGUCUUCAAAACAAAGAGUCUCCAAGCAUGGAAAAGGAAUCGGGGAAUCAUUCCCAUAGAACUCUGAACCCAAACUCUUUACUCUACUCAUUCCACUCACUUCAAGAUGCUUUAGAGAGGGUAGUUGCCCGACUGACGGCAGGGUAGUACACACGCCGCAAUCUUGAAAAUCUAAGGUCGCUAAAUUUGAGAAUAAGGAAUCUCCCAACCAAGUUGGAAAUUCUUUACCUCCAUAGCCACCGAUACAAAUUUGUUCCAGAUUUUCAUGAGGUUUUAGCAUGUCGAGCACAUCCUUUUCAGUUUCUGCCUCCCUUGAAGACAAACCAUCGGUACUCCGUGUCCAUCGAAACCUUAACACUUUAAGAUUCUUCUUUCCAUCCAAUUGAGCCUCCUUCGCAUCACCAAUGUCUUUUACGUUCUCCAAUUUUGAAAUGUUAAGUGUCCCACGAAGAUGCGUCAACAAUUUUAGCUCUCGUAUCACGGAACCACUGUCUUCUCCCACAACAAAAUUACACAGCGUUUGAAGGCAAGUCAACUUACCAAUUCCUAGUGGCAUCUCCUCCAAUGAAUCUGUAUUUGAAUUAUCGAGAUGAUGCAAUUUGAUGAGGUUUCCCAUGUCUGCACACAACUUCUUCAGCCGCCGACAACCUUCCAAUAGAAGUGUGUGCAAAUUGUAAAGCUUUUUGACUGAUUCAGGCAGAGUUCUAAUAUCAGUUCCAGAUAGGUUGAGGUACCUUAAAUACCUCAAAUCACCAAUUGAAUCUGGUAGCUCGGAGAUGUGAUAUCCACACAAAGAGAAGACCCUCAAGCGUCGGAGUUUGAACAACUUAGGAAGAAUGCUAUGAGCCAAGUAUCCACGCGAACUAUUUGUCAACAUUACUGGUAAAAAAGUUCGCAAAUGUUGGAUAUCGUACAACUCCUCAAACCUUUUAACACCAUCGUAACCUCCACGAAUGUACGACAGAUGACGAAGAUUUCUUGGAAAGCUUUGUUGCUUGUCAACCUCUGAGAUAUCCUCCAUUCUGAAGUACAUUUCCCCAGCAGCCCAUUCAGCAAGGUCAUUGACGAGGUCAUGCAUCACAAAUCGUGAUAUGCUGUUGCUUGAUUGCUGGAAAAAAGAUCUUGCACGUAGCUCUUGAAAGAACUUUCGACCUAGAUCUUCACUUGGAUUCCCGCUCUCUCCGUGAUCCAAGAAACCCACAGCACUCCAUAAUAAAAUUAUCUCCUCCUCUUCAAAUUCAUAAUCCUUUGGAAACAAUGAGCAGUAUGCAAAGCAUUGUUUCAAAGGUGCCGAAAGAUAAUAGUAGCUCACUCUAAGCGCCGGUAUAAUGUCACAUCUCUCUUCUGGUAAAUCCCAUAUCUUGCAACUGAGCACCCCUUCCCAAUCACUCCGGUCAAGUUUACCACGCAAGAGACCACCAAGAGUUUUCGCAGCUAAGGGCAAGCCGUUGCAUUUGAUCACUAUCUUCUUGCCAAUUUCCUCCAAUAACUUGUUUGAACUGAAAUCUCUUGUCCCCAAAGAGUGUUGAGCGAACACAGACAGACAAUCAUCAUUUGACAACUUUUUCAAUUGAUAAACUGGAGCAGUCCCCAUGAUGGCUGCAACCCCUUGAUUACGAGCUGUGACAAUAAUCUUACUUCCCGGUGCGCCAGCUUCAAAUGGAGGUCUGAGUCGAUCCCAAUCAUUGUAAUUCUCAUUCCAAACGUCAUCUAAAACAAGCAAAAAUUUCUUUCCAGAUAACUUCUUCUUCAGCUCCUCGUGAAGCUUAUUCAAGUCGUGAUUAUCCACAUUCUGGUCACUAGCAAUUGAAAGUAGGAUUGAUUUUGUAAGCCUGAUAACAUCAAAAUCAUCAGAGACGCAAGUCCAUACCUUGAGAUCAAAAUGACCCUGCACUUGCUUAUCAUUGUAGACAAGCUGAGCGAGAGUGGUUUUGCCCAUCCCGCCCAUACCUAUAAUUGGAAUAACAGAGAAUUCACCAUCAUUUCUCAAAUCAUCCCUCAACAACAAUUCAACAAUUUCCUUCUUUUCGAUUUCCCUGCCAUAUACUUUGGCUUCCUUCACCAAAGAGGUUGUCUCUCGCCUUUUCCUGUCUUUUUUGGACCUUCCAACUGAACUUACGUUCAAACCGAGCGAGUCUUUCUGUGUUACAAUAUCUUGAAAUCCGUCGUUGAUCUCUUUGAUUUUGGACAUUAUGGUGUAAUCGAACUGAAUCGAUUGUGGAGUAAAAGUGGUGCAGCAAGUAGGAAUGAGCUUCCGAAACUUACUUGUUCUUGUACGACUGCUACUGGGUUGAUCAAGAGCAGCAGCUGGAUCUCGAUUUCCAAGCAGCAACUUCCUCCCGAAAGCCUCAGUUUGAAACUCAUCCAGCAAGUCUUCAACAUCAAAAGCCAAGUUCUGAAGCUCGGCAAGCCACAACUUCACAGACUGAUCAGUCUUCUUCUCCUCAGCAUCAGCAAGCACCGCCUUGAUCAUCACCAACAUAUUCUUCCACUUCUUUAGGUCGGCUUGGAUUUGCUCUUGGCGUGCAAACAGCCGAAUCCCCUCUGAAGCUAACUUAUUGACCAGCAAAUCAACGGACGCCGUAAGGAUUGCCUCUCCGAUGAAUGACAUUUUUUUCUUCUUUUUCUUUUUUUUGGUUUUGCAAAGAAAGAAAGGAGCAGAAUUAUGGGUUAUGGAAAGCAGAAUGAGAAAAUGGAUAAUUAAGCAGAAUGAGUUUGUGAUUGUGAAGGGUCUGGCCCAGCAAUCUUAGUAGAAAUCACGCGUUUAUACUUUAUUGACCAAUGACUAAUAAUUUGGCAAUUCACUCAUCACCACCACUUGGUAAAGCAAAAUAAAAAUGCUUAGUAAUUAAGUGUCAAGGGUCAAGCAAAAUACGACGCAAAAUGUGUCAAGGGUCUCCCCACUACUUGUUCCUUGCAGCUUAGAAAAGAAAAACAGAGCCCACCACCCAUUAAUAUUUAGCAAUUCACCAAUCAUCACCACUUGUUACGAAACCAUCUCAUCAACCAAGUUCGUAGGUCGAGCAGUUAAUCCAGUGUCUAUUUCCUAGAACCUUCAUCUCAUAAACCAAGUUCAAUCAAAACGUUCCUCUCUCGCUAUUUUUUUUUUUUCAAAACUCCUAAAACGUUUUCUUUUUAGAAAUAUUUUACUUUAUUCAUCUAAUAUGUUAUCUAACAAAUAGACACAAUUGAAAUCACUCUAAAGUGAAGAUGAAAGGGGAAAAAAAUAACCUUCCAACCACCAGUAAUUUUGCAAGCUUCACUUUAUUCCACCAAAGUGUAAAUAAAGCCAGCCCCCACCACCAUCAAUAAUUUUGCAAGCUUCACACGCUUGUUGUCUUCUCCUUGACGAACUGGACAUGAGUGGACCAAGAAUAAUCAAUGACAGGAUUUUCAAAAUAAUAAUAAGAGAAAAACCUACACAUUUUCGGCUUAGAGUAGAACCGUAAUUAAUGCUAAAAUCUACUCAGCUAACAUUUUCAAAAUAUUAUUCUUUAUGAUUUUCAAAACCGUGAUUAAGGUUCAUCUCAAAUGUUUGAAGAGAGUCUAACAGUUCUUCUACGCUAAGAAUAUCAAAAUUCUUACUUUUUCUUCAAACGUUGAAUAAUGAAAAAAAAAAUUGAAUAUGGAGGAAAAUAGAAUGCAUCCAUCUUUGCUAGAAGUCUUCUACUUAUAAAAGCAAGUUAGAAUAAACGAUUUUAAUCUCUCUUUUUAUUCCUGUAAGUGCACUACAUUUUUUUUUUUAAUCUCAAUGCGAAGUCGUAUCAUAAUGUUAUAUUCCUAUUGUAAAACAAAAUUUUAGAUAAAAUAAAUUCGACUCAUUUUUUAAAGGUAUAUAUUUAGUAGGUUACUAACAUAACUAACAAAUCGUGAUUAUUACACUAAAUGGAAUAAAAGACAGUACUAUCACCAAUAAUUUAGCAAGUUUCGCAUGCACGUGUUGCUAGAAACAUUAUAUGGAAUCAAACGACAGUGAUACAAAGAGAAAAGUGGAAAUCCUCUGAUUGUAUUUUUUUUUCUUUUUCAGAAGAAAUGGUGGGGUUGGUUUGUUUGCAAAGUUAUUAGCGUGGGUCUAUUUGUUUUUGUUUUAACUUUAUUAAUCAAUAAGCAAACAUGUAAUGAUUUGUAUAUAUCAUUAGCAUCACAUUAUUGGGAGGUAUUGCGCUUAGUAUUCAUAAUUUUUGUAAGAUGAAUUUGGAAGACUUAUUAAUUUUGAUGAAAAUGUAUCGGUGUUAAGAUAUUAUUUAAUUCAUUAAGUUAACUUGAGGAAAAGCAAAAUGAGAAAAUUGAGCAAUUCACCAAUUGGCAAUAUUUGUUUAAUUCAUCAAAUACUUGUAUCUCAUCUCACAAAUUGGCCAUAUUUGUUUGGUAUUUCAUCUCAACAGACGCAGUAAGGAUUGCCUCUCCGAUGGAUUGACAUUUUUUUUUUGUUUUGCAAAGAAAGAAACAGAAUUUUGAGUUUUGAAAAGCAAAAUGAGAAAAUUGAACAGUAAGUGUGGAGGGUCAAGCAAAAUGCGCGUAACAAGUCUUCCGCUUCUUGUUUAUUCCAGUAAAGCGAGAAUAAAAUCAGAGCCCACCACCCAUUAAUAAUUGAGCAAUUCACCAAUCACCAGUCGCCACCACUCGUUACCAUGAAUAUAAUAAAUUGCACCUCCAUAUUUGCAGGGUCCAGCAACAUUGACCCAGUGUCCGGGUAAAUGCUUAAUAACGAGGAAAAUGGAAUGUAUCCGCUACGAACCUUCGCUUUACAAGUCUUCAAACUCAUAAACCCAGUUAAAUCAAAACGUUUAUCUCUCUCUCUCUCUUUUUGCCAUAUAAUUACUUUAUUUAUUGAAUUAAUUUCCAUGCUAAAAGGAAGACUUAAAACUGCACUACAAUUUUUUAUAAUCACAAUGGUAAUUUCUACUAUCAUGUUAUUUUAAUAUCGUGUUAAAAUAAAUUAUUACAAAGUUUUUUUUAUGAACACUCUUUUUAUUUAUAAAUUUUUUAAUUUUUAAUAUUUUUCUUACUCUUUUAAUCUUAAUGUUUGUAUUUCGCUCUUCAAAUUUUUAUUAUUAUUUAAUUUUUAAAGAAAAAUAUGAAAAAAAAAUAAAAAAAAUAUUAUACUUAAAAAAUAGUGAAUAUUUUAUGGGUCUAAUACAAACCUGUAUUGUUUUUGACAAUGAAAGAGCACGCGAAAAAUCUCACUCAUAGAAAAUUUAGUGAAAGGCAUUUGAAUGUGUGGCCACAUUUUCCGAACGAAACGAUAAGGCUUUAGCCUUAUAAUUGCAAUUAGUUUGUCUUGUAACUAAAUUAUUGCCGACAAGCACCAUCAUGCUGACAAACCGUGCAUGCACGUCCUCAAUCACCCACGUCCUCUACUUGUGUGCAAUAUUUCCCAUUACUUCCCGUACUUUAUGCAUUAUUGUUUUGUAUGUCUUUUGUUGUUUACGGUGUAGUUAGGGAUGGUAGCGGGUUGGGUCUGGUACCGGUUUGACAUCACCAAACCCGCAUCUAAAAAAAAUUUAAUUACGUAAUUUAAAUUAUAAAUUUAUAACCGUUGCCUAAAAAAACCACAUAAAAUACUUAAUUCUACAUUUUAUCAAUGUAAAUGAGAAAUGAAAAUAUCAACAUUAAAACAAAUACAUAAAAUGUAUCAAUUUAACACCAAUUCUCAAAUUCAAUUACCAAAUAAAUAAGUACAGUGUAGCACUAAAAUAUAAUAUUUAAAUUAAAUUAAUCACAAAAAAUUAAUACAAUACAGUGUAGCACCAAACAUUGUACAUUAUUAUUAUAAUACAGUACUAAUACAACGCAACAUAAUACAAUACACCAACAUUAAAAUAAUACAAUCUAAUAUAAUACAAUACAGUGUGCGAAAUGCACCGACAUGGUAUUACUUUGUUUGUCUCGUUAUUUACAAUUAUUUAAUCUGUAGACCCACUCAUGCUCCUUCUAUGUAACAUAGAUGCAAUUUGAGGAAGAUUAUCAAUUUUUUCUGACUAAAAAUAAUAUAGACCACUUAUUUUUUAUUGUUUUUAUAAUGUUCAACAAUUCGCUUGAGAUCAAAAAAUUAAAUGAAAAGGAGUAAAUAGAUGAUUUACUUGAUGUUGUAUCUUAGAAAUAUAAAAUAUAUUUAUUUAUUAUUAAAAAUAUUUAAAAAUAAUAAAGAGUACAUAAAAAGUAUCUUAUCCUCAACAACAAGAUCAGACGACGUCAAUUCAGCAAAAUGACUUGAAUAACUUGAAAGUCCAGCAGCCGUCACCUCUUGGCGCACACAUGGCAACGUGCGUGGCUUUGGCAAGAGGUCUCCCAAAAGGACGAUUAAGAAAGAUUGCAGGACAAAUCAUGAAAAUAGUAGUACAGAUAUGCAAUGGCUAAAUUUCCUCGAUUAAGUCCAUCACAAUCAAGUCUUAGAAAUCACACCCCUGUAUUAAUUUCCAGAAAUAUGUUUGUUCCAUAUUUAUCGUGCACGUAUAUAUUGUAUGUAUUGGGAAUAGAAAGAGUGUAUGUAAAAAAUUCUUCAUUCAUCGAUUAAAACUUAAUUUAUGUACAAGGGUUAAGUGUAGUGUUUUUAAAUUUAAAAAGGACAAGUGUCAAUCCACUGAGGCUUGCCUCAAUGGCUAGAGCCACACUCCCUCACAAAGUGGUUCGAUCUCCCACAAAUACAUUAUAGAGGUUUAAUUUAAAUUUUUUUCCUCAAAUUUUGAGUGAAGACAGUUUUUCUUCCAGAAAUAGAAUUUUUCUGAGAGUUUGACGCCCCUCAAAUAUUUGAGAUGAUUAAAAUUUGAGCGGUGCUAUAUAAAAUAUAAUGUAAACUAAUCUAAAUAAUUGUAUAAUUAUAAAUAUAAUGAACAAUAGUCUCAUACAAAAAAAUGACAAGUGUAGUAAGCCCAUUUAAAUUAACUUAUAUUUGAGGGGAAAAUCUCUGUAUAUCAUAGUAUAUAUUAUAUAUCCAGUCGUGGGACCCAUACAUGGUUCCAUGUAAUUCGGCACAGUUGAACUGGAGACACUGAUUAGUUCGUUGUCUAUUUGCCAACUUAUGUACAACUAAGUAAUUUCAUGCACCAUUUGCGCCUUAUCUAUCCAGCCUGCUUGCAUUGCAUUAACUAAACAUACAAUGAAAUUAACCCUUGUAAUUUCGGCCUUUGCCAUAGUCGUUUUGUUUAUUAGGUUUAUGUUUAUCAACAUGAUAUGUUGUCAACCAUAAUCACAAUCAAGUUGUUAAUUAUUUUUUAAAUAAUGUGAAGGAACAAGAUUUUGGUCUUUGAGUGUGGAGUUAAAAAUAUCUCACCUCAACAUACGGUGUUGUGCUCUCAUCAUCUUAACAUUAUUUGUUAAAAAUUAUGUCAAAGAGGAAAGCAGAUUCAAACAUUACUUCAAUUUUCUUUAAGAGCAUAAAAAUAUCGUUAAUAGGCUACUGUUAUUUGUUAGUACGAUUUCACAAAAGGAAGCUAGAGGAAGAUGAAGCUCUCAAGUCAUGUAUGCAUCAAAGUAAGAAACAGAGCUAAUGAGAGAUGGACAAUUUUAAAUAUGUCAGCAUUUUGUCAGUUCUGGCCAUAUUUUGAAAGAUUAGAACCCUAAUUUUCUUUUGAAGCUCCUUUUAUGUCGAAAUCUAUUUUAAUUUCCAAAAUAUCUUUUUCCAUUUUUUUAGUUUCUUUCUGAUUAAAAAAAAAAUCAGUUUCUUAAACAACUCCAACUACAAAUAUUUUUUUACAAAUUUUUGAAUUAUUAAAUCAUAUGUGCGUGUAUAAAUUGAAUAGAAUUAAAAGUGGACUCAAAUAGAUAUUAUGUAAUUUUUUUAUAAUUAAAGAAAAGUUUAGAAUGCAAAAGUGUGUGUGAGAAAACAAAAAAAUAUAAAUCGCCUUUGAUAUAAUUAUAUGGUUGUAAAAAGUUAGAUGGAGAAAUAUAGUAUAUAAUUAAAUUUAUUUUGUUCCUUAAAACGGGUAGGUUUUAUAAGAAUUUUCCAGAGGAGCGCCAAUAUUUCAGCUUUUUUUUUCAAAUGAAGUGAUGUCCUGGAAUAAAAUCACUACUCUAUCAUUGCUAUUAGUUUGUCUUGUAUUUCAAUAAUUGCCGACAAGUAUUAAUUGUGAAUAUUAUUAUUAUUAUCGUCGUUAUUCUUAACAGCAAUGACUAGAAUUAUAAUAAUAACAAUAACGUUAAUACAAUAAUAUAACAACAUAAUAAUAUUUUAAUUGAGAGGAUAAAAAUAAAAUUAUGAAAUUUAGGUUGGAUAAAAAUGGUGAGUAUGAAGAAAUUAAAUUACUAUUUUUUAAGUUAAACAGUUCAUAAAUUUCACAUAUUUCAUUCUUAUUUCUCUUAUAUUUUAACAAAUAAACAUUACCAAUCGUUUUAAUAUUUUAAUUAAUAAACACGGCAUUAACUACGGAACUAAAAGAUCCCCAAAAAAAAAAAAAAUAGAGACGCGUGUAUGUAUUGCUUGUGACAAAUCUCACCCAUGGAAAACUUUGUGAAAGGCAUUUGAAUGUGUGGCCACAUUUAAUGAACGAAACGAUAACUUUAAAAGAAAGUAUGUAAUGUGUUAAUUAUUAGGCUUUAGCCUGAUGAUUGCAAUUAGUUUGUCUUUUAAUUAAAUUAUUGCCGACAAACACUAUCACGACCCACGUCCGCUACUUGUGUGAAUGUGUGUAUAAAUAUCCGCAGCAUAUUAUCAAACCUGAUGCGUGAUCAUCUUUAAGUUUUGGUUAGGGUUCAUCAGACGUUGGAAGAUAUCUUUCCUAAUUUGAAGAAGAUGGAAACUCCUUAUCCAGGUUCUUAGGCCAUGUUCAGUUGAAUGUCAUUUAUAAUUUUUAUUUUAACAUUAUGUAUUCAUGAAUACAAUUAUUGUUAUGAUUUUUUCAGGUAAGAAUGGAUGGUCUGAUAGUAACCCAAUAACUAUGUACAAUAUUAUUAAUGAUGAGAGUGUGAAUGACAAUUUGGAUUUUAUUCUCAUCCCUCAAUACGGGAAAAAUCUCGACUAUAGUGGUUAAAUGUUAUGUAACUCUUUCGUAUUAUAUUUAAUUAAAUAAAAUGAUGAGUUAUUAUUACUUAUCAAUCAUUUGAGUGUUUCUGCUUGAUUUAAUUCAACUUAUAAAAUCUCUUGAGAUAUAUAAGAGAUUUUCUUUAUUCACUUUCAUGUACCGCGUCUUCUUAUAAAAAGAAAUUAAUAAAAAAAAUAUCAUUAUGUGCAAUGUAUUGACUAAGUUACAAGAAAUUAAUAAAAAAAAUAUCAUUCUGUGCAAUGUAUUGACUAAGUUAGUGUAUUCACGUUAGCUUAAUUGUGCUCUCUCUUCUUGAUAUUUAAAAAAAAAAAAAAACUCCACGUAUUGUUGGUUAGCUAAUUCUUGCAGCUAGCAAGUGAUCCUUUUCUUUCCCCUACUGUCGUAGCAUCAAAUCCUUACAAUUACAUAUCAAGUGGUAUUCGAGCCGUCAAAUGAUCCAUGGAAACACGCAACAAAUCAAAUGCUGAAUUUUGCGAAGAGAUUCACGAAAUCCUUGCUAUACAUUGAAAUACAAGUAUGCAACCCAAGAGGGGGGGGGUGAAUUGGGAUUCUAAAAAAUUAUUCAAUUUAUUAAAGAAAAUCUUAAUGCAAUUAUAAAUCAAAUUCAAAGCAAUAACAAUUAAGAUGAUCACAAUUUAAAAAGAUAAGGGAAGAGGGAUUCGAACACCGAGAUUUUUACGUGGUUCGGCCAACCUCGCCUACGUCCACGCCUCCAAGCUUUCCGGGCUUGAGGAUUCCACUAAGCAAGCCUCCAAGGCUUCAAAUGCUUACACUUGACUUCCAAGGUGUCAAUGGACCUUUACAACAAGAGAUUAUCCCCAAUCUCUUAACCCAAGUGUAUCCCAACACUUACAAUUACUCAAAGUAAAAGAUUACAAAUUGUUUUUCUCUCACACAAUAUUUAAGAUUACAAAUCAAUGCCCAAUUUGUGAAUAGAUGAAGAGAGAAUGUGUUUUAAGCUCUAUGAAGAUUGUAUUCUCAAAUAUUUGCUCAAUGGUCGUGUUGUGUUCAAUCUUUGUUUGAAUUUGAAUGAGCUUAUUUAUAGAUGCAGCUGAAAACUAGCCGUUAUUGACUUUCUGCACACUGUCGGAUCACCGUUAGCUAGAUGUCGGAUCGCCGUUUGACUGGUCAAUAUGACCGUUGGGUUGAUUUUUCAAAUUGUCGGAUCGCCGUUAUCUAGAUGUCGGAUCGCCGUUUAGGUCCAGAGGCUACUGGUUGAUAUCGGCGAGCCGUUUAUCACACAUGUCGGUUCGCCGUUAAUGUCCAGAGACUACCCUUCAGUUCUGGUUGAUAUCGGCGAGCCGUUUUAUCAACAUAUCGGAUCGCCGUUUAGGUCCAGAGGCUACUGGUUGAUAUCGGCGAGCCGUUUAUCACAAAUGUCGGUGUGCCGUUUUCGUCCAGAGGCUAAUCUCCAUUUCUGCUUGAAAUCGGCGAGCCGUUUACUACAGAUGUCGGAUCGCCGUUUUCCACAAAAACUGCUGCAGUGAACUAUUUUGCAAGAUGACUGUUUUGUCUCCAAAUCUUUAUAAAAAUACUUUAUGAAACUUGUCAAAAUAGAUGAAAAUUAUGUUGAGCUUUUAAAACAAUUAAUCAAUCUUAAUCAUGUUUGUUAUCAUCAAAAUCAAUAAGGAAUAAUUUAUGUCAACAAUCUCCCCCUUUUUGAUGAUGACAAACUUUUCAAGAAAAUAUUUGUGCAAUUUUGCUCCCCCUAAAUAUGUGCUCCCCCUAAGUGAAAUUUUGAAAGACUUGUUAACUCCCUUAAAAAAAAUAUUCAACUGUUAAUCUCAAAAUUUUAAACACGAAAUUUAUGCCAGUAAACUCAUGCAUGCCAAUACUAUUUUGCCAAAACCAAUUUCGCAUUUUGCCAAUUGCCAAUUUCUCUCCCCCUUCAUCAUCAAAAAGAAAGAGACGCGAUGAAUGACUUAUGUUUGGAGAAAUUUGGGCAGAGUCUCCCCUGAAAUAUGAGCAUUUCCUCAACAACACACUAAGUUUAAAAAGAGAAACACUUCCAUAUAAAUAUACCACCAUAUCAACCAACCUCCAUACCAACAAAUUCACACUUCCAGAAAGAGCAAUAUAAUCAAUAUAAUACCAAAAACAACUUGAGCAUAAAUCAAGAGCACAUGUCCAACAUGAGAUAUCAGAAGCAUAAACACAAAAUAAAUAACAUCAUAUGCAUAAGGCAAAUAACAUGAAAUGAGAAAUGUCUGUGCGAAUAUCAUAGGGACAGAGAAAACUAAGAUGGAGGCUGUGAAGACGAACUGCCGGGGUCAUAUCCAAGGUGGCCGAGAAUGCGACGCUGUCCUGCAAUUAACUCCAUCUGCUGAUCAGAAAUUUGCUCCCGAAAGGUUGCAAAAUCAGAUCGAAGCUGCUACUGCUGCUGGGACAGGGCAUCUACUCGGUCGAGAAGCUGCUGGAAGCGAUCCUCAGGAACAGCUGAUGCCGCAGGAGGGACGGCAGUCUCGGUAGGCUCGUCAUCCUGAGAUGCAUCUGCUGCUGGUGAAACAGGAGCUGCUGGUGCUGCUGCUCGGCGAGGAACACGCGGUCUAGCCCCAAGACGGAAAUCAGGCAGCUCAUCCUCGGAGUAGACAUCAUUCAGCAUGCGAUCAUCCUCGGGUGCAAUCAGUGUGGCUUCGUUUUUGGAGGAUGUGGUCUUUUCCCAUUUCCCACGCUUCUUAAAGAAACCAAUGGCAGAAAUAAUGUCUCGACCGAGCUUACGAGUUUCGAGAAAAACAGGCUCGACGAUAGGAACAUGAAAGUGGUUCAGGAUCCUAGUGAUGAUGCUGCCAUAAGGAAGGGAUCGGUUGGAGACUUUAGGAGUGGACAGCAUAUGACACAUAAUAGUGUAGGAUAGGCUCACAUGGCGUCUACGGAUGAGAGAGUCUAAAAGACCAAUAUCAAGCCUAGUGACCUCAUCAGUGUGCCCCUGUCUAGGAGUGACCAUGUGUUGGAGAAUAAUGUGAAGUAUUCGAAUCUGAAAAGGGAGGAGUUGAGACCUAAAGGACAAAGAGCAGAUGUCAUCGGAAAGAUCCCGACGACGACAAAUGUUCCGUACACCAUCCACAUGACGAAAAUUACUGAACUCUAGUUCUUUCCUAGAGGUGUACAGAUCUAAUCCUCCAUAAGCGAUUCCUAGAAUACUACAUAAUUCGGGUUCAUCAAGCUCAAUACGAAUACCUCCUACAAAUGUAUGAAGCUCGUCACGACUAGAAGAGGAGAAAUCUAUGUUUGAAUAAAAGACUCGAACAAGAUUUUCAUAAAUAGGUUCAUCAACACUUAAAGCUUGAUUCCAAUGACUAAGCAUUUGAGUAAUUGAGUGACCACAAACAGAAAUAUCCGAGAACUCCGAAAUGUUAAGAGAAAAAGAGGGAGUUACGGGUUUACCCAUAAACUUCUCACGGAAUCGCUGAGCAGAGGUAGCAUCGGGAAAAUGAAGACUUUCGAAGUCUUGAGGAGGAGACCUGGGUGGACUGGAACGGCGUGAAGCAGUGUGCUUGGUUCGAACACGCCUUGGAGGUCGUUCCGCCAUGGAUGAGAAAAAUUGUGAAAAUGAAGUUUUAGAGAUGAGAUAGUGAUUUGUGGGUGAAAAUGUGGUUGGAAAGACGAAGAAAUUUGGGUCAAAGUGAACGAAUGAGAGUCGGCUGGUUCUAGGGUUUCAAGAUGAGAUUUUUCAAAAUUUGAAGAAAAAAAAAAAAGGAAUUUGAAUCGGUUAAAAGGUGUUAGAGAUGAUAGAAAUGGUUUGUAAUGCUUCAAUUUGGUGAAAAAAAUGACAAGAAAAGUGAUGGAUUUGAGAGGAGAGAACUGGUGCAGUCGCGGGUUGAAGUGAGAGAGAGAGAGAAAGAGAAGCCGAAAUGAGGAGGAAGACGAAGGACUGUUCAAUUAACGCGUGAUAACGGCGAGCCGUUAUAAAGAAAACGGCGAGCCGACAGAGUCCAGAGAGUCCUCAAAACAAAUUCAUAAAAACGGCGAGCCGCUUAUAUCAAUAACGGUGAGCCGAUAGGGUCCAGAGAGUCCACACAAGAAAAAUGUAACAGGACGGCGAGCCGAUAGACAGAUAUCGGCGAACCGAUAGCUUCCAGAAAGCGUUCCAUUGUUUCUGCCCAAAACGGUUAGCCGUUUAUUUAAAUAACGGCGAUCCGUUUUCUACAACCUAUGAUUUCGCACAUGUAUUUUGAUAUUUGGCUACUUAUUAAUACAUUUCAAGAUCAUUUUAUUGAUCCAAAAUGAUUUGAGUGCCAUUUCAAUGCAUAAUUCAUGAAUAUAUAUAUAUGUAUUGCAAUAAUUAAUUCAUACAUUUUCAAAUAUACAUACACAUUACAUGCAUAUUACGAUUGAGCAUUCCAUAGAAAUUAAAGCAUCAAGUCAUAGAUCAAUCAAUAAUAAUAGACUCAAUAGCAUGAAUGAAGAUGUUAAUGUGAAAAUUUCAUCAUCCCAAGUUCAUGCCGAAUUUUGGAAAAUUGUUCUUCGCAAAGAGGUUUUGUAAAAAUAUCGGCAAGUUGUUUUUCCGUAGAAAUAAACUCUAGUGCAAUGUCUCUCUUUUGAACAUGAUCUCUCAAGAAAUGAUGUCUUAUUUCUAUAUGCUUGGUUCGAGAGUGUUGAAUGGGAUUCUUUGAAAGAUUAAUAGCACUAGUAUUAUCACACUUAAUAGGAAUUUGUUCAAGAUUAAUGCCAUAAUCUCUAAGUGUUUGUUUCAUCCAAAGAGCUUGUGCACAACAACUUCCGGCAACUAUAUAUUCAGCCUCGGUAGUUGAAAGUGCGACAGAAUUUUGUUUCUUGCUAAACUAUGAAACAAGAGAGUGUCCUAGAAUAUAGCAAGUUCCACUAGUGCUCUUCCUAUCCACUUUAUAACCAGCAAAAUCCGCAUCCGAAAAACAUGUUAAAUCUAUAUGAGUUCCCCUAGGAUACCAAAGGCCAAUAUCUAUGGUUCCACUCAAAUAACGGAAAAUUCUUUUAACAGCGAGCAAAUGAGAUUCCUUGGGACAUGACUGAAAUCUUGCACACAAACAUACACUAAACAUGAUAUCGGGUCUACUUGCAGUCAAAUAAAGUAGGGAUCCGAUCAUACCUCGAUACAUUUUGAUGUCCACUUCUUUACCUUUUUCAUCUUUGUCCAGCUUGGUUGUUGUGCUCAUUGGUGUAUUUUUGGUCUUUGAGUCAUUAAUGCCGAAUCGUUUGAGUAGAUCUUUUACGUACUUGGCUUGAUUUAUGAAGAUUCCUUCCUCGUUUUGUUUGAUUUGAAGUCCAAGGAAGUACUUCAACUCUCCCAUCAUACUCAUCUCAAAUUCUUUGCUCAUACACGAUGAAAAUUCUUUACACAACAACUCAUUAGUAGAACCAAAAAUAAUAUCAUCAACAUAAAUUUGAACAAUAAGUAUGUCUUGGUUCUUAUGCUUAACAAAUAGAGUAGUAUCCGCUUUACCCAUUGAAAAGUCAUUUUCCAACAGAAAAUUCUUAAGUCUAUCAUACCAUGCUCUAGGUGCUUGUUUUAAACCAUACAAAGCUUUAAGCAACUUAUAAACAUGAUUUGGAAAUUUUUCAUUUUCAAAACCAGGGGGUUGUUUUACAUACACUUCUUCCAUAAUAUGCCCAUUUAGGAAAGCACUUUUCACAUCCAUUUGAAAUAAAAUAAAAUCUUUAUGACAUGCAUAUGCUAAUAACAUCCUAAUGGAUUCUAACCUUGCUACAGGAGCAAAGGUUUCAUCAAAAUCAAUUCCUUCUUCUUGGUUGUAGCCUUGAGCCACUAAUCUAGCUUUAUUUCUUACAAUCACACCGGAUUCAUCCAUCUUAUUCCUAAACACCCAUUUAGUACCUAUUACAGAUUGAUAUUCAGGUUUAGGAACUAAUUCCCACACAUUGUUUCUUUCAAAUUGAUUUCACUCCUCUUGCAUUGCCAUAAUCCAAGAUUCAUCAUUUUCUGCAUCCUCAAAGGAUUUUGGUUCAAUUUGAGAGAUGAAUGCAUUAUGCUCACAAGUAUUUCUAAGUGAUGAUCUAGUUGUAAUACCUCGUGAGGGAUCUCCUAAAAUUACAUCUUUAGGGUGAGAAGAGACAUACCUCCACUCCUUGGGGAGUGUUUGAGAAGUACCUUUAUUUUGCUCUGCAUUUAGUUCUUCAUGAUGUUCCUCUUGAAUUUCAUGUGGUGCAUCCUCUUGUUUGUCAUUUGAUGCUUCUUCUUCUUGUUCUUCUUCUCCUGCAUCAUCAUCAACAACGACUUUCUCCGUAGAGGAGGGGUUAGACUCAUCAAAUGUCACAUGCAUAGAUUCUUCCACAACUAAGGUUCUUUUGUUAUAGACUCUAUAAGCUUUACUAGAAUUUGAAUAACCAAGAAAAAUACCAACAUCGGAUUUUGGAUCAAAUUUACCAAGAUUGUCUUUUGUGUUCAAAACAAAACAUUUGCAUCCAAAAACUUUAAAAUAUCCAAUGUUGGGUUUUCUAUCUUUCCAAAGCUCAUAAGGAGUUUUGUUAAGAUUAGGUCUAAUCAACACCCGAUUUAAAACAUAACAAGCGGUGUUGACGGCUUCGGCCCAAAAAUAUUUUGGUAAUGCAUUUUCAUUUAAUAUGGUCCUAGCCAUUUCUUGAAUAGACCUAUUCUUUCUCUCAACAACUCCAUUUUGUUGUGGAGUUCUAGGUGAUGAAAAUUGAUGCUCAAUGCCUAGAUUAUUGCAAAAACUCUCAAAUGCAUGAUUUUCAAAUUCUCCUCCAUGAUCACUCCUAAUGCAUACAAUACCAUGCCCUUUUUCAUUUUGUAAUUUCUUACAAAGCACUUUAAAAGCAUCAAGAGCAUCAUCCUUAUUGGCUAAGAAUAAUACCCAUGUAUAUAUAGAAUAAUCAUCCACUAUCACAAAUGCAUAAUAUUUGCCAUUUAGACUUGCAUAUCUAGAUGGCCCAAAAAGAUCUAUGUGAAGAAGUUCAAGUGGUUUUGAAGUAGAAAUAUGGUUUUUAUUCUUGAAAGAAGUUUUAAUUUGUUUUCCAAAUUGACAAGCUUCACAAAUCUUAUCCUUUUGAAAACCAAUUUUCGGAAGACCUUUAACUAAAUUAUCUUUCAAAAUUUUUGAAAUCAAAUCCAUACUUGCAUGUCCUAACCUUCUAUGCCAUAACCAACAAUCAUCAUGCAAUGCCGAAAAACAUUUAUCAAGAGUAGAUGCACAUUCUAUGUCAAUGAUAUAAACAUUACCACAUCUAUUUCCAACAAAUAAGGUUUUGCCAUCACAUGAGUUCUCAAUAACACAACUAAAUUUAUCAAAGAUAACUUUAUAACCUUUGUCACAUAAUUGACUAAUGCUAAUUAAGUUGUGUUUCAAGUUUUCAACCAAACAUACAUUCUCAAUUAGAGUUGAAGAAACUUUACCAACAUUUCCAAUUCCAAGGAUUUUUCCUUUUGAGUUGUCUCCAAAGGAUACGUCUCCACCAUUUUCAAUUUUGGUAAAGCUUGAGAACCAUGCAUAGUUUCCGGUCAUGUGCCUUGAACAACCGCUGUCCAAGUACCAUUUAUUCUUCUUCUUCUUCAAGCCCUACAAGAAAAAGUCUCAAGUUUUAGGUACCCAAAGCUUUUUGGGUCCUUGAGAGUUAGCAACUGUUCCUUUUGGAACCCAAAUGCACUUGACACCAUAAUAUGCAUUCCUUUUCACGGGACAUCUAAAUUUCAUGUGACCAUUUUGAUUACAAUAAUGACAUACAAUCUUAUGAUCAUUUGUGGAGGUAGCUUUAACAAAAUAAUUCUUAUAAUACUUUUGCUUCAAGUUUGGCUUAUAUCCAAGUCCUCCUUUAUCAAAAACACAUUUUUGUGAGUUAAGCAUAUUAUCCAACAUCUUUUGCCCAUUUGUAAAUUUCAAAACAAUUUCAUUUAAUUCAUUAUUCUUUUUCUUGAGCAAUUCGUUCUCAUUUUUCAACUCAUCUAUGUGUGAUUUCAAAUGCUCAUGUAAGAUGCUAGGUUUUUCAUUUGAUAAUGCAAUUUCAUCAUGCAAUGUUUUGUUUCCUACUUCUAGGCAUACAAUUCUUGCAUUUAGAGAUUCAUUUUCAUUUUUAAGCUUUGCCAUUUCCUUUUUAAGACAUACAUUCUUUUUACCAAUUUUCAUCAACUCAUUAUGCAAAUCUUGAAAAGCAUCAUAUAAUUCAUCAUAGGUAGGAUCACUUACCUCAUUGAGAUCAUCAUCCCCUCCUAUAGCCAUGAGUGCUAGGUUUGAUACUUCUUGCGAUCCUUCUUCAUCAUUUGUUCUUCCUCACUAUCAUCCCAAGUUGCAACCAUUGCUUUCUUCUUGAGUUUGUUGAUGAGUGGGCACUCCGAUCUUAUAUGUCCAGGCUUCUUGCAUUCAUAGCAAGUGAUUGCCUCCUUCUUCUCCCUAUAGUUCUUGAAGUUUCUGAAAUUUCUUCGCUCUCCGGUUUUCUUGAAGAAUUUUUUGAACCUCCUUGCUAGCAUGGCUAGUUCUUCAUCAUCCGGUUCACUCUCCUCAUCACUCUCAUAUUUUGAAGCUUUGAGAGCAAUGCUUUUCUUCUUCUCCUCAUGUCCUUUUUCUGCAGCUAAAUCCUCUUCAUACGAAAUAAGAGAACCAAUUAAAUCAUCAAGAGGUAAAGUAUUUAAAUCUUUGGCCUCUUCAAUAGCGGUUCUUUUAGGUCUCCAUUCUUUUGGAAGUGACCUAAUGAUUUUCUUAACUUUCUCACUAUUUGAGAAGGUUUUCCCUAAGGCACCUAGGGUGUUCACUAUGUCCGUGAAUCUAGUGUACAUAGAAUACACAUUUUCAUUUUGUUCCAUUUGGAACAACUCAUAUUGGCGAGUGUAUCUACUGAUUUUAGACUCUUUCACUUGAUUUGUCCCUUCAUAGACAACUUCAAGUUUGUGCCAUAUCUCUUGUGCACUUUCACAACUAGAUACUCUAUGGAAUUCUUUCUUAUCAAGGGCACAAAACAAAGCAUUCAUAGCCUUGGAGUUUAGAGACAUCUUUCUCUUUUCUAACUCACUCCAUUGACUCGAUGGUUUAGGAAUAUCAUCUCCUAUUUCAUCUUUGAACAUAGGCAUGAAUGGACCAUCACAAACAACUUCCCAAAUUUCAUAAUCUAAGGCUUGCAAAUAGAUUCUCAUUCUAGUUUUCCAAUAAGCAUAAUCAUUACCAUAAAAAAAUGGUGGUCUAGUUGUGGAUUGCCCUUCUCUAAAGGUUGAGUCAUUUAGGGUUGCCAUGGAUCUUUUACUCUAGACGAUUAAGUCUUAACAAGAGAACAAGGCUCUGAUACCAAUUGAAAUACAAGUAUGCAACCCAAGAGGGGGGGGGGUGAAUUGGGAUUCUAAAAAAUUAUUCAAUUUAUUAAAGAAAAUCUUAAUGCAAUUAUAAAUCAAAUUCAAAGCAAUAACAAUUAAGAUGAUCACAAUUUAAAAAGAUAAGGGAAGAGGGAUUCGAACACCGAGAUUUUUACGUGGUUCGGCCAACCUCGCCUACGUCCACGCCUCCAAGCUUUCCGGGCUUGAGGAUUCCACUAAGCAAGCCUCCAAGGCUUCAAAUGCUUACACUUGACUUCCAAGGUGUCAAUGGACCUUUACAACAAGAGAUUAUCCCCAAUCUCUUAACCCAAGUGUAUCCCAACACUUACAAUUACUCAAAGUAAAAGAUUACAAAUUGUUUUUCUCUCACACAAUAUUUAAGAUUACAAAUCAAUGCCCAAUUUGUGAAUAGAUGAAGAGAGAAUGUGUUUUAAGCUCUAUGAAGAUUGUAUUCUCAAAUAUUUGCUCAAUGGUCGUGUUGUGUUCAAUCUUUGUUUGAAUUUGAAUGAGCUUAUUUAUAGAUGCAGCUGAAAACUAGCCGUUAUUGACUUUCUGCACACUGUCGGAUCACUGUUAGCUAGCUGUCGGAUCGCCGUUUGACUGGUCAAUAUGACCGUUGGGCUGAUUUUUCAAAUUGUCGGAUCGCCGUUAUCUAGAUGUCGGAUCGCCGUUUAGGUCCAGAGGCUACUGGUUGAUAUCGGCGAGCCGUUUAUCACACAUGUCGGUUCGCCGUUAAUGUCCAGAGACUACCCUUCAGUUCUGGUUGAUAUCGGCGAGCCGUUUUAUCAACAUAUCGGAUCGCCGUUUAGGUCCAGAGGCUACUGGUUGAUAUCGGCGAGCCGUUUAUCACAAAUGUCGGUGUGCCGUUUUCGUCCAGAGGCUAAUCUCCAUUUCUGCUUGAAAUCGGCGAGCCGUUUACUACAGAUGUCGGAUCGCCGUUUUCCACAAAAACUGCUGCAGUGAACUAUUUUGCAAGAUGACUGUUUUGUCUCCAAAUCUUUAUAAAAAUACUUUAUGAAACUUGUCAAAAUAGAUGAAAAUUAUGUUGAGCUUUUAAAACAAUUAAUCAAUCUUAAUCAUGUUUGUUAUCAUCAAAAUCAAUAAGGAAUAAUUUAUGUCAACAAUUAGUGGACUAAAAAACGCGCAUACGGUACAUGCAACACAUGCGAUUAUUUUACUAGACCUGCGUUCACCAAAAACAGAUCAGAGACGCCGGUGGUUUUGCCGGCGUAAACCCUCCGAUGCCUAAGUUAGCACAAGGUGUUUACGGGAAAACAGUACAAUUUGGAUUCAAGAAGUUUGUUCGAAAUUUGUAAGAAAAUGGCCUGGUUGCAAUUUGGCAGCGUUUUCCCCUCUUUUCCUUUUCCCUUUCUUCAUCCAUUUCUUCUUCUUUUAUAGCCAUUGUCCCACGUUUUCGUUUACCUUUCAUCCCUCCUUUUUUGGGUAGUGGCGGCCCCUCAUGGGACUCUAACUGCUACAUUAUGGGCAAACGCAAGGCCCCGCGUUUCCCGUAACGGUUCUGGGAAAAGCGCAACUACCGUGAUUCUGUGGGAUCGUGUUCCCGCUUUUUUGGGAGAUGGGUGUUGGCUCGGCAUAUAACCCUGGUCGGUGUAUUUCUCCGGUUGGCACUCGUCUCUGGUCGGCUCGUGUUUGUCCCCGCAUUCUGUUCGUACCACUUGGCUGAGGUGAUUUUAUGAUUAAAAUAAAAAAUACAAACAUUUAAAUAAGAAUGUCCGACACUUGCACAACUAUUUACCAAAUUUUUUCUCUAUAAAAAUCGACCUGCAACUUUCAAUAGGUUUAAAUUUAUAAUAUUAAACUUGAUUGCAGCUCGCAAAAAUUAUCUGUUGCGGCCAAGACUUUGGAUUUGCGAUGAUUUUGCCACCCUAAGUGUAGUUAGUAUUGUAUAUCAUGUGGCUCUUAGAAAAAGCCUAGAAGUUGUUUGAAUAACGGGGGAGACACAUAUCUCCCAAAGAUUUUCUCUUUUUCAAAUUAUUAUUUUUUCUCUAUUAUUGUAACUUCGAAUCCUUAUAAAUUACAGAUUGGAGACAUGAACACAAUGUUUUGACAUAGUGGACUUUUGGCUUGUCCAGAGAAAUUUAGGAUAGAUUUUUACGCACUAAGGCUCUAUUUACUAUUGAGGUUUUAGAACUUUUAAGCCACACUAGAAAUUUGUAUUGUUUUGAUAGAGUUGUAGUCUUUGAUAUGUGAUUGGUAUUAAUCAAGUGUUAUGUUUACAAUAGUUAAAGGCAUAUUGAAUCAAAAUCCACUUCUAAGGGCUUGAUUGAGUGAUUGUAAAGUAGGUUUUUAGUUUGCUAGCCACUCAAGUUCAAAUAUUGGAACCACAGAGCUUUAUAGCCAAGUGAGAGAACUUGUGCCCUAAAAAUUGAGGGGUGCAUAUCGAGUUUUACCACCAAUAAAUGUUGGUGUUAAAACUUUAAUUUCUCUCCUAUCGAUGGAUAAGGGUGAUUAGGAGUUUACAUUCCCUCCUAUUAAUAGACAGGGGUUAUUAGGAAUAUUAAAAAAAAGUUCAAAUAUUGAAAAUAUAGGUAUGGGUUAUAAAAUUCAUAAUAUAAAGACACAAAAUCAAGAUAAAGAUUUAAAAAUUUAGAACCAUGAGAGCGUGACUUGUAAGUUUCAAAGAAGCAUGUGCAAAUAUAUGCAUUAUCGAUGCCUAAUUAAGGGUGGACAUUAAGAUCGGGUUAACCCGAACCGAACCGAACUUAAAAUGUAUUUUGGAUUCAAUUUGGUUAUGGUUGAAGCUUUCAACUGAGUUCAAAACUUAAAAAUGAUUGAGUUGUAUUUCUGUUCGAAUUUAACCCCAAAAGACAACUAACCCUAACUAAAAUGUUCGACCGCGGCCUCCUCGUUUUCUUUUCUUCUUCCUCCUCUCGCUCACCCCUAAUGCCCUUCAUGGAAAUCCAACAGCUCCAAACGCGUUUCGGCCGCUCGCACGUGUGAGAAAUUUUCGUUCUCAUAGGAUUAUUCGUUUCCUUCGCCUGCAUGCCAGCAGAAUAUUCAGGCCGAGGAUUUUUCCGGGCCUAGCCCAACUAUAAGCUCUCCCAAAACCCAAUCAUAAGUUCAUAACCGUUUAGCGUUUGCUAUUAUUAUAAUUUUUUUAACCAAUUUUCACAUUCAUCAACAUAGGCUGACAGAUUUUGUAGAAAAUAAAAUUAAAUAAAAAUACGAGCUCACGAAAUUCCUUUUCCGAUGUGGGAAUCUAUCUACACCUUUCACGUGCUUUUUUUUUGGUGUGUGUUGGGGGGGAGGGGGGGGGGGGGUGUAAUUCACUUGCUUUUGUUUGCAUUGCCUUAAUGGAUAAAAGUUUGUAGAACAUCGUCUGUUUGGUUAAAGCCGAGCAUGAGUGAAGAAAAAUUAGAAAUAAAUAAUUUCCCAUAAAUUUGCAACAAGUAUUAAUAAAGUGCAUGAAAAAAGACACCAAGAUAUGCCUUUUUUUAAAUGAAAAUAAAUGUGUUAAUUAGUCUAUUUAAAUGGUAUGAUAUUUUGAAAUGAUAGAAGUGAUCUAAAGUUUAAAUCUUUACUCACACUUAAUUUACGGUUGGCGAUUAAUUGACGUAAUAUAUAAUAACGAAUUCGAAAGACAAUUAAAAAUUAAAAGAGAAUAAAAAAGUGCUUUCUUUUUUAUGAUGGUAAUUUGUUUAGAUGAUGAAAACUCUUAGAGUUGUAUUAUCAAUACAUAGUUUCAAGGGUUGGCAAUGUGAAUAAUAUUUAAUUUCCUUUAUAUAGUUAUAUCUUAACUAUCAUUUAAACAGAAGUAAGUUGUAAAAAAAAUGAACCAUUGAGAUUUGAGAGAAUAAAAAACUAAAAAAAAAAAGUUAAAAAAUUAGAUUUCAAUAAAUUUACUUGAGAACUACUUUACUGAUUAAUGAAGAGAAAAUACAAAGAAUAAUGAUGUAUCUCAAUUAAUCAGAUAAAUUUUGUAUUUUUUGUUUAUUCCAGAAUCACGAAACUUCAUUUAAACUUGUUAUUUCAUUGAUAAUAUAUUAAUAUUAAACAAUUAAUGUAGGAGACAUUUUUUUCCAAUUAUGCCCAUAUAUUAAUUAAAGACCACCAAAAAGUUCAGGGAUACUAUAGUAAUUUAAGUCAAUAAUUUCUGUGCUUGAAAUCAGCCAAUCAAACUCAUUUUAGAAUAAACUGAGAAAUCAAAAUCACAUUCUCCGAUUCUACGAUUUCAAUUCAUCUUAUUUCUUCAACUGAAAAAUUGGUUGUAUUUCGUUUUAUUUUUUUUUUAUUUUUAUAUAAAGAUAAAUAUAAAAUAUAAAUGACGAGGAUACUGUAAAAAUAAAAUCAAAAGAAGAGCACAAAUUUUAUUGAAAAUGACUCUUUUCAUCAUUUUGCCGGAGUGAAUGUAUCUACAUAUAAACUAAAGAAGCACAUUUGUUUGUAUUAGUUUUUUUAUUAUAUUUUUAAUAAUAAGUCAUUUGUCACUGAACUUAUAUCAAUUUUUACGAAAAUAAUAGGUGUUAGUUAGUUUAUUCAAAUGGCUAAACCUCUUGGGAUAGAGCUUGUAAUUUAGUGGCUCAUGAAUUGUCUAAAAUAAUAUAGUAAUUUAAACUAACAGUUUCUGUGCUUCAAAUCAUCAAAUCAAACUCACACCUCAGAAAAGCAGAGAAAUCAAACUCAUGGUUUCCGACUCUACGCUUUAAAUUCAGCUUCAUUUCUUCAACUGAAGAAUCGGUCGUCUCUCAUUUUUUAUUUAUUAUAUAAAGAUAAAUAUAUAAAUUUAAAUGGCGAGAAGAGCGGACGAGGAAUACGAUUACUUGUUCAAAGUGGUAUUAAUCGGCGAUUCGGGAGUCGGCAAAUCGAACUUACUCUCCCGAUUUACUCGUAACGAGUUCUGUUUGGAGUCCAAAUCCACUAUUGGCGUCGAAUUCGCCACCCGCACUCUUCAAGUAACUAACUUUUCCUCUUUCACUUCUCUUCAUUUUUAUUAGUUAAUUAAGAUCCAGUUAAUGUAAUUAAUUUUAUUUAAUCUUUUAAAUAAAGUUCUAGAUUAGGCUAACUUAGAUUCAUGUGAAGUUGAAGUGAUUUACUUUCGAUCUCUUUUUGGUCCUAUGUUUAUUUGUACUUACUAUUACUUUUUUUUGGGUUUAAAUUUUCGUUUUUGAAGUGUUUACUGAAUAAAUUUCUGAGCUUUAUUUGUGUAUGCUGAUUGAUUUGUGAUUUUAAUUUUGUGACUUUUUUUUUGGAAUUUAAAUUUGAAUGCUUUUUAAGUUGAAUCUGAAUGUGUUGGGCUGCGAUUUAAUUAAGUCAUCUGUGAGUGCCAAAUUGUGAUAGCUAUAUAUUGGGGUGAAAAUUUGGGAUUUAAAGUUAUGUAUUUAAGAUGCAGUUAAUUCGCAAGUGAAAAUUAUGGGCCGGCAGGUUUUGUCAUUGGAAGACUGUUCUCCACAUGUUGAAGUUAGUGAUGCAAGUUGAAACCAAUCUGUUUAAGCUUGGGGUUUCAUGUCUUGAAUCAAGGCUGUGACUUGGGGUGGGUUGAAAGUAUUAUAGCUUUAGCUAUUCCUGAAGUAAUCUGUUUAGACUCACCGUGAUGAGACCGAGUGCUGUACAGCAAAAUGAAAGGAAGUUGGAAAAUAUUUACUUAGCAUUUCGUGUUACUAAUGUUGAACUAAUAAAACCUAGCCCCUAUUCUAGUGAAUUUAUGUUAAAAAGCUAUGCACGCAUUAAGUUAGUGCGAGAGUCUGCUGAAGCAUAUGUCAGCUGUGUGUUUGGCGCUGAGUAUUCUUCAUUCCACAUUUUGGGUUUUGGUUGACCUCCAGCAUGGCUCAACCCACUUGAGUUAAAAGCCCUAGAGUUACAUUCUACCCAUGAUAUUUGAGUUUAUCAGGUCACCUUAUUUUAAUACUUCUCUGGAAAACAAAUAUAUAUGUUAAAUCAGGUAGGAAAAAUAAAAAGUUAAUUAUUGAGUUGUAAUGGUGCAACUAAGGUUUUGAAACAUUAAGAUCUUUAGCCAUUAUGUUACUAUCCCGUAGUUAUUUAAGUUACAAGAGAUAGUAAAAACUAACAUCAUAUUUUAAUUACUUACACUAAUCCUACAAGUGCUGAUGGUCUAAAGUUGCUGCUGCUUGCACCGAAUCAGUGGUCAUGGGCCAGCCAAGGUUAGGUGAGCCAACUCAUUAGCUUGUGAAACUUAAAGAAGUCUUAGGUUUGGAAAAGAUGGGGCACAGGUUACAAAAAUUUUUUGAGUUUUGGAUUGAAGGAACAAAAUUGUUGAUGUCUAGCUCACAAUAUUUGAAGUCACUCUGUGCUUCAUCGUGUAAAAUGGAUUGAAUUGCUGUAAGAUCAGGUCAAAUUAAAAUGUUUAAACUCAUUUUUAAGAAACGAAUUCUCAAUUGGACCAGCCUUUCACAGAAGCUGAUAUCGCAGAAGCUUUGAGUCAGAUGCAUCCAACCAAAGCCCCUGGCCCAGAUGGUCUCCCAGCAGUAUUUUUCCAAAAUCUUUAGAAUUCAGUAAGCGAAGGAGUUAUAGCCACUUGUCUGCAUAUCCUCAAUGAUGGAGGUAAUAUUGCUCCUUUGAAUCAUACAUACAUUGCUUUAAUCCCCAAGAUAGCAAAACCUAGGACUCUGAUGGAGUAUAGACCAAUCAGCAUAUGUAAUGUAAUUUAUAGGAUCAUUGCAAAGACUAUAGCGAAUAGGCUGAAGCUAAUCUUAGAUCAUGUUAUUUUGCCAACUCAGAGUGCUUUUAUGCCAAAUAGGCUCAUAACUGAUAAUAUAAUUAUUGGGCAUGAGUGUCUUCAUAAGUGGACAAAGCUAAGUUCCAGAGGUGAGAUAGGAAAUUCUCCCGCACGACACAGCAGAAACAAACUUUCCCUUUCAUUUUCUUUUCUCUUUCUCGCUCUCCAAACAGAGCAAAAGGACCGUCGCAAGAUUCUUCACUUCCAUCCAAAAUCAUGAGCAACGAAUAGUGAGCCUCCCUGUUUCCUUCCUUUUUUUGAUAUUAACAUUGUUAACAUAUACUCAUUUUAUUUUGACAAUACUUCAACUUUUUUUAUUUUUUUGCCUUUUCAUUUUUUUUGUUGAAGCAAUUAUCUGUUCAAGCUGUUGCUAAUCGGAGACUCGUCCGUCGGAAAGUCCUGCCUGCUGCCCCGAUUUGCUGUCUGUUGACUUUUCCUUUCCCUUCUUAUUUUCUUUUUUUAUAUUAAUUACUUUCUAUUUUAGCUUUUUGUUCUCUGAAUUUGUGUUAUUAAAAUGAUAAUUUAGAUGAUAAAUAAUUGUUAUUCUUGUAAAUUUCGGUUUUCAUUACAUUAAUUGUUAGUUUUUAGGUUUAUUAAUGUAAUUUUUUUUUUCAAUUUUUCAGGAUGAUUCUUAUGUCACAGCUACAUCAGUACCAUUGGAGUUGAUUUUGUGAGCCUCUCUUCUAUAUAUAUGUAUAUAUGUGUAUAAGUUAUAAUAUGAGUCUAUGUACGUGUAUGUAUGUAUGUGUAUGUAUAUGUGGAAAGAAAUUUGGCAGACUUCAGCAUUUUACUCUCUUUUUUUUUUUUUUUGGCAGAAAAUAAGAACUGUGGAGCUGGAUGGGAAGACGAUCAAACUGCAGAUUGUGAGUCAAAAUUUCCUUUUAUCUUGUAUUGAGAGAAAUUCGAUUUGUCUUAUUUAGUGAAGGUUAUGCUCAAGAACCUUGUCUUAUUUUCUUUGUUUGAAGAGUGAUAUGUUGAAAUGAGUGUAUUUGUCUUAUAAACAUCAUUUAGGUAAUGUCUUAUGUUUGAUUGUUUUUCAUCUGUUUAGUGGGACACUGCUGGACAGGAGCGAUUCAGGACUAUAACUAGCAGUUAUUACCAAGGAGCCCAUGGAAUCAUAGUAAGGAGCCUUCCCGGUUCUUGGUUUAAAUCAGAAAGUUUGUGAUUUACAUGUGACAUCUUAACAGCAUUGUAUGUGUUUAUUAACUUAUUUUUCAUCUUUCAUUAAGCAGUACAUUUUCCAAUAAAUCUGUAUACAAGAUGAUGUAGUCCAAGAAUGGGAGCCAUAAUAUGAUGCAAAUUGUCUAAUAAAUUCUUAUGACAUAUGAUGUUGUCGGAAGUAAAAGUCUUGCAAUGCUGUAUUCUCUUUUAAGAAAGAAUAAGUGGUAAUUUUGUUUUUCCAAUUUUUUAAUUGAGCAACUGUAUGAGAUUUUAAUUAAAUGUGUUGGGAUUUCAACAGAUUGUCUAUGAUGUAACUGGGAUGGAGAGCUUCAAUAAUGUCAAGCAGUGGUUGAAUGAGAUUGACAGAUACGCAAAUGACAGUGUAUGCAAGCUUCUAGUUGGGAACAAAUGCGAUUUAGUUGUGAACAAGGUUGUGGACACACAGACAGCCAAGGUAUAUUCAUGACUUUUGUCGCCUGAACUUUGAAUAUAAUUUUAAACUCUUCUCAAGUGCAUUUGCUUGGUAAGUUUCUGCAUACCCAGGACACUCAAACUUUAGACAGUCUGUAUCUCGAGUUGGAAUCUUUUCUGUCAAUACGACUUGUUAAAAUAAGGGUUAUUAUCGUUUGAAUCAUUCAAGAAUUGCAAUAAAUCUAAAGUCCAUAAAAAAUAUGAUUCCAUCAUUUUACUAUUAUAUCUAGACAAAACCCAUUAUUUUACUACGUUUCAUUGGCACCGAUAGUUGACCUGUUGGCUGACUGAUAAAAUAUCAAUUUUGCACUUUAUAUUAAUUCUUUUUUGGUUAAAAAAUAACACACAAAGUAUUACAAUAUUAUAAAUUCAAAAUAUAAAGUAGUUACAAAUAAUUCCUACUAACCUAUGAAUAUAAUAUUUGAUACCUCUAUUUGUGUAAUAUUUUUCCAAUGGUGAAAUUGUUAUUUUUUUUGUACUAACGGAAAUGUAGUAAAAUCAUAAGUUUUGUAAAGAUAUAGUAGUAAAAUGAUAGACUAAAAUACUUGUUGUUGUUGUUUGAUAUACUGUAAUUCUUAAAGUAGUCAAUUGAUAAUAUCCCCUAAAAUAAAUGUUCGUAAUAUGUUCUCAUUUUAAUGCAACUGAUUGUUUAAUAAAAUUGUAUUUCUUUGUUAAUCUUUUAUCAUGUGCAUGCUCAGUGAGAAUUUGACUUACUAGAACGCAAGUUUGACUCUUCAUUUAAAUGUCUCUUGUAUCAUAUCCUUCAAUGUUGAGUGUGAUUCCAAUAAAAUUGAGUAGGGAGAUCCUUAAAUACCUUUUCCUUUUUUCCAAGGGCCUGCCAAAUUGCUCUAAGUGGUUCUACCCUUUAUCAAUGAAUAAUGAAAAAAAAAUUUUUAUUAAAGCAUUUUGUUCCUUAAAUGGUGACUAAUAGUACCCCUUUUUUUUGGAGAGGAAAGCCAAACAUGCCCAAAGAGAAUCAUUUACUUUCCUCUAAUGUAUUUUCUAAUUCGUUUUGAGCCUUGAAUGUCUGUUUUGGUGCGUAUUCUCAUUCCAUGUCGAAUCUUAUCCAUAUGGACAACCCCACUUACAAAAAAGUCUAAUGAAUCUAUUGAAGUUCAUAUGAGGUUUGUGCUUUAGAUUUAGACCUCUCUCUCUCUCUCUCUCCACUUACAUGUCUUUCACUUACCUGUUUGCAUGCAUGCCCAUGCACACACUUUCAAGAUAAUACACGGUCACUCGUACUUGUGUUUUGGUUGAAUUUCUGGCUGCUAACCUCUGUAAUUCAGUUUGAAACUUGCCACCCUUAGUGCUUCACUCAAAUGGUUGGUUAGGGUGAGAUCUGUAUCGUUUUCCUGGUCUCUUUCCAAGGUUAUCUAAAGGGAUUUGGCAGUCUGAUUCUUUAGGGAAUAUCAUUGCAUAAGAUAUCUAUUUUUUGUUAAUGAAUAAUUUCUAUUUAACUGGUUAUCUAUAUAAAUUGGUAAAUUUUAACUGCAUAAUUUGCAUGCAAUAAGAUUUUAUAAGAAUCUUGUUUUCAACUCAUGACUUAGACUAAUGUGAUAUGUUGAGCAUUAAGCUACAAGAUCUGCACAUCAAAGUGCUUCACAAUGUUAAGGAGAAAGCAUCUUUUUCUGCUUCUUCAUGUGAUUUAAAGUUUCCAAGGUACUUAUCCAAUAAAAUAUCUUUCAAGACUUUGGAAAUGCUUUUAUGUAUGACUGAGAGAAACUUGUUGGGAUGGUUUUUAGCAACAGACGGAGUUAUGGACUUUGUGUCGACUUGUUAUUGAUUAAGACAGUACAUCGGCUGAUCUAUUGGCAUCAAGCAGCAGAUGCAGAAAUUAUGGGUGGCAUACCAUUGUAUCCAAAUAACAUACUACAUUGAUUUUUCUGACUUUCUGUUGGUCUCCGAGUGAAAUGCAGGCAUUUGCAGAUGAACUGGGGAUUCCUUUCCUGGAGACGAGUGCCAAAGAUGCAAUCAAUGUGGAGCAGGCUUUCUUGACCAUGGCUGGCGAGAUUAAGAUAGAGUAAAAUCACUUAACUCUUUCCUUCUUGCCGACUGUUCUUAUUUAACAAUCACCAUUAUUGCUGGUUAUAUGCAUUGUGAUGAAAAUUCUUCAAUGAGUAACUUUUUACCUAAUGUUUUCUGUUGGAACAAAUUACUCUGGUAGAAAAGCCCUACAGGGUUUGGGAAAUCCCAUGAUGUGAUGAUUGUGAGCAUUUUAGACACCGUGUGUGGGUUUAUUUUGUGACUAUAAAAUGUUAAGAUUGUUUCUAGUUUUGGUUUGUAGUGCAUAAAAGGAUUCAAAAUUUGACAUCUGUCUAAAUCAGAUUAAUAACAUGAUAAUGUACAUAUGCAAGAUGUGAGGAAUUGUUUUAUCUCACCUCUAAACUUUAAGAAAUGGAAACAUUAUUAUUCAAAAUAUUUAACAUUUCCAGAAUUGAUAGUUGUCUAUUUGAGCAGUGACUGGUGGUUAUCAUGAACUGAUGUGCGGUUGUGGUUUCAAAUCUUGGUGAAACCUGUUGUCAUAUGCUGAUUAACAUAGAUAGUCUCUGAAACAAUUUGUUGAUUCACUAAUUAUGAGUUCAAAUUUGAUGCAGAAUGGGCAACCAGCCUACUGCAAACAAAUCUUCUGGAACAGUUCAGAUGAAGGGAUAGCCAAUCCAGCAAAACAGCAACUGCUGUGGUUAGCCGAGCAUCUUAUUUUACUUCUACAUGUUAGCUGACUGAUUGUAGACAGUUUUAACUAUGUUGACUGCAUUAUCUUAUGAAUCUUUUAAUCUGUCAAAUAUUUAUUUCCUGCUUUAAGUUCUUUCCCGUUUAUAACAAAUUUAAUUUCUUGCUCCAUUGCAUUCCAAAUUCCUGUCAAUUUACAAGGGAAAAAGAAAAGAGAGACGAAAUGGGAGAAAAUGGUCAAAUUUGUUAGGGGGAGAGAGCUGUUGAAGUAGUUUUUGUUCUUGUUUAUCGUCGUGACCCUCUUGUCGCUUAUCUACGACCUGGAAGUCCGGUCAUAUCGGAUGGGUAAAGUUACCGAAACGGCACCAUUUUGGGUGAAAUAUCAUAUUUAUGUAACACUUUUGAUAAUAUUUUUAUGCAACAAAAAAAUGUUUGCAGUACCCUUUUCACAUCGGAUGAGAGCAGUCUGGAUUCUGGCAUCACAAGCUAAUGCUUUGAUUUGCUUAGUUUGUUUUUUGUUUCUGAUAUUUUCUCGGCAUCGGGUGGGAUAUUGUUUCUCUUUUUUUUUGUUUGUUAUGGAAUUUGGAGAUAGUGUAAAUGUAUGAAGAUGAAAUUGUUGAGUUGGUUUUGUUAUGGAAUUUGGUUUACUUCACUGACCAUUAAUGCGCAAAACCUCGUAAUGACCCUCAAAAAUCCCGUACAUAAUUAAAGAAUUUCAAUUUUAUAUGUACAUAAAUAAAUAACUCUCAAAUAUAUUAUUUGAUAAUCCCAAAAACAACAAUUCACUCUAAUAAAUCUCGUAGUCAAUACAUGGUCUAUAUUGUAAGUGUUUUCGAGACUAAUUCAAAAAGAAAAUACGAAGGAUAUAUAAUUGACUUUUACUUGUUAUAAAGAAUUCUAAAUAAAUUCUUAUACGCAUCGCAGCUAAUUACAGUCUUGGUACUUCAUUAGGUUUUUGUUAAUUUUCUAUACAGUUGUGCUGUGCAUAAAAGUUUUGUUAAAUGAAAUCGAUAGGUGAGGAUUAAUUAAUCAAUUAAUUAAGAUCCAGUUAAUGUAAUUAAUUUUAUUUGAUUUUUUUAAUUCGAGUUCUAAAUUAAUCAAUUAAUUUAGAUUCAUGUGAAAUUGAAGUGAAUUAGUUUCGAUUUGUUUUUCGUUCUAUGUUUGUCUGUGUUUACUCUUACUUUUUUUUUUGUUUAAAUUUUCGUUUUCUUAUUGUUUAAUUAAAAAAUUCGAAAACCCAUUAAAUACAUGUAAGGACUCACUGACGCCGAACCAUAUUAAUUUAAAUUAAUUUUCAACUGAGAUUAGAAUUUUGAAAUUACAUACACAAGCACGCCCAAUUAAAAAGUAGUAAUUAUAAAAUAUUUCAGUACUCGUUUUACCAUCCAUUUGAGUAUACACAAACACGCCCAAUUUGAAAAAAAAAAGUAGUAAUUAUAAAAUAUUUCAGUCGUCCACUGUUCAAUCACCAAAAACCAAUUUACCAUCCAUUUCAACGCCUAAUUUGAAAAAAGAAAAUACUAAUAAUAAAAUAUUCCAGUCGUCCAUCCUUUCACAAAUCAAAAAUAUCACCAAAAACCAAUUUGUCAUCUAUUUCAACAUAAGGUAUAUGGGUUAACAAGUCCCAAUAUCGUCCUCCAUCCUUUCUGCACUUCUUUUUUAUCAAUGGACAUCUCCAGAUCCGUAAUCGCAAAAGUGAGGAAGGCAGGCCCUUCUCCGGAAAGUAUUUGAGCUUGGGACAAUCACAGAGAUACAAAUGAGUGAGGUUUUGAAGAUCAACAAUUGAAGAAGGUAGGCGUUCCAGAUUUGAAAAAUUAUAAAUGCUCAGAGAUGUUAGAGAGGCAGGAAGAGGAAGCGCGGUCCCUAAUCUUUUGUCCUCUAGUGGAAAUGACACCAUGUCGUCAUCGCAUCUGCUGAUUCUAAGAUGUCGCAGAGAGGAGAAUCUGUGAAAUCCCCGUCCCCGCUCAAUCAUUGACUUCCAAAUCUCCAUAUUACCCCAAAUAUUAAGUGACUGAAGGUUGGUGGGAAGGCCAUCUUCUUCUUCAAGGCUUGCAAGCUCAACUCCUCUUACUAUUGUUAAUUCUUGAAGAGAGCUCAGAUUGUGCAAUCCCUUGGGUAAGGCCUCUAGUCUCUUACAAUCAAAUAUCGUCAGCCUCGUGAGUUUCGCACAAGGCAAUCCCCCUUCGGGAAAGGACUCCAGAUUUCCACACCUCUGUAUACUAAUCUCUCGAAGCUGGUGGAGUUUAUGUAAACCAUUCGGUAAAAUUUUCAGAUUUUCACACUCAGAAAUGUAGAUAUCUUCAAGAGAUGUGUUGUUGUCCAACCUUUCUGCUAUUGACUCCAGCUUUGAACAUCCAUUAACAUGAAGGGACUUAAGAGACGGAGGUAGAUUGCCAACUUCAAGGGACUCGAGCGUGGCAGGUAACUCGUUUUUUGAAAAUAUACAUGUCAGUGACGGACAACUGCUAAUACGCAACUGCUCAACAAGAGAUGAGGUGUACCUUCUGCUGCUGUUGCUGCUACACUGGAUGCCCUCUUCCACUGUCAAAGUCCUUAGAUUAUCACAAUUAUGGAUGUUCAACAUCUUAAGGCUCCGUGGUAGCUGGACAGCAGCAAUAUAUGUCAACGAACGACAAUCCUGAAUAGACAAGAUCUCGAGAGACGAAUUGGUGUCGCACAUCCAUGCCUCUGGUAACGAUUUCAGUGCAUCACAAUGCCUAAUCUGAAUUUUCUUCAACUUGGAAGGCAGAGCAACCUUAGGAAAGGAAACAAGGGAACUGCACUUGCAGAUUUCUAUCUCUCUCAAGGAACUGAGGCUGAACGAUGAUUGUGGCAGCUUCACAAGGCCUUCGCAAUUACUCAAUCUUAGAUAUUCAAGUCUGCAUGACAACUGGCAGAGCUGCUGUUGUUGGUCUUUCUCUUCCUCCGCGACCAAGGAUUGAAGUUUGGGACAACUUGUAAUCGUCAGACUUUUGAGAGAGCAAAUGUCUUGCAGUAAUUCGUUAUGGCUCUUCCAUAUACAUGUUUCAUUUUGAAUAUUAUUUAUCUCCAAUUCUUCCAGUUUUGGUAUUCGCGGCUUCAAUGGCCCUGCGAGAAACACUUGAUUUGAUGUAUCUCUACAAACCACUGAAUUCUGUGAGCCGAGAUGAUCAGUUGUACUUCUCCACACAACCUUUUUACAUCCACGAAUUACCAAUUUGCAAAGAGCUGGAUGACUCGCAAUUGAAAUUGACAAUUCUUCACAUUCUCCAAUAACAAGCAUCUCCAAUGCAGGAAGGCAUUCUGGCAAUGUUCCUCGCAGUUUAGAACAUCUUAAAAUGCGAAGCUCUCUCAAUUUAGGAAACCCUUCAACUCCCUGACUAGAUCUAAGAGGAAUCCAGUCUUCCCAUUCUUGCGUGUCUUCAAAAUAAAGAGUUUCCGAAGAUGGAAAAGGAAUCGGGGAAUCAUUACCAUAGAACUCUGAACCCGAACUCUUUACUCUACUCAUUCCACGCACUGCAAGAUGCUUUAGAGAGGGCAGUUGCCCCACUGACGGCAGGACAGUACACAUGCCACAAACUUCAAAAGUUAAGGUCGCUAAAUUUGAGAAUGAUGAAUCUCCCAUCCGAGUUGGACAUUCUUUACCUCCAUAGCCACUGAUACAAAAUUGUUACAGAUUUUCAUGAGGAUUUAGCAUGUCGACCACAUCCUUUUCAGUUUCUGCCUCCCUUGAAGACAAACCAUUGGUACUCCGUGUCCAUCGGAACCUUAACACUUUAAGAUUCUUCUUUCCAUCCAAUUGAGCCUCCUUCGCAUCACCAAUGUCUUUUACGUUCUCCAAUUUUGAAAUGUUAAGUGUCCCACGAAGAUGCGUCAACAAUUUUAGCUCUCGUAUCCCGGAACCACUGUCUUUUCCCACAACAAAAUUACACAGCGUCUGAAGGCAAGUCAACUUGCCAAUUCCUAGUGGCAUCUCCUCCAAUGAAUAUGUAUUUGAAUUAUUGAGAUGAUGCAAUUUGAUGAGAUUUCCCAUGUCUGCACACAACUUCUCUAGUUGAUGACAAUCUUCCAACAAAAGCGUGUGCAAAUUGUAAAGCAUGUUGACUGAUUCAGGCAGAGUUCUAAUCUCAGUUCCAGAUAGGUUGAGGUACCUUAAAUACCUCAAAUCACCAAUUGAAUCCGGUAGCUCAUAGAUGCAAUAUCCACGCAAAGAGAAGACCCUCAACCGUUGGAGUUUGAACAACUUAGGAAGAAUGCUACGAGUCAAGUGUCUAAGCGAACGAUUUGACAAUGUUACUGGUAAAAAAGUUCGCAAAUGGUGGAUAUCAUGUAAAUCCUCAAACCUUUGAACGCCAUCACAACCUCCACGAAUGAAUGACAGGUGACGAAAAUUUUUGGAAAAACUUUGUUGCUUGUUAACCUCUGAGUUAGACUCCAUUGUGAAGUAUAUCUCCCCCGCAGCCCAUUGAGCAAGGUCGUUGACAAGGUCGUGCAUCACAAAUCGUGAUUUAUUGUUGCUUGAUUGCUGGAAAAAAGAUCUUGAACGUAGCUCUUGAAAGAACUUUCGACCUAGAUCUUCAUUAGGAUUCCCUCUCUCUUUGUGAUCCAAGAAACCCGAAGCACACCAUAAUAAAAUUAUCUCCUCCUCUUCAAAUUCAUAAUCCUUUGGAAACAAUGAGCAGUAUGCAAAGCAUUGUUUCAAAGGUGCCGAAAGAUAAUAGUAGCUCACUCUAAGCGCCGGUAUAAUGGCACAUCUCUCUUCUGGUAAAUCCCAUAUCUUGCAACUGAGCACACCUUCCCAAUCACUCCGGUCAAGUUUACCACGUAAGAGACCACCAAGAGUUUUCGCAGCUAAGGGCAAGCCGUUGCAUUUGAUCACUAUCUUCUUGCCAAUUUCCUCCAAUGACUUGUUUGAACUGAAAUCUCUUGUCCCCAAAGCGUGUUGAGCGAACACAGACAGACAAUCAUCAUUUGACAACUUUUUCAAUUGAUAAGCCGGAGCAGUCCCCAUGAUGGCUGCAACCCCUUGAUUACGAGCUGUGACAAUAAUCUUACUUCCCGGUGCGCCAGCUUCAAAUGGAGGUCUGAGUCGAUCCCAAUCAUUGUAAUUCUCAUUCCAAACGUCAUCUAAAACAAGCAAAAAUUUUUUUCCAGAUAGUUGCUUAUUCAAAUCCUCUUGAAGCUUAUUCAAGUUGUGAUUAUCCACGUUCUGGUCAGGAACAAUGGAUAUCAAGAUUGUUUUUGUUAGCCCGAAAACAUCGAAAUCAUCAGAGACACAUGUCCAUGCCUUGAGAUCAAAAUGAUCCUGCACUUGCUUAUCAUUAUAGACAAGCUGAACGAGAGUGGUUUUGCCCAGCCCGCCCAUACCUAUGAUAGGAAUAACAGAGAAUUCACCAUCGUUGCUUAAAUCAUCCCUCAACAGCAGUUCUACAACAUCCUUCUUUUCUGUUUCUCUGCCAUAUACUUUGCCUUCCUUCACCAAAGAAGUUGUCUCUCGCCUUUGCCUGUCUUUUCUGGAUCUCCCAGCUGAACUUACGUUCAAACCGAGCGAGUCUUUCUGUGUUACAAUAUCUUGAAAUCUGUCGUUGAUCUCUUUGAUUUUGGACAUUAUGGCGUAAUCGAACUGAAUCGAUUGUGGAGUAAAAGUGGUGCAGCAAGUAGGAAUGAGCUUCUGAAACUUACUUGUUCUUGUACGACUGCUACUGGGUUGAUCAAGAGCAGCAGCAGGUUCUCCAUUUCCAAGCAGCAACUUCCUCCGGAAAACCUCAGUUUGAAACUCAUCCAACAGGUCCUCAACAUCAUAAGCCAAGAUCUGAAGCUCGCCAAGCCACAACUUCACAGACUGAUCAGUCGUUUUCUUCUCCUCAGCAUCAUCAAGCACCGCCUUGAUCAUCACCAACAUAUUCUUCCACUUCUUUAGGUCGGCCUGGAUUUGCUCUUGGCGUGCAAACAAUCGAAUCCCCUCUGAAGCUAACUUAUUAACCAGCAAAUCAACGGACGCCGUAAGGAUUGCCUCUCCGAUGAUUGACAUUUUUUUUUUGUUUUGCAAAGAAAGAAACAGAAUUUUGAGUUUUGAAAAGCAAAAUGAGAAAAUUGAACAAUAAGUGUGGAGGGUCAAGCAAAAUGCGCGUAACAAGUCUUCCGCUUCUUGUUUAUUCCAGGAAAGUGAGAAUAAAAACAGAGCCCACCACCCAUUAAUAAUUGAGCAAUUCACCAAUCACGAGUCACCACCACUCGUUACCAUGAAUAUAAUAAAUUGCAGGGUCCAGCAACAUUGACCCAGUGUCCGGGUAAAUGCUGAAUAAAGAGGAAAAUGGAAUGUAUCCCCUACGAACCUUCGCUUUACAAGUCUUCAAACUCAUAAACCAAGUUAAAUCAAAACGUUUAUCUCUCUCUCCCUUUUUGCCAUAUAAUUACUUUAUUUAUUGAAUUAAUUUCCAUGCUAAAACGAACACUUAAAAGUGCACUACAAUUUUUUAUAAUCACAAUGGUAAUUUCUACUAUCAUGUUAUUUUAAUGUCGUGUUAAAAUAAAUUAUUACAAAGUUUUUUUUAUGAACACUCUUUUUAUUUAUAAUUUUUUUAAUUUUUAAUAUUUUUCUUACUCUUUUAAUCUUAAUAUUUGUAUUUCGCUCUUCAAAUUUUUAUUAUUAUUUAAUUUUUAAAGAAAAAUAUGAAAAAAAAAUAAAAAAAAUAUUAUACUUAAAAAAUAGUGAAUAUUUUAUGGGUCUAAUACAAACCUGUAUUGUUUUUGACAAUGAAAGAGCACGCGAAAAAUCUCACUCAUAGAAAAUUUAGUGAAAGGCAUUUGAAUGUGUGGCCACAUUUUCCGAACGAAACGAUAAGGCUUUAGCCUUAUAAUUGCAAUUAGUUUGUCUUGUAACUAAAUUAUUGCCGACAAGCACCAUCAUGCUGACAAACCGUGCAUGCACGUCCUCAAUCACCCACGUCCUCUACUUGUGUGCAAUAUUUCCCAUUACUUCCCGUACUUUAUGCAUUAUUGUUUUGUAUGUCUUUUGGUGUUUACGGUGUAGUUAGGGAUGGUAGCGGGUUGGGUCUGGUACCGGUUUGACAUCACCAAACCCGCAUCUAAAAAAAAUUUAAUUACGUAAUUUAAAUUAUAAAUUUAUAACCGUUGCCUAAAAAAACCACAUAAAAUACUUAAUUCUACAUUUUAUCAAUGUAAAUGAGAAAUGAAAAUAUCAACAUUAAAACAAAUACAUAAAAUGUAUCAAUUUAACACCAAUUUUCAAAUUCAAUUACCAAAUAAAUAAGUACAGUGUAGCACUAAAAUAUAAUAUUUAAAUUAAAUUAAUCACAAAAAAUUAAUACAAUACAGUGUAGCACCAAACAUUGUAUAUUAUUAUUAUAAUACAGUACUAAUACAACGCAACAUAAUACAAUACACCAACAUUAAAAUAAUACAAUCUAAUAUAAUACAAUACAGUGUGCGAAAUGCACCGACAUGGUAUUACUUUGUUUGUCUCGUUAUUUACAAUUAUUUAAUCUGUAGACCCACUCAUGCUCCUUCUAUGUAACAUAGAUGCAAUUUGAGGAAGAUUAUCAAUUUUUUCUGACUAAAAAUAAUAUAUACCACUUAUUUUUUAUUGUUUUUAUAAUGUUCAACAAUUCGCUUGAGAUCAAAAAAUUAAAUGAAAAGGAGUAAAUAGAUGAUUUACUUGAUGUUGUAUCUUAGAAAUAUAAAAUAUAUUUAUUUAUUAUUAAAAAUAUUUAAAAAUAAUAAAGAGUACAUAAAAAGUAUCUUAUCCUCAACAACAAGAUCAGACGACGUCAAUUCAGCAAAAUGACUUGAAUAACUUGAAAGUCCAGCAGCCGUCACCUCUUGGCGCACACAUGGCAACGUGCGUGGCUUUGGCAAGAGGUCUCCCAAAAGGACGAUUAAGAAAGAUUGCAGGACAAAUCAUGAAAAUAGUAGUACAGAUAUGCAAUGGCUAAAUUUCCUCGAUUAAGUCCAUCACAAUCAAGUCUUAGAAAUCACACCCCUGUAUUAAUUUCCAGAAAUAUGUUUGUUCCAUAUUUAUCGUGCACGUAUAUAUUGUAUGUAUUGGGAAUAGAAAGAGUGUAUGUAAAAAAUUCUUCAUUCAUCGAUUAAAACUUAAUUUAUGUACAAGGGUUAAGUGUAGUGUUUUUAAAUUUAAAAAGGACAAGUGUCAAUCCACUUAGGCUUGCCUCAAUGGCUAGAGCCACACUCCCUCACAAAGUGGUUCGAUCUCCCACAAAUACAUUAUAGAGGUUUAAUUUAAAUUUUUUUCCUCAAAUUUUGAGUGAAGACAGUUUUUCUUCCAGAAAUAGAAUUUUUCUGAGAGUUUGACGCCCCUCAAAUAUUUGAGAUGAUUAAAAUUUGAGCGGUGCUAUAUAAAAUAUAAUGUAAACUAAUCUAAAUAAUUGUAUAAUUAUAAAUAUAAUGAACAAUAGUCUCAUACAAAAAAAUGACAAGUGUAGUAAGCCCAUUUAAAUUAACUUAUAUUUGAGGGGAAAAUCUCUAUAUAUCAUAGUAUAUAUUAUAUGGGAGCGCCUAAGUUACGAUUAAUGUAUCUUACGUCUUUUGUUUUAUUCUUCUUGGUAGAUUUCAUUUGAGUCCCUUGAUAUUUCUUUAUUUUCUAUAAUUGAGGGAGUAUUUGUCUCCUUCCAUCUCUUCUACACCUAUUUUUUAUUCUUUCCAGAGUUAUAUUUAUUUCUUUUAAUAACAACAAGUGAUUAUCAAACUCAUAUAGAUCUAUGAAUUCAGAAUAUAUUUCUGGUCCUAAAUUUAUCAAACCUAUUCUUUCUUGCUCUAAUAAAUCUAUUUUUUGAUUUAUUAAAUUUAUAUAUGUAUUUACUAUAUUUUCCCAUCCUAAAUGCAUAUGUUCCGUAUUAUUUAUUAAUUCCUGUAUUGUAUUAAUUGCUUGGUUCAUAAUGUUUCAGUUUUAUACCAAUAUAUUAAAAAUUGUAUAAAUUUAUCAAUAAAUUUCAUUUUCUUUUCUAUCAAUAUUUCUCCUCCUGUGGUAUCUAUAUUCCUUUCUAUAAGUUCUUCAGUUAAUUCAAUUUCUAUAUUUCUUAUAUUAUUUUUAUCAGUUUUCAAAGCUUUUACCAAAUUCUUUAUUUCUUCUUUAUUAUAUACCUUUAAUGUAUACAAACUAUUAACUAUUGACUGUAUUGGGUCCAUCAUUUUGUUUUUAUGGCUCUGAUACCAUCUUGCACUGUGUGCUAAAAAAAAAACUAAUAUUAACAAAUUAAUAAAAAAUAAAAAUAAACUAAAAAGGUAAAGAAUGAAAAUAUAACUAAAUAAAAAAUAAUAGAAUAACGAAUUACAGAAAACUAAAAACAUAAAACAAAAAUUUUUGUUCUAUAAGGUAUACAUAUCAUAACUAUUACUGUUAUUUCUUACAUAUAAGGCAGUAACUUGUUCUCCUUCUAUAAUCCUAGGUAUAUUAUUAAGAAAACUAGCAAAAUAAAAAUCAUAAUAAUUAUUAUUAGUUUCUAAAAUAUAUGCAGGAUUAUUAGUCAUAUCAUAAAAUAAUUCUAUCUGUAUAAAGUAUAUAUUAUUAUUUAUUAUACUAAAAUAGUAUCUAAUUUCCCUUUGGGUAUCUAUUUUUAUAAAAUAUCCUGAUUACAGGUACGUGGCUUGUUAUCCCAAAGUACAGAGGAUACUAACGCCCAAUAGGGAUCGUCUAUCCAAUUUACGUCAUGGGUUGCUUGCCGAUAUACCUUACAACCAGUUUAUUUGUUUUAUUUUACUAGAUUCCUAUAUUUCAAGUUCUUCGUUAUCCGAAUUUUCAAAGUAAUUUAUAUAUGAUGGUCCAAUUUCUCGACUUUCAUGUUCUAUAUAUGCCAAAGCUAUGUCAAUUCCUUGCUCUAUUGUUAACAUAAUUAUAUUAUGUUUUAAAUUAUCUGUUUCGAUAUGGUUUAUAAUUUUUCUUUUUAUUUCUUUUGGUAAAUUAAGAGUAUAUACUGCUUGUAGAUCUUCUGUUCUAACUAGCUCUGUUUUACUUAAAAGAUAUGAACUUUGUUUAAAAGAUCCUAAGUUAAAGUCUAUUAUCAUCAUAUAGUCAUUAUAUGUUAUUCUAGUGCUAGAGUUUAUCAUAUAUUCUUUAGAAUUCCCAAGUAAAAUAUUGUUAUUCAUGUUUAAAUUAACAGCUCUUCCUCCAUAAAUCUCCUCAUCAUCAAUCAUCAACAAACUUCCACCAACAGAUAAGGUUUGAGAAUUAUUACCCAGAGUUGUUCUUAUUUCUCUGCCUUCCGAUCCUUUUCCAGUGACCUUCAGCCUGGUUGUCCUUAUUCCCUCAACGGCCUCCUUGCCUCAACGGGAUCAGCGGACUCGAGCGGCCUUACUGUAUGGAUUUUGAUCGUUUUGCUCGAAAAUUUUGAACAAAUUUAGGUUUCUCUUUCCUUUCUAUGGUGUUGUUUUGUUUAUGAUUUCUGAUGGCUUGAUUUCUGGAUUUUGAGCUGAAGAGUUGUUUAGUUCUUCAUUUUUGAGAGAGUUUUUGGAAAAGAUUUCGUAAUGGAAGCUCUGAGAGCCUUCUUUCUUUCUUUUUCUUCUAUUUAUUCAAAAAAAAGAUUACAUUCUUGCCCUCAUAUAAUUGGGCUUCUUACGUCACUGCUGACGAUUUUACAUUAUCCUCUAUGCUUUAUUACAUUAUUGCCCUUAUAUAAUUGGGCUUCUUACGUCACUGCUGAUGUUACAUAUCACUUACUCUUAAUUUUAGCAUCUUUCUUUUUACUUUUUGACAUUUGCUUUGCUUUGUCGGGCAUCUUCUUUAUGAUGUCUGCCACUUCUUGUCGGGCAUCUUCUUUAUGUUGUCAGCCACUUCCAUGAGCUGAAAAGCUUGUUCCAUAGUUUUACUGCUACUGGGAAAACGCAUAGUGCUUAUUUCAUUAAUGAAGUCUAACAACAGAUUUGAUGGUGUAUGGCUGUCUUCAGAUGUUAUGAGAAUGUAGUUCUGGAAUUUGAUGAUGGUUCUGAAAUUUCUUUCGUAUAGAUCCUUGGCUAUGCUCCAUAUGGCUUUUAUUCCUCUGGCUCUUCGUGUUCUGAUCCAAGGUUCAUUUAUAUGUGGAACAUUUGUGUAGUCUGUCCCAACUUCGACCUUGAAAUUCUUAGUGAGAUGACCUAUAGAGAUCAUAUAAAAGGCUUGAUAUUCUACGUUCUGAUAAUAUUCUGAGCUUAUGGUGUAGAAUUUUAGGUAUAUGGGCCUUUUUUGGGCGAACCUUGAUACUUCUUUUAUUAACAAGUCAUCAAGGCUGGCUAUUUCCUGAAGAUUUAUAUCUGGAUAAACUAGAUCUAAAUACUCGUAUUUUGCUAUCUUUCCAACAAGGAGUGGGUCUGCUCCUUUUGUAGCAAUCAUUCUUGGAUACAUAUUUUUUCCUGGUGCUUUGAAAAUUGUAUUCUUGUGGGAACAAGUGGAGUAUACCCAUGUGGAGAAUUGUUUAUAUUCUUCUUCUUUUGGAUUCAGGGGUUUCUCCUCUUCUUCUGUAUAAGGAUUGUUUAUUUCUAUGAACUUUUUUGGAGGUUCUGAUUUUGGAGACUCGACUUCUAUAGAUAUGACUUUAUUAGGAACUGGGUCAGAGAUUGGUUUAUCUUCUCUGAAGGGUCCACUACUGCUUCCGAUAUUUAUUGGGUUAAUGUUUAUUGGGCUCGUGUUUAUAGAGAGAGCUUUUGUUAGGUCGUCUAUGUAUGACUCUAACAAAUUUACUCCUUUUUCAUGAGCCUCAGAAGCUUCUUUCAAAUAGUUUAUUGCAUCAAUUAUAUCAGAUGCUUCUGUUUUGAGCCUUUGUACCUCAGCUUCUAUUUUCCCGAUGAUUCUAUUAACUUCGGGAUUCAUUCUCCAAAUUCUAUGUUCCUGCUUAGGAAAUCUGCAAGAAAAUUGUUAAUUCCUUUUAUAUGCACAAUUUUGAAAUUAUAAUAUGACAGAUAAACUUGCCAUCUAUGCAAUCUUCUGUACUGGGGGUUCAUUUGGUAAAAUCCUAUUAAUAAGGGAGUUUACCCGAGAAUUAUCAGUUUCUACAGUAAAUUGUUUUUGGAGCAAAAAUAAUGAAAACUUUUUAAUCCCUUUGUAUAUUGCAAGGAGUUCUUUUUCAUGUACAGGAUAAUUAACCUGAGCUUGGUUAAACGUUCCACUAGUGUAUCGACAAAUUUCAUUUAUAUCGGUUUUAAGUAUUGCUCCCCAAUAUAGGUCAGACGCAUCUGUUUGUAUUACUAAUCUAUCUUUUUCAUCAGGUAGUCUUAAAGUCGGAAGGUUUUUACAUUCUUCUUUUAAAUUUUUUACAAUUUCUGUAUGUUCCUCAUUCCAUCCCCUAGUAUUAUUUUUUCUUAAUAAUUUUUGGAGUAUAUUUCUCUUUUUUGAUAGGUCUUUUAUAAAUCCUUCUGCAUAAUUCAAACAUCCCAAGAAUUUUUGUAUUUGUUGUUUAUUUUCUAAUUUAUCUGGAAACUCAAUUAUUUUUCUUCCUAUAUGGCUCUGGAGUUUGAUUCCUUGUUUAUCAAGUAUCAUUCCUAAAAAUUCUAUUUUCUUAUGCUCUAUUACUGCUUUUUUACUAGACAGUACUAUCCCUUCUCUAAUACAUGUAUUAGCAAAUUCUUUCAAAUGGUGUCUAUGUUCUUCUAUUGUCUCUGAAGCUAUCAAUAUAUCAUCAACAUAGACUAUAAUGUAAUUGUAGUCUUUAAAUAUUUUAUCCAUCCUACUUUGGAAAAUUUGUGGAGCAUUUUUUAAUCCAAAGGGCAUUACUAACCAUUCAUAAUGACCUUGUGGGGUACUAAAAGCUGUGUAUGGGAUACUAUCAUUUUCCAUUUUUAUUUGCCAAAAUCCUGACUUACAAUCAAAUUUUGAAUAAUAUGUUUUAUUUUUUACAAGAUUUAUCAGUACUUCCUUGUUUGGGAGAAAAUAUCCAUCAAAUUUUGUAUAUUUAUUUAGUUCUUUGUAAUUUAUUACCAUUCUUGCUUUUCCCCUAACUUGUUCUGCUCUUUUCCUAACCAUAAAAGCUGGGCUAUUAUGCGGGCUAUUACUGUUUCUAAUAAGUUUUAAAUUUAAUAAUUCUUUUAUUUGAAUUUUAAAUUAUUCUCUAUCUUCUUCUGUAUACAUCAUAGGUUUAAGUCUUAUAAUCCUAUUUUCAAUUAAUUCUAUUUUUGCUCUAGGAUGAUCUGGUUUCCAUAAUGCUAAAGGAUUCUCUUUAUAAACUUGCUCAAGCUGUGAUUUUAUUGUUUCUAAUUGUAUAUUAUAACUUUGUCCUUUUUGUAUUAAAUAAUGUUUUUCAUAAAUAUACUUAUCACCACGCUGGGCUGGCUGAACUCUGUAGGGUUUGAAUUCGCGAGGGAUGCGUAGAAUAUGAUUACAAGGGGUUUUUAAAGUGAUCAUAUAGGGUGUUUGUUGGUAAUAUUGGAACUGUUGUAUGAAGUCAUUUCCUAAAAGGAUAUCACAAUCCAUAUUAUUGUACUGGAAUAUUUGGUUAAUACGUACUACUUUACUUCCUAGUAAGAUUUCAAAGUUUAAAAUAGAUUGAUUGACAUGUUGUUUAUCUCCUGUAAUACCAAUAAUUAUUAAUUUUCCAUUUGAUUCCCAUUUAUUAGAUAAAAAGGAUUUCAUAAUGGUUAUUUCACUACCAGUGUCUAACAAAGCACAAGUAUCUAUAUCUUUUUCGGUUAUGUUUAUUUGUAUAUAUACAGACAUAGGGUAUUUUACAUAAGCUUGUUUUAACAUGUGUAACAGAUUAUUGUUUGGCCUUGGAUUAAGAAAGUUAUCUUAUUAGGUUCAAUUUUGUAAUACUCUAAAUCAUUUAAAAAACUAUUUCCCAGUACUAUAUGUUUUUCUGGGUCUGUAGUCAUGAAUGAGUCUAUAUAACAGGCUACUAUUAUUCUAAGUCCUUCUAUUAUUAUGGGGACUUUAACCUCUUGUUUACAAAUAUGUUUAUUCCCAUUGAAGUCAGUAUACUCAUAUGGAACUUCCUUUUCUUUUACUAAGAGUCCUUUAUUUUUUGUGUGAUUCAUGUAAUUAUGGCUUGUGCCAGUGUCUAAUAGUAUAGGUACUUUUGCUGUGUAAUCUAUUCCAUUAAAGUAUUGUCCAAGUAUUUUUACCACAUUAUUUGUUGGUACUGAUUUAAUUAUUUGCUUAUCAGUGUUUAAUCUUCUAGAAGAACUUCCUCUUAUUAAGGUUCUUCCAGCAAAGCUUAUAGGAAUAAUGGAGUUUUCAUUACUAUUGUUUAAAAAUUGUUUUUUAUCAUCGAUAUUUAAUUCAUAAGUUAUAGGGAUUUUGUAAUCUUGGAUUACAGGUUCUAUAAAUGUUGCAAUAUCUUCACAAUCUUUAUUUAUCUCGAUGUAAGGUUUAUUACCAUAUAUUUCUCCGUAGUUUGAAUUACAGAAACUAUAUAAAGCUGAGUAAUGUAUUGUCAUUAUUCUAUUACCUUCUUUCAUUAAAUCUUUCUUUAAUAGCUUAAAGUGUAAGCUUAAUGUUUCGUCUAUGUUUUUAUCUUUAAUGUGUACACAAUAUCUAGGAUGACAAAUAAAUAAUAAUUUAGUAUAACAUAAAUUUCCUUCUAUUGUUCCAAGAUGUCCUAUGUUAGGAUCUAUAAAUCUUUGAUCAUGCAAUGAUAAAACUAUUGGGCUAUCUAUUCCUUCUUUAAAAAGAGAUUUUAUUAAGAUUUGUAUUUCAGCAAGAUAUACAUAUUGAAUUUUUUCUUUAGUUGACUCAUUUUUUAUUUUUCUCAAAGCUAAAUCUAUGGAUCUUUUAUUUAUUAAACUAAAUCUAAUGUUUCCUUCGGCUUGUGUAAUUGUCACAGCUUUUUCUUGUUCAUAAUAUUCAUGUAAUAUUAUUCUUUUUCUUUUAAACAUAUCUCUAAAUCUAUGGAUUAUUCCAUACUCUGGUUUUUCCAUAUUUAAUUUUAAAAGUUUAUUAUAUUUUUCUUUGUUAAAAGUAGCAACAAGGCUGUAUCCACUUUUUUUUUCUUCUUUUUCUAUCUCUUCUAUUUCUUCUAUUUUUUCAUUAUCUAAUAACUCUUCUUUACUCUGAUUCAUUUUCAGAUUCUUCAGCCAUAUAAACUUCCUCUCCUAUAUAGUUAGAUAAAUUAUUUAUUUCUUCUAAGUCACUUUCUAUUUUUUCAAAAUCCUUUUUUAAGAGUUUAACUUUUUUCUUUUUUGUACAAUCUGUACUUAUGUGCCCUAUUUCUCCACAAUUCCAACAUUUACAUUUGGACUUAUCUAAUAUUUUUCUCUGGUUUUUAUAUUUUCUUUUAUAAUAUUUUCUUCCUGAUUUUUUAUAUUUUUUCUUAAAAUUAUUAUAUUUUUUAUAUCUCUUUUCUUUAUAAGAUUUUCUUCGUCUUUUAUGAGGUACAUAACAUCCCCAUUGGGUAGGCAUUUCUGUCUUUUCACAACAUAUUUUUGUUAUGUUUUUACUCUUUUUUAUUAAGCUUCUUUGGAUACAAAUUUCACUUAAUCUUGUAUUUAAAAAUCUGAUCCUAGAUCCUAAUGUAUCUGGGAUUCUACUAUCAUUAUUAUUAGUAUGUUUUUCAUAUUCAUUUAUGAAAUAUCCAUUCCAUGGAUAAGGUAAUUUAGAAUAAUACAAAUUCUUAUAAAUGUUCUGGUCUUCAUGACUCAUGAAUUGUGUAUAAUAAUAUUUACUAAAUUCACAUGUAUAUUCUUUUACAAAACACAUAUUACAGAUUGUCAGGUUUAUUAAUUUCAUUCUAGCAUUUAAUUUAUCAUGUUUUGCUUCAUUUUCUGUAUUUUGUAACCAAUCUUCUCCUAAGAAUUCACUAGCAAUGUAUUCGAUUAUUCUUUCUAUACCUAAUCCUUUAUCUUUUCCUAAUGCUAUUUUGGUUGAGUCUUUUAUUAAUUUUUGUGUAUCGUCACUUAAUCCUUUCCACCAAUUAAAUACAUUUCCUGUAAAACUUGCUAUUAGAAUAUCCGUUAAUAUAUUUAUUUUUUCUUCUUCAGUAUCUACAUUCCAAUCAUCUUUGGAUCCAUUGAAUAUAAAGAAUAAUUUCAUUUGCAUUCCCCAUUCUACUAAAGCUUUUCGGGAGUCUAUUUUACAAUCCAAGUCUAAAAAUGCACCUGCAUUGCUUAUUGCCACCAAAUGGUCAUUAUUAGGUUGGUAAUCUUUUUUCCAAGAGGUAUUUUUAACGGGCGGAUAAUAUUCAUAAAAAGGUCUAUUUUUCUUUUUAUUUGUUUCAUAUCUAUGACUAGGUUCUCCAAUAUCAGGUUUUAAUUCUGGACCUCCAGCAACAUUCAUCUUUAUUUGGUAUUCUUUUUCAAAUUCUUCUAAAUCACUAAGGUUAAUAUCACUAAAUUUUUCUGUUAAUUCUUCUAAUGUAUUUUCCAUUAUUCUGUAUCACUAGGUGUGUUUUCUUUUAUCUCUAAUUUUUCUUUUCCCUUUUCUUCUCUUUUUAAUUCUGCUUUUAACUUUUCUGACUCCUCUAAUAUUUUUGGAUGCUGAGUUUUUAUAAACCAGUCAUCAUAACUUCCUGGUUGAGGUUUUGUCAUCUGUUUUUCAAUGCUUGUCCCUAUUAUUCCUGAUUUUAUUAUUUCAAGUUUCUCAACUUUUUUAUUUUUCUUUCGGCUUAUCUGAAUUGUUGAUAAUUCUAUUUUUAUCUUUCCUAUUUCUUGUUUAAUUUCUCUCAUUUCUUCUUUAAGAUUUAAAAGUAUUUCUUUUAACUCGAUUAAUGUAGUUUCCAUAAAAUGUAGGGGUGCUAACAGAUAUUUUUAUUUUUGAGCGUAUGUUACAUCCAACGUAACAUAGGGUUAGCCUAUAUUAUAUAUCCAGUCGUGGGACCCAUAUAUGGUUCCAUGUAAUUCGCACAGUUGAACUGGAGACACUGAUUAGUUCGUUGUCUAUUUACCAACUUAUGUACAACUAAGUAAUUUCAUGCACCAUUUGCGCCUUAUCUAUCCAGCCUGCUUGCAUUGCAUUAACUAAACAUACAAUGAAAUUAACCCUUGUAAUUUCGGCCUUUGCCAUAGUCGUUUUGUUUAUUAGGUUUAUGUUUAUCAACAUGAUAUGUUGUCAACCAUAAUCACAAUCAAGUUGUUAAUUAUUUUUUAAAUAAUGUGAAGGAACAAGAUUUUGGUCUUUGAGUGUGGAGUUAAAAAUAUCUCACCUCAACAUACGGUGUUGUGCUCUCAUCAUCUUAACAUUAUUUGUUAAAAAUUAUGUCAAAGAGGAAAGCAGAUUCAAACAUUACUUCAAUUUUCUUUAAGAGCAUAAAAAUAUCGUUAAUAGGCUACUGUUAUUUGUUAGUACGAUUUCACAAAAGGAAGCUAGAGGAUGAUGAAGCUUUCAAGUCAUGUGUGCAUCAAAGUAAGAAACAGAGCUAACGAGAGAUGGACAAUUUUAAAUAUGUCAGCAUUUUGUCAGUUCUGGCCAUAUUUUGAAAGAUUAGCACCCUAAUUUUCUUUUGAAGCUCCUUUUCUGUCUAAACCUAUUUUAAUUUCCAAAAUAUCUUUUUCCAUUUUUUUAGUUUCUUUCUGAUUCCAAAAAAAAAAAAAUCAGUUUCUUAAACAACUCCAACUACAAAUAUUUUUUUUACAAAUUUUUGAAUUAUUAAAUCAUAUGUGUGUGUAUAAAUUGAAUAGAAUUAAAAGUGGACUCAAAUAGCUAUUAUGUAAUUUUUUUUAUAAUUAAAGAAAAGUUUAGAAUGCAAAAGUGUGUGUGGGAAAACAAAAAAUAUAAAUCGCCUUUGAUAUAAUUAUAUGGUUGUAAAAAGUUAGAUGGAGAAAUAUAGUAUAUAAUUAAAUUUAUUUUGCCUUAAAACGGGUAGGUUUUAUAAGAAUUUUUUUCGAGGAGUGCCAAUAUUUCAACUCUUUUUCAAAUAAAGUGAUGUCCUGGAAUAAAAUCACUACUCUAUCAUUGCUAUUAGUUUGUCUUGUAUUUCAAUAAUUGCCGACAAGUAUUAAUUGUGAAUAUUAUUAUUUUAAAAAUAUUAUUAUUAUUAUCGUCGUUAUUCUUAACAGCAAUGACUAGAAUUAUAAUAAGAACAAUAACGUUAAUACAAUAAUAUAACAACAUAAUAAUAUUUUAAUUGAGAGGAUAAGAAUGAAAUUAUGAAAUUUAGGUUGGGUAAAAAUGGUGAGUAUGAGGAAAUUAAUUUACCAUUUUUUAAGCUAAACAAUUCAUAAAUUCCACAUAUUUAAUUCUUAUUUCUCUUAUAUUUUAACAAGUUAUCAAUCGUUUUAAUAUUUUAAUUAAUAAAAACGGCAUUAACUACGGAACUAAAAGAUCCAAAAAAAAAAAAAAGAGACGCGUGUAUGUAUUGCUUGUGAGAAAUCUCACCCAUGGAAAACUUUGUGAAAGGCAUUUGAAUGUGUGGCCACAUUUAAUGAACGAAACGAUAACUUUAAAAGAAAGUAUGUACUGUGUUAAUUAUUAGGCUUUAGCCUGAUGAUUGCAAUUAGUUUUUCUUGUAAUUAAAUUAUUGCCGACAGACACUAUCACGACCCACGUCCGCUACUUGUGUGAAUGUGUGUAUAAAUAUCCGCAGCAUAUCAUCAAACCUGAAGCGUGAUCAUCUUUAAGUUUUGGUUACAAUUCAUCAUACGUUAGAAGAUAUCUUUUCUAAUUUGAAGAAGAUGGAAACUCCUUGUCCAGGUUCUUAGGCCAUGUUCAGUUGAAUGUCAUUUAUAAUUUUUAUUUUAAAAUUAUGUAUUUAUGAAUACAACUAUUGUUAUAAUUUUUUCAAGUAAGAAUGGAUGCUCUGAGGGUAACCCAAUAACUAUGUACAGUAUUAUUAAUGAUGAGAGCGUGAAUGACAAUUUGGAUUUUAUUCUCGUCCCUCAAUACGGAAGAAAUCUUGACCAUAGCGGUUAAGUGCUAUGUAAUUCUUUCGUAUUAUGUUUAAUUAAUAAUGAAAUGAUGGGUUAUUAUUACCUGUCAAUUAUGUGAGUAUCUUUGUUUGGUUUAGUUCAACUUAUAAAAUUUCUUGAGAUAUACAAGAGAUUUUCAUUAUUUAAUUUUGUGUACCGUGUCUUCUUGUAAAAAGAAAUUAAUAAAAAAAAUAUCAUUGUGUGCAAUGUAUUAACUAAGUUAGUGUAUUCAUGUUAGGUUAAUUGUGCUCUCUCUUCUUGAUAUUUAAAAAAAAAAAAAAAAAGCUCCACAUAUUGUUGGUUAGCUAAUUCUUGCAGCUAGCAAGUGAUCCUUUUCUUUCCCCUACUGCCGUAGCAUCAAAUCCUUACAAUUACAUAUCAAGUGGUAUUCGAGCCGUCAAAUGAUCCAUGGAAACAGGCAACAAAUCAAAUGCUGAAUUUUGCGAAGAGAUUCACGAAAUCCUUACUAUACAUGAGUCUAGUUUUGACCAAGUUCACGUCACCCAUCAGCUGCGGGUUUGAAUGGUACCUCGUGGAUAUUUUGUGAGUUCCCACUAAUAAAAUCACACUUGCAACAAAACUUAAAAAUUUAAAUUACGUAAUUCAAAUUAUAAAUUUAUAAUCGUAGCUUAAAAAAUCACAUAAAAUACUUAAUUCUAGAUUUUAUCAAUGUAAAUGAGAAAUGAAAGUUUUAACAUUAAAAUAAAUACAUAAAAUAUAUCAAUUUAACAUAAAUUCUCAAAUUUAAUUACCAAAUACAUAAGUCUAUCGCAACUCAAAGUGCUUUCAAUUGAAAACGAAAAAAGAGAAAGAGAAAAAAAAGAACUACAAAUCAAAGUAGCACUCAUGACCGAUUUUGCAGUCUCAUUCAAUACCACUAGCACCCAGCAACACGAUUUUUCUAAACAAAGUAUAAAGUACAAAAUUACAAUAAGCAUAUCAGACUCCAUGCUUUAAGUUAAAGAUCCUUAUAUAUUUUUAUGAAUAAUUUUUUAAUGAAAUUUUAUGAUUAAAAUUAAAAAUACAAACAUUCAAAUAAGAAUGUCGGACACUUGCACAACUAUUUACCAAAUUUUUUCUCUAUAAAAAUCGACCUGCAACUUUCAAUAGGUUUAAAUUUAUAAUAACAAACCUGAUUGCAGCUCGCAAAAAUUAUCCGUUGCGGCCAAGACUUUGGAUUUGCGAUGAUUUUGCCACCCUAAGUGUAGUUAGUAUUGUAUAUCAUGUGGCUCUUAUAAAAAGCCUAGAAGUUGUUUGAAUAACGGGGGAGACACAUAUCUCCCAAAGAUUUUCUCUUUUUCAAAUUAUUAUUUUUUCUGUAUUAUUGUAACUUCGAAUCCUUAUAAAUUGCAGAUUGGAGACAUGAACACAAUGUUUUGACAUAGUGGACUUUUGGCUUGUCCAGAGAAAUUUAAGAUAGAUUUUUACGCACUAAGGCUCUAUUUACUAUUGAGGUUUUAGAACUUUUAAGCCACACUAGAAAUUUGUAUUGUUUUGAUAGAGUUGUAGUUCUUGAUAUGUGAUUGGUAUUAAUCAAGUGUUAUGUUUACAAUAGUUAAAGGCAUAUUGAAUCAAAAUCCACUUCUAAGGGCUUGAUUGAGUGAUUGUAAAGUAGGUUUUUAGUUUGCUAGUCACUCAAGUUCAAAUAUUGGAACCACAGAGCUUUAUAGCCAAGUGAGAGAACUUGUGCCCUAAAAAUUGAGGGGUGCAUAUCGAGUUUUACCACCAAUAAAAGUUGGUGUUAAAACUUUAAUUUCCCUCCUAUUGAUGGAUAGGGGUGAUUAGUAGUUUACAUUCCCUCCUAUUAAUAGACAGGGGUUAUUAGGAAUAUUAAAAAAAAGUUCAAAUAUUGAAAAUAUAGGUAUGGGUUAUAAAAUUCAUAAUAUAAAGACACAAAAUCAAGAUAAAGAUUUAAAAAUUUAGAACCAUGAGAGCGUGACUUGUAAGUUUCAAAGAAGCAUGUGCAAAUAUAUGCAUUAUCGAUGCCUAAUUAAGGGUGGACAUUAAGAUCGGGUUAACCCGAACCGAACCGAACUUAAAAUUUAUUUUGGAUUCAAUUUGGUUAUGGUUGAAGCUUUCAACUGAGUUCAAAACUUAAAAAUGAUUGAGUUGUAUUUCUGUUCGAAUUUAACCCCAAAAGACAACUAACCCUAACUAAAAUGUUCGACCGCGGCCUCCUCGUUUUCUUUUCUUCUUCCUCCUCUCGCUCACCCCUAAUGCCCUUCAUGGAAAUCCAACAGCUCCAAACGCGUUUCGGCCGCUCGCACGUGUGAGAAAUUUUCGUUCUCAUAGGAUUAUUCGUUUCCUUCGCCUGCAUGCCAGCAGAAUAUUCAGGCCGAGGAUUUUUCCGGGCCUAGCCCAACUAUAAGCUCUCCCAAAACCCAAUCAUAAGUUCAUAACGUUUAGCGUUUGCUAUUACUAUAAUUUUUUUUAAACAAUUUUCACAUUCAUCAACAUAGGCUGACAGAUUUUGUAGAAAAUAAAAUUAAAUAAAAAUACAAGCUCACGAAAUUCCUUUUCCGAUGUGGGAAUCUAUCUACACCUUUCACGUGCCUUUUUUUUUUUUUUGUAGUGGGGGAUUCACUUGCUUUUGUUUGCAUUGCCUUAUUGGAUAAAAGUUUGUAGAACAUCGUCUGUUUGGUUAAAUCCGAGCAUGAGUGAAGAAAAAUUAAAAAUAAAUAAUUUCCCAUUAAUUUGCAACAAGUAUUAAUAAAGUGCAUGAGAAAAGACACCAAGAUAUGCCUUUUUUUAAAUGAAAAUAAAUGUGUUAAUUAGUCAAUUUAAAUGGUAUGACAUUUUGAAAUGAUAGAAGCAAUCUAAAGUUUAAAUCUUACUCACACUUAAUUUAGGGUUGGGGAUUAAUUGACGUAAUAUAUAAUAACGAAUUCGAAAGACAAUUAAAAAUUAAAAGAAAAUAAAGAAGUGCUUUCUUUUUUAUGAUGGUAAUUUGUUUAGAUGAUGAAAACUCUUAGAGUUGUAUUAUCAAUACAUAGUUUUAAGGGUUGGCAAUGUGAACAAUAUUUAAUUUCCUUUAUAUAGUUAUAUCUUAACUAACAUUUAAACAGAAGUAAGUUGUAAAAAAAAUGAACCAUUGAGAUUUGAGAGAAUGAAAAACUAAAAAAAAAAGUUAAAAAAUUAGAUCUCAAUAAAUUUACUUGAGAACUACUUUACUGAUUAAUGAAGAGAAAAUACAAAGAAUAAUGAUGUAUCUCAAUUAAUCAGAUAAUUUUUGUAUUUUUUAUUUAUUCCAGAAUCACGAAACUUCAUUUAAACUUGUUAUUUCAUUGAUAAUAUAUUAAUAUUGAACAAUUAAUGUAGGAGACAUUCCUUUCCAAUUAUGCCCAUAUAUUAAUUAAAGACCAUCAAAAAGUUCAGGGAUACUAUAAUAAUUUAAGUCAAUAAUUUCUGUGCUUGAAAUCAGCCAAUCAAACUCACUUUAGAAUAAAUUGAGAAAUCAAAAUCACAUUCUCCGAUUCCACGAUUUCAAUUCAUCUUAUUUCUUCAACUGAAAAAUUGGUUGUAUUUCGUUUUAUUUUAUUUUUAUUUUUAUUUUUAUAGAAAAAUAAAUAUAACUGUAAAAGUAAAAUAAAAAGAAGAGCACGAGUUUUAUUGAAAAUGACUCUUUUCAUCAUGUUGCCGGAGUGAAUGUAUCUGCAUAUAAACUAAAGAAGCACAUUUGUUUCCGACUCUACGCUUUAAAUUCAGCUUCAUUUCUUCAACUGAAGAAUCGGUCGUCUCUCAUUUUUUAUUUAUUAUAUAAAGAUAAAUAUAUAAAUUUAAAUGGCGAGAAGAGCGGACGAGGAAUACGAUUACUUGUUCAAAGUGGUAUUAAUCGGCGAUUCGGGAGUCGGCAAAUCGAACUUACUCUCCCGAUUUACUCGUAACGAGUUCUGUUUGGAGUCCAAAUCCACUAUUGGCGUCGAAUUCGCCACCCGCACUCUUCAAGUAACUAACUUUUCCUCUUUCACUUCUCUUCAUUUUUAUUAGUUAAUUAAGAUCCAGUUAAUGUAAUUAAUUUUAUUUAAUCUUUUAAAUAAAGUUCUAGAUUAGGCUAACUUAGAUUCAUGUGAAGUUCAAGUGAUUUACUUUCGAUCUCUUUUUCGUCCUAUGUUUAUUUGUACUUACUAUUACUUUUUUUUGGGUUAAAAUUUUCGUUUUUGAAGUGUUUACUGAAUAAAUUUCUGAGCUUUAUUUGUGUAUGCUGAUUGAUUUGUGAUUUUAAUUUUGUGACUUUUUUUUUGGAAUUUAAAUUUGAAUGCUUUUUAAGUUGAAUCUGAAUGUGUUGGGCUGCGAUUUAAUUAAGUCAUCUGUGAGCGCCAAAUUGUGAUAGCUAUAUAUUGGGGUGAAAAUUUGGGAUUUAAAGUUAUGUAUUUAAGAUGCAGUUAAUUCGCAAGUGAAAAUUAUGGGCCGGCAGAUUUUGUCAUUGGAAGACUGUUCUCCACAUGUUGAAGUUAGUGAUGCAAGUUGAAACCAAUCUGUUUAAGCUUGGGGUUUCAUGUCUUGAAUCAAGGCUGUGACUGGGUUGAGAGUAUUAUAGCUUUAGCUAUUCCUGAAGUGAUCUGUUUAGACUCACCGUGAUGAGACCGAGUGCUGUACAGUAAAAUGAAAGGAAGUUGGAAAAUAUUUACUUAGCAUUUCGCGUUACUAAUGUUGAACUAAUAAAACCUAGCCCCUAUCCUAGUGAAUUUAUGUUAAAAAGCUAUGCACGCAUUAAGUUAGUGUGCUGUGUGUUUGGCGCUGAGUAUUCUUCAUUCCACAUUUUGGGUUUUGGUUGACCUCCAGCAUGGCUCAACCCACUUGAGUUAAAAGCCCUAGAGUUACAUUCUACCCAUGAUAUUUGAGUUUAUCAAGUCACCUUAUUUUAAUACUUAUCUGGAAAAAAAAUAUAUAUGUUAAAUCAGGUAGGAAAAAUAAAAAGUUAAUUAUUGAGUUGUAAUGGUGUAACUAAGGUUUUGAAACAUUAACAUCUUUAGCCAUUAUGUUACUAUCCCGUAGUUAUUUAAGUUACAAGAGAUAGUAAAAAAUAACAUCAUAUUUUAAUUACUUACACUAAUCCUACAAAUGCUGAUGGUCUAAAGUUGCUGCUGCUUGCACUGAAUCAGUGGUCAUGGGCCAGCCAAGGUUAGGUGAGGCCAACUCAUUAGCUUGUGAAGCUUAAAGAAGUCUUAGGUUUGGAAAAGAUGGGGCACAGGUUACAAAAUUUUUUUGAGUUUUGGAUUGAAGGAACAAAAUUGUUGAUGUCUAGCUCACAAUAUUUGAAGUCACUCUGUGCUUCAUCAUGUAAAAUGGAUUGAAUUGCUGUAAGAUCAGGUCAAAUUAAAUUGUUUAAACUCAUUUUUAAGAAACGAAUUCUCAAUUGGACCAGCCUUUCACAGAAGCUUUGAGUCAGAUGCAUCCAACCAAAGCCCCUGGCCCAGAUGGUCUCCCAGCAGUAUUUUUCCAAAAGCUUUAGAAUUCAGUAAGCGAAGGAGUUAUAGCCACUUGUCUGCAUAUCCUCAAUUAUGGAGGUAAUAUUGCUCCUUUGAAUCAUACAUACAUUGCUUUAAUCCCCAAGAUAGCAAAACCUAGGACUCUGAUGGAGUAUAGACCAAUCAGCAUAUGUAAUGUAAUUUAUAGGAUCAUUGCAAAGACUAUAGCGAAUAGGCUGAAGCUAAUCUUAGAUCAUGUUAUUUCGCCAACUCAGAGUGCUUUUAUGCCAAAUAGGCUCAUAACUGAUAAUAUAAUUAUUGGGCAUGAGUGUCUUCAUAAGUGGACAAAGCUAAGUUCCAGAGGUGAGUAGGAAAUUCUCCCGCACGACGCAGCACAAACAAACUUUCCCUUUCAUUUUCUUUUCUCUUUCUCGCUCUCCAAACAGAGCAAAAGGACCAUCGCAAGAUUCUUCACUUCCAUCCAAAAUCAUGAGCAACGAAUAGUGAGCCUCCCUGUUUCCUUUUUUUGAUAUUAACAUUGUUAACAUAUACUCAUUUUAAUUUGACAAUACUUCAACUUUUUUUAUUUUUUUGCCUUCUCAUUUUUUUUGUUGAAGCAAUUAUCUGUUCAAGCUGUUGCUUAUCGGAGACUCGUACGUUGGAAAGUCCUGCCUGCUGCUCCGAUUUGCUGUCUGUUGACUUUUCCUUUCCCUUCUUAUUUUCUUUUUUUAUAUUAAUUACUUUCUAUUUUAGCUUUUUGUUCUCUGAAUUUGUGUUAUUAAAAUGAUAAUUAAGAUGAUAAAUAAUUGUUAUUCUUGUAAAUUUCGGUUUUCAUUACGUUAAUUGUUAGUUUUUAGGUUUAUUAAUGUAAUUUUUUUUUGUUUUUUUUUUUUCAAUUUUUCAGGAUGAUUCUUAUGUCACAGCUACAUCAGUACCAUUGGAGUUGAUUUUGUGUCUCUCUCUUCUAUAUAUAUGUAUAUAUGUGUAUAAGUUAUUAAAUUUAUCUAUGUACGUGUAUGUAUGUAUGUGUAUGCAUAUGUGGAAAGAAAUGUUGGCAGACUUCAGCAUUUUACUCUUUUUUUUUUUUUUUUGGCAGAAAAUAAGAACUGUGGAGCUGGAUGGGAAGACGAUCAAACUGCAGAUUGUGAGUCAAAAUUUCCUUUUAUCUUGUAUUGAGAGAAAUUCGAUUUGUCUUAUUUAGUGAAGGUUAUGUUCAAGAACCUUGUCUUAUUUUCUUUGUUUGAAGAGUGAUAUGUUGAAAUGAGUGUAUUUGUCUUAUAAACAUCAUUUAGGUAAUGUCUUGGUGAAACCUGUUGUCAUAUGCUGAUUAACAUAGCUAGUCUCGGAAAUAAUUUGUUGAUUCAAAAUUUAAAUUAUGAGUUAAAAUUUGAUGCAGAAUGGGCAACCAGCCUACUGCAAACAAAUCUUCAGGAACAGUUCAGAUGAAGGGACAGCGAAUCCAGCAAAACAGCAACUGCUGUGGUUAGCCGAGCAUGUUAUUUUACUACUACAUGUUAGCUGACUGAUUGUAGACAGUUUUAACUAUGUUGACUGCAUUAUCUUAUGAAUCUUUUAAUCUGUCAAAUAUUUAUUUCCUGCUUUAAGUUCUUUCCCGUUUAUAACAAAUUUAAUUUCUUGCUCCAUUGCAUUCCAAAUUCCUGUCAAUUUACGAGGGAAAAAGAAAAGAGAGACGAAAUGGGAGAAAAUGGUCAAAUUUGUUAGGGGGAGAGAGCUGUUGAAGUAGUUUUUGUUCUCGUUUAUCGUCGUGACCCUCUUGUCGCUUGUCUAUGACCUGGAAGUCCGGUCAUAUCGGAUGGGUUAAGUUACCGAAACGGCAUCAUUUUGGGUGAAAUAUCAUAUUUAUGUAACACUUUUGAUAAUAUUUUUAUGCAACAAAAACAUGUUUGCAGUACCCUUUUCACAUUGUGAAGCGCAUGAUCGGAUGAGAGCAGUCUGGAUUCUGGCAUCACAAGGUAAUGCUUUGAUUUGCUUAGUUUGUUUUUUGUUUCUGAUAUUUUCUCGGCAUCGGGUGGGAUGUUGUUUCUCUUUUGAGUUUCUCUUUUUUUUUUUUUUUUUAAUGGAAUUUGGAGAUAGUGUAAAUGUAUGAAGAUGAAAUUGUUGGGUUGGUUUUGUUAUGGAAUUUGGUUUACUUCACUAACCAUUAAUGAGCAAAACCUCCUAUUGACCCUCAAAAAUCCCGUACAUAAUUAAAGAAUUUCAAUUUUAUAUGUACAUAAAUAAAUAACUGUCAAAUAUAUUAUUUGAUAAUCCCAAAAACAACAAUUCACUCUAAUAAAUCUUGUAGUCAAUACAUGGUCUAUAUUGCAAGUGUUUUCGAGACUAAUUCAAAAAGAAAAUAUGAAAGACAUAUAAUUGACCUUUACCAGUUAUAAAGAACUCUAAAUAAAUUCAUAUACGCAUAGCAGCUAAUUACAGCCUUGAUACUUCAUUAGGUUUUUGUUAAUUUUCUAUACAGUUGUGUUGUGCAUUAAAGUUUUGUUGAUGAAAUCGGUAGGUGAGGAUUAAUUAAUCAAUUAAUUAAGAUCCAGUUAAUGUAAUUAAUUUUAUUUGAUUUUUUUAAUUCGAGUUCUAAAUUUAUCAAUUAAUUUAGAUUCAUGUGAAAUUGAAGUGAAUUAGUUUCGAUCUGUUUUUCGUCCUAUGUUUGUCUGUGUUUACUCUUACUUUUUUUUUUGUUUAAAUUUUUGUUUUCUUAUUGUUUACUGAAUAAAUUUCUGAGCUUUAUUUGAGUAUGAUGAUUGAUUUGUGAUUUUAAUCUAAAUAUGUUGGGCUGCGAUUUAAUUGAGUGAUGUGUGAGUGCCAAAUAUUCAAUAACUGAUAAAUUAUAUUUAUAAAUAUUAAUAGUGAUGGCACAUAAACAAUUAAUUCAAGAACUUGCCCAUAGUGAUUAAUUUAAAGAGUAUAAGUAACAUUGCAGUACAGUUAGCCCUUGCGUGUUUAAUUAGCAAUUGAAAACUACUGUUGCUGAUGAGGUAGAACAUUAUAACACUGUUGCUGAUGAGGCAGCUGGUAAUUCUUCUGGUGAAGAUAUUAAGACUAUUAAAGCUGAAAUGUAAUUAGAGAAAUAUAAUGCAUUCCCUUAGUUUGCUUUUUGUUUUUUAUAUUUGUUUGGCUAAUGCUUUGCUUAGAUUGCUUUUUGUUUUUGAGAUUUUAUUGUUAUGGGAUUUGAUUGUAGUGUACAUAUACGAAAAUUAUGUAAUCAAGUGCUUUCAAUAAAUCAUGAUCGAUUUACUAUUAAUUAAUUAAAUUAAAUUUACUCAAAUUACUCAUGUACACGAUCAAAAUAAAUUUAAUUACAUGAUAUAUAUACACGCGCGCACACAUAAACAAAAUGUAAUUAACUUUGAAAUAUAAAAUAUUUAAAAUAAUCACCUUACUAACAAUUCACAAGUUAGAUUUUAUAUAAAUAGACGAAAUAAUGUUAAUCUAGCGAAUCCAGUCAUAAUAAAUUGAUUUUCAUUUAUAUUAAUUAUGUCGAACCAUGUUAUUUUAAUAAAGAGCACUUGAGAAUAUAUAUAUCCAAUAGGUAAAAUUUCAAAACAAUAUUUGCAAAAGUCUGACUAAGAGAAUAUACACGCACGCACGUAUAUAACUGUACAACAGAAGGAUAAAUAAAAGAAAAUGAAGUUUCAACAGCUAAAUAAUGCAAACUCAUUUUUUUAACAAGCAUUUUAUUGUUUAACUAAAAAAUUCGAAAACCCAUUAAAUACAUGUAAGGACUCACCGACGCCGAACCAUAUUAAUUUAAAUUAGUUUUCAACUGAGAUUUGAAUUUUGAAAUUACAUACACAAACAAGCCCAUUUUUUUAAAAUACUAAUAAUAAAAUAUUUCAUUUUUCAUCUAUUACAACAAGAGGCAUAAUCGCAAAAGUGAAAAAUAUUUCAUUUAACAAGUCCCAAUAUUGUCCUCCAUCCUUUCUGCACUUCUCUGCUAUCAACGGACAACUCCAGAUCCAUAAUCGCAAAAGUGAGGAAGGCAGUCAUCCUCUGUUCAAUUAUCAAAAACUCCUUUUACCAUCCAUUUGAACAUACACAAACACGCCCAAUUUGAAAAAAAAAUAGUAAUUUUAAAAUAUUUCAAUCGUCCACUGUUCCGUCACCAAAAACCAAUUUACCAUCCAUUUCAACGCCUAAUUUGAAAAAAGAAAAUACUACUAAUAAUAAAAUAUUCUAGUCGUCCAUCCUUUCACAAAUAGGGAUGGCAAUUGUACCCGCAAACCCGCAAACCCGCCCAAAUCCACCCGCCAAAACCCGCCCGUUGCGGGUAAUUUUAUCCGUUGCGGGCGGGUUUAGUAUUAUAAAUUAAAACCCGCAUAUGGAUGCGGGUGGGUUUGGUAUUAACCUUAUACCCGGUGGAUACCCGCAUGGAUAUCCACCAAACCCGCAAUAAUUUUUUUCAAAUAUUUUUAAUUUAAUUUAAAUAUAAAAAUAUAUAAAGAAAAUAAUGUAAUUAAUCAAAUUACCAAAUAGCAAAAGGCUCAAAGUUGUGUAUGUGUGUAUAUGGCUCAUCUCUUAUUCUAAAGUCAUAACCUAAAGAAAACUAAAGGCAUUUCCCUUCGAAUUAGUAUUUGAAAAUAUUAAUCUUAAUUAUUAUUUUAGGCAUUGUGUUAGAUGGGUGCUUAUGGUGGUGAAUAAAAUAAAUAUAUUCUCUUUGAUCUUGUUUUAAAUGAUAAUAUGAAAUGUAAUUAUUAUUUUUAGAUAUUAGUUUGUGUUUUUUAAAUAGAUUUGUAUAAUUUAUACUUAAAUUUGAGAAUUUGUGUUGAAUUGAUGUGGAAAUUUUAAUUUUUCAUUUACACUGUUUAAAUAUAAAAUUGAAUAUGUUAUAUGGAACUUGAGGUUAUUAUUAUAAAUUUAUAUAUUAAAUAUUUGUGAUUUUAAAUACGGAAACCCGCAAAAAAUCCGUCGGAUACCAUUGCGGGUUUGGUAAUUGUUAAAACCCACUGCGGGUGGGUUUUUUAAAAAAAAUUAAAACCCGCUGCGGGUUGCGGGUGGGUUUUGUAAUUUAAAUUUUGUGCGGGUUUGGGUUUGGUAAUGGCAAACCCGCUGCGGGCGGUGCCCAUUGCCAUCCCUAUUCACAAAUCAAAAACCCAUGUAAAAUCUAUUGCAACAUCGGGUAUAUGGGUUAACAAGUCCCAAUAUUGUCCUCCAUCCUUUCUGCACUUCUCUUCUGUCAACGGACAUCCCACGAUCUGUAAUUGCAAAAGUGAGGAAGGCAGGCCCUUCUCCGGAAAGUAUUUGAGCUUGGGACAAUUAUGGAGUUUCAAUUCAGUGAGGUUUUGAAGAUCAACAAUUGAGGAAGAUAGGCGUUCCAGAUUUGGAAAAUCUUCAAUCCACAGAGAUGUUAGAGAGGCAGGAAGAGGAAGCGCGGUCCCUAAUCUUUUGUCCUCUAGUGGAAAUGACACCAUGUCGUCAUCGCAUCCUCUGAUUCUAAGUUCUCGCAGAGAGGAGAAUCUGUGGAAUCCCCGACCCCACUCAAUCGUUGACUUCCAAAUCUCCAUAUUACCCAAAAUAUAAACUGACUGAAGAUUGGUGGGAAGGCCAUCUUCUUCAAGGCUUGGAAGCGCACCUCCUAUUGUUAAGUCUUGAAGAGAGGUCAGAUUGUGCAAUCCCUUGGGUAAGGCCUCUAGUCUCUUACAAUCAGAUAUCCCCAGCCACCUGAGUUUCGCACAAGGCAAUCCCCCUUCGGGAAAGGACACCAGAUUUCCACACCACUGUAUAGUAAUCCCUCGAAGCUGCCGGAGAUUAUGUAAACCACUCGGUAAAAUUUUCAGAUUUUCACAACUAUGAAUUUCCAGAUUUUCAAGAGAUGUGUUGUUGUCCAACCUUUCUGCUAUUGACUCCAGCUUUGAACAUCCACAAACAUAAAGGGACUUAAGAGACGGAGGUAGAUUGCCAACUUCAAGGGACUCAAGCGUGGCAGGUAACUCGUUUUUUGAAAAUAUACAUUUCAGUGAUCGACAACUGUAAAUUGUUAACUUCUCAAGAAGAGAUGAGGUGUACCUUCUGCUGCUGCUGCUACUCUGGAUGCCCUCUUCCACUGUCAAAGUCCUUAUAUUAUCACAAUCGCUGAUGCUCAGCUGCUUGAGGCUCGGUGGCAGCUGGACUUCAGCAAUAUAUCUCAACGAAUGGCAAUAAUCAAUAUACAAGAUCUCGAGAGACGAAUUGGUGUCGCACAUCCAUGCCUCUGGUAAAGAUUUCAGUGCGUCACAUUCUCUAAUCUGAACUUUCUUCAACUUGGAAGGCAGAGCAACCUCAGGAAAGGAAACAAGGGAACUGCAGCCGUGGAUUUCUAUCUCUCUCAAGGAACUGAGGUUGAGCGAUGAUUGUGGCAGCUUCACAAGGCCUUCGCAAUUACUCAAUCCUAGAUAUUCAAGUCUGCAUGACAACUCGCAGAGCUGCUGUUGUUGGUCUUUCUCUUCCUCCGCGACCAAGGAUUGAAGUUUGGGACAGCUUGUAAUCGUCAGUCUUCUGAGAGAGCAAAUGUCUUGCAGUAAUUCGUUAUGACUCUUCCAUAUAUGUGUUUCAUUUUUCAUAUUAUUUAUCCCCAAUUCUCCCAGUUUUGGUAUUCGCGGCUUCAAUGGCCCUGCGAGAAACACUUGAUUUGAUGUAUCUCUACAAACCACUGAAUUCUGUGAGCCGAGAUGAUCAGUUGCACUUCUCCACACAGCCUUUUUACAUCCACCAAUUUCAAUUUUGCAAAGAGCUGGAAGACUUGCAACUGAAACUAACAAUUCUUCACAUCCUCCAAUUACAAGCAUCUCCAAUGCAGGAAGGUGUUCUGGAAAUGUUCCUUGCAGCUUAGAACAGCUUAUAAUAUGAAGCUCUCUCAAUUUAGGAAACCCUUCAACUCCCUGACCAGAUCUAAGAGGAAUCCAGUCUUCCCAUUCUUGCAUGUUUUCAAAACGAAGAGUCUCCAAGCAUGGAAAAGCAAUCGGGGAAUCAUUCCCAUAGAACUCUGAACCCAAACUCUUUACUCUACUCAUUCCACGCACUGCAAGAUGCUUUAGAGAGGAUAGUUGCCCGACUGACGGCAAGGUAGUACACACGCCGCAAUCUUCAAAUUUAAGUGUUACUAAAUUUGAGAAUGAGCAAUCUCCUAACCAUGUUGGAAAUUUUGUACCUCCAUAGCCACAGAUACCAAAUUGUUCCAGAUUUUUAUGGGGUUUGAGCAUGUCAAGCACACCCAUUUCAGUUUCUGCCUCCCUUGAAGAUGAACCGUCGGUGCUGCAAGUCCAAUUAAGCGAUAAUUCUCUAAGACUCUCCUUUACAUCCAACCGAGCCUCCUUUGCAUCACCAAUGUCUUUUACAUUCCCUAAAUUUGAAAUUUUAAGUGUCCCCUGAAGAUGUAUCAAUGACUUUAGCUCUCGUAACCCAGAACCAUUGUCUUUUCCCACAGCAAAAUUACUCAACGUCUGAAGACAAGUCAGCUUACCAAUUCCUACUGGCAUUUCCUCCAACGAAUCUGUAUUUGAAUUAUUGAGAUGAUGCAAUUUGAUGAGGUUUCCCGUGGCUGCACACAACUUCUUCAGUCGCCGACAGUCUUCCAACAGAAGGGUGUGCAAAUUGUAAAGCUUGCUGACUGAUUCAGGCAGAGUUUUAAUCUCAGUUCCAGACAGGUUAAGGUGCCUUAAAUACCUCAAAUCACCAACUGAAUCCGGCAGCUCGGAGAUGUGAUAUCCACGCAAAGAGAAGACCCUCAACCGUUGGAGUUUGAACAACUUAGGAAGAAUGCUAUGAGCCAAGUAUCCACGCGAACUAUUUGUCAACAUUACUGGUAAAAAAGUUCGCAAAUGUUGGAUAUCAUACAAGCCCUCAAACCUUUUAACGCCAUCACAUGCUCCACCAAUGUACGAUAGAUGACGAAGAUUUUUGGAAAAACUUUGUUGCUUGUUAACCUCUGAGGUAUACUCCAUUGUGAAGUACAUCUCCCCUGCAGCCCAAUGGGCAAGGUCGUUGACAAGGUCGUGCAUCACAAAUCGUGAUUUAUUGUUGCUUGAUUGCUGAAAAAAAGAUCUUGAACGUAGCUCUUGAAAGAACUUUCGACCUAGAUCUUCAUUAGGAUUCCCGCUCUCUUUGUGAUCCAAGAAACCCGAAGCACACCAUAAUAAAAUUAUCUCCUCCUCUUCAAAUUCAUAAUCCUUUGGAAACAAUGAGCAGUAUGCAAAGCAUUGUUUCAAAGGUGCCGAAAGAUAAUAGUAGCUCACUCUAAGCGCCGGUAUAAUGUCACAUCUCUCUUCUGGUAAAUCCCAUAUCUUGCAACUGAGCACACCUUCCCAAUCACUCCGGUCAAGUUUACCACGCAAGAGACCACCAAGAGUUUUCGCAGCUAAGGGCAAGCCGUUGCAUUUGAUCACUAUCUUCUUGCCAAUUUCCUCCAAUGACUUGUUUGAACUGAAAUCUCUUGUCCCCAAAGAGUGUUGAGCGAACACAGACAAACAAUUAUCAUCUGACAACUUCUCUAAUUGAUAAGCCGGAGCAGUCCCCAUGAUUUCUGCAACCCCUUGAUUACGAGCUGUGACAAUAAUCUUACUUCCCGGUGCGCCAGCUUCAAAUGGAGGUCUGAGUCGAUCCCAACCAUUGUAAUUCUCAUUCCAAACGUCAUCUAAAACAAGCAAAAAUUUCUUUUGAGAUAACUUCUUCUUCAGCUCCUCUUGAAGCAAAUUUAAAUCACUGUCAUCAGUAGUCUGCUUAGUAAUGGAUCUUAGAAUUGUUUUUGUUAGCCUGAUAACAUCAAAAUCAUCAGAGACACAAGUCCAUGCCUUGAGAUCAAAAUGACCCUGCACUCGAGCAUCAUUAUAGACAAGCUGAGCGAGAGUGGUUUUACCCAGCCCGCCCAUGCCUAUGAUAGGAAUAACAGAGAAUUCACCAUCAUUUCUCAAAUCAUCCCUCAACAACAAUUCAACAAUUUCCUUCUUUUAUGCUUCCCUGCCAAAUACCUUGGCUUCAUUCACCAAAGAGGUUGUGGGUAGUCUUUGCCUGUCUUUUUUGGACCCCCCAGUUGAACUUUCUUUCAAAUCCAGCAAGUCUUUCUGUGUCACAAUUUCUUGAAAUCUGCCGUUGAUCUCUUUGAUUUUGGACAUCAAGGCAUAAUCGAACUGAAUCUAUUGUGGAGUAAAAGUGGUGCAGCAAGUAGGAAUGAGCUUCCGAAACUUACUUGUUCUUGUACGACUGCUACUGGGUUGAUCCUGAGCCGCAGCUGGAUCUCCAUUUCCAAGCAGCAACCUCCUCCGGAAAGCCUCAGUUUGAAACUCAUCCAACAAGUCUUCAACAUCAUAAGCGAAGUUCUGAAGCUUGCCAAGCCACUUCUUCACAAACUGAUUAGUCGUCUUCUUCUCCUCAGCAUCAUCAAGCACCGCCUUGAUCAUCUCCAACAUAUUCGCCCACUUCAUCAGAUCGGCCUGGAUUUGCUCUUGGCGUGCAAAAAACAGAAUCCCCUCUGAAGCUAACUUAUUGACCAGCAAAUCAACGGACGCCGUAAGGAUUGCCUCUCCGAUGAUUGACAUUUUUUUCUUUUUUUUUUUUUGUUUUGCAAAGAAAGAAACAGAAUUUUGAGUUUUGAAAAGCAAAAUGAGAAAAUUGAACAAUAAAUGUGGAGGGUCAAGCAAAAUGCGCGUAACAAGUCUUCCGCUUGUUGUUUAUUCCAGGAAAGUGCAAAUAAAAACAGAGCCCACCACCCAUUAAUAAUUGAGCAAUUCACCAAUCACGAGUCACCACCACUCGUUACCAUGAAUAUAAUAAAUUGCACCUUGAUAUUUGCAGGGUCCAGCAACAUUGACCCAGUGUCCGGGUAAAUGCUGAAUAACGAGGAAAAUGGAAUGUAUCCCCUACGAACCUUCGCUUUACUAGUCUUCAAACUCAUAAACCAAGUUAAAUCAAAAUGUUUAUCUCUCUCACCCUUUUUGCCAUAUAAUUACUUUAUUUAUUGAAUUAAUUUCCAUGCUAAAACGAACACUUAAAAGUGCACUACAAUUUUUUAUAAUCACUACUAUCAUGUUAUCUUAAUGUCGUGUCAAAAUAAAUUAUAAUAAUUUUUUUUUUACAUAAACACUCUUUUUAUUUAUGAAUUUCUCAAUUUUUAAUAUUUUUUUCACUCUUUUAGUCUUAAUAUUUGUAUUUCUCUCUUUAAUCUUUCUUUAUUACUUAAUUUUUAAAGAAAAAUAUAAAAAAAAAGAAAAAUAUUAUACUUAAAAAAUAGUGUAUAUUUUAUGGAUCUAAUACAAACUGUAUUGUUUUUGACAAUGAAAGUCAAGCGAAAAAUCUCGCUCAUAGAAAACUUUGUGAAAGGCAUUUGAAUGUGUGGCCACAUUUUCCGAACGAAACGAUGAGGCUUUAGCCUUAUAAUUGCAAUUAGUUUGUCUUGUAACUAAAUUAUUGCCGACAAACACCAUCAUGCUGACAAACCGUGCAUGCACGUCCUCAAUCACCCACGUCCUCUACUUGUGUGAACCGUGAUUCUCAAAGACUUCGACAUCGUAUUUCCCAUUAUUUCCCGUACUUUAUGCGUUAUUGUUUUGUGGACUUGACUAGCUUACAGAAUCUGUAAGCUACAGACUGCAGCAUCAGCCGUUGGAUGUGGUUGGAUGUGGAGUGAGAAACUAAACAAUAGAAAAUCGGAUGGUGGGAUGACGGGAGAUGUUUGUUACAGAAUCUGCAGCAUAGACAGGUCCUUGUUUUGUAUGUCUUUUGGUGUUUGCGGUGUAGUUAGGGAUGGUAGCGGGUAGGGUCUGGUACGGGUUUGACAUCACCAAACCCACAUCUACAAAAAAUUUUAAUUACUAAAUUCGCUGUGGGUUAUAUUUAAUUUUAUUUUUUUUUAACGAAGCCCAUUCACUGUCGGUUUGAUUGGUGCCUAGUGGAUAUUUUGCGAGUUCCCACGUAUAAAAUCACACUUGCAACAAAAUCUAAAAAUUUAAAUUACGUAAUUCAAAUCAUAAAUUUAUAAUUGUUGCCUAAAAAACCACAUAAAAUAUUUAGUUCUACAUUUUAUUAAUGUAAAUGAGAAAUGAAAAUAUCAACAUUAAAACAAAUAUACAAAAUAUAUCCAUUUAACACGAAUUCUUAAAUUUAAUUACCAAAUAAAUAAGCCUAUCACAACUCGAAGUGUUUUCAAUUGAAAAGAAAAAAGAGAAAGAGAAAAAAACAAAGAACUACAAAUCAAAGUAGCACCCAUAACCUAUUUCAUAGGCUCAUUUGACACCAAGAUCUUAGAAUUAAGAUCUUCAAUUCACUCAUUACCACUAGCACCCAUUCAAUGUAGUUUGUCUAAACAAAAUAUAAAGUACAAAAUUACAAUAAGCAUAUGAUACUCCAUACUUUAUGUUAAAGAUCCUUAUAUAAUUUUAUGACUAUUUUUAGUGAAAUUUUAUGAUUAAAGUUAAAAAUAAAAAUAUUAAAAUAAGAACGUUGGACACCUGCGCAACUAUUUGCCAAAUUUUUUCUCUAUAAAAAUUCACUUGCAACUUGCAGCAGGUUUAAAUUUAUAAUAUCAAACUUGAUUGUAGCUCGCAAAAUUUUUAGAUUUGCGAUAAUUUUGCCACCCUAAGUGCAGUUAGUAUUGUAUAUCAUGUGUUUCCAAUUGGCUCUUAUAAAAAGCCUAGAAGUUGUUUGAAUAAUGAGGGAGACAAAUAUUUCCCAAAGAUAUUCUCUUUUUCAAUUUUUUUUCUUUUCUCUAUUAUUGUAACUUCAAAUCCUUAAAAAUUACAUAUUAUAGACAUGAACACAAUGUUUUGACAUAGUGGCUUUUGGCUUGUCCAGAGAAAUUUAGGAUAGAUUUUGAUGUACUAAGGCUCUGUUUACUAUUGAGAUUUUGGAACUUUUGAGCCACACUUGAAAUUUGUUUAAUUCUAAUAGAGUUGUAGCUUUCGAUAUGUGAUUGGUAUUAAUCAAGUGUUAUGUUUACAGCAGUUAAAGGCAUAUUGAAUCAAAGUCCACUUUUGAUUGAGAUUUUAAAGUAGGUUUUUAAUUUGAUAGCCACUCAAGUUCAAAUAUUGGAACCACAGUGCACCUUUCACUUGCUAGGCUUUAACCAAACAGACGACGUUAUACAAACUUCUAUCCAAUAAGGCAAUGCAAACAAAAGCAAGUGAAUUAAAAAUAAAUAAUUUCUCAUUAAUUUGCAACAAGUAUUAAUAAAGUGCAUGAGAAAAUAUGUCUUUUUUUAAAUGAAAAUAAAUGUGUUAAUUAGUCAAUUUAAAUGGUACGAUGUUUUGAAAUGAUAGAAGCGAUCUGGAGUUUAAAUCUUACUCUUGACGUAAUAUUUAAUAACGAAUUUGAAGAACAAUUAAAAAUUAAAAAAAAAAUGCUUUCUUUUUUAACGAUGGUAAUUUGUUGAGAUGAUGAAAAUUCUUAGAGUGGUAUAAUAAGUAUUUUUGAGUGUUGCCAUCGCGAAUAAUAUUUAAUUUCCUUUAUAUAGUUAUAUCUCAAGUAACAUUUAAACAAAAGCAAGUUGGAAAUUAAAAAAAAAAUGAACCAUUGAGAGAAUGAAAAACAAACAAAAAAAAAGUUAAAAAAUUGUAUCUCAAUAAAUUUACUUGAGAGCUACUCUACUGAUCUGUGAAGAAAAAACACAAAGAAUGAUGAUGUAUCUCAAUUAAUAGGACAGUUUUUGUAUUCUUCGUUUACUCAAUAAUCACGAAACUUCAUUUAAACUUGUUACUUCAUUGAUAAUAUAUUAACAUUGAACAAUGUAGGGAACAUUCCUUUCCAAUUAUGCCCAUAUAUUAACCAAAGGCCACCAAAAAGUUCAGGAAUACUAUAGUAAUUUAAGUCAACAAUCUCUGUGCUUGAAAUCAGCCGAUCAAACUCACUUUAGAAUAAACUGAGAAAUCAAAAUCACAUUCUCCAAUUCUACGAUUUCAAUUUAUCUUCUUUCUUCAACUGAAGAAUUGGUUGUAUCUCGUUUAGAUAAAUAUAAAAUAUAAAUGACGAGGAGACUGGAAAAGUAAAAUCAAAAGCAGAGCACGAGUUUUGUUGAAAAUGACUCUUUUUCAUCAUUUUGCCAGAGUGAAUGUAUCUACAUAUAAACUAAAGAAGCACGUUUGUUUGUAUUAGCUUUUUUAUUAUAUUUUUAAUAAUAAGUCAUUUUUCAAUGAACUUAUAUCAAUUUUUACGAAAAUAAUAGGUGUUAGUUAGUUGAUUCAAAUGGCAAAACCUCUUGGGAUAGAGCUUGUAAUUUAUUGGCUCAUGAAUUGUCUAAAUUGACACUACCGAAGCCAAAUUAUUGUAUUUGGUUAAAAAAGCUCCUGCUCAGCUUCAACUUUAUUAUUCUAUGAUGUUUGUUAAUAAAUAACAAUUUUAUUGAAAAAAAAAAAAGACCCCUUGUCCUUAUACAAAAGAUUUGGGAUCUGAAUCUGACUCGAAUUUAGCUUGAGGUUGACAUUGUUAGCAUAAUAAUUGAAGAUAGAUUUUUUUAAAUUAAAAAUCAAAAGAUAUAUAUAUUUUUUUGGUUCACACUAGUUAGUUUUAACUAUAGUGAGAUUUAAACAAAAGCGGAAUAAUAAAUCUUAACAUCCUGACUCAUGGAUAACAUCUACAUAAGAUAGUAAAAUCUAUUAUGUCUAAAAUAAGAGGUUUGAAGUUUGAAUUUCGCUUACAUAGGUAGUAAGAGAAUCAAAUUAUUGUUAGAUUAAAGUAAUUAAAACAAUUAUCUGAUGUCCAAAACAACGUAUCAACAAAAUUGAAAUAAAAGAAAAUUGAAGAGAAAAACCAUUGAGAGAACGAAAAAUUAACACAAGAUAAAUUCGAUAACUAAUUGUAUCAGUGUGCGCCAACUCCACUUAUUAAAACUUGGUUAUUUCAUUUUCAUCGAUAAUCAUUUUGACAACGAUUUUUCUUUCUAGCUAUGCCCAUGAACUAAUAAGAGAACUGCCGAAAGGGUUCGGGGAUAAUAUAGUAAUUUAAAUUAACAUUUUCUGUGCUUCAAAUCAUCAAAUCAAACUCACACUUCACAACAACAGAGAAAUCAAACUCACGGUUUCUCUCAUUUUUAAUUUGUUAUAUAAAGAUAAAUAUAUAAAUUUAAACGGCGAGAAGACCGGACGAGGAAUACGAUUACUUGUUCAAAUUGGUAUUAAUCUAAAAAUAAUAAUAUUAAAUAAAACACCUGUAACUUUAAGACAUGCAUAUUCUCAAAGCACAAGUGGAGCCGAGAGGCUGGGAGUCGUAAUGGAAAAAAAAUUAAAACACCAUUUACUAAAUGUUAAAUGUUACUUUUUGAUUAAUCUCAUAAGCAACAACAGUUUGACAUAAAUAUCUUAAAUAAAUAUUUUAAUAAACUUUUUAGACAAUGGUAUUGGAGAUUAUUAUUUUUUAAAAUCUGAGAAUCAACUACGAAUCGAUGGGUAAACUCUAAAAAGACUAAUGGUAAAAUUACCCGCCACCAAAAAUUCGUAACAAAUCCCAAGUACUUAUCAAUAAAAGCAAGCGGAAAGAAGAAGAGGCCUGGCUGGCCAUCCUAAGUACUUAUCCGGGUCAUGGGUCAUGAGUCAUUGCCGUAUAAAAAAUUUUGAAAAUUCCAAAUGAAAAGAUAUUUUGAAAUUGGGCAGCUGGCCUUUUUUCCUUGCUAUUAUCUACAAUAUUUAUUUUUGCAAUCCGCAUGCAUGCUCGGUUAUGAUCACCCACGUGAUCGGUAUUACGUUUUUUUUAUCUUCUUAUUGACAAAUUAUUUAGUGUGCGGACUCCAUUCAUGCUCCCACGUUAAUCUUUCCAAAUUUUGUGCAAUAAAAGUUCGGCCGAUCCGCUAUUCACUUUGCCACAGAAGCGAGACCUCGCAAAAGCAACUUAAUUACUUCUUGAGUUUUAAUUUGGAAAGUGGAGGUUUCUUCUGAUUUGAACAAUAUGGAAACUACCGCUGCAAGUUUUUUUUUUUUUGGGCGAAUUUCAGUUGAAUAUCAUUUAUAAUUCUUAUUUCAAUAUAUUUAUAAAUAAGUUUAAUAAUAUUAAAUUUUCACUUAAGAAUGACCGGUGGGAGGGUCAUGCAGAUGUGCCUGAUUUGGGUGUUGGAAUAUUUAUAGUGGCCCAUGUGCCACAUUAUUGAAUUAGCAAUAAUUUAAAAUUUAAAUGAUAAAAUAAAUAAUGGGCCAAAAUGGUCAAUUGGGAAAAUCUAAUUGCCCACUUUAAUGGAAAGUGGAAAUAAGAGUUUUAUUGAAAUUGAUUUUCUCUCUAUAUAUAUAUAUAUAUCGCGUUAAUUUUCGUUCCAUCAAAAAAGCAAAUCACUCUAAAGGGGUCAAGAGAUAAAAAUUAAUUUUACUAAUCUUUAAUUAUUUACCGUGAGAUUUGAUCAAGAAGAUUGUUAUGGAUCAAGAUAUGUUUUCUCUCAAUUAUGAUGAUGUGAAAAUCAUGAUAUUCUAUGAUCUUAGGGAUUGAAGUUUAUGUAAAUUAAGGUUUAUUUGCUUUAUAAGAGGUGUAAAAAUUCUCAACAACCGGUAGCAGAGCAUGGUUUAAGAAUUUAUGAUUUUCUAUUAAGAUAUGUAAUAACCCUUUCUUAAUUUUCAAUUGUCCUUACGAGUAUAUGUCAAUUUGGAUUUUUAUUCCACAUAUACAUAAUGUAUAAAGAAAGUUACUGGCAUAGAAAUUUUUUGCAAAAAAAAAAAAAAGAAUUCAAAGAUGUUUUUGACUGCUGGCGGCACAUUACAUAAAGAUGAAAUUAGGUUAUCUUUUCUAGUUUUUCAUGAGACACCCUAAGGUUUAUUUAGUUUAUGUUUUUCGCCAAAGUUUAGAAUGUUGUUUCAUUUAAGUCCAAUUGAAUUUGCAACGGCCAUCACAUGCUGUCUUCAAGCCGAAAUUUAGGAGCAAUUGCAUGUGACAUUUCAGUGUAGUCCCUGAUAUUCUAUUUUAUUAAAUUAAAGAUAUGAUUAAUUGGAUUUAGUAUGAUAAAGGCGCCGACUUUAUGUGCAUCAAGCCUUAUAAGUUUUGUUCUCAUAAUUUUGAAUGCUUCCGCUCAUUAAUUAAUGAUCUCCGAAAUUUCUUAAUGUUCCAAUUUUAAUGUUUGAAAUUUGAAUUGAUGGUUGUGGUUUUAUUUACUUUAUUAAAGAAAUUACUUUGUUAUAAAUGUUCAAUUUGACAUUCAUAUUAUGAUAAUUUGUUAGUUACUAAAGUAGCCAAAUUAAAAAGUUUUCAUAGAUGUCAAAUUAAAUUCAAUUUCAAGUUCUCAUAAUUAUUGUGAUGCGUAUCAUUUAAUGACAUGAUGAUCUUGUUGUAUGAGUAUAUUGAAAUUCAUAGAUUAUAAAAUAUUUAGGAAUUGCUCAAAGGUUGAUUAAUUAAUUUUAUAGUAUAUGAUCAUGAUUGUGGGUAAUUAGUAUGCUUGUUUAGAUAUGUUUAGUAUAUCCAAAGAUAGCAAGCAUGUCUAGUUUAUGUAUAGUUGAUUACUGAUUAUGUGAAAUUAAAGUUAAGCAUCAAUUAUGUUUAUUGCAGUGUAUUGUUGUAUCACCAAAUAAAUUAAGCUUCAUAAUUUUAUGUUAGUAAGUAUUAAUAAAUUAAUAUAGGUAACAUUAAAUAAUUUAAAUUAGCUGUAGAAAAUUUUAAAAUAUUUUAUUGAUGAUAAAAAAAUUAGCGAUUAUUAUAUCAUGAAUUAAUUGAUAUGUAAAUUAUUUAUUUAUCAAAAUUAUUUUUCAUUUAAUUAAAUAUUAAUUGAGGUUUAAAAAUUAACAUGGUAUUGUAUUUUAUGGUCCUGACCCCCAUCUCUAAAUUAGAAGCAAUUCUCAAACCCGUCCCAUCUCUAAGGAAAGUUUCGUCUUCAGCAUAAUAACUAUAUAAUAUCAUAAUUCACCCCAAUUCUGUUUUUGAGGUUUUUUGGGGCCCAUACCCGAUCCCAAUUCAUCGCGAGCCAGCACAUGAGUCCUGCUCGCGGAUUACAAAAGCAAAUAUUGUGGAUAAUAGCAAGAUAAAAAUUGUGGCGGGUACAUAACGCGAAACAAAUAAGAUUACAAUUAAAUUAAACGCGAGAAAUUACUUUUCUAGCAAAAGCUUAAUCCAACCCCUCCAUUACUUCUUUUUUUUUUUUUUGGUAAAAAGGGGCUCUAGGCAGAGCUAAAGAACAAUCGAGCGAGAAUGGGCAACCCCAUAAGCAUCCUUAAACAAAAAGGGUCUAGCACCCAACGGGGGAGUAUGGUAGAUAGUAAGACCAAGAGGAAUAGAGAAGGCUAGGCUCGCCAUAUAAUCCGCUGCGAAGUUAGCUUCUCUGUAAAUAUGGGAAACAGAAACUUGCCAAUCCAUCUUUAGAUAAUCCUUGAUAGCUCGAAUCAGAGGAGUAUAGUGAUUGAUUUCCAAUGUUGGCUUGGUCACCAACUGCAGCACACAACAACUAUCUAUUUCCACUUUAAGCUUUCUUAUACCAGAAUUCCAGGCUAGCUGCAACCCUUGAUACAAACCCCAAAGCUCCGCUACUGUAACAGAGCAGGAACCUAUCAUCAUCCCAAAACCACUUAUCCAGCGACCCAUGUGAUCGCGAAUCAAUCCCCCAGCAGAAGAAAUUCCCUCCCUGUUAUGGGCACCAUCCGUGUUCAGAGAGCACCAAGGCCAAUCUGGAGGUUUCCAAGAAAUCCAUCUCAUCACUCUUGUAUGUCCUGAGGUAAGCGGAUGAGAAUGAAUCUUAUGCAUUUCCGCAGUGCGCAUAAAAACAUCCAUUAAAACAGUAUUCGGAUCCAUAGAAACUUGAUUAAAGAUGAAUUGGUUCCUCCAAAACCAAAGUCUCCAGAGAGCAAUACCAAAGAAGAUGGCCCAAUUAGAAACACUCCCUAGCCCUCCGACCAUUCCCAGGUUCGUACGAAGCCAAUCAUGGAGCCGCCAAUUGAAGAAUUGUUGUCGUUUAUUUUCUGGGAGAAUCAGGAGCCAGAAACGCUUAACCAAAGCACAGUCCCGCAAGACAUGCAUAGCAUCCUCAGUCGCAGCCCCACACCGGUCGCAGGAGGUUGAUACCGGGAUGUGACGACGAACUAAUUCGGCCUUAGUUUUCAGACGAUCGUGAAAUGCUUGCCAUAAGAAGAUCCUCACACUUUGGGGACCCUUCCAACUCCAAACCGUACGCCAGAGCCUGUCAUCAUGCAUGGGAGUAUCAUUCGAAAAGGCCAAGUAGGCCGAGUGAGUAGUGAAACGCCCAGAUUUGGAGUGAGUCCAAAACAAAGAAUCCGUACCCUUAUCAGGGGAUGGGGGAUGAAAAGCCGCAAUCUGAAUAAUGAUAUUAGCAGGAAGAAAUUGUUCAAAACGCUCCCAGAGCCAGGAACCAUCUUCUUUAACAAAAUCAGCCACUUUACCGUUUAAGAUAUUGCUAGGAAGAUUAUUGGUUGUAUAAGCCGCAAGAGGGACAUCCUUAGUCACCCAAAGAUCCCACCAAAACCAAACGGAUUUACCAUCUCCCAAGCACCAGCGUCGGCUUGCCAAAACAUCACUCCACACAUUUCCGAUAGACUUCCACAAGUGAGAACCAUAGCGCGUUGGAAUGAUGUAUUCUUUAAUUAUUUUUCGUUAUUUUACUUCCUGUUCAUCAAGUUUGUGAUGUUUACAACAAUUAUUCAUUUGAAAAGUUAUCCAAUGAUGUCAAUACGUGAAAAUUGAGAAUAUGUAUAGCGAAAAAAGUUUUCUUCCUCCUCCCUUAUUGAUUCAAAUUAAAAAAAUUUUAUAACGGAUUUAAUGUGGUUUAAAAGUUCAAUUUUAUAUAACAUUUUAACGACAUAAACGGAACAGAUCAAUCACAUAAUCGAGCAUAAUGAUAAGAAUCUUCUUGCUAUAUGUGCAAGAUGAAUUAUAUAAUCUUGAUUUUGGAAAAUGUGAUCAGAGCUGCAAAAAUGAAGAUUAUUUAACCUUGGAUGACAAUGAUUAAUACCCGUCCAUUUCUCCUAAGCUCUGUUUCUUACUUUGAUGCGCACGUGACUUGAGAGCUUCAUCUUCCUCUAGCUUCCUUUCGUGAAACGUACUACCAAAUAACAGUAGCCUACUAACAAAUUAAGAAAUAAUCCAAUAUCUUUAGUACAAAUCCAAGUAGUCUCAUUUUGACUUUGAGCAAGCUUUUUAAUUCCACACUCAGAGACAAAAUUUUGUGAAUUCACAUUAUUUAACAAAAUAAUUAACAAAUUAAUUGUGAUUAUGGUUGACGAUCAUUUUGAUAAGCAUCAUAAACAAAAUGACUGUUGUAGAGGCCGAAAUUCCAAAAGUUUCGUUGCAUAUUUAGUGAAAUAAUGCAAGGACGAAGUAUCACUUAGCUGUAAGAAUUAGCCACCCAACAAUUUGUGGAGUUUGUUUUAGGUAAAAUAAAUAAAUAAAUAAAUAAUAGAGAGCAUAAUUAAGCCAACAUGGAUAGACUAACUUAAACAAUAUAUUGCACACAAUGAUUAUUUUUAUUAACUUUCUUUUUCAAGAAGACAUGGUACACAAAAGUAAAAAAAAAAAAUCUCUUGUAUAGCUCAAGAGAUUUUAUAAGUUGAAUUAAGCCAACAGAGACACUCACACAAUUGAUAGAUAAUGAUAACCCAUUAUUUUAUUUAACUAAUAUAAUACGGAAAGAGUAACUUGUACUUAACCAGUGUAGUCGGGAUUUCUUCCAUGUUGAGGGACAAUAAGGAGAUCCAGAUUGUCGUUCAUGCUCUCAUCAUUAAAAAUACUGAUCAGAGAUAUUAGAUCACCCUCAGACCACUCGACCUUCCCUAAAAACUCACAACAACAAUUAUAUUCAUUAAUACAUAUAUUAAAAUAAAAAUUAUAAAUGACAUUCAACUGAACAUGGCCUGAGAACCUGGAUAAGGAACUUCUAUGUUCUUCAAAUUAGAAAAGAUAUCUUCUAACUUCUGGUGAACCGUAAUCGAAAUUGAAGUUGCUUUUGUUUCUGGUUUGAUAAUAUGUUGUUGAUGUAUUUAUUUACGAGUCUUCAUAUAGUAUAGUGCUGUAUGCAAUACAGCCCCUUCAACAGUAAAAAGGAAACUUGAACAACCGAUAUUUUACCGGUUGUACAUUUAAUAAAUUUUUAAAAAUUAUUUUUAAUGCAGAAAAAUAAAAUAAAACGGAAAAAAUUAAGGAAAAUUUGUAAAUAUUUAACACAAACAAUAUUUGAGAAAAAAAUAUUUUUUAAUUUCAACAAAAGUUAAAAAAAUAAAAAUAAGCAUGUCUCGACUCUUUUGUUUUAAUGUCAAUAUAUUAGGUGACAUUCCAAGUUAAUUUCACAUAUACCUAAUUUUGAUUAAACUUUCUCACUAGUUGGUUUGCUUAUCUCCACUUUCCGAUCCACUAGUUUUAUGUUUAAUAUUCCCACUAAACUCGUUAAAUACUAAUAUUUUAGGUCAAAAUCCAAUUAAAUUUAUUUCUCGUUAGACAAGUAUCAAUAUUCCGUUAAACUUUCUCCACAUUUGGUUCAUGUGUUUCAACGAUUAUUCUACUAGUUUUUCAUUUAAUAUUUCAACUAGUUUAUCAAGAUUCCAAUUAUAUGGGCUAGAUAUUGAUAUCACUUUUUUUUGUUUGAUUAGUUCUAAAUUUUGGUAAUAGUUUUCCAUCUAUAGGUUCACAUGUUUCAACUUAUUGGUCCACUAAUUUUACAUUUGAUAUUUCUACUAAAUUUGUCAAGUACCAAUAUUUAUUGUUAGCUUCCAAGUAAUUAACAUUAUUCGUUGGAUAAGUUUCAAGUUUUGGUUGUUCUUUCUCUCUUAAUGGUUCACGUGUUUCCUCUAAUUUUUUCCCUAAUUUUGCGUUGAAAAUUGCCAUUAAUUGGUUGAGAUUCCAAUUACUAAGGUUAUGUACUAGGUUUGUUUUCUAUAACUUUAUUUUUUGUUUUGUAGGUCUCUAAUUUUGGUUGUGCUUUCCCCAUUUUUGGUUGACGUAUUUCAAUUGUAAUUCCACAGGUUUUGUGUUCGUUAUUCCAACUAACUUGGUAAAAUUCUAAUUAUAUGGGUUAAAUAUCAAUAUUAAUUUUGCUUGGUUUGAUUAGUCUCAAGUUUUGGUUAUACUUUUUUAUCUUUUGGUUCACAUGUUUCAACUUAUUGGUCCACUGGUUUUGCAUUUCAUAUUUCUAUAAAGUUCGUUAGGUACUAGUAUCAUGGGUUAGAUUCCAAGUAAAUAUCAUUUUUUGUUAAAUGAGUUUCUAAUUUUCAUCAAACUUUCUCUUCUAAUGGUUCACGUGUUUCAUCUAAUUUUUCCCUAAUUUUGUGUUAAAUAUCCCCAUUAACUGGUUGAGAUUCCCAUUACUGAGGUUAGGUACCAAGUUUGUUUUCUAUAACUUUAUUUUUGGUUUUGUAGUUAUCUAAUUUUGGUUGUGCUUUUCUCUAUUUUUUGUUGACGUAUUUCAUUUGUAAUUCCACAAAUUUUGCGUUCGUUAUUUCAACUUAUUCCACAUGUUUUGCGUUCGUUAUUAGAAUAAAAGCAACAUGUUCCAUCAAAAUUUAAGAAUGAUUACUAGUGCUUUCAUGCUCGUGGAGGUGAGAAUGGGAGACGCUUGUUGUCUUAAGUGACUAUUCUUACCCCACUAAAUUUAAUUAAUUUAAUAAUUUAAUAAAUUUAAUCAUUCCUUCUCUAUAUGGUGUUUCCAGCCCUAACGAUUAUUUUCUUAAUAUUAAAAUUGUCAAUAAUAAUAAUUACAAUUAUUAUAACAAAUAGUAAUAAUGAUAAUAAUUGAUUGAGGAUAAAUUAAUAAUUUAUAAUAACUCAUUCUAAUUUAUGUUCACAAAGUAAACAUAUUAAUAGCGAUAUAGAAUAUUCCAAUUGUGUUUCAUUCAUCCAACAAAUAUCAUAUUUUGUUUGUUAUUCUUCAUUUUUAUUGUAGCCCAUUCUAAUUCUAUUUUUUUUUAAAUUUUUGUAAAUUUCAAUUAUUUAUUAGUGAACACAUCAAAAAUUUAAUAAAAAUCAAAUUUCACAUUAGAAAGAGCAUGCAAGGUAGACUUUUGUAGGGUUUGCAAAUCAUAUUGUAGGUAUUUGGAAAUUCACAAAAAGUAAAUAAUGUUAUGUACAUAAAUAAGUUCUUGUUUAUAACGUUUUGCUGUAUUUCACAAAAAGUAAAUAAUGUCGUGUUUGGAUGCUAGGAUUAAGUAUGGGAUUGGACUAAUUUUGGGAUUAAAUAUUUAUCCAAUGUUUGUCAAGCUUAGUUGGAUUGGAUUAAGGGGGUAGUAAUUUAAAUUUAAUCCUAAAAUCAUGGGAUUAAUAAUCCUAAUUUACGCAUGGAUUUAGUUGGGAUAAGAUUAAUGAAAAAAGUUGUCCAUUUAUGAGAUUUUUAUUUAUAUCAUUUUUUUAUUUGCACCUAAUAUUAAAUAAUUAAUUAAUUUUUAUUAUGAUUUACUUAAAACUUAUUUUUAUUUAUUAGCUAUGAUCUAAUUAAAUUAAUAUCUUUACUUGUAUUAACUCUAGAGAUUAAAUUUUCACCACUUAUAUAUUUAGUAAUUUACCGAUAAAAUUAAAUGUUUAAUUAUUUAUUUCGCAAACACACCAAUAUUACAUAAUUUCCCUAUUAUUGCCAUCGGUUCCCAAACAUCCAAGAGCCGGUCGGCAACAAGAGAAAAAAUAGGGGUGACAUAACGACGACUAUGUAAUCAUGGCCAAUAAAUUAUUUCACAGUACCUAAUUAUAGCAACGAUUAAAUGCAACCUGAAAUAUGUUGUUGAAGUCAUAGUUAUGGAAAAUUUUACAAACUUCAAAUAAGACCAAAAAAUUACAAAGAGUAAUGUUAAAUAUCCCAAUUAAAAUUGUGCCACUAUUCAAUCACAAAUGUAGGAUAGGUGACUAUAAUUUUUCUAUAAGUAAUGCUUUGGUACUUUUAACAGUGUGAUGAGUAAACGUUAAUUUUUAUAUUUUAACUCAUGAUCGUUAAGAGAAAUUAAAUUUGGGGUGUGUUUUUCAAAUAAACGUGACACUUCAAAAAUAUAUAUCUCAUCCUUCUCCCCGUUCCUCAUCAAAAACCACUUUUUCCAAUUUUCUCCCACAGGAUGCAGGAAUGAAGAAUGCAUGGAAGGAGAAAUUACCUAUCCAAACAUCCAUAUAUGGAAAUCAUCAACACAAACCACAAAAUUAAGCUAUCUUAUGAAAAAUGACCAUAAUGCAUAAUCAAAAUAUAACAAGUAUUGACAAAUUUGAAAACAAAAUACAUAAUAAUCAUAAUUUCUGGGCAUAAAACCAUGGGAUAAUCACUAAGGAGGUGGUGGAGAUGAAGAUGAGGAUGGCGGCGAAAUCCCAAGAGUGCGGUAGAUGAGCUGCUGGUCAUCUAGAAUCUGCUGUUGCUGUGCAAAAAUACUCUGCUGCUCAGAAUGGAAGUGAUAGUGGAACGCUGCAAACCGUGCCUGAAGUUCGUUUGGUUGUAUAGAUAUGGAACGGAUUAAAACCGUCCCUUUAUAUAGGUAAUGAGUAACUACCUUAUCUUUUUAAUAAUUAAAAGAAAAGUAUUCCUUUAAUUAUUGGUAGAAUAUAUUUUCCAAUUCACUAUAAAAAAUAAAUACUACUAGGGUGAAGAAUAUAAGUAUAAAUUGAAAUACAAAAUUUUUUCACUUUAAGCGUUUUCUCAAAUUUUUUCCCAUAAGAAACUCAAAAAUGUAUUAAUGAAUAAGUUGUAAAACAGAAAGUGGACAAGCCGUCCGCUUAAAAAACAAAGUCUAACACUAUUUGUGCCAUACGAAAGUGUACCCAAUCACCCCUAAAGUGUUUUUUCAACUUUUUCUCGUAUUUGUCUUUUAAGAAUACUUAAUAGAUUAGAUAUUGUAAUAUAAAAAUUGAAGACAAAAACAAACAUGAAUGAUGUAUCAAUAAAUUAAUGGAGAUCUAUUACUACAUUUGGAGUAAAAUUAUGAAUAAAUUAACAUAGAUAAUGAAUUUAUGCCUGUACUCUAUAAUGCAAAUAAUAUUAUGUUUUUAAUUCAAUUUAGCACCCUACAAGAAGAGAUUACCUUAUCGCUUCCAAUCCUUCCUCUAGAUCUAAGCCACUUCAUGAACUUCUUGAUCCUUGAUUCGUUCCAAAAUGUGAUAGGAAGUAUAUUCCUAUAAGGCUGAAUGUUGUCAUAUGCAACAUUAUGGAGAUAAAAGAUCUGCAUGAGCAACUUAUAAUUAAUAAGAAUAAUAUUAUUCAUGGUAAGCAUAUGCUCAGCUUUAGUUGCAGAAACUAUGUCACCUGUAGGAAGUGCAAACAAAUUCCAAUGUAUGCUGCUUGUUGUUUCCAUUAUUUCAUUGUCACCAGAAUGUGAGUUUGAAUUACCCAUCCUUUUAUCUCUCUUUUUGUACCUUGCCUUUUGUUCGGGAGGAAGUUCUUUGUUCCCAAUAUUUUUUCGUAACUGUCAAAAUGAUAAUGAAUAUGUCUUAAAACAUAAAAAACCCACAAAAUAAUAUCUGUACAUGCUACAUUUAAUGAAUAUACUAACCCCAAUCGUAAGGACAAAUCUAAAUUUUCACUUCUCAAACGCUUAACUUCUUCAUUGCUGCAAAAACAUAACAUCUAAUUACUGAUAUUUGGUAUGGGCGUGUUUCUUUCCCGAUAGGUAAAUCACAACGACUAUUUACAAGUAAGAGACAAAUCCAUAAGUUGAAGAAGUUGGAACUGCAUCCUGACCAUUUGCUUUUAGAAUAAGAGCACUUUUUUUUCUGUAAGCCCCCUGGUAGUUGUUUACGCUUUCGUCGGUGACUGUCCAAGAAAAAUUUUAAAUAAUUAAGUGAAGGAUAAUUAUUCCAUCAAUAUGUGUUAAUGUUUUUUAAAAAAAUGAGCUCCCCCACCUGCUAUUCAAAGUCACUGUGUAGUCCUUACUUUUUAAUCUAUUAAACAUUCCAUAUAUGGUGGAAUUCAAGCACAAAUUAUAAUUUUAUUUUCCUCAUUUAUACCAAAGAAAAAGAUGAUAAGAAUAACAAAGGAAAGAUCUUUAUUUUUGCCCAAGACUAAGACCUCUCACACACUCACAAUAAAUGAAUGACAGAGUGAAAAAAAUUGUAUAUAAUAAAGGGAUGGGAUCAAGAGCUCUCAUUUCUUACUACAAAAUUUACGAAAUCUAAAUAUUUCAACAACAUAAAAUUUAAUGGAUAAUGAUCUUUGCUGCAUACAUUAAAAUCAUGACUAUUACCGUGCCCUCAACUUUGCAUCAUACAAACAAAUUUCAUCAUAAAACAAAGUACAAUGCUUUUUUUUUUAAUAAAGAAAUACAUUAAAGGUGUUAUGGCAAAACGUGUUACUUCCCUUUCUUGAACAAGAAUUAAGCAACCCACAAAACCAGAGCUUACAGAAACAAGAUUAAGAAAGAAAAGAACAAAGAAGAAUCAAGCAUUCAAAGACUCACUACACACCAAGAACUAACGUGGUUCAGCUCCACAAAGGAACCUACAUCCACGGCUGUAAAAGCCAGCAAGGGCAGAAGCUUUAUUGAACUUGAAGAUGAUGGAUUACAAUUGAGUCACCACUACAGAUUAAACCUUUCUAAGCUUUAGCGUUUUUCUCUCUGUAAUACUUAAGUGUUUCUCUCUUGUGUGUACCCUCGUAGGCUAGCUUAGAGACAGCUUAUAUACAUGUAUGCUCCUCACGUGUGUAUCCACUUGCAACAAAUCAGUCUGUUAUUUAACUAACUAAUUCUCUCUGCUUUUGGAUCCCACUUACGCCAGCUCACCUGCCACAUCAUAAAGCCCAUAACAGAUUAUAACUAACUUCGGCUUCACAAAAGGCUGCUGUGAAUGAGUAGGGGAUGAUGGGUUGUAACCAAGAUCAAAAUCAAUGCAUUGAAACCAAUAUGACAAACUCCAUACUAUGAAUUAUUAUAAACACCUAAUAAAGGGUUAGUAUAUCAGAGGGAUUGGUACCUAGAAUGUACUUCAGCAAAACAGGACCCCUGAAAAUAAGAAAGAAAAGUUUUGCUCAACAUUCCAAAAAAAUAGAAGAAAGUAGAGCAUCUUGUCAGCUCUUUUUAAAAAAUUAUAUCGUUGUAACUUACACAAAAUUCCACUUAGCGCAAUCGUAAGAUUAAGAUAAAGGCCUGCUUGCUGCACCAGCUUGAUAAACUUCAGCAGAUCAGAAUUCCCCUCCAAGUAAUACUAAAACUAAUUAAAACAAAAACAAAAACAAAAAAACAAAAAUAGCAAAACAUUUACUAAAGAACUUAUUUAAAAUAUUACCCUAGAUUUGAGACUACAAGCAAACAGGGCCUUCUGAUAAAAACAAAUUACAUGCCAUAAAUAAAAUUAUUACAAGCCCACCAAAGAAAUUUUCAGGGUUAUAGUGAUUACAAACCUUCCCUAACUUUAUUUAUCUUCACCAAUGAAAAUAGGUCAACAUUUAACAUUCUUUUACAACCAAGUACACCAAGUCUUACAAUUAAAGGUUUAAGGUUACAAAGCAUAGUUACUUAAGACUCUUAGCUUUAUCGUAAGGCACCUUAGAAAAUUCUAUUACCACACAAAAACCUGGGCCUAUUUCUUAUAAACACGGCAAGAAUCACAUCCAAGGUCAAGCAAAUUCAACAACAAGCCCAUACGGCAUAUACCCAGCACAUACAUUGGCCGAUUUGAGGCACAAUACAAUAGAAUAUUAUCAUAAAACCACCACAAUAUCACUGGAUUCGAAUACAGGAACAAUAGAAAUUUAAUUGUUCAAUUAAAUCAUUACCCCAAAUCACGAAUACCAGCGAGACUACAUUAAUUCAUGCCACUGGCAGCAGCACAUUCUUUAAUAAAAUCCUUCAAACAUAAAAAAUCAGCUACAUGCGAAUCUAGAAUUUAAAAGGAAAUAUACAAUAAUUUUUUGAAGAGAAGAAAUGCCUUUCCACUUAUAUUCAAGAUAAUUCAAGAAAAUGACAGGCCCCAAUUCGCAGCUCAUCAAAACAAACCCCAUUACUUGCAGUUGCUUGAUGCUCGAUAAUGUUACCUCUCUCUUUUUUUUUUCAAUUUAUAAUUUUUUCUUUUUUGUGAAUAACGGAAUCUCAAGAUAAAAUAUUGCAGUAUGACUUAAUUGUAACUCUAUCGGUUCAAAAAUAAAAAUGAGAAGCCCUAGCAAUUAUCAUUCGAUUAUCAAUCCCUAGAAAUCAUCUCAAUAUUUCAAGUAAUAAUUUCUCAAUUGCAAAAUCAAAUUAUUGAAACUGAAAUUUCAAGUAAUAUUAAUAAACUAAACUGAAACUUCAAGCAUAUUUAAAUGACAUAAUAAGAUUCUUAAUCAUAUAUUAAAUUAGAGAGAGAGCUCACCGAAACUAUUGGAUGACAUAAGAGAGAGAUACAGCAAGAGAGAUGAUUUACGACAGUGAAAAUUUGAAGCUAUGACUGACGAAAUGAAGCUGAACGCGAGAAAUUGAGCGACGAAUUGAAGCGAGAGUGACAGAUCGAGUAAGCCUGAGUAAAUGGCACUCUUUCGACUACAUCUUUGCUCUUUGCUGUGAUGGGUGGUGAAUAUUCUUGAAUACCAAGUUCAUUGAUCCAAAAUUCUGGAUGUAGGAGAAAACAAUAGCAGAGAGAAUACGAAGGCUGUUAUUUUGAGGAGGAGAGAGAGGCAUCACAAUCCAACGGUUGUGAUUUUUUAGAUAAGUCAAGUGAUGACAUAAUAACUUAAAAGCUUCAUCUUCCUCUAGCUUCCUUUCGUGAAACCCGAAGCAAUUCCUUCCAUCUCUACGAUAUUAACAAAAGCCAAAAUUUUCAACCAUAAUUACAAUUAAUUUGCUACUUAAACAACGUGAAGUUACAAAAUUUUGGUUUCUGAAUGCGGAGUUAAAAACCUCUAACAUCAAUAUAUUGGGAAUUGUGCCCUCAUCGUCUUAAGAUUAUUUGUUAAUUAUUAUGUAGAAAGGAAAAAAGAUGGAUGAUUUCAAUUUCCACCAAUCGAUAUGCAUGCACGAGUCUGAACUGAGACUGAGAAGACUAUUAGUACAGAGACGGAGGAAAAUAAUCUGCUGAAGCACCGAGUGGCCUAUUUGGAUUUUUCGGAGAAGGUUGAUCUUUAAAGUUCAUUGUUUAUUCAACCAAUCAUAAACAAUCUUUUGUAUUAAAAAAAAAAAAUUAAAAGUUCCAGAUGAAAUGGUAUUUUGAAUAUUAUCUGCAAUAUUCACGUGAUUGGUACCACGUUUUUUAUUUUCUUAUUAACAAAAUUAUUUAUUUCGUAGGGACCGUAUUCUCGCUUCCAAGUUUCUCAUACAUAUGCAAUUUAACCAUUGCGGUUAAUUAGCAUUUGAGUUUUGACUUGGGAAGCGGUAGGGAUGGGAAUAAAAUUCGGAUCCGCAUGUUAAAAAAUGCAGAUUCACAUGUAAGAAAUUAAAUCUGCACGGAUCCGAAUCCGGAUUCAAAUACAAGUGCAUUCAGAAAAUCAGAUAUCCGGAUCCGGCUAAUUUUUUUAUUAAAUUAAAAAAUAUAUAUUAACUUUAACUUAAAAACAAAUUUAACCCAACUCUCACAUUCACACGCGCUUACAACACUUUACCAGCAGCCACAUCCCACAAACCCCUAACACCCAAAUACCCCCAAUUCCGUAGGAUGUCGCCGUCUGCCUCACGGCCUGGCCUAAGCCUCGUGUCCAAGCCUCGAUCUAAGUCGGUCUAUGUCGUUGCGCGCUGAACGCCUCGAUCUGAGUCGGUCGCUGCCGCUGCACGCUGCACGCCUCGAUCUGAGUAAGUUGCUGCCGCUACACGCUCGAUCUGAGUCAGUUGCUGUCGAAUCCUCGCCAUCGAAGAAGCCUCUUGCUGUCGAAUCCUCGCCAUCGGAGAAGCCUCGUCUAAGCACUUUAAUUAAAAUGGUAUUGGCAAGCCUUGUUGAAUCCUUUGGCCUUUGUUGAUUCAAUUUAGUUUAAUUUUGAAUAAAUUUCUUUGCUGAUUCGUUUCAUCACUUUAAUUAAAUGCAUUAAUUUUCAAUAUAAUGUAAAUGUUUAAUAGGUUUUGGGAUUAAGUUUUAAUUUGGAAAAUUGUUGAAUUUUUAAAUUAAAAAUUUAAAUCAAAUCUUGGUGAAACCUGUUGUCAUAUGCUGAUACGUCACUGUACAGUAAAAUUUGUUUAUUCAAAAUUUAAAUUAUGAGUUCGAAUUUGAUGCAGAAUGGGCAACCAGCCUACUGCAAACAAAUCUUCUGGAACAGUUCAGAUGAAGGGACAGCCAAUCCAGCAAAACAGCAACUGUUGUGGUUAGCAGAUCAUGUUAUUUUACUACUACAUGUUAACUAUGUUGACUGCAUUAUCUUAUGAAUCUUUUAAUCUGUCAAAUAUUUAUUUCCUGCUUUAAGUUUUUUCCCGUUUAUAACAAAUUUAAUUUCUUGCUCCAUUGCAUUCCAAAUUCCUGUCAAUUUACGAGGGAAAAAGAAAAGAGAGACGAAAUGGGAGAAAAUGGUCAAAUUUGUUAGGGGGGAGAGAGCUGUUCAAGUAGUUUUUGUUCUCGUUUAUUGUCGUGACCCUCUUGUCGCUUCUCUAUGACCUGGAAGUCCGGUCAUAUCGGAUGGGUAAAGUUACCAAAACGGCAUAAUUUUGGGUGAAAUAUCAUAUUUAUGUAACACUUUUGAUAAUAUUUUUAUGCAACAAAAAAAUGUUCGCUGUACCCUUUUCACAUUGUGAAGCGCAUGAUCGGAUGAGAGCAGUCUGGAUUCUGGCAUCACAAGCGAAUGCUUUGAUUUGCUUAGUUUGUUUUUUGUUUCUGAUAUUUUCUUGGCAUUGGGUGGGAUAUUGUUUCUCUUUUGAGUUUCCCUUUUUUUUUUAUUAUUAUGGAAUUUGGAGAUAGUGUACAUGUAUGAAGAAGACGUAAUCAAGUUGUUUUGAUAAAUUCCCCUGGUCGGUUUACUUCACUAACCAUUAAUGCGCAAAACCUCCUAAUGACCCUAAAAAAUCCCGUACAUAAUUAAAGAAUUUCAAUUUAAUAUGUACAAAAAUAAAUAACUCUCAAAUAUAUUAUUUGAUAAUUCUAAAAACAACAAUUCGCUCUAAUAAAUCUCGUAGGAAAUAUAUAGUCUAUAUUGUAAGUCUUUUCGAGACUAAUUCAAAGAGAAAAUACGAAGGACAUAUAAUUGACCUUCAUCUGUCAUUAAGAACUCUAAAUAAAUUCAUAUACGCAUCGCAACUAAUUACAGUCCUGAUACUUCAUUUGGUUUUUGUUAAUUUUCUAUACAGUUGUGCUGUGCAUAAAAGUUUUGUUAAAUGAAAUCGGCAGGUGAGGAUUAAUUAAUCAGUUAAUUAAGAUCCAGUUAAUGUAAUUAAUUUUAUUUGAUUUUUUUAAUUCGAGUUCUAAAUUAAUCAAUUAAUUUAGAUUCAUGUGAAAUUGAAGUGAAUUAGUUUUGAUCUGUUUUUCGUCCUAUGUUUGUCUGUGUUUACUCUUACUUUUUUUUUGUUUAAAUUUUCGUUUUCUUAUUGUUUACUGAAUAAAUUUAUGAGUUUUAUUUGAGUAUGAUGAUUGAUUUGUGAUUAUAAUUUGUGACUUUUUUUUUUGGAAUUUAAAUCUGAAUGCUUUUUAAGUUGAAUCUAAAUGUGUUGGGCUGCGAUUUAAUUGAGUGAUGUGUGAGCGCCAAAUAUUCAAUAACUGAUAAAUUAUAUUUAUAAAUAUUAAUAGCGAUGGCACAUAAACAAUUAAUUCAAGAACUUGCCCAUAGUGAUUAAUUUAAAGAGUAUAAGUAACAUCGCAAUACAGUCUAGCCCUUACAUGUUUAAUUAGCAAUUGAAAACUACUGUUGCUGAUGAGUUAGAACAUUAUAACACUGUUGCUGAUGAGGCAGCUGGUAAUUCUUCUGGUGAAGAUAUUAAGACUAUUAAAGCUUAAAUGUAAUUAGAGAAAUAUAAUGCAUUCCCUUAGUUUGCUUUUUGUUUUUUAUAUUUGUUUUGCUAAUGCGUUGCUUAGAUUGCUUUUUGUUUUUUGAGAUUUUAUUGGCUUAGUCAUGGGGUAUUGUUUUCUCUUCUAAUUUCUAUUUUUGUUGUUAUGGGAUUUGAUUGUAGUGUACAUAUACGAAAAUUAUGUAAUCAAGUGCUUUCAAUAAAUCAUGAUCGAUUUACUAUUAAUUAAUCAAAUUUAAUUUACUCAAAUUACUCAUGUACACGAUCAAAAUAAAUUUAAUUACAUGACAUAUAUACACGCGCGCACACAUAAACAAAAUGUAAUUAACUUUGAAAUAUAAAAUAUUUAAAAUAAUCACCGUACUAACAAUUCACAAGUUAGAUUUUAUAUAAAUAGACGAAAUAAUGUUAAUCUAGCGAAUCCAGUCAUAAUAAAUUGAUUUUCAUUUAUAUUAAUUAUGUCGAACCAUGUUAUUUUAAUAAAGAGCACUUGAGAAUAUAUAUAUCCAACAGGUAAAAUUUCAAAACAAUAUUUGCCAAAGUCUGACUAAGAGAAUAUACAUGCACGCACGUAUAUAACCGUACAACAGAAGGAUAAAUAAAAGAAAAUGAAGUUUCAACAGCUAAAUAAUGCAAACUCAUUUUUUUAACAAGCAUUUUAUUGUUUAAUUAAAAAAUUUGAAAACCCAUUAAAUACAUGUAAGGACUCACCGACGCCGAACCAUAUUAAUUUAAAUUAGUUUUCAACUGAGAUUUGAAUUUUGAAAUUACAUACACAAACAAGCCCUUUUUUUAAAAUACUAAUAAUAAAAUAUUUCAUUUUUCAUCUAUUACUACAAGAGGUAUAAUCGCAAAAGUGAGGAAGGCAGUCAUCCUCUGUUCAAUUAUCAAAAACUCCUUUUACCAUCCAUUUGAACAUACACAAUCACGCCCAAUUUGAAAAAAAAAAGUAGUAAUUUUAAAAUAUUUCAAUCGUCCACUGUUCAGUCACCAAAAACCAAUUUACCAUCCAUUUCAACACCUAAUUUCAAAAAAGAAAAUACUAAUAAUAAUAAAAUAUUCUAGUCGUCCAUCCUUUUACAAAUAAAAAAUAUCACCAAAAACCAAUUUCCAAUCUAUUUCAAAACAAAUUUUGCCAAAGUCCUCCUCGGCUAAUUAAUUCAUACAUUAAUACAGUCCUCCUCUGCUGAAUAAUGCAAACCCGUUACGUUAUUCUACCAUUUCUUUUUAAAGCAUUCCCCCCAUUUAAUAAAAAAAUUCGAAAACCCAUUAUAUGCAAUACAAAAUGCCCACCGACACCAAACCAUAUUAAUUUAAAAUAGUUUUCAAUUGAGUUUUGAAUUUUAAAAUUACAUACACAAACACACCCGAUUUAAAAAUAAUAAUAAUAAUGCUAACAAUAAAAUAUUUCAGCCGUCCUAUGUGUUAUCGCCAAAAACGGAUUUCCAAUCUAUUACAACAUAAGGUAUAUGGGUUAACAAGUCCCAAUAUUGUCCUCCAUCCUUUCUGCACUUCUCUGCUAUCAACGGACAUUCGUCGAUGUAUAAUCGCAAAAGUGAGGAAGGCAGGCCCUUCUCCGGAAAGUAUUUGAGCUUGGGACAAUCCCCGAGAUACAAUUCAGUGAGGUUUUGAAGAUCAACAAUUGAAGAAGAUAGGCGUUCCAGAUUUGGAAAAUUGAAAAUCUCCAGAGACGUUAGAGAGGCAGGAAGAGGAAGCGCGGUCCCUAAUCUUUUGUCCUCUAGUGGAAAUGACACCAUGUCCUCAUCGCAUCUGCUGAUUGUAAGACGUCGCAGAGAGGAGAAUCUGUGAAAUCCCCGUCCCCGCUCAAUCAUUGACUUCCAAAUCUCCAUAUUACCCCAAAUAUCAAGUGACUGAAGGUUGGUGGGAAGGCCAUCUUCUUCUUCAAGGCUUGGAAGCGCACCUCCUUUUCCUAUUGUUAAUUCUUGAAGAGAGCUCAGAUUGUGCAAUCCCUUGGGUAAGGCCUCCAGUCUCUUACAAUUAGAUAUCGCCAGCCUCCUGAGUUUCGCACAAGGCAAUCCCCCUUCGGGAAAGGACACCAGAUUUCCACACCUCCCUAUACUGAUUGUUUCAAGAGAUGUGUUGUUGUCCAACCUUUCUGCUAUUGACUCCAGCUUUGAACAUCCCCAAACAACGAGGGACUUAAGAGACGAAGGUAGAUUGCCAACUUCAAGGGACUCAAGCGUGGCAGGUAACUCGUUUUUUGAAAAUAUACAUGUCAGAGAUCGACAGCUGCCAAUAUGCAAUUCCUCAGGAAGAGAUGAGGUGUACCUUCUGCUGCUGUUGCUGCUACACUGGAUACCCUCUUCCGCUGUCAAAGUCCUUAUAUUAUCGCAAUUGUAAAUCUCCAACUGCUUAAGGCUCGGUGGUAGCUGGACCGCAGCAAUAUAUGUCAACGAACGGCAACCAUGAAUACUCAAGAUCUCGAGAGACGAAUUGGUGUCGCACAUCCAUGCCUCUGGUAACGAUUUCAGUGCAUCACAUUCUCCAAUAUGAAUUUUCUUCAACUUGGAAGGCAGAGCAACCUCAGGAAAGGAAACAAGGGAACUGCACUUGCAGAUUUCUAUCUCUCUCAAGGAACUGAGGCUGAACGAUGAUUGUGGCAGCUUCACAAGGCCUUCGCAUUCGCUCAAUCUUAGAUAUUCAAGUCUGCAUGACAACUCGCAGAGCUGCUGUUGUUGGUCUUUCUCUUCCUCCGCCACCAAGGAUUGAAUUUUGGGACACCGUCUAAUCGUCAGUCUUUUGAGAGAGCAAAUGUCUUGCAGUAAUUCGUUAUGACUCUUCCAUAUAUGUGUUUCAUUUUUCAUAUUAUUUAUCUCCAAUUCUUCCAGUUUUGGUAUUUGCGGCUUCAAUGGCCCUGCGAGAAACACUUGAUUUGAUGUAUCUCUACAAACCACUGAAUUCUGUGAGCCGAGAUGAUCAGUUGCACUUCUCCACACAACCUUUUUACAUCCACCAAUUUCAAAUUUGCAAAGAGCUGGAAGACUCGUAACUGAAACUGACAAUUCUUCACAUCCUUCAAUUACAAGCAUCUCCAAUGCAGGAAGGUGUUCUGGAAAUGUUCCUUGCAGCUUAGAACAACUUAUAAUAUGAAGCUCUCUCAAUUUAGGAAACCCUUCAACCCCCUGACUAGAUCCAUGAGGAAUCCAGUCUUCCCAUUCUCGCAUGUUUUCAAAAUGAAGAGUCUCCAAGCAUGGAAAAGGAAUCGGGGAAUCAUUCCCAUAGAACUCUGAACCCAAACUCUUUACUCUACUCAUUCCACGCACUGCAAGAUGCUUUAGAGAGGGUAGUUGCCCGACUGACGGCAAGGUAGUACACACGCCGCAAUCUUCAAAAUUUAAGGACGCUAAAUUUGAGAAUGUGGAAUCUCCCAACCAAGUUGGAAAUUCUUUACCUCCAUAGCCACUGAUACAAAAUUGUUCCAAAUUUUCAUGAGGUUUUAGCAUGUCGAGCACAUCCUUUUCGGUUUCUGCCUCCGUUGAAGACAAACCAUUGGUACUCCGUGUCCAUCGGAACCUUAACACUUUAAGAUUCUUCUUUCCAUCCAAUUGAGCCUCCUUCGCAUCACCAAUGUCUUUUACGUUCUCCAAUUUUGAAAUGUUAAGUGUCCCACGAAGAUGCGUCAACAAUUUUAGCUCUCGUAUCCCGGAACCACUGUCUUUUCCCACAACAAAAUUACACAGCGUCUGAAGGCAAGUCAACUUACCAAUUCCUAGUGGCAUCUCCUCCAACGAACCUGUAUCUAAAUUAUCGAGAUGAUGCAAUUUGAUGAGGUUUCCCAUGUCUGCACACAACUUCUUCAGUCGCCGACAGCCCUCCAGCAGAAGAGUGUGCAAAUUGUAAAGCUUGUUGACUGAUUCAGGCAGAGUUCUAAUCUCAGUUAGAGAUAGGUUAAGGUACCUUAAAUACCUCAAAUCACCAAUUGAAUCCGGUAGCUCAGAGAUUUGAUAUCCAUGCAGUGAGAAGACCCUCAACCGUUGGAGUUUGAACAACAUAGGAAGAAUGCUACGAGCCAAGAAUCCAAGCGAACGAUUUGACAAUGUUACUGGUAAAAAAGUUCGCAAAUGGUGGAUAUCAUGCAAGUCCUCAAACCUUUGAACGCCAUCACAAAAUCCACGAAUGUAUGACAGGUGACGAAAAUUUUUGGAAAAACUUUGUUGCUUGUUAACCUCUGAGUUAGACUCCAUUGUGAAGUAUAUCUCCCCCGCAGCCCAUUGAGCAAGGUCGUUGACAAGGUCGUGCAUCACAAAUCGUGAUUUAUUGUUGCUUGAUUGCUGGAAAAAAGAUCUUGAACGUAGCUCUUGAAAGAACUUUCGACCUAGAUCUUCAUUAGGAUUCCCUCUCUCUUUGUGAUCCAAGAAACCCGAAGCACACCAUAAUAAAAUUAUCUCCUCCUCUUCAAAUUCAUAAUCCUUUGGAAACAAUGAGCAGUAUGCAAAGCAUUGUUUCAAAGGUGCCGAAAGAUAAUAGUAGCUCACUCUAAGCGCCGGUAUAAUGUCACAUCUCUCUUCUGGUAAAUCCCAUAUCUUGCAACUGAGCACCCCUUCCCAAUCACUCCGGUCAAGUUUGCCACGUAAGAGUCCACCAAGAGUUUUCGCAGCUAAGGGCAAGCCGUUGCAUUUGAUCACUAUCUUCUUGCCAAUUUCCUCCAAUGACUUGUUUGAACUGAAAUCUCUUGUCCCCAAAGAGUGUUGAGCGAACACAGACAGACAAUCAUCAUUUGACAGCUUUUUCAAAUGAUAAUCCCGAGCAGUCCCCAUGAUGGCUGCAACCUCUUGAUUACGAGCUGUGACAAUAAUCUUACUCCCCGGUGCGCCAGCUUCAAAUGGACGGCUCAUGUCAACCCAGUCAUUGUAAUUCUCAUUCCAAACGUCAUCUAAAACAAGCAAAAAUUUCUUUUGAGAUAACUUCUUCUUCAGCUCCUCUUGAAGCAAAUUUAAAUCACUGUCAUCAGUAGUCUGCUUAGUAAUGGAUCUUAGAAUUGUUUUUGUUAGCCUGAUAACAUCAAAAUCAUCAGAGACACAAGUCCAUGCUUUGAGAUCAAAAUGACCCUGCACUCGAGCAUCAUUAUAGACAAGCUGAGCGAGAGUGGUUUUACCCAGCCCGCCCAUGCCUAUGAUAGGAAUAACAGAGAAUUCACCAUCAUUUCUCAAAUCAUCCCUCAACAACAAUUCAACAAUUUCCUUCUUUUCUGCUUCCCUGCCAAAUACCUUGGCUUCAUUCACCAAAGAGGUUGUGGGUAGUCUUUGCCUGUCUUUUUUGGACCCCCCAGUUGAACUUUCUUUCAAAUCCAGCAAGUCUUUCUGUGUCACAAUUUCAUGAAAUCUGCCGUUGAUCUCUUUGAUUUUGGACAUCAAGGCAUAAUCGAACUGAAUCGAUUGUGGAGUAAAAGUGGUGCAGCAAGUAGGAAUGAGCUUCCGAAACUUACUUGUUCUUGUACGACUGCUACUGGGUUGAUCCUGAGCCGCAGCUGGAUCUCCAUUUCCAAGCAGCAACCUCCUCCGGAAAGCCUCAGUUUGAAACUCAUCCAACAAGUCUUCAACAUCAUAAGCGAAGUUCUGAAGCUUGCCAAGCCACUUCUUCACAAACUGAUUAGUCGUCUUCUUCUCCUCAGCAUCAUCAAGCACCGCCUUGAUCAUCUCCAACAUAUUCGCCCACUUCAUCAGAUCGGCCUGGAUUUGCUCUUGGCGUGCAAAAAACAGAAUCCCCUCUGAAGCUAACUUAUUGACCAGCAAAUCAACGGACGCUGUAAGGAUUGCCUCUCCGAUGAUUGACAUUUUUUUCUUUUUUUUUCUUGUUUUGCAAAGAAAGAAACAGAAUUUUGAGUUUUGAAAAGCAAAAUGAGAAAAUUGAACAAUAAGUGUGGAGGGUCAAGCAAAAUGCGCGUAACAAGUCUUCCGCUUCUUGUUUAUUCCAGGAAAGUGCAAAUAAAAACAGAGCCCACCACCCAUUAAUAAUUGAGCAAUGCACCAAUCACGAGUCACCACCACUCGUUACCAUGAAUAUAAUAAAUUGCACCUUGAUAUUUGCAGGGUCCAGCAACAUUGACCCAGUGUCCGGGUAAAUGCUGAAUAACGAGGAAAAUGGAAUGUAUCCACUACGAACCUUCGCUUUACAAGUCUUCAAACUCAUAAACCAAAAUAAAUCAAAACGUUUAUCUCUUCUCUCUCUUUUUGCCAUAUAAUUACUUUAUUUAUUGAAUUAAUUUCCAUGCUAAAAGGAAGACUUAAAAGUGCACUACAAUUUUUUAUAAUCACAAUGAUAAUUCCUACUAUCAUGUUAUUUUAAUAUCGUGUCAAAAUAAAUUAUAACAAAGUUUUUUUCUGUAUGAACACUCUUUUUAUUUAUGAAUUUUUUAAUUUUUAAUAUUUUUCUCACUCUUUUAGUCUUAAUAUUUGUAUAUCUCUCUUCAAACUUUCUUUAUUAUUUAAUUUUUAAAAAAAAUAUAAAAAAAAAAGAAAAGAAAAAUAUUAUACUUAAAAAAUAAUAAAUAUUUUAUGAGUCUAAUACAAGCCUGUAUUGUUUUUUACAAUGAAAGAGCACGCGAAAAAUCUCACUCAUAGAAAACUUUGUGAAAGGCAUUUGAAUGUGUGGCCACAUUUUCCGAACGAAACGAUAAGGCUUUAGCCUUAUAAUUGCAAUUAGUUUGUCUUGUAACUAAAUUAUUGCCGACAAACACCAUCGUGCUGACAAACCGGGCAUGCACGUCCUCAAAGACAUUGACAUUGUGGACAAAGUGGUUGCAAGGGAUGGGGAUUAACAUGUCUCCAAACGACAAGCAGCCAUGCAUGUAAUUAGUCACAAGUUGCUUUGAAAUAAAUAGGUACUUGACAUUUGGCUCACUGAUUAUGUGUGCAAUAUUCCCGUAUUUCCCAUUACUUCCCGUACUUUAUGCAUUAUUGUUUUGUAUGUCUUUUGGUGUUUGUCUAAAAAACCACAUAAAAUAUUUAAUUCUACAUUUUAUUAAUGUAAAUGAGAAAUGAAAAUAUCAACAUUAAAACAAAUAUACAAAAUAUAUCAAUUUAACACGAAUUCUUAAAUUCAAUUACCAAAUAAAUAAGUCUAUCACAACUCGAAGUGCUUUCAAUUUAAAAAGAAAAAAGAGAAAGAGUAAAAAAUAAAGAACUACAAAUCAAAGUAGCACCCAUAACCUAUUUCAUAGGCUCAUUCAACACCAAGAUCUUAGAAUUAAAAUCUUCAAUUCAUUCAUUACCACUAGCACCCAUUCAACGUGGUUUUUCUAAGCAAAAUAUAAAGUACAAAAUUACAAUAAGCAUAUGAUACUCCAUGCUUUAAGAUCCUUAUAUAAUUUUAUGAAUAAUUUUUUAGUGAAAUUUUAUGAUUAAAGUUAAAAAUACAAAUAUUAAAAUAAGAAUGUUGGACACCUGCACAACUAUUUGCCAAUUUUUUUCUCUAUAAAAAUUCACUUGCAACUUGCAGCAGGUUUAAAUUUAUAAUAUCAAACUUGAUUGUAGCUCGCAAAAUUUUUAGAUUUGCGAUAAUUUUUCCACCCUAAGUGUAGUUAGUAUUAUUUAUCGUGUGUUUCCAAUUGGCUCUUAUAAAAAGCCUAGGAAUUGUUUGAAUAAUAAUGGAGACAAAUUUUUCCCAAAGAUAUUCUCUUUUUCAAAUUCUUUUCUUUUCUCUAUUAUUGUAACUUCAAAUCCUUACAAAUUACACAUUACAGACAUGAACACAAUGUUUUGACUUUUGUCUUGUCCAGAGAAAUUUAGGAUAGAUUUUGAUGUACUAAGGUUCUGUUUACUAUUGAGAUUUUGGAACUUUUGAGCCACACUUGAAAUUUGUAUUAUUCUAAUAGAGUUGUAGCAUUCGAUAUGUGAUUGGUAUUAAUCACGUGUUAUGUUUACAGCAGUUAAAGGUAUAUUGAAUCAAAAUCCACUUUUGAUCGAGAUUUUAAAGUAGAUUUUUAAUUUGAUAGCCACUCAAGUUCAAAUAUUGGAACCACUGUUCUUUAUAACCAAGUGAGAGAACUUGUGUCCUAAAAGUUGAGGGUUGCAGAUCGAGUUUUACUACCAACAACAAAAGUUGGUGUUAAGACUUUAGUUCCCCUCCUACUGAUGGGUAAGGAUAAUUAGGACUUUACAUCCCCUCCUAUUAAUAGACAUGGGUUAUUAGGAAUAUUAAAAAAAGGUUCAAAUAUUGAAAAACUAAGUAUGAGUUAUAAAAUUCAUAAUACAAGAACACGAAAUCAAGAUAAAAUUUUAAAAAUUUAGAACCAUGAGAGCGUAACUUGUAAGUUUCAAAUAAGCAUGUGCAACAUAUGCGUAUCGAUACUCAUUAGGGGUGAGCGUUAAGAUCGGGUUAACCCAAACCAAACCUUAAAUUUAUUUUGGGUUCAAUUUGAUUUUAGUUGAAGCUUUCAACUGAGUACAAAACUUAAAAACAAUUACGUUGUAUUUCUAUUCGAAUUUAACAACAAACUAAGCAACCUAAUCAACUUAAGUAAGCAAAUUUUAAAAAAAAUUCCCAUAAAAUUAAAUCUAACCCUAAUUAAAAAAAUUCAACUGCGGCCUUCUCGUCGUCUUCUUUUCUUCUUCUUCCUCUUGCUCACCCCUAAUGCCCCAUUAAUGGAAAUCCAACAGCUCCAAACACGUUUCAGCCGCUUGCGCGUGUGAGAAAUUUUCCUUCCCAUAGGAUUGUUCGUUUCCUUGGCUUGCAUCCCAGCAGGAUAUUCAGGCCGGGCAUUUUUCCGGGCCUAUCCCACCUAUAAGUUUUACCAAAACCCAAUCAUAAGUUCAUAAUGUUUAGUGGUUACUAUAGAUAUAUAUAUAUAUAUUCACAAUUAUUAAUAUAGCCCAACAGAUUUUUCCAAAAAAUAAAAUUAAAUAAAAUUACAAGCCCACGAAAUUCCUUUUCCGAUUUUGGAAUCUACCUGCACCUUUCACUUGCUAGGCUUUAACCAAACAGACGACGUUAUACAAACUUCUAUACAAUAAGGCAAUGCAAACAAAAGCAAGUGAAUUAAAAAUAAAUAAUUUCUCAUUAAUUUGCAACAGUAUUAAUAAAGUGCAUCAGAAAAUAUGCAUUUUUUUUAAAAUGAAAAUAAAUGUGUUAAUUAGUCAAUUUAAAUGGUACGAUGUUUUGAAAUGAUAAAAGCGAUCUGAAGUUUAAAUCUUACUCUUGACGUAAUAUUUAAUAACGAAUUUGAAGAACAAUUAAUAAUUAACAGAAAAGAAAAAGUGCUUUCUUUGUUAACGAUGAUAAUUUAUUCAGACGAUGAAAAUUCUUGAGUGGAAUAAUAAGUAUUUUCGAGUGUUGCCAUCACGAAUAAUAUUUAAUUUCCUUUAUAUAGUUAUAUCUCAACUAACAUUUAAACAGAAGCAAGUUGGAAAUUAAAAAAAAAAAACCAUUGAGAGAAUGAAAAACUAACAAAAAAAAAGUUCAAAAAUUAUAUCUCAAUAAAUUUACUUGAGAGCUACUCUACUGAUCUGUGAAGAGAAAACACAAAGAAUAAUGAUAUAUCCCAAUUAAUAGGACAAUUUUUGUAUUUUUUGUUUAUUCAAGAAUCACGAAACUUCAUUUAAACUUGUUAUUUCAUUGAUAAUAUAUUAACAUUGAACAAUGUAGGGGACAUUCCUGUCCAAUUAUGCCCAUAAAUUAAUUAAAGACCACCAAAAAGUUCAGGGAUACUAUAGUAAUUUAAGUCAACAAUUUCUGUGCUUGAAAUCAGUCGAUCAAACUCACUUUAGAGUAAAUUGAGAAAUCAAAAUCACAUUCCCCAAUUCUACGAUUUCAAUUCAUCUUUUUUCAUCAACUGAAGAAUUGGUUGUAUCUCGUUUAGAUAAAUAUAAAAUAUAAAUGACGAGGAGACUGGAAAAAUAAAAUCAAAAGAAGAGCACGAGUUUUGUUGAAAAUGACUCUUUUUUAUCAUUUUGCUGGAGUGCAUGUAUCUACAUAUAAACUAAAGAAGCACGUUUAUUUGUAUUAGCUUUUUAUUGUAUUUUUAAUAAUAAGUCAUUUUUCAAUGAACUUAUAUCAAUUUUUACGAAAAUGAUAGGUGUUAGUUAGUUGAUUCAAAGGGCAAAACCUCUUGGGAUAGAGCUUGUAAUUUAUUGGCUCAUGAAUUGUCUAAAUUGACACUACCGAAGCCAAAUUAUUAUAUUUGGUUCAAAAAGCUCCUGUUGAGCUUCAACUUUAUUAUUCUAUGAUGUUUAUUAACAAAUAACAAUUUUAUUAAAAAAAAGACCUCUUGAAAUGAUAUAAAAGAUUUGGGACCUGAAUCUCACUGGAAUUUAGCUUGAGGUUGGCAUUGUUAGCAUAAUAUUUGAAGAUAGAUUUUUAAAAAUUAAAAAUCAAAAGAGUUUUUUUUUUUUUUUGGUUCACACUAGUUAGUUUUACUCAUAGUGAGAUUUAAACAAAAGCGGAAUAAUAAAUCUUGAUAUCCUGACUUAUGGAUAACAUCUACAUAAGAUUGUAAAAUCUAUUGUACCGAAAAUAAGAGGUCUGAAAUUUAAAUUUCGCUCACAUAGUAGUAAGAGAAUUAAAUUAUUGUUAGAUUGAAUUAAUUAAAAAGAUUAUCUGAUAUCCAAAACAACAUAUCAACAAAAUUGAAAUUAAAAAAAUUGAAGAGAAAAACCAUUGAGAGAACGAAAAAUUAACACAAGAAAAUUUCGAUAACUAAUUGUAUCAGUGUGCGCCAACUUCACUUAUUAAAACUUGGUUAUUUCAUUUUCAUUGAUAAUCAUUUUGACAACGAUUUUUCUUUCCAGCUAUGCCCAUUAACUAAUAAAAGAACCGCCGAAAGGGUUCGGGGAUAAUAUAGUAAUUUAAAUUAACAGUUUCUGUGCUUCAAAUCAUCAAAUCAAACUCACACUUCACAACAACAGAGAAAUUAUCUCAUUUUUUUAUUUAUUAUAUCCAACUCUAAAAAUAAUAAUAUUAAAUAAAACACCUGUAACUUUAAGACAUACAUAUUCCCAAAGUACAAGUGGAGCCGAGAGGCUGGGAGUCGUAAUGAAAAGAAGAAUACAAUAAAAUUGGGGACCAUAAUGAAAACUGGUAGAACCUACAAGGGCUAAAAUCAGAACAACGAUAUCUCAAGGUCGCCGAAACAUAAAUAAUUAAUCUUAUCUUUCAAUUGAUUUUUGUGGAGACAGAGACAAUUAAACCCGAACAGCAAAUAGCCAUAAAUGAUAGGACAAUUAAAUUGGAACUCUCCGCAGACCCACGAUUUAAUAUCUUUAGAUUGUAACGGUUUAACCCAAAAAAAAAAAAAAUAGUAAAAGAUUUCUUAAAAAAAUGAAAAAAAAUUGUUGAAAAGAAGAACAAAAUUGUGGCCCACGUGUCAUUUCAAAAUAGGUUGCUGGCAUAAACAACCGGCUCCAUCCCGGACAGAUGUUAUGUGAGUGGUUGGUACGCGUUUCCACUUUUUUGUUUUAGAUGCAACAACUCAUGCACUAAAAAUAUAUAUUAGAUAUUUAAAGCAUAAAAAAUAUAUGUUGAUUUGAUGAAAUUUGAUUUAGGAAAGACGACUAAAAAAAGAGCAGUGUAACGUCAUUUUAUUUAUAUCUAAAUAGCUUAAACACGAUCUCUAUUUAUACAUAUAUUUAUACCAUAUUAUUUGGGUUGUUAUUUUUUUAUAAUACUCCUUCAUUCAUGACAAUUAGAUCAAAUAAUCGAAUCCCUACUAUAGCUAAUUAGCUUAUUGACCAGCAACUUAAAAAAGGAUGCCAUAAGGACUGCCUCUUUGAUGAUUGACAUUUCUCUUCUUUUUUUUUUUGGUUUUUUUUUGGGGGGGAGAAAGAAACCGAAUUAUGAGUUUAUGGAAAUUAAAGCAAAUAAGAAAGUGAAUUACAGCAGAAUGAGUUUGUGAUUGUGAUAGGUCGAGCAAGUCUAGAAAUCAAUUAGGCAAAACCCACCACGAAAGUUAAAAGCCAAAAAUAGCGUCCACCACAAAUAUAAAAUUGGAGGAGGUCAGGAUCAUGCCUUUGCUUUACAUAUUAAAUUAAGUAAAAGCCACCAAGAAUCUUGCUUUUGCUUAACAUGAUUAAUUAGGCACUAAUUCAGAAAGAACACGAAAAUAAUAAACCCUUUUAUUAAUCUUAAAUGUCAGGAAUAAAGCUACAUUUUCUCCUCUUACCGUCUCUUCAGGUUCAUUUCAAAAGUUUGAAGAGAGUUAUCCAUUCUUCCAAAUUAAGAAAAUCAACAUUCUUGCUCUCUUCAAAUGUUGAAUAAAGAAAAAUAGAUUGUUGAAUAAGAAGGAAAUUAGAAUGUAUCUACCUUCGCUAACUAAAAAUAAAAAAAAAAUAAUCUCUCUUUUAUUACUAAAAUACACUAUUUUUUUAAUAAUUGUAUUGACAGUGACAAUAUAUAUCAUCGAUUAUAUUCUUGUUGUGUUGAAAUAAGAUAUAAAAAUUUUUUGAUCAAGAGGAAUUCGACUCAUUUGUUAAAGGUACAUAUUUAAUAUACUAAAAACAAAAAUUAACAUAACACGAUUAUUACACUAAAGUGAAAUGAAAGCCAGUACCCACCAGUUCACCAACAGUUAUUUAGCAAACUUUGCAUUCUCGUAUUUGAGGAAAUGGACAUUGGUGAAUUAACCAAAGGACGAAUGAAAGAAUUUUAAAUAACAAAAUAGAGACUACACAUGUUUUUUCUUUUUUUUUUUUCCAUAUAAUUGUUCAGGAAAUGGAACUAAUUUUGAGACAUUUUCAAAUAAACUUAUUUUCAAAAGCAAUACAAAAUGAUUUCGUUUUAUUUUGAAACAUUUCAUGGAAUCAAGUAGCAGUAAAAUAAAUAGAAAAGUAGUAAUUCUCUCAUUCUAUCAUUUUCUUUUUUAAAAGGAGAUGAUGGGGUUGGGUUGUUCACAAAAUUAUUGGUGCGGGGGUCUAUUUGUUUUUGUUUUAAUUUUAUUAAUUAAUUACCGAAGCAAACAUGUAAUGAUUUGUAAAAGGAUCACUAGCAUCAGAUUAUUGGGAGGUAUUAUGGAGAAGUCACACUUAGUAUUUACAAUUCAUGUAAGAUGAAUUUGUAAGACUUAUUAAUUUUGAUGAAAAUGCAGAUUUAUUAAGUUACUAAUUCAUUAAGUUAACUUGAGAUAUUAAUAUUCACUAAUUGUGGAGAUUAAUUUAUUUAACUUGUCAUGAUUUUCAAUUAAGAAUGAAGGUCAGUCAAUUUAUGGAAAGAAGGAUAAUUUUUUUUUCAGAUUUUUAAUUCUUAGGAUUUGAUUUCACUUUGUUUCGAUUGUCGAUGUUGCUGAAGAGGCAGUGAAAGUUUGUUGAAUGCCAUCAAAUGCUUGUAUCUUAUCUCACAAAAUGUCAAUAUCAGUUUGUUUCCUAUAGGCGCAGCCAUCGCGAAUUGAAAGUAACAACGUGAUGAGCAUAUAACAUAUACAUAUUUUACCAUUAAUUAUAUAAUUGUUAGUUAUUUUUAUUUGUUAUUUUUAAUUAAUUAAAUUAUUUUGUUGAAUAGGAAAUUAAUUGGAGAUUAUGGAUAAAAAGGGCAUGAAGAAGUUUAAUUUGGGAAGCAAUAAAAAUUAAAUUGAGAGAUAAAAAUACAGACAAGGAUUAAUGGAAUCCAAACCGAAAAAAAAAUCAAAGCACAAGGAUUUUCUUAAUGUCAUUAUUUAGGCAAGUGUUUUGAUGCAACGGAAGUUUACAGUUCCAAUAUUCCGUUGAUUUUUAGAAAAAACCAAAAUAAAUGAACAAACUAAAUUCACGUUGAUUCAAAAGAAUUAUGCGAAUUUAAGAGUUUUGAAUCAACGUGAAUUUAGGAGUUAAGACUCAUUGAUUCCGCAGAAUACCAAUAAUUAACUAAUUCAAAUACUCCCACAGAGUUUUGAAAACUGGAAUGUUAUUGAACUUAAAAUCUUUGCUUGUAAAACCUUUAAUAAGUUACAUAAUUAUAUAAAGUGUGUAUAAACUAAUGUGAUAUAAAGAGAUUGGUUGUAUUAAACUAUCAUGAACCCAUAUAAUUGAAAAAAAUAACUGUUAUUACUUUUUAGUUAAUUUUUUUAUGUCACACCAGUUUGUACAUAUUAGUUUGUACAAAACUGUUUGUAUCUCUAUUAUUAUUGUUAUAUAAAUCGUUCAAUUUUCUCAAAAAUAUGAAUAUGGGCAGGGUAUUCAUUCCUAUUUCAUCAUAAAUAAAUAAAUAAAAUUGCAUUGUUUAUCUUAUCAACCACUUGAGAGUACGGAGGUUGGUUAAUUCCAUUCGUAUGAAUUAUCUACGUGUAUAUCGACUGAAUUAAAGGCACUUAUUGCCAGAAGUUAUUUUUUAUUUUUUAUUUUUUUGGUUUCCCUUAUUAACAUAUAACCUCAAAUGCACUAUGCAAUAAAAAUAUAAAUAUAGAUAGAGCAAUCUGCUACUAAGGCUUUAGGUUGUUAGCCAGAUGCUAAGGCCUUGUCUUGAAUAAGCCCAGCAAUUCAAGCUUAAGAUCACACUAUAAAAAGGGGGCGCAAAGGCAAAGAAAGUGGCACGUCAAGUGGAGCAAAUGAAGCGAAGGAGAGCAUGUCACGCUGAGAUAACGUGUCUGAUAAUUGGCUCCGCUUCUACCCUUUAAACACCUCGAAAGAAGCAUCAAGGAAGUGGUCUUGUCAUCAUCUUCUUCCAGUACAUCAAUGGAGAAGCAACAUUCGAACACAUGGAAAUAAGAAAAAUCAUUCAAAAUGACAGAAACUUGCCCCAAAGAUAAAAAUACACAACAAUAAAAGCUAUACAAACUUUCCAAAAUCAGGACAUUAGAUUCAUUUGGAAAGAACAAAAAUUUUCCCCCAACAAAUAAAUACCGUUGAUACGCAGAAUAGAAGCCUGUCAUGCAGACAAACACCGCAUAGAAUUGUAGAGCCACCAAAGUUGUAGCUCCACAGUGAAGGGUUACUUUGUUUUCUUUAAAUAACACAUGCUUUGAACUUCAAUUCUUCUCAUAUCAAUUUCUGCUUCCUAUGGUGAAUAAAUACAUGGGCAGGCAAACUCUACAUUUGAUAAUGCUAAAGGGAAUUGCACUACUUAAGCGACCAAACUGGAUCUAUUCUAAUUGAAUUCUUCAACUUCUCUGCGAAGGCUUCAACUCUUUGCGAAGGCUACAAGAAAGAAGUUGAAGAAAUGAGAUAAUUUUAGUAAUGCUUAGACCCAGUUACUUAACUGAACAAACUAAAGAUUAACUACCUUCAAGCAAGUAAAUGGAUUCAAGACGGCAAAUAAUGUAAUUAAAAAAGAAGCAAAUAAUAAGAAAAAAACCAAAAAAAUUUAAAACUAGAUGCAAUUCAGUGUCAGAACUGAAUUCUGAAGUUGAAAGAACAGAAUAAGAAGCAAAUAUAAGCGGGUGAUUACUUUGUUUUCUUCAAAAAUUUCUCGAUUUUAUUUAUUUAUUUUUAUUUUACUCUAUAAUACAAUGCGGCAUAAAUCCAACCCUCCUGGUGAGCUUGGUUUAUGCAUAUUUCACCGUAUUAAUUUGUAAGUUAAUGAAAUACCGUGUGAGUGAGUUGACUUUGGAGCCAAACACAUGAAUUAUCAUUAAGUUAAUGUGAAAUAGUAUUUUUAUUGCAUAUUAAAGAACUCAAGCGAUUACAAGCAUACUCCAAAUUAAUUUUAAAGCAUACCUCAAAGUAAUUAAUCUCCAAAUAGUCAUGUGACAAAAUCAAAAGGAUCAGUUGGCAUUAAUUAAUGCAAAUCACAAAAGAAAAUAAGCCAAAGAAACUGCUAGACGACCAAAUAAGGUGGCAUCAAAUCAUUUAUCAUGCAGACAAACCUUGUACAUUUGAUGACCCAAAAGGGGAAGAUUAUUAAUCGUAGAAUGACCCAAGAUAUUGCAAAUAAUCCAAAGAUCACAGUUGCUCCAAGUUCAUUCUCAAAAUACUUAAAAACUUUGGCAACUUCCAUAAAAACAUCACUUGCAUCAUGCAAAGCAAGAAUAAUAGAGCCAAUCUGGAAAAACCUCCCCAAAAAAAAAAAAAAAUUGUUUACUCUCACUAUAUAUCUUUUGAGAAAAAUAUCAAUCAUUUUUACUCAUCAGGUUAUCCUGCUCUAAAACACAAAUUGUUAAGGGUUGAGAACUCUGAAACUCUCAAGGGCCCAAUAUUGCAUAACGAAAGUUCUAAGUUCUAUGUUAUGUUAAUGACUUAAUGUUCAUAUGCUAAUAUAAGGAGUAGAAAUAAAAUCCAACUAAUAGUGGAGCUCUUUAUAAGAAUGUUUCAUUUAACAUGUCACCUUGAAUUAUUUUGCAGUUUGAAAUGAGAAUAAGGGGUCAUGAAUAUGAUACACCCAAUGAAGAAUUAAGGUAAACAUCUUUACAAUAACAGUGAAGCGAUAAUAAUUAAAAUAUUCCAAAUAGCUUAAGAAACCACACUUGUAUUCUAUGACACAUAACAUAACUCAUAAACUACUAAAUUUAAAUGAUUAAGUGAACCCAGAAUAUUUAAUGCCACAAGUUAGAAAAGAGUUUCCCAGAGGCACAGUGAAGACUAGGGAGUUACAGAAAAUAGUUUACACUUGUCUGAAAACUGAGAUGCAGGAACAAGACAGAAAGCUUCCAAGCAUGAGUUGAUAUUUUUAUUAAAGAGAAACUCCCAAAUUUAUAACUCGUAUGCCAGAAAAGAAGGCAAUCCAUAUCAAAACAUAAGUUUGAAUGAGAUGCCACUAAAAGCUAGAGAGCAUUUUUAUCUCUGAUUCUCUAUAUUUUCAUGCUGCAAGCAGCAGUAAAGUAAUGAGAGUAACAAGAUUGGAAUCUAUUGAUUUAAGAAUAAUCAUCACUAGUGCUCUCUGGUGAUUAUAUGAAAGUAGAUUCCAAAAGCAUAUUAGGAAAGUAAGCUUUUGUAAAUAUGCUCUAGAAAAUAUCAACCACAGAAAUAAUGUUUUUCCUCUUUCUUCCAAAGCACUGAUUAUUCUUUUGGCUAAAUAAAACACUAUCAACAACUUUGCUUAAAAAAGCUAUUCAAUUUUUAAUUUCUAGUACAAUUAUGAUUCUUGAGAUAAAAUUUCAAAUACUUAAAUAAGAUCAAUUAUUUUUGGGUAUCACUGAAUAGAAAAGAGUGUCAAAAGUAUAUGCAAAAGGAAGAGAGAGGUGUUUAAAGAAGAGAAAUAAAGAGGAAAAAAAGUUGGAAAUUAGGAUAGCAUGCACAUUGAUUAUCAAUAGAGUAGCAUCACCAUUCAGCAUCUCAUUUCUUAAACAAACACUGUCCCACAUUGAAGAAACUAACAGAAUUAUAGAGGCAUCAAAAACAGAAAGCCAAAGAGUAAAAAAUAAAAAUUUAUUCCAUAUAAAAAUCCAAAGCCAAAUCCAAGUUAAUAAGUGCCUACAAUAACUAUAUAUAUCGAAUAUAGAAUACAAGAAUAAUAAGACACAAAACAAAUCAACUGGCUUACUUAUAAUAUGAGUUCCAGGUAUAAACAGAGACAUUACAUUACCUUACAAAUGUUGGUUGCCAUAUUCUAAUCCCUUGUAGUUUUGGGGCCAAAUAACAAAGGUAAUAUCCGGAAAUGUUGCAUAGAUAACAUGACAAUUACAAUCCACUUCUGAAAGUGUUAAUUAAAAACCUUUUCAUGUAGUCACUUUAUCAAAGAUGUAGGUUCAACCUACAAAAAUUACAAAUUAAAAUGAAAGAUUCAACAGAAUAUGCCACAAAAUAAAAAUUAAGGCAAUUCUUUUUCUUUAAUGCAUUCCAUCAAACACCUAGUGGGCUUCUUUAGAAACUAUUAUUUCGUCUAAUUUUUCUUUUCAGUCCAGAAAAUACCAAUAUUAGCCUCAAAAAAGAAAAAAAAACUGCUGAAUAAUAUCAUCAAAAUGCAAAGUUCAUACGUUCAAGAUGCAUUCAGCAUAGACAUAAGCACAUGAAUGUACAUGAACAUUUAAUAGCUUAAGCUUUAGCAUGUCAGUAGAGAUAAUUUGAGAAACAACCAUGAAUCCAACCCAAAAAUCAGAAAAAGGAAAAAAAUUGACAAAAUUUAGAAGACCUAACAACUUAAUCAAUUUAAAAUCUAUUUACAAUCUCACAUAUUUCUCUGAGAAUCUAAAUUCAAAUCCACCAAAAAAAAAAAGAAGGAAAUCGCUAGCACAAUCUCAAAACAAAAAUCAACAUAUAUGAAAAUGAAUUUGCUCGAUCUCCUAUUAUGAAAAGCAAUGCAAGUCCUAUGAACAGAAAGUUUACCUCAGAGCAGUGGCGGCUUGGCCUGGCUUUGAGCGACAGUGAUGCGGAGUUGUGGUGACAUGGAAGCGUAACUUGGUGAGACUUGUAGCCUGGUUUUGCGCGUGCAUCAUCGUCGUAGUCGUCGUCAGUGUUCUAACGGCAGAACACUAUUUGAACAGCGGCAAAGAUGCGGGAUUGAUUUCUAGGGUUUGGCAAGCGUGUUGUUUCGCAGUGUUAGUUGAUGAGUGGUAUGCGUUAUAAGUGACCAAGUGAGUUCGGAGACGAGAAAAUUUUAUGUCUUAGUCUAAACGCCCCGUUUUGAUUUUAUCAUUUAUAUGUAUUUUUUUUAUAAAUUAUUUGUCAAUUUGAAAUGGGCAAUUUUUCUUUUCUUUUAAUAAAAUAUUAAUUUAAAAUUUGGUCAAACACGGUCAAUGUUAAAAUUCUAUCACAAAAUUUUUGAUAGAGUAUAUUCCUAUCACUAUCCUAUUAAAAAUUCUCAAUAGACACAAAUUAUAUCAUAAGUAAAUCAUUAAUCAUUUGAUGGAUAAUAAUUUUAUCACAAUCAUGUCAUACUUUUAUGAUAUAGUAAUUUCUAUCAUAAAGUAUCAGUCAUUUAUUAUCAUUUUUCUUACAGCUUCAAAAAACCCAAAGUAGAAAGCAGAAGCAUUAAUUAACGGGUAAAUUUCUUUUUGGUCCUUAAGAGUGUUAAUCAUCAAUUCUCAGUUUGUUCAUGUGUUUCAAGGAAAAAAAAAAUUAAAACACGCAUUUACUAAAUGUUAAAUGUUACUUUUUGAUUAAUCUCAUAAGCAACAACAGUUUGAAAUAAAUAUCUUAAAUAAAUAUUUUAAUAAACGUUUUAGACAAUGGUAUUGGAGAUUAUUAUUUUUUAAAAUCUGAGAAUCAAAUACGAAUCGAUGGGUAAAACUCUAAAAAGACUAAUGGUAAAUUUACCCGCCACCAAAAAUUCGUAACAAAUCCUAAGUACUUAUCAAUAAAAGCAAGCGGAAAGAAGAAGAGGCCUGGCUGGCCAUCCUAAGUACUUAUCCGGGUCAUGGGUCAUGAGUCAUUGCCGUAUACAAAAUUUUGAAAAUUCCAAAUGAAAAGAUAUUUUGAAAUUGGGCAGCUCUGGCCUUUUUUCCUUGCUAUUAUCUACAAUAUUUAUUUUUGCAAUCCGCAUGCAUGCUCGGUUAUGAUCACCCACGUGAUCGGUAUUACGUUUUUUUAUCUUCUUAUUAACAAAUUAUUUAGUGUGCGGACUCCAUUCAUGCUCCCACGUUAAUCUUCUUAUUAACAAAUGCUCCCGCUAUUCACUUUGCCACAGUCGGCUACUUCAUUCUAUUUGUUUACUGCAUAUGAAUCAUUAAUCAUAUCAAACCAGAAGCGAGACCUCACAAAAGCAACUUAAUUACUUCGUGAGUUUUAAUUUGGGAAGUGGAGGUUUCUUCUGAUUUGAACAAUAUGGAAACUACCUGUCCAAGUUUUUUUUUUUUUUUGGCGAAUUUCAGUUGAAUAUCAUUUAUAAUUCUUAUUUCAAUAUAUUUGUAAAUAAGUUUAAUAAUAUUAAAUUUUCACUUAAGAAUGACCGGUGGGAGGGUUAAGCAGAUAUGCCUGAUUUGGGUGUUGGAAUAUUUAUAGUGGCCCAUGUGCCACAUUAUUGAAUUAGUAAUAAUUUAAAAUUUAAAUGAUAAAAUAAAUAAUGGGCCAAAAUCCUAUUGGUCAAUUGGGAAAAUCUAAUUGUCCACUUUGAUGGAAAGUGGAAAUAAGAGAUUUAUUGAAAUUGAUUUUUUCUCUCUCUCUCUAUAUAUAUAUCACAUUAAUUUUCGCUCCAUCAAAAAAGCGAAUCACUCUAAAGGGGUCAAGAGAUAAAAAUUAAUUUUACAAAUCUUUAAUUAUUUACCGUGAGAUUUGAUCAAGAAGAUUGCUAUGAAUCAAGAUAUGUUUUCUCUCAAUUAUGAUGAUGUGAAAAUCUUGAUAUUCUAUUGUUAAGUAAAUACAAGCACCAGGUCGGUCAUGCUAUUAUUUCCACCCCGGCGUGGAUCACCUUAGCCUAUGGUACGAGCCGAACACAGGGACAAGCAUAAACCGACCAGAGGGGAACCCCUGACAAGCAUAAACCGACCAGAGGGGAACCCCUGCUAGGGGAAUGUACCGACUAGAGGUAUACACCGAGCCGAUACCUGUCCCCCAGAAAGCGGGAACACGAUCCCACAGAACCGCGGCCGUUACGCUGUUCCCAGAACACAGAAUCGCGGCCGUUACGCUUUUCCCAGAACACAGAAUCGCGGCCGUUACGCUUUUCCCAGAACACAGAAUCGCGGCCGUUAUGCUUUUCACAGAACACAGAAUUGCAACCGUUACGCUUUUCCCAGAACCGUUGAAGGACACGUAAGUCCCCACGUUUGCGACAAUGCAACGGUUAGAGUCCCGUGAGGGGCUGCCACUACCCGGAAAAGGGGGGGAUAAAGGGCAAAUGGAAAGGUGGGGACAGCGGAUAUAAAAGGGGAGGAACUCAACGGAGAAAGGGACAGAAAAACUGAGAGAGGGAAAACGCUGCCAAAUUGCAACCAGAUCAUUGUCCUACGAAUUUCAGAUAAACUUCUUGAACCCAAAUCACAUUGUUUUCCCGUAAACACCUUGAGCUAACUUAGGCAUCGGAGGGUUUACGCCGGCAAAACCACCGGCGUCUCUGAUCCGUUUUUAGUGAGCGCAGGUCUAUUGAGAGGAAGGGGGACGAUUCCAGUUCCAGUGAACGAGCAACAACAGAUAACACAAACGUUGGUGAAAGAAUCUGGUCGGUCAAAGGGCGAGCAGAUUUCAGCAUCAACAUUUUGGCGCCGUCUGUGAGGACCUGGAUAAAAAGCUACCACCGAAUUAGCACUUACCGGAGAGACAGAGAACAAGUAGACAUGGAUUUGUCAAGGAAGGACGCUUUGAGGGAGGAUAACGAAUCGGGGGAAACAAUCACCCUUCGGAAAAUUGCAAAUGAAGCCUGAGAGAGGGUGACGCAAGAUCGAUUGGAACGGAUGGAGAGGCAAAUGGAGACUCUUGCCACCAUACUGAAUGAGCUAAGAGAUGAGCGGAGAAGGGAUCGCGAAAUCCCCGUGGGGAGAGAUGAUGUGGGAGCAGAGCCCAACAUCCGGAGCCAUAGAGUCGAGGAGAUCCCUCCGCCAGCGGACCAACCUUAUGGGGUUCAUCCCCACGGAAGCAUUGGUUGGAUUCCUGGAGAACAAGUAGACGAAGGGAGGAACCAACCUCGCCCCAGGCAAGUACCGGGAGCUGAUGGCCGAGGAGUCAACGCUGAUGAAGGAGAGCUCAGACAGCGGUUGCAAAAUGCCGAGCAGGAGCGAGAUCAGAUAGCUGCACGUGAUCCUGACCGUGCUGUAGAAUUGGAGGGAGAGGUGCGCAGACUAGCGCAAGUGAUAGAGGAGAUACAGGGUAAGAGGAAACCCCCGAGCUGGAGGAUAAUGCUAGAUGAAGAAUCUCCGCUAUCAGCUGAGAUCAUGGGUACCAUAAUCCCAAGAGAUUUCCGCUUCCCCGACCUCAAAUACUCCGGGCGAAGUGAUCCACUGGUGCACAUUGAGCGUUUCAACGACAUGACAGGUGUGCAGGGGCUGACACCAGCUCAGAGGUGCAGGGCGUUCCCGUUGACGCUAGAGGGACGAGCUCGAGAAUGGUACCGCAGGCUGCCCCGAGGAAGUAUAAAGGGGUAUGAGCAGAUGUGUCAGGAGUUGGCCGAGCAGUUCCGAGGGGCAGUAGCCCCAGAGGACGACAUGAUGGAACUGAUGGGGAUGAAACAGGAGGAGCACGAGUCCCUACGGGAUUUUGUAAAGUGAUACCACCGAGCCGUACUUGAUUUGAGAGCUUUCAAUCACCCGCAGGCGUUGAGGGGUUUAAAGGAGGGUGUGAGGAUAGGCCGGCUAUGGUAUAACCUGAGAAGCCCCCUGGUGCAGAAUUAUUCAGCAGGGUAUGAGCAGGCGAGAUGAGAUAUUGAAAUUGAAGAGGAGAAAUCAGCAAGACUAAAAAGUGAACAGCUAGAAGAGCUAAGGCGGAAGGAGCGGAGAGCCCCGAAAGGGAGCGGGUUGAGAAAGCGAACUGGAGAAUCUUCAGGGAUGGGUGGAACAUCAACUCGGUCCCGCCCUUACCCCAUAACUCCGAGAGCACAACAGUUCUAACACAGCCGGGCUUAACCUCCACGCCCCCCAAUCCCAGAGCGGCAGCGAGAAUUCCGGCAGAUGGCUGCCCACCCCUAUCACAACACUCCCAGAACAUUACAUGCAACCGAUUCCAGGACUAGUCGACUAGAUCAAUUAGCAACUGGGACAGCCCGAGGUGACAUUCAUGAUAGCCGAUCAGUUCAGCUAAUAGAUCAGAGCUCGGCCUAUAGACAAUACACUCCAUUAAAGAUCUCCAUGGAGGAACUAUAUGAGAGGAUCGAGGGAAGAGGCCUGCUAUACCCUCCAGCCCCAAUAACAAAACCGGCUCAUCGACGGGAUAAGAACAGAUUCUGCAAAUUCCACGAUACUCACGGUCACACAAUCAGCCAAUGUCGUGACCUGAAGAUUCAGGUGGAAGAUUUAGUAAGGAACCGAUACUUGGAUGAGUAUGUAGACGGAGUGUCCCCUGUCAUUGAGUCAGAGUACAUACGAGAUGAAGGAGUUGAGAGGAGUCUAGAACGAGAACAGCCGACCAUCCGUGUGAUAGCAGGAGGGCCAACAUUGGCCGGGGAUUCAAACAGAGCACGGAAGAACUAUGGGAGAUACGCCAUGGCUGGCAAAGAGGUGCUUCUGAAUUUACCGGCAGCCAAAAGAGCAAAAGUGCGGCAAGUUCCUAUUAUGUGGACGGAAGAUGACGAAGAGGGUAUUUUGUAUCCUCAUGAGGAUGCCUUGGUGAUUAAGGCAAAGGUGGCCGGUACAGAAUUGCAGCGAAUACUGGUAGACACGGGCAGCUCAGUAGACAUCCUGUUUAAGCCGGCCCUAGAUGAUAUGGGGAUUUCAGAUUUGAAGCUGGAGCGGAAAAAUACUUCCUUGAAAGGAUUUGGAGGGGGACGGUUAACUCCCUUGGGGAUCAUUGAACUCCCGAUUACUGUGGGGACAAAGCCGUUUGAACGAACGAUGAUGCUGGACUUCGUCGUGGUAGAGGAAAGAAGCCCUUACCAGAUGAUAUUGGGGAGACCGUUCAUGAGGAUAAGCCAAUGUGUAAUGUCCACGCAUUAUCUAGCGCUGAAGUACAGAGUAAAUGGAGUUGUGGGUGUAGUAAAGGGCGACUAGAGGAUGGCCAGGAGCUGCUAUGCUACAGCGGCCAAGGAAACGUUGCAGGUCACCUCUCUAAAUAACCGGGGGGAGUCAAAAAACGGUCGCCAGGAACCUGUUGAGAAGCUGGAGGAAGUUAUUGUUAGCAGGAGUGACCCGAGCAGAGUGGUUAAAGUCGGAUCGGAAUUGGGUGAAGAAAUAAAAGGCGAGCUGGUGAAGUGUCUACAGUCCCAUGCGGACAUAUUUGCCUGGUCUCAUGAGGAUAUGCCAGGUAUUGAUCGAGGGGUAGCUUGUCAUAAGCUGGCAGUUAGGAAAGGGGCAAGGCCGGUGAGGCAGAAAAGGAGGUGCUUCAAUCAGGAACGGUACGAGGCCAUAAAUGCGGAAGUAGAAAAACUGCUGAAAGCGGGAUUUAUAAGGGAAGCCAAGUACCCGGAGUGGAUUUCCAAUGUAGUACUGGUAAAGAAGGCCAAUGGGAAGUGGAGAAUGUGUGUAGACUUCACGGACCUCAACAAGGCAUGCCCGAAAGACAGCUUCCCCCUACCAAAAAUAGAUCAGUUGGUGGACUCAACCGCGGGUCAUAGUCUGCUCAGUUUCAUGGAUGCCUUCUCCGGAUACAACCAGAUACCCAUGAACGAGCAGGAUGAGGAAAGCACGACCUUUAUAACUAACAUGGGUUUGUUUUGCUACAGGGUGAUGCCUUUCGGCCUGAAAAAUGCAGGAGCUACCUAUCAAAGGUUGGUGAACAAGAUCUUCAAGCCAUUAAUCGGACAUACAAUGGAGGUAUAUGUGGACGAUAUGAUCACAAAGUCCAAAGAACCAAGGGAUCACGUGAAGCAUCUUGAGGAAACCUUUGAAUUAUUGAGGAAGUACGAGAUGAAGCUAAACCCGGAGAAAUGUGCAUUUGGGGUCAGCUCGGGCAAAUUUCUGGGAUUCCUGGUGAGCCAUCGAGGGAUUGAGGCCAACCCGGAAAAGAUACGAGCAGUGAUAGAAAUGAGGUCGCCACGAACAGUAAAGGAGGUGCAGAGCCUUACGGGGAGGUUGGCAGCAUUGAACCGAUUUAUUUCGCGAGCCACUGAUAAGUGUCACCCUUUCUUCCAAGUCAUAAAGAAAGGGAGGAAGAUGGACUGGACACCGGAAUGCGAGGAGGCAUUUGGACAGUUGAAGGAAUAUCUAGCCCGCGCCCCGUUACUAUCAAUUCCGAGAGAGGGUGACCAGCUGUUUUUGUACUUAGCAAUCUCUAAGUGGGCUACCAGCUCGGUUUUAGUCAGGGAAGAAGAAGGGAAGCAACGCCCGGUAUAUUACACAAGCAAGGCCCUAGUGGACGCAGAAACCAGAUAUCCGCUAAUGGAGAAAUGGGCGCUAGCUCUGAUAACGGCGGCACGCAAACUCCGACCAUAUUUCCAAGCCCACCAGAUUGUUGUGAUGACCGACCAACCCCUUCGGCAAGUACUUCAAAAACCGGACGCGUCAGGUCGGUUAGUAAAAUGGUCGGUGGAGUUGAGCGAAUUUGACCUGUCGUACAGGCCCCGAGGGGCAAUCAAGGCCCAAGCCGUGGUAGAUUUUAUGGUGGACCGCAUUGAACCAGGGGAAGGGGUCCAGGAGGGACAACCAGCAGAACAGGAGGAUUCGAAGGGGAUAUGGUUGGUGAUGGUUGAUGGUUCACGUAGUGAACAGGGAUCCGGGGCAGGAGUUAUAAUACGAAGCCCAGAAGGUGUUGAGGUAUCCUACGCUGUAAAGUUCGAAUUCCAGCUUACGAACAACCAAGCUGAAUAUGAGGCCUUCAUUAUUGGUCUCGGUCUUGCUCAUACGCUACGAGCAGAAAGGAUUGAAAUCCGAGCAGACUCCCAUCUAGUAUGCAACCAGCUCAGCGAUCAAUUCCAGGUAAGGGAAGAGAAAUUGGGAUUUUAUGUAAAGAAGGUGAGGCAGAUGGUCGAACUAUUCAAAGAAGUAGAGGUGAAGCAGAUAUCCCGGAACGAAAAUUACCGAGCUGACAUGUUAGCUAGGAUGGCCGCAACUGUAGAUCCCAAAUUACCUAAAUCAGUUCCACUAGAGGUGAGGACCUCGCCGAGUAUAGGAGAAGAAGUAGAGGUAAUGAGAGUAAGCACUGAAGAAUCCUGGAUGGACCCGAUCCUUGCAUACAUCCGCGAUGGAGUUUUACCAGAGGACAAAAGGCAAGCGAGAAAGCUAAAAUGCCGAGCAGCGAGGUACACAUUACUCGAUGGAGUACUCUAUCGCCGAUGAUUCACUUUGCCCCUGUUGAGAUGUGUGGAUGAUGAGGAGGCAGAUUAUGUAUUAAGGGAAAUUCAUGAAGGAAUUUGCGGCAAUCACUCGGGAGCGAGAACUUUAGCCUUCAAGGCACUCCGACAAUGAUACUUCUGGCCAACCAUGCAUCAGGAUGCGAAAAGGAUGGCAAAAAACUGUAAAACCUGCCAAAGCUUCUCCGAGGUUCCUGCACAACCCCCAGAGAAGUUGACCACCAUGACAUCCCCGUGGCCUUUCGCUCAAUGGGGAAUCGACUUGAUCGGACCGUUACCUAAGGGCCGAGGAGCGGCGACACAUGCAAUUGUGGCGAUAGACUAUUUCACCAAGUGGGUGGAAGUGGGAGUCCUCAGCCAAAUCACGGAGAAGAAGACAACAGAUUUUAUUUGGAGAAAUAUCAUCUGUAGAUACGGGAUCCCCUAUGCCAUCGUUACAGACAAUGGGAGACAGUUUGACAACGGCAACUUCAGGGAAUUUUGCCGAAAUUUGGGGGUGGACCUGAAAUUCUGCACCCCCGCACACCCCCAGGCAAACGGACAAGUGGAAGCGGCCAACAAAGUGAUAAAGAAGCUCCUGAAAACUAGACUGGGAGAGAAGAAGGGGGCCUGGGUUGACGAGUUACCAGGAGUGUUAUGGGCUUAUCGGACAACUCACAAGACCGCCACAGGGGAAACUCCGUUCGCCUUAGCAUUUGGUCAUGAGGCAGUAGUCCCAGCAGAAAUUGGAGUGGGGACACAUCGAACGGAAUAUUUCAACGAGGAGCAAAAUGACGAGCAGAUAUGCUUAAACCUAGACUUGCUUGAGGAGAAGAGGGUAGGGGCAUCGCAGAAAGUGGCCCAGUGUCAGCAAAGGAUGAUGCGUUAUUACAACAAGAACGUACGCGUGAGGCAAUUCCGAGCAGGAGAUUGGGUACUUAGGAAGGUGAACCAAAACACCAGGGAACCUAACCAUGGCGCCCUUGGCCCGAAGUGGGAAGGCCCGUACAGGGUGAUACGCGCCACUGGACCAGGAGCUUAUAAGUUAGCAUACCAGGAUGGGCGAGACGUGAAAAGGUCGUGGAACGCCGAGCACUUGAAGAAAUAUUUCCAGUAAGCAAAAUGCUCUACUGAAUUCUCGUUCUGACAAGUUAUUUCUGUUAAAUGCAUGAUAGCCUGUUGUACAUGCAUAUGUUCUAUGUUUUUUGUAAGGCAUUCGAAUUUCAAUAAAGAUGAAUGUUGAUGCUGAAAUCUGCUCGCCCUUUGACCGACCAGAUUCUUUCACCAACGUUUGUGUUAUCUGUUGUUGCUCGUUCACUGGAACUGGAAUCGUCCCCCUUCCUCUCAAUAGACCUGCGCUCACUAAAAACGGAUCAGAGACGCCGGUGGUUUUGCCGGCGUAAAUCCUCCGAUGCCUAAGUUAGCUCAAGGUGUUUACGGGAAAACAAUGUGAUUUGGGUUCAAGAAGUUUAUCUGAAAUUCGUAGGACAAUGAUCUGGUUGCAAUUUGGUAGCGUUUUCCCUCUCUUAGUUUUUCUGUCCCUUUCUCCGUUGAGUUCCUCCCCUUUUAUAUCCGCUGUCCCCACCUUUCCGUUUGCCCUUUAUCCCCCCCUUUUCCGGGUAGUGGCAGCCCCUCACGGGACUCUAACCGUUGCAUUGUCGCAAACGUGGGGACUUACGUGUCCUUCAACGGUUCUGGGAAAAGCGUAACGGUUGCAAUUCUGUGUUCUGUGAAAAGCGUAACGGCCGCGAUUCUGUGUUCUGGGAAAAGCGUAACGGCCGCGAUUCUGUGUUCUGGGAACAGCGUAACGGCCGCGGUUCUGUGGGAUCGUGUUCCCGCUUUCUGGGGGACAGGUAUCGGCUCGGUGUAUACCUCUGGUCGGUACAUUCCCCUAGCAGGGGUUCCCCUAUGGUCGGUUUAUGCUUGUCAGGGGUUCCCCUCUGGUCGGUUUAUGCUUGUCCCUGUGUUCGGCUCGUACCAUAGGCUGAGGUGAUCCACGCCGGGGUGGAAAUAAUAGCAUGACCGACCUGGUGCUUGUAUUUACUUAACACCAGUCCCCCAGUUUCUGGUCUUGCGAGUGAAAUGAGUCAAGAGUAGAAAUUGAUAGUCGGAUCUUAUCCAUUCUGGGGUUUUUCCUCUGGUCUUCUGUCUAAUGGGACGGAUCUGAGAUAUCAUUUUUCUUCUGAGGAGAUUCCGACCUGAGCAUGGGCCUAAAUGAACACACGCCCAUUGCAUAUCUGGGCUUACAUCUACCCUAGCCUUUUGUAACGGUUAGUGACGUGGCAUCUCCAGACUCUUCGUAUUUGAAAUUUGAAACGACGGGUUAUCUGUCCUCGAUGUACGGUGAGUGAGCUGGCGUCUCCACCACUUUAAAUGCCUUCGUUUCCCCCUUUUCGUUUCAAAUCCCUAGACUCACAUCGUCAUCGUUUUGUUACUCGUCUCUCCGUCGUUACUUAACCCCCUCUCUGAACUUUACUUACACUUCUUGUGUCUGGAGUAUCCACUUGCUGGAUUUUUUCUCUAUCACGGCCGCGCCAUCAGUGACAGUUCAAUCCAGGUAUUGCUUUUAACUUCUCCUCUGGUUGUUGUUGAUUGGGUUCUGUGUUGCCCUCUUUGUGUCCAUAUACUCGAGUUUUCUCUAUUUUCUUUUGGGAUUCCGAUAUGUCAAACCGGAGAGGAAAGUUGAUUGCUGAUGAGAGUGAUGAAGAAUCGGAGAGUUCAGGCCUCAACGUGCCAAUACCCACCGACUUCUUAGGUCCCUCCAGUAGUGUAGGUCCUUCCCAUGGGAGGGAUACCCUUGAGUAUCCACGCCCCUUAGUUGUCUUUCCCUCCCCCGAAAUAGAGCUUGUAGGUAAUAGAGGCGGACCUGCUUCGGGCUCUGGUGAGAACCACAGCUAUGGUGGGGUUAGGGUUCCUGAAGGAGUCAGUGAUGGUGAGGGGAGCAGCUCCGGACCGAGCAGACCUCCUCAAAGAAGGCAUCUUGGUCAUAGGGCAGAGGCGGAUUCUUACCCUAUUGACUACACAGCUUGUGCUACCACCGAAACCGAUAUGUUUAAGCUGAGGAACCUUUACGACAUUCCUUCAGAGGUUCUCCUGGUAGUUCCAGGAAAAGGUGACGUCCCCAGUCGGCCUCCGCGGGGGUAUGUGACGAUGCACCUGGAGAGUUUCAAAUUAGGAGCUCGGCUGCCCCUUCAACGUUAUUUUGCUAAGAUAUUGGGUGGUAUGCACCUGGCCCCAGGUCAGCUACAUCCCAAUGGAUGGAGGGUUCUCUCAGCUAUGUAUGUGUUGUGGAAGAGGUGUGAAUCAGAGGAGCCCUCCCUUGUUGAAGUGAAGCAUCUAUAUCAGCUGAGGAGUAGCCCGAGGGAAGCAGGCUGGUAUUAUUUCAUGUCGAGCUCUGCGAAGAGGAAACCAAUCACCGGCUUCCCCUCCUCGUGCAAAAAUUGGAAGAACAAAUUCUUCUUUGCUGGGGGGAAUUGGUGUCCAACAGCUCACUCGCUGGGUGGUGAUAUUUACCUUCCAACGAAUUUUGUCACCCCAGGUCGUUCAUUUUUGCCUAUAUUAUUGAUAAAAUUGCUACUUAUUGGGUUCUUUAACCUUUUGUGCUAUUUCAGAAUCGUGGGGUCUGAUUGGGGGGCUUGAAGAUCGGCCUUUGCUUCAGGUGGAAACGGCUCUAUUGAACGCGUCUACCUGCCAAGACCUUCUGUCACCAACAAGUCUGGUCGGCUCGGGCUUAGUGGAUAUAGCUGCCGGGAUGGAUAACAAGAUUCUCAGUGCUAUGACCAGAAAGCGUGGUCGAGCUUCAGGCAGCUCCAGCAACCCACCUCCUCCUCCGAAGAAAACCAGCGUAGGCCCAUCCAAGGCUCCUGUUCCUGCUCUGCCCCCUCCCCCGCCCCGUAAGAGUGGUGGGGAGAGAACUUCUGACAAGAGUCCCGAGGUCAGCCUCCAGUCUGGGGACCGAUCCUCCCCUCUGCCAUCUCGGGAACAAGGCGACUACCUGAGCUUGUAUCAGAAGGAUUACAAAAGAUCGGUGGGGCCCAAGAUGGUGAAGGACAUUGAGAGUAUGGACCUCUCAGAGUUGGCUGCUUCUGUUCAGAGAGUAUCCUUCAGGCUGGCCACCAUGGUUUCGUGUUACAAGGCCAGGGCCGCGCGCCAUGAGAGGAAGCUUCAAGCUGACAAUCAGGAGCUGAAGAAGAAAGCUGACUCUGCUGAUCGUUCCAAGGAGAAGCUGGCCGAACUAAAUCAGCAGAUGUUGGAGCUGGCGGAGAAGGUUGCGGUUGCUGAGUCCACCUCCUCCAAUCUUGAGGACGAGUUGGGUGGCCUAAAGUCUGACCUUCAAGUUGCUCAAAGUGAAAGGGAUACUUUGAGGACCGCCCUUGAGGGAGAGAUCAAAUCCCUGAGUGACCGGCUGGCUGAAGAGAAAGGCAAAUCCGCUGAUGUGGAUGAUCGGUUGGAUGCUGAGUACAACUCCGGGGUUGCUUUCAGCUACAAGUGUAUCAUGUCUGUACUCAAGGAAGAAUACCCCGAGCUCGACAUGAGCAAGCUGGAAUCUGGGGUGGAGAGGUAUAUGGCUGGGGCCAGCCAGGGAGAUAAGGAGCAGGGUGAGCAGGAUCAGGUGGAGGCUCCUUUGGAUAGGGCGCAGGAGGAGGAAAUUGGGGGACGUGCUUUCGAAGUAGGUCAAGGGUCCGUGCCUGGACCUCCCGGUAAUACUGAUCUCUCACCUUCUGAGAUUGCUGACCCUUUACCUCCCGAGGUCGCUGAUCUUUCAGCUGCUGGAGCCGCUGACUCUCAUAAUCUUUAGGCCCCCUUUUUUUUUGUAUGAACUCUUGAGUUGUAUUCGUUUGAUAAAGAAUUGAACAUUUAUGAGAUUUCCAGAUACUUUCUAUUGGAUCUCUUGUCUGGUGUUUACUUGCAUUUAGAAAAAUUUUUCGAAAAAUUAGCAGCUGGUCUUUCGUUGACCGAGCAGAAGCAGACACUCAUUUGCCUUAAUAAAAUUUACGAAAAAUUAGUUGCUGGUCCUUUGUUGACCGAGCAGAAGCAGGCACUUAUUUGCCUUAAUAAAAUUUACGAAAAAUUAGCUGCUGGUCCUUUGUUGACCGAGCAGAAGCAGGCACUUAUUUGCCUUAAUAAAAUUUACGAAAAAUUAGCUGCUGGUCAUUUGUUGACCGAGCAGAAGCAGGCACUUUGUUGCCUUCGUAGAAUUUUCGUAGCUUUAGCUGCUGGUCUUUUGUUGACCGAGCAGAAACAGGCAUUUUCAUGCCUUAGCGAAACUUUCGAGAAUUUAGCUGCUGGUCUUCGUUGACCGAGCAGAAGCAGGCAUUUUGUUGCCUUAGUAACAUCUUCAUAAAUUUAGCUGCUGGACCUCGUUGACCAAGCAGAAGCAGACACUUACUUGCCUUAGUGACACUUUCGAGAAAUUAGCUGCUGGUCUUCGUUGACCGAGCAGAAGCAGGCAUUUCGUUGCCUUAGUAACAUCUUCAUAAAUUUAGCUGCUGGACCUCGUUGACCGAGCAGAAGCAGGCACUUACUUGCCUUAGUAAAAUUUUUGAGAAAUUAGCUGCUGGUCUUUCGUUGACCGAGCAGAGGCAGGCACUUACUUGCUUUCGUAGAUUAGCUGCUGGUCUUUCGUUGACCGAGCAGAAGCAAGCACUCACUUGCCUUCGUAGAUUAGCUGCUGGUCUUUCGUUGACCGAGCAGAAGCAAGCACUCACUUGCCUUCGUAGGAUUUUCGUAGGAUUAGCUGCUGGUCUUUCGUUUGACCGAGCAGAGGCAGGCACUCACUUGCCUUCGUAGAUUAGCUGCUGGUCUUUCAUUGACCGAACAGAGGCAGGCACUCACUUGCCUUCGUAGAUUAGCUGCUGGUCUUUCGUUAACCGAGCAGAGGCAGGCACUUUCUUGCCUUAGUAGAUUAGCUGCUGGUCUUUCGUUUGACCGAGCAGAGGCAGGCCUUUACUUGCCUUAGUAGAUUAGCUGCUGGUCUUUCGUUUGACCGAGCAGAGGCAGGCCUUUACUUGCCUUAGUAGAAUCUUCGUAAAUUUAGCUGCUGGUCUUUCGUGGACCGAGCAGAAGGAGGCACUUGCCUUAGUAGAUUAGCUGCUGGUCUUUCGUUUGACCGAGCAGAGGCAGACCUUUACUUAGUAGAUUAGCUGCUGGUCUUUCGUUUGACCGAGCAGAGGCAGGCCUUUACUUAGUAGAUUAGCUGCUGGUCUUUCGUGGACCGAGCAGAAGGAGGCACUUGCCUUAGUAGAUUAGCUGCUAGUCUUUCGUUUGACCGAGCAGAGGCAGGCCUUUACUUGCCUUAGUAGAUUAGCUGCUGGUCUUUCGUUUGACCGAGCAGAGGCAGGCCUUCACUUGCCUUGGUAAAAUCUUCGUAAAUUUAGCUGCUCCAUGAUCAUUAAAAAAUCACUGCACUCAUAAAUAUGACUUUAUAAUAUUAUUCCCAUGUAAAAUUUGGGAUUGAAUACUUACAAAAGCAUGUCCAAUUCUUAAAUUGAUAAAAUAUCUAUGUAUCUAUUUUAUACAUGAUUGGUUAUGUUAUCAUGUUGUGAAAUCAAGUACUAAUUCUUCACAUUCCCAUAUGACUGCAGAAUUUACUCCUGAUAUUCCAGGAUCGUUGUGGAAUGAAUUCCUUACAUUUUGAGAUCAUCAAUUCCAUAAUGCACUAUCAAUUUAAAGUUACAUGUCUCGACAAGAGAUUUGGGCUCAUGCAUGCAUCAUUGAUGUUAAAUAUAUGUGAUGAUAAAAAGAAUAUUCAGCUAAGAAUAAUUUUUUAACUAAAAAGGGGACGCAUUUGCAAACUGAUCUGAUUAGUUUUAAUGUGCAUAAGAUAGGCAAGUUGCGACAAUAGCCGUAUUACAAUUUGCAAAAAUUGAAUGAUAUAAAAUAAUCAAGGAAGUGGUUCGAGUGCACCUGUAUUUGACCAUUUGAAAUAUGGCUUCUGACCUUUGGUAAAAUUUUUUUUUUUGUGAACUUCGUUCUGCUCUAUUGUUGUGACUGUACUUCCCCUACAGCUUCUGAACUUCCUUGUCAUGAUUAAAUGAGCAAAUUCCUUUAAUACCCGAAUUUUGUCAUUGGGCUCUGGGCAGUGCUUAAUCAAGAAUCAUUCCCAACAAUUUAAUUUGCAGAUUACUUCUGCUUCGGCCAAAUCUAAAUUGGUAGAGACAAUAUGACUUUUUGUAAUGAUCCCCACAGACGGCGCCAAAAUGUUGAUGCUGAAAUCUGCUCGCCCUUUGACCGACCAGAUUCUUUCACCAACGUUUGUGUUAUCUGUUGUUGCUCGUUCACUGGAACUGGAAUCGUCCCCCUUCCUCUCAAUAGACCUGCGCUCACUAAAAACGGAUCAGAGACGCCGGUGGUUUUGCCGACGUAAACCCUCCGAUGCCUAAGUUAGCUCAAGGUGUUUACGGGAAAAUAAUGUGAUUUGGGUUCAAGAAGUUUAUCUGAAAUUCGUAGGACAAUGAUCUGGUUGCAAUUUGGCAGCGUUUUCCCUCUCUCAGUUUUUCUGUCCGUUUCUCCGUUGAGUUCCUUUUCUUUUAUAUCCGCUGUCCCCACCUUUCCGUUUGCCCUUUAUCCCCCCCUUUUUUGGGUAGUGGCAGCCCCUCACGGGACUCUAACCGUUGCAUUGUCGCAAACGUGGGGACUUACGUGUCCUUCAACGGUUCUGGAAAAAGCGUAACGGUUGCAAUUCUGUGUUCUGUGAAAAGCAUAACGACCGCGAUUCUGUGUUCUGGGAAAAGCGUAACGGCCGCGAUUCUGUGUUCUGGGAACAACGUAACGGCCGCGGUUCUGUGGGAUCGUGUUCCCGCUUUCUGGGGGACAGGUAUCGGCUCGGUGUAUACCUCUGGUCGGUACAUUCCCCUAGCAGGGGUUCCCCUCUGGUCGGUUUAUGCUUGUCCCUGUGUUCGGCUCGUACCAUAGGCUGAGGUGAUCCACGCCGGGGUGGAAAUAAUAGCAUGACCGACCUGGUGCUUGUAUUUACUUAACAAUGAAUUCAGCAUGAAGUCCCCUGGUAGCAAGACCAGUAAAAAUGUUACUAAGGCAACAAAAUGCCUGUUUCUGCUCGGUCAACGAGGUCCAACAGCUAAAUUUAUGAAGAUGUUACUAAGGCAACAAAAUGCCUGCUUCAGCUCGGUCAACGAAGACCAGCAGCUAAUUUCUCGAAAGUGUCACUAAGGCAAGUAAGUGCCUGCUUCUGCUUGGUCAACGAGGUCCAGCAGCUAAAUUUAUGAAGAUGUUACUAAGGCAACAAAAUGCCUGCUUCUGCUCGGUCAACGAAGACCAGCAGCUAAAUUCUCGAAAGUUUCGCUAAGGCAUGAAAAUGCCUGUUUCUGCUCGGUCAACAAAAGACCAGCAGCUAAAGUUACGAAAAUUCUACGAAGGCAACAAAGUGCCUGCUUCUGCUCGGUCAACAAAGGACCAGCAGCUAAUUUUUCGUAAAUUUUAUUAAGGCAAAUAAGUGCCUGCUUCUGCUCGGUCAACAAAGGACCAGCAGCUAAUUUUUCGUAAAUUUUAUUAAGGUAAAUAAGUGCCUGCUUCUGCUCGGUCAACAAAGGACCAGCAGCUAAUUUUUCGUAAAUUUUAUUAAGGCAAAUGAGUGUCUGCUUCUGCUCGGUCAACAAAGGACCAGCAGCUAAUUUUUCAUAAAUUUUAUUAAGGCAAAUGAGUGUCUGCUUCUGCUCGGUCAACGAAAGACCAGCAGCUAAUUUUUCGAAAAAUUUUGCUAAAUGCAAGUAAACACCAGACAAGAGAUCCAAUAGAAAGUAUCUGGAAAUCUCAUAAAUGUUCAAUUCUUUAUCAAAGGAAUACAACUCAAGAGUUCAUACAAAAAAAAAAGGGGCCUAAAGAUUAUGAGAGUCAGCGGCUCCAGCAGCUGAAAGAUCAGCGACCUCGGGAGGUAAAGGGUCAGCAAUCUCAGAAGGUGGGAGAUCAGUAUUACCGGGAGGUCCAGGCACGGACCCUUGACCUACUUCGAAAGCACGUCCCCCAAUUUCCUCCUCCUGCACCCUAUCCAAAGGAGCCUCCACCUGAUCCUGCUCACCCUGCUCCUUAUCUCCCUGGCUGGCCCCAGCCAUAUACCUCUCCACCCCAGAUUCCAGCUUGCUCAUGUCGAGCUCGGGGUAUUCUUCCUUGAGUACAGACAUGAUACACUUAUAGCUGAAAGCAACCCCGGAGUUGUACUCAGCAUCCAACCGAUCAUCCACAUCAGCGGAUUUGCCUUUCUCUUCAGUCAGCUGGUCACUCAGGGAUUUGAUCUCUCCCUCAAGGGCGGUCCUCAAAGUAUCCCUUUCACUUUGAGCAACUUGAAGGUCAGACUUUAGGCCACCCAACUCGUCCUCAAGAUUGGAGGAGGUGGACUCAGCAACCGCAACCUUCUCCGCCAGCUCCAACAUCUGCUGAUUCAGUUCGGCCAGCUUCUCCUUGGAACGAUCAGCAGAGUCAGCUUUCUUCUUCAGCUCCUGAUUGUCAGCUUGAAGCUUCCUCUCAUGGCGCGCGGCCCUGGCCUUGUAACACGAAACCAUGGUGGCCAGCCUGAAGGAUACUCUCUGAACAGAAGCAGCCAACUCUGAGAGGUCCAUACUCUCAAUGUCCUUCACCAUCUUGGGCCCCACCGAUCUUUUGUAAUCCUUCUGAUACAAGCUCAGGUAGUCGCCUUGUUCCCGAGAUGGCAGAGGGGAGGAUCGGUCCCCAGACUGGAGGCUGACCUCGGGACUCUUGUCAGAAGUUCUCUCCCCACCACUCUUACGGGGCGGGGGAGGGGGCAGAGCAGGAACAGGAGCCUUGGAUGGGCCUACGCUGGUUUUCUUCGGAGGAGGAGGUGGGUUGCUGGAGCUGCCUGAAGCUCGACCACGCUUUCUGGUCAUAGCACUGAGAAUCUUGUUAUCCAUCCCGGCAGCUAUAUCCACUAAGCCCGAGCCAACCAGACUUGUUGGUGACAGGAGGUCUUGGCAGGUAGACGCGUUCAAUAGAGCCGUUUCCACCUGAAGCAAAGGCCGAUCUUCAAGCCCCCCAAUCAGACCCCACGAUUCUGAAAUAGCACAAAAGGUUAAAGAACCCAAUAAGUAGCAAUUUUAUCAAUAAUAUAGGCAAAAAUGAACGACCUGGGGUGACAAAAUUCGUUGGAAGGUAAAUAUCACCACCCAGCGAGUGAGCUGCUGGACACCAAUUCCCCCCAGCAAAGAAGAAUUUAUUCUUCCAAUUUUUGCACGAGGAGGGGAAGCCGGUGAUUGGUUUCCUCUUCGCAGAGCUCGACAUGAAAUAAUACCAGCCUGCUUCCCUCGGGCUACUCCUCAGCUGAUAUAGAUGCUUCACUUCAACAAGGGAGGGCUCCUCUGAUUCACACCUCUUCCACAACACAUACAUAGCCGAGAGAACCCUCCAUCCAUUGGGAUGUAGCUGACCUGGGGCCAGGUGCAUACCACCCAAUAUCUUAGCAAAAUAACGUUGAAGGGGCAGCCGAGCUCCUAAUUUGAAGCUCUCCAGGUGCAUCGUCACAUACCCCCGCGGAGGCCGACUGGGGACGUCACCUUUUCCUGGAACUACCAGGAGAACCUCUGAAGGAAUGUCGUAAAGGUUCCUCAGCUUGAACAUAUCGGUUUCGGUGGUAGCACAAGCUGUGUAGUCAAUAGGGUAAGAAUCUGCCUCUGCCCUAUGACCAAGAUGCCUUCUUUGAGGAGGUCUGCUCGGUCCGGAGCUGCUCCCCUCACCAUCACCGACUCCUUCAGGAACCCUAACCCCACCAUAGCUGUGGUUCUCACCAGAGCCCGAAGCAGGUCCGCCUCUAUUACCUACAAGCUCUAUUUCGGGGGAGGGAAAGACAACUAAGGGGCGUGGAUACUCAAGGGUAUCCCUCCCAUGGGAAGGACCUACACUACUGGAGGGACCUAAGAAGUCGGUGGGUAUUGGCACGUUGAGGCCUGAACUCUCCGAUUCUUCAUCACUCUCAUCAGCAAUCAACUUUCCUCUCCGGUUUGACAUAUCGGAAUCCCAAAAGAAAAUAGAGAAAACUCGAGUAUAUGGACACAAAGAGGGCAACACAGAACCCAAUCAACAACAACCAGAGGAGAAGUUAAAAGCAAUACCUGGAUUGAACUGUCACUGAUGGCGCGGCCGUGAUAGAGAAAAAAUCCAGCAAGUGGAUACUCCAGACACGAGAAGUGUAAGCAAAGUUCAGAGAGGGGGUUAAGUAACGACGGAGAGACGAGUAACAAAACGAUGACGAUGUGAGUCUGGGGAUUUGAAACGAAAAGGGGGAAACGAAGGCAUUUAAAGUGAUGGAGACGCCAGCUCACUCACCGUACAUCGAGGACAGAUAACCCGUCGUUUCAAAUUUCAAAUACGAAGAGUCUGAAGAUGCCACGUCACUAACCGUUACAAAAGGCUAGGGUAGAUGUAAGCCCAGAUAUGCAAUGGGCGCGUGUUCAUUUAGGCCCAUGCUCAGGUCGGAAUCUCCUCAGAAGAAAAAUGAUAUCUCGGAUCCGUCCCAUUAGACAGAAGACCAGAGGAAAAACCCCAGAAUGGAUAAGAUCCGACUAUCAGUUUCUACUCUUGACUCAUUUCACUCGCAAGACCAGAAACUGGGGGACUGGUGUUAAGUAAAUACAAGCACCAGGUCGGUCAUGCUAUUAUUUCCACCCCGGCGUGGAUCACCUCAGCCUAUGGUACGAGCCGAACACAGGGACAAGCAUAAACCGACCAGAGGGGAACCCCUGCUAGGGGAAUGUACCGACCAGAGGUAUACACCGAGCCGAUACCUGUCCCCCAGAAAGCGGGAACACGAUCCCACAGAACCGCGGCCGUUACGCUGUUCCCAGAACACAGAAUCGCGGCCGUUACGCUUUUCCCAGAACACAGAAUCGCGGCCGUUACGCUUUUCACAGAACACAGAAUUGCAACCGUUACGCUUUUCCCAGAACCGUUGAAGGACACGUAAGUCCCCACGUUUACGACAAUGCAACGGUUAGAGUCCCGUGAGGGGCUGCCACUACCCGGAAAAGGGGGGGAUAAAGGGCAAACGGAAAGGUGGGGACAGCGGAUAUAAAAGGGGAGGAACUCAACGGAGAAAGGGACAGAAAAACUAAGAGAGGGAAAACGCUGCCAAAUUGCAACCAGAUCAUUGUCCUACGAAUUUCAGAUAAACUUCUUGAACCCAAAUCACAUUGUUUUCCCGUAAACACCUUGAGCUAACUUAGGCAUCGGAGGGUUUACGCCGGCGAAACCACCGGCGUCUCUGAUCCGUUUUUAGUGAGCGCAGGUCUAUUGAGAGGAAGGGGGACGAUUCCAGUUCCAGUGAACGAGCAACAACAGAUAACACAAACGUUGGUGAAAGAAUCUGGUCGGUCAAAGGGCGAGCAGAUUUCAGCAUCAACAUCUAUGAUCUUAGGGAUUGAAGUUUAUGUAAAUUAGGGUUUAUUUGCUUUAUAAGAGGUGUAAAAAUUCUCAACAACUGAUAGGAGUGCAUGGUUUAAGAAUUUAUGAUUUUCUAUUAAGAUAUGUAAUAACCCUUUCUUAAUUUUCAAUUGUCCUUUUCGAGUAUAUGUCAAUUUGGAUUAUUAGUCCACAUAUACAUAAUGUAUAAAGAAAGUUACUGGCAUAGAAAUUUUUUGCACCAAAAAAAAAAAAAAAAAUUCCAAGAUGUUUUUGACUGUUGGCGGCACAAUACAUAAAGGUGAAAUUGGGUUAUCGUUUGGAGUUUUUUCAUGAGACACCCUAUGGUUUGUUUAGUGUAUGUUUUUGGCCAAAGUUUAGAAUUUUGUUUCAUUUAAGUCCAAUUGAAUUUGCAACGGCCAUCACAUGCUGUCUUAAAGCCGAAAUUUAGGAGCAAUUGCAUGUGAAAUUUCAGUGUAGUCCCUGAUAUUCUAUUUUAUUAAAUUAAAGAUAUGAUUAAUUGGAUUUAGUAUGAUAAAGCCGCCGACUUUAUGUGCAUCAAGCCUUAUAAGUUUUGUUCUCAUAAUUUUGAAUGCUUCCGCUCAUUAAUUAAUGAUCUCCGAAAUUUCUUAAUGUUCCAAUUUUAAUGUUUGAUAUUUGAGUUGAUGUUUGUGGUUUUAUUUACUUUAUUAAAGAAAUUACUUUGUUAUAAAUGUUCAAUUUGACAUUCAUAUUAUGAUAAUUUGUUAGUUACUAAAGUAGCCAAAUUAGAAAGUUUUCAUAGAUGUCAAAUUAAAUUCAAUUUCAAGUUCUCAUAAUUAUUGUGAUGCGUAUUAUUUAAUGACAUGAUGAUCUUGUUGUAUGAAUAUAUUGAAAUUCACAGAUUAUAAAAUAUUUAGGAAUUGCUCAAAAGUUGAUUAAUUAAAUUUAUAAUAUAUGAUCAUGAUUGGGGUAAUUAGUAUGCUUGUUUAGAUAUGUUUAGUAUAUCCAAAGAUAGCAAGCAUGUCUAGUUUAUGUAUAGUUGAUUACUAAUUAUGUGAAAUUACAGUUAAGCAUCAAUUAUGUUUAUUGAAGUGUAUUGUUGUAUCACCAAAUAAAUUAAGCUUCAUAAUUUUAUGUUAGUAAAUAUUAAUAAAUUAACAUAGGUAACAUUUAAUAAUUUAAAUUAGCUGUAGAAAAUUUUAAAAUAUUUUAUUGAUAAUAAAAAAAUUAGCGAUUAUUAUAUCAUGAAUUAAUUGAUAUGUAAAUUAUUUAUUUAUCAAAAUUAUUUUUCAUUUAAUUAAAUAUUAAUUGAGGUUUAAUUAUUAGUUAUCGAUAAAAAUUAACACGGUAUUGUCUUUUAUGGUCCUGACCCCCAUCUCUAAAUUAGAAGCAAUUCUCAAACCCGUCCCCAUCUCUAAGGAAAGUUUCGUCUUCAGCAUAAUAACUAUAUAAUAUCAUAAUGCAUUGGUGUGCAUUAACCAUGCUCCAGGUUGAUUUGGAAAGUCAUGAUUCUGCUUCCAUUUCAAUUUAGACUCCUUGGUUAUAAGCCAAAUGAUUUAUAAGUAAUAGCCAGUAGAAGUUCUUUUCAAAAUGGAAAUAAAUUGUCCUACUGGGAGAGUCCACAUAUGGUAUCUAAUUUGUGGUGUUAUUAUUUCAAUUGUAAGUUUCCCUAAUUCUGCCCAAUGUACAGAUUCAGAAAGUUAUAUUUGGCGAGUUCUUUUUUUUUUUUCUUUUUCAUUUUUAAAGGCUUUGGAUACAACGGCAAGAGAUAGGGAAAAAUAACAAAGAAAGAGUCCAAACUCCACAUUAUGCUAACAUUUAAAUUUCCAUUUAUACUUUGCUCCACUCAUUCUAAUGUUUACUGGCUAAUUGUAGUUUAUGGUGUAGCAUCCAGAAAAGAUGACUCACAAAAUUUAUUCUUUUGGACCACUAAGUAGCUUAAACACACACACACACAAACACAUGGACGUAUGAAUGUGUGUGUACGUAUAUGUAUAUAUAUAUAUAUGUAUGUGUGUAUAUAUAGUCCUUUUUUAAUAUGGACACCUCUUUUUUUUUUUUUUUUACAUAGACACACUAUGUAUUAAGACAUAUGGUUUAAUAAAAUUAAAUUUUAAUAGUAUUAAACUAUACAAUUUUAUCGUGUAUUAAAAAUUAAAUUUAUUAAGGUGCACGGUUAAACUGCGUGUCAAGACAAUCCCGCGCUAAUCCAAGUGAGAAAAUAGAGAGAGCUUUUGGUGCUCUAUUUCAUAACUUUUAUUUAAUCAAAAUAUCUUGGUUCGGGUACGAGGCCCAUACCCGAUCCCAAUUCAUCCCAAUUCUGUUUUUGAGGUUUUUUGGGGCCCAUACCCGAUCCCAAUUCAUCGCGAGCCAGCACAUGAGUCCUGCUCGCGGAUUACAAAAGUAAAUAUUGUGGAUAAUGGCAAGAUAAAAAUUGUGGUGGGUACGUAACGCGAAACAAAUAAGAUUAUAAUUAAAUUAAACGUGAGAAGUUACUUUUCUAGCAAAAGCUUAAUCCAACGCCUCCAUUACUUCUUUUUAUGGAUAUAUUCUUAAUUAUUUUUCGUUAUUUUAUUUCCUGUUCAUCAAGUUUGCGAUGUUUACAACAAUUAUUCAUUUGAAAAGUUAUCCAAUGAUGUCAAUACGUGAAAAUUGAGAAUAUGUAUAGCGAAAAAGGUUUUCUUCCUCCUCCUGUAUUGAUUCAAAUUAAAAAAAUUUUAUAACGGAUUUAAUGUGGUUUAAAAGUUCAAUUUUAUAUAACAUUUUAAUGACAUAAAUGGAACAAAUCAAUCACAUAAUCGAACAAAAUGAUAAGAAUCUUCUUGAUAUAUGUGCAAGAUGAAUUAUAUAAUCUUGAUUUUGGAAAAUGUGGCCAGCACUGCAAAAAUGAAGAUUAAUUAACCUUGGAUGACAAUGAUUAAUACCCGUCCAUUUCUCCUAAGCUCUGUUUCUAACUUUGAUGCGCACGGGACUUGAAAGCUUCAUCUUCCUCUAGCUUCCUUUCGUGAAACGUACUAACAAAUUAAGAAAUCAUCCAAUAUCUUUAGUACAAAUCCAAAUAGUCUCAUUUUGACUUUGAGCAAGCUUUUUAAUUCCACACUCAGAGAUAAAAUUUUGUGAAUUCACAUUAUUUAACAAAAUAAUUAACAAAUUAAUUGUGAUUAUGGUUGACGAUCAUGUUGAUAAGCAUCAUAAACAAAAUGAUUGUUGUAGAGGCCGAAAUUCCAAAAGUUUCGUUGCAUAUUUAGUGAAAUGAUGCAAGGACGAAGUAUCACUUGGCUGUAAGAAUUAGUUACCCAACAAUUUGUGGAGUUUGUUUUAGGUAAAAUAAAUAAAUAAAUAAAAAAUAGAGAGCAUAAUUAAGCCAACAUGGAUAGAGUAACUUAAGCAAUAUAUUGCACACAAUGAUUAUUUUUAUUAACUUCCUUUUUCAAGAAGACACGGUACACAAAAGUAAAUAAAUAAAAAAAUCUCUUAUACAACUCAAGAGAUUUUAUAAGUUGAACUAAGCCAAACAAAGACACUCACACAAUUGAUAGAUAAUGAUAACCCAUCAUUUUAUUUAAUUAAUAUAAUACGGAAAGAGUAACUUGCACUUAACCAGUGUAGUAAGGAUUUCUUCCGUAUUGAGGGACAAUAAAGAGAUCCAGAUUGUCGUUCAUCCUCUCAUCAUUAACAAUACUUAUCAGAGAUAUUGGAUAACCCUCAGACCACUCGACCUUCCCUAAAAAUUCACAACAACAAUUGUAUUCAUUAAUACAUAUAUUAAAAUAAAAAUUAUAAAUGACAUUCAACUGAACAUGGCCUAAGAACCUAGAUAAGGAGCUUCCAUAUUCUUCAAAUUAGAAAAGAUAUAUUCUAACUUAUGGUGAACCGUAAUCGAAAUUGAAGUUACUUUUGUUUCUGGUUUGAUAAUAUGUUGCUGGUGAUUCUGAGUCUUCGUAUAGUACAGUGAUGUAUGCAAUGCAGCCCCUUCAAUAGUAAAGAGGAAGCUUGAACAACUGGUAUUUUACUGGUUGUACAUUUAAUAAAUUUAAAAAAAUUAUUUUUAAUGCAGAAAAAAUAAAAUAAAACGGAAAAAAUUAAGGAAAUUUUGUAAAUAUUUAACACAAACAAUAUUUGAGAGAAAAAAAUAUUUUUAAUUCAACAAAGGUUAAAAAAAUUAAAAUAAGCAUGUCUCGACUCUUUUGUUUUAAUGUCAAUAUAUUAGGUGACAUUCCAAGUUAAUUUCACAUAUACCUAAUUUUGAUUAAACUUUCUCACUAAUUGGUUUGCUUAUCUCCACUUUCCGAUCCACUAGUUUUAUGUUUAAUAUUCCCACUAAACUCGUUAAAUACUAAUAUUUUGGGUCAAAUUCGAAUUAAAUUUAUUUCUCGUUAGACAAGUAUCAAAAUUCCGUUAAACUUUCUCCACAUUUGGUUCACGUGUUUCAACGAUUAUUCUACUAGUUUUUCAUUUAAUAUUUCAACUAGUUUAUCAAGAUUCCAAUUAUAUGGGUGAGAUAUUGAUAUCACUUUUUUUGGUUUGAUUAGUUCUAAAUUUUGGUAAUGUUUUUCCAUCUAUAGGUUCACAUGUUUCAACUUAUUGGUCCACUAAUUUUAUGUUUGAUAUUUCUACUAAAUUUGUCAAGUACCAAUAUUUAUUGUUAGCUUCCAAGUAAUUAACAUUCUUCGUUGGAUAAGUUCCAAGUUUUGGUUGUUCUUUCUCUCUUAAUGGUUCACGUGUUUCCUCUAAUUUUUCCCUAAUUUUGCGUUGAAAAUUGCCAUUAAUUGGUUGAGAUUCCAAUUACUAAGGUUAGGUACUAGGUUUGUUUUCUAUAACUUUAUUUUUGGUUUUGUAGGUCUCUAAUUUUGGUUGUGCUUUCCCCAUUUUUGGUUGACGUAUUUCAAUUGUAUUCAAUUGUAAUUCCACAGGUUUUGUGUUCGUUAUUCCAACUAACUUGGUAAAAUUCUAAUUAUAUGGGUUAAAUAUCAAUAUUAAUUUUGCUUGGUUUGAUUAGUCUCAAGUUUUGGUUAUAUUUUUAUCUUUUGGUUCACAUGUUUCAACUUAUUGGUCCACUGGUUUUGCGUUUCAUAUUCCUAUAAAGUUCAUUAGGUACCAGUAUCAUGGGUUAGAUUCCAAGUAAAUAUCAUUUUUUGUUAAAUGAGUUUCUAAUUUUCGUCAAACUUUCUCUCUUAAUGGUUCACGUGUUUCAUCUAAUUUUUUCCCUAAUGUUGUGUUAAAUAUUCCCAUUAACUGGUUGAGAUUCCCAUUACUGAGGUUAGGUACCAAGUUUGUUUUCUAUAACUUUAUUUUUGGUUUUGUAGUUAUCUAAUUUUGGUUGUGCUUUCUCUAUUUUUUGUUGACGUAUUUCAAUUAUAAUUCCACAAGUUUUGCGUUCGUUAUUCCAACUUAUUCCACAUGUUUUGCGUUCGUUAUUAGAAUAAAAGCAACAGAUUUCAUCAAAAUUUAAGAAUGAUUACUAGUGCUUUCAUGCUCGUGGAGGUGAGAAUGGGAGACGCUUGUUGUCUUAAGUGACUAUUCUUACCCCACUAAAUUUAAUGAAUUUAAUCAUUCCUUCUCUAUAUGGUGUUUCCACCUCUAACAAUAAUUUUCUUAAUAUUAAAAUUGUCAAUAAUAAUAAUUACAAUUAUUAUAACAAAUAGUAAUAAUGAUAAUAAUUGAUUGAGGAUAAAUUAAUAAUUUAUAAUAACUCAUUCUAAUUUAUGUUCACAAAGUAAACAUAUUAAUAGCGAUAUAGAAUAUUCCAAUUGUGUUUCAUUCAUCCAACAAAUAUCAUAUUUUGUUUGUUAUUCUUCAUUUUUAUUGUAACCCAUUCUAAUUCUAUUUUUUUUUAAUUUUUUUAAAUUUCAAUUAUUUAUUAGUGAACACAUAAAAAAUUUAAUAAAAAUCAAAUUUCAGAUUAGAAAGAGCAUGCAAGGUAGACUUUUGUAGGGCUUGCAAAUCAUAUUGUAGGUAUUUGGAAAUUCACAAAAAGUAAAUAAUGUUAUGUACAGACAUAAGUUCUCGUUUAUAACGUUUUGCUGUAUUUCACUGACACUUUGUUAUAUAAGGUGAUAAUGCCAUGUUUGGAUGCUAGGAUUAAGUAUGGGAUUGGACUAAUUUUGGGAUUAAAUAUUUAUCCAAUGUUUGUCAAGCUUAGUUGGAUUGGAUUAAGGGGGUAGUAAUUUAAAUUUAAUCCUAAAAUCAUGGGAUUAAUAAUCCUAAUUUACGCAUGGGUUUAGUUGGGAUAAAAUUAAUGAAAAAAGUUGUCCAUUUAUGAGAUUUUUAUUUAUAUCAUUUUUUUAUUUGCACCUAAUAUUAAUUAAUUAAUUAAUUUUUAUUAUGAUUUACUUAAAACUUAUUUUUAUUUAUUAUCUAUGAUCUAAUUAAAUUAAUAUCUUUACUUGUAUUAACUCUAGAGAUUAAAUUUUCACCACUUAUAUAUUUAGUAAUUUAUCAAUAAAAUUAAAUGUUUAAUUAUUUAUUUCGCAAACACACCAAUAUUACAUAAUUUCCCUAUUAUUGCCAUCGGUUCCCAAACAUCCAAGAGCUGGUUGGCAACAAGAGAAAAAAUAGGGGUGACAUAACGACGACUAUGUAAUCGUGGCCAAUAAAUUGUUUCACAGUACCUAAUUAUAGCAACGAUUAAAUGCAACCUGAAAUCUGCUGUUGAAGUCAUAGUUAUGGAAAAUUUUACAAGCUUGAAAUAAGACCAAAAAAUUAUAAAGAGUAAUGUUAAAUAUCCCAAUUAAAAUUAUGCCACUAUUCAAUCACAAAUAUAGGAUAGGUGACUAUAAUUUUUCUAUAAGUAAUGCUUUGGUUCUUUUAAUAGUGUGAUGAGUAAACGUUAAUUUUUUAUUUUAACUCAUGAUCGUUAAGAGAAAUUAAAUUUGGGGUGUGUUUUUCAAAUAAUCUGACCCUUUAAAAAUAUAUAUCUCAUCCUUCUCCCCGUUCCACAUCAAAAACCACUUUUUCCAAUUUUCUCCCACAGGAUGCAGGAAUGAAGAAUGCAUUGAAGGAGAAAUUACCUAUCCAAACAUCCAUACAUGGAAAUCAUCAACACAAACCACAAAAUUAAGCUAUCUUAUGAAAAAUGUCCAUAAUGCAUAAUCAAAACAUAACAAGUAUUGACAAAUUUGAAAACAAAAUACAUAAUAAUCAUAAUUUCUGGGCAUAAAACCAUGGGAUAAUCACUGAGGAGGUGGCGGAGAUGAAGAUGAGGAUGGCGGCGAAAUCCCGAGAGUGCGGCUGAUGAGCUGCUGGUCAUCUAGAAUCUGGUGCUGCUGUGAAAAAAGACGCUGCUGCUCAGAAUAGAAGUGAUAGUGGAACGCUGCAAACCGUGUCUGAAGCUCGUUCUGUUGUAUAGAUAUGGAACAGAUUAAAACUAUCCAUUUAUAUGGGUAAUGAGUAACUACCUUAUCUUUUUAAUAAUUAAAAGAAAAUUAUUCCUUUAAUUAUUGGUAGAAUAUAUUUUCCAAUUCACUAUAAAAAAUAAAUACUCCUAGAGUGAAGAAUAUAAGUAUAAAUUGAAAUACAAAUUUGUUUUCACUUAAAGUGUUUUCUCAAAUUUUUUCCCAUAAGAAACUCAAAAAUGUAUUAAUGAAUAAGUUGUAAAACAGAAAGUGGACAAGCCGUCCGCUUAAAAACAAAGCCUAGCACUAUUUGUGCCAUACGAAAGUGUACCCAAUCACCCUAAAGUGUUUUCCAACUUUUUCUCGUAUUUUUUUUAAGAAUACUUAAUAGAUUAAAUAUUGUAAUAUAAAAACUGAAGACGAAAACAAACAUGCAUGAAAGUUCCAAUAAGGUUGCUGAUGCCUUAUCUCAAGUACAUGCGGAUCAAUUUUCCGACUCCAUAAAUUCUCAAGCUGAGUUCUACUCUAUAAUGCAAAUAAUAUUUUGUUUUUAAUUCAAUUUAGCACCCUACAAGAAGAGAUUACCUUAUCGCUUCCAAUCCCUCCUUUAGAUCUAAGCCACUUCAUGAACUUCUUGAUCCUUGAUUCGUUCCAGAAUGUGAUAGGAAGUAUAUUCCUAUCAAGCUGAAUGUUGUCAUAUGCAACAUUAUGGAGAUAAAAGAUCUGCAUGAGCAACUUAUAAUUAAGAAGAAUAAUAUUAUUCAUGGUAAGCAUAUGCUCAGCUUUAGUUGCAGAAACUAUGUCACCUGUAGGAAGUGCAAACAACCUCCAAUGUAUGCUGCUUGUUGUUUCCACUAUUUCAUUGUCACCAGAAUGUGAGUUUGAAUUACCCAUCCUUGUAUCUCUCUUUUUGUACCUUGCCUUUUGUUCGGGAGGAAUUUCUGUGUAGGUUUCCCCAAUAUGUUUCCGUAACUGUCAAAAAGGUAAUGAAUAUGUCUUAAAACAUAAAAAAACCCGCAAAAUAAUAUCUGUACAUGCUACAUUUAUUUAAUAUACUAAUCCCAAUUGUAAUGGAAAAAUAUGAAUUUUCACUUCUCAAACGCUUAACUUCUUCAUUGCUGUAAAAGCAUAACAUCUAAUUACUGUUAUCUGAUAUGGGCGUGUUUAUUUUCCGAUAGGUAAAUCACAACGACUACUUCCAAGUAAGAGACAAAUCCAUAAGUUGAAGACGUUGGAACUGCAACCUAACCAUCUGCUUUUAGAAUAGGAGCACUUUUUUCUGUAAGCCCCCUGGUAGUUGUUUACGCUUUCGUUGGUGACUGUCCAAGAAAAAAUUUAAAUAAUUAAGUGAAGGAUAAUUAUUCCAUCAAUAUGUAUUAAAUUAAAAAAAAAGAGUUCCCCAACAUUCUUAUCCGGCUAAUUUUUAUAUUAAAUUAAAAAAUAUUUAUUAACUUUAACUUAAAAACAAAUUUAACCUAACUCUCACAUUCACACGCACUCACAACACUUUACCAGCAGCCACAACCCACAAAUCCCUAACACCCAAAUCCCCCCAAUUCCGUAGGAUGUCGCCGUCUGGCUCACGGCCUCGCCUAAGCCUCGUGUCCAAGCCUCGAUCAGAGUCGGUUGCUGUCGUUGCGCGCUGCACGCCUCGAUCUGAGUCGGUCGCUGCCGCUGCACGCUCGAUCUAAGUGAGUUGCUGCCGCUACACGCUCGAUCUGAGUCAGUUGCUGUCGAAUCCUCGCCAUCGAAGAAGCCUCUUGCCGUCGAAUCCUCACCAUCUGAGAAGCCUCGUCUAAGCACUUUAAUUAAAAUGGUCCUGGCAAGCCUUGUUGAAUCCUUUGGCCUUUGUUGAUUCAAUUUAGUUUAAUUUUGAAUAAAUUUCUUUGCUGUUUCGUUUCAUGAUACGACCUCAAAUGAAUAUUUGUCAGUAUCACGAGGUUUCCACCUUUCGAGCAGGUGUGAGCUCCACAAGAACAGAGAGAAAAUAAUAGAGAUAAGAAAGAAAGAAACUUUUGUGUAUUAUCCUCAUGUCCAGCUCACGCCUUUCCACUUUACAUAUAUCCUUUCCAUUCUACCACUUUUUGUGUAACUAACCAAUUGCAAUAAUAAAACAAAAUAAUAGAAAUCACAGUUGUCCUCAUGGAAUAAUUCUCCCGAAUAUUCCCCUAGGUGAUAUAGUCCUUGAGAUAUUUUGGAGUUUUGCGAACAUGAGCUGGCCGUUGCAAUGUUUGCUCCACUUCCUGCAUUUCAACUACAGGGCCAUCUUCAAGCUCCCUUACUUUAAUGGGCCAGGAUGUAUCAUUUCAUCACUUUAAUUAAAUGCAUUAAUUUUCAAUAUAAUGUAAAUGUUUAAUAGGUUUUGGGAUUAGGUUUUAAUUUGGAAAAUUGUUGAAUUUUUAAAUUAAAAAUUUAAAUCAAGUCUUGGUGAAACCUGUUGUCAUAUGCUGAUUAACAUCGCUAGUCUCUGAAAUAAUUUGUUGAUUCAAAAUUUAAAUUGUGAGUUCAAAUUUGAUGCAGAAUGGGCAACCAGCCUACUGCAAACAAAUCUUCUGGAACAGUUCAGAUGAAGGGACAACCAAUCCAGCAAAACAGCAACUGUUGUUGUUAGCCGAGCAUGUUAUUUUACUACUACAUGUAAUCCCCCAUAGAGUGCUUGAAAAUGUGUUAUCUUCAACCCACUGUAAUAGCUUGUGUUGUAACAAAAUUCAGCCCAGCCUAACAAGCUUGACCAUGAUUGUGGUUUGUCCUGAGUAAAGGCUCUUAAGUACUGUUCGAGGCCACGAUUCACUACCUCUAUUUGGCCAUCAGUUUGAGGGUGAUAAGCAGUACUGUGCCGCAAUGUAGUGCCACUUAACUCAAAUAGUUUCUGCCAAAAAUUACUCAUGAAUAUAGGAUCUCGAUAUGAUAUUAUUGAGCUUGGAAACCCAUGUAACUUGACUACCAAAUCAGCAAAAAGAUUGGCUGUUUUGCUGGCUGUGAACGGAGAUGGCAAUGCACCAAAGUGGGCUGAUUUCGUUAAGCGAUCCACUACCACCAAGAUUACCUCGAAGCCUUUAGAAGUUGGCAAGCCUGUAAUAAAAUCCAUAGUCAAAUCAUCCCAAACAAGUGAAGGAACAGGUAAAGGCUGAAGUAAUCCAGCAAGUGCUUGAGUAGAAUUUUUAAUUUGCUGACAUGUAAGACAAGCAGCAAUGUAGUUCUCAACAUCAAAGCGCAUUUUCGGCCAGAAAAAAGUAAAAGAAAGCCGAACUAGGGUGCGUUUCACGCCUGCAUGCCCUGCCAUGGGGGAGUCAUGGAAUUCUUUAAGAAGCGCGCUCUUUAAUUUGGAGUGAGGACUGACGUAGUAUCGAUGGUAGUAAAGUAAUAGUCCCUCACGAAUCGAGAAGGCUGAAGAAAGUUCUCCCGCUGCAAACUUGUUAUGAAGUAACAACAGAUCAGGUAAGGAUGAAUUGUCCUCAUGCAAAGUGGUUAGGAUAUCCACGGUUGGCUCGGAGAUUAUAGAGAAGAACUCAGCUUGAGAAUUUAUGGAGUCGGAAAAUUGAUCCGCAUGUACUUGAGAUAAGGCAUCAGCAACCUUAUUGGAACUUCCCGGCUUAUACUCAAUUCAAAAAUGAAAACUCAACAAUUUCCUGACGUAAGCUUGUUGUUCAGGAGUUUGAAUUACCUGCUGAAACAACUCUUUAAUGCUUUUAUGAUCGGUUCUGAUGAUGAAAAAUCGACCGAGUAAGUAUUGGCGCCAUUUUUGUAGAGCAGCAACAAUAACGUGCAGUUCUUUGAUAUAAGCCGAGGCAACCCGCAAUCGAGGACCCAACUUUUGACUAAAAUAAGAAAUGGGAUGACCUUGUUGCAUCAAUACUGCUCCAAUUCCAAUAUUGGAAGCAUCCAUCUCUAGAACAAAUUCAAGCUCAAAAUCGGGUAAAUGCAAUACCAGGGCAGCCACCAUUGCAUUUUUUAAAGUCAUAAAGGCAUCCGAAGCUGCUGGAGACCAAUGCAAUGCCUCUUUACACAACAAAUCUGUCAAUGGGGCUGCAAUUGAAGCAUAACCUCGGAUAAAUCGGCGAUAAUAGCCUGUGAGCCCUAGAAAGCCCCGUAGUUGCUUAACAGUCUGCGGCAAUGGCCAUUCCACCAUGGCUGUAAUUCUUUUAGGGUCUGCCUUUACUCCUCCAGUAGUCACUAUAUGGCCCAAGUAAUCAAUAGCUUCUUGGCAAAACAGACACUUCGACAAUUUGACAUAAAACUGAUGUUCUUGCAAACGAAACAAAACAUGUUCCAAGUGAUUGACAUGAGCAGUCAAUGAAGAACUAUAAACCAAAAUGUCAUCGAAAAAAAUAAUAAAAAAUUUGCGUAAGUAAGAUGCAAAUAGUUGAUUCAUAGUUGCUUGAAAUGUCGAGGGGGCAUUAGUUAAACCGAAUGGCAUGACCAGAAAUUCGUAAUGCCCCUUAUGAGUACGAAAUGUUGUUUUAUAAGUAUCUCGCUUAUGAACUCGGAUCUGGUGCUAACCAGCUCUCAAAUCCAGCUUGCUGAAAAUCCAUGCUCUUCCUAGCUCAUCAAAUAAUUCAUCAAUUGUGGGAAUAGGAAAUUUAUCCGGCACUGUGACUGCAUUCAAGGCUCGGUAAUUGACACAAAACCUGUAUGUGCCAUCCUUUUUCUUGACCAACAAAACGGGAGAGGAGAAAGGGUUGUGGCUUGGCUUUAUUAUCCCCUGUUCUAAAUUUUCCUUGACUAGUUUUUCCAUUUCUGUUUUUUGAAAAUGAGGAUAUCUAUAGGGCCUCACAUUCACUGGCUUUGAAGUAGGCAGGAGGUGGAUUUUAUGGUCAAUGAGUCUAUGAGGAGGUAGACCCGUAGGUGGUGAAAAUAAAGUUUUAUAUUGUUGAAGGAGAAUGGUGAUUUGUUCGGGUAACUGGGUGGGAAGGUGAAGUCCCGAUAGUGAGAAAUUUGUAUCGGAAUCAAGUGUGUCAUUGAUAAUGGGAUGCAGCUCAAAUAAUGAAUGCACGACAUCUGUAGAUAACAAGGCAUGAAAUUGAUGGAAGGAAAUCAUAUUAGGGGUUUGGAUGGGGUCACCUCGUAAAAUGACUGGAUUGCUCUCCUAACAAAAUUCCAUAGUCAUUGCACGGUAGUCUGUAGAUAUUUUACCAAGAUGUUGAAGCCACUAGAUUCCCAGGACAGCAUCGGGACCUUCAAUUGGCAAUAUAUAGAAAUACAACUUGAAAGUGUAACCCUGUAUCACUAGUGGCACUUGAAGACAUUGAAAACGGCAAAUUAAGAAGUCGCCAUUACCAAUAUAAACCCGAAAAGCAGGGAUAGAUUGAAUUUUCAGGCCAAGUCAUUCUGCCCAUUGUGGUUUGAUGAAGUUGUGUGUACUGCCACUAUCUAUUAAAACAUGUAAGUGUUGGCGGCCAAUUUCUCCUAUUACUCUCAAGGAACGUAGGUUAGAUUGCCCAGCUAGGGCAUUUAAGCUGGAUAUAUCAACUGUCACAACUUUCUCUGUUUGUUCAAGCAAAGGAAACUCCUCCGAUGGUUCACUGUCAUCAUCAUCUGUGCCUAACAACAAGAGAAAUUUACUACGGCAAUGAUGGUUUGCACUAUAUUUCUGGUCGCAAUUGUAACACAACCCCUUUUCUCUUUUUUCUUUCAAUUCCACCGGGAAGAGACGACGGAUGAGGAGGGCUGGAGUGGGUAAAAGUGGUGGUAGUGGUAUUGGUUUUGGGGUAGGUAAAAGUGGCGGUUGGGAUGAUGGUUUUGGAGUAGCAAAACUGGCAUGUGGAUAAGUGGAAGGAAAUUUGUUGUGGACAUGGUGAGUGAGAGCAUGGGUGGUUUGUUGUGGUUGAGGAGUAACAGCGUAGAGCAGGGGUGGUUUGUUGUGGUUGAGGAGUAACAGCGUUCCAUUUUGUCCAAGGACGGCCUGAAAUUUUUGACUCCUCAGAUUUAGCUUCAUAUGCUCGUGCUAGAGCAAAGGCUUCCAUGAGGGACGUGGGUCUGCCAAACAACAACUCUUGCCGAAUGUCAGGUUUUAAGCCAGUGAUAAAGAAACUUAUCAGUAACGGCUCGAAAAUGCCCGUGACUUUAUUCAUAAACUCUUCAAAGGCAGAUUGAAACUCUGCGACUGUAGAUGUUUGUGUGAGCUUGGACAAAUUGCCCUGAUGAUCUUCAUACAUAGAAGCACCAAACGUUGUUUGAGAUUGAUUAAAAAACUUUGCCAAGUGCUCAAUAGAUUGUUGGCUUUCAUCGACUGAAACCAUACAGCAGCUUUUCCUUCCAUGUGAAAAGAAACAAUACGUAACCGUAGAUGAUCCGGGGUGCCAUGAAAAUCAAAAAAUUCAUUGAUUUGAAAAUCCCAUCCAUUUGGAUCAAUGCCAUCAAACUUUGGAACCUCCAUUUUCAUGGAGCGUAACAGAGGUGAAUUAUCUGUACUACUAACAAGAGUAGUGGACGGUGUUGGGAAAGCCGUCGACGAUGUCGGAACCGUAGUCGAAGAUGACGGUGUUGACGCCAGAGGAUGUGAUGAACCUCCUGAAACUCCGAUAGAACUACUGAUUUGAGACCGUAGCUCCUCAAAACGAGAAUCAACUGUGGACAUAUAUUUUUGGAGGUUUUGAUGAACAACCAGCGUGUGGCUUUCAAGAAGUGUUUGCAUCUUAGAAAUAAUCUCAGGAUCCGUUGUGGUCUCUUGGUUGGUCAUUGUUGCAGAGAAAUAGGGCGUAGAUGACAGAGAAUGACAAGGAGAAGAAAAAGACAAUGAAAGCACCAGUUGAUAUGACCUCAAAUGAAUAUUUGUCGGUAUCACGAGGUUUCCACCUUUCGAGCAGGUGUGAGCUCCACAAGAGCAGAGAGAAAAUAAUAGAGAUAAGAAAGAAAGAAACUUUUGUGUAUUAUCCUCAUGUCCAGCUCACGCCUUUCCACUUUACAUAUAUCCUUUCCAUUCUACCACUUUUUGUGUAACUAACCAAUUGCAAUAAUAAACAAAAUAACAGAAAUCACAACUGUCCUCAUGGAAUAAUUCUCCUGAAUAUUCCCCUAGGUGAUAUAGUCCUUGAGAUAUUUUGGAGUUUUGCGAACACGAGCUGGCUGUUGCAAUGUUUGCUCCACUUCCUGCAUUUCAACUACAGGGCCAUCUUCAAGCUCCCUUACUUUAAUGGGUCAGGAUGUAUCAUUUCAUCACUUUAAUUAAAUGCAUUAAUUUUCAAUAUAAUGUAAAUGUUUAAUAGGUUUUGGGAUUAGGUUUUAAUUUGGAAAAUUGUUGAAUUUUUAAAUUAAAAAUUUAAAUCAAAUCUUGGUGAAACCUAUUGUCAUAUGCUGAUUAACAUAGCUAGUCUCUGAAAUAAUUUGUUGAUUCAAAAUUUAAAUUAUGAGUUCAAAUUUAAUGCAGAAUGGGCAACCAGCCUACUGCAAACAAAUCUUUUGGAACAGUUCAGAUGAAGGGACAGCCAAUCCAGCAAAUUUGUUCUCGUUUAUUGAAAUGACCCUCUUGUCGCUUAUCUAUGACUUGGAAGUCCGGUCAUAUCAGAUGGGUAAAGUUGCCGAAACGGCAUCAUUUUGGGUGAAAUAUCAUAUUUAUGCAACACUUGAUGAUAUUUUUAUGCAACAAAAAAAUGUUUGUGGUAUCCUUUUCGCAUUGUGAAGCGCAUGGUCGGAUGAGAGCAGUCUGGAUUCUGGCAUCACAAGCGAAUGCUUUGAUUUGCUUAGUUUGUUUUUUGUUUCUGAUAUUUUCUUGACAUUGGGUGGGAUAUUGUUUCUCUUUUGGGUUUCCCUUUUUUUGUUUUUUUUUUGUUACGGAAUUUGGAGAUAGUGUACAUGUAUGAAGAUGACGUAAUAAAGUUGUUUUGGUAAAUUUCCUUGGUCGGUUUACUUCACUAACCAUUAAUGCGCAAAACUCCUAAUGACCCUAAAAAAUCCCGUUCAUAAUUAAAGAAUUUCAAUUUUAUAUGUACAAAAAUAAAUAACUCUCAAAUAAAUUAUUUGAUAAUCCCAAAAACAGCAAUUCACUCUAAUAAAUCUGGUAGCAAAUAUAUGGUUUAUAUUGCAAGUCUUUUCGAGACUAAUUCAAAGAGAAAAUACAAAGGUCAUAUAAUUGACCUUUGCCUGUCAUAAAGAAUUCUAAAUAAAUUCAUAUACGCAUCAUAGCUAAUUACAACCUUAAUACUUUAUUUGGUUUUUGUUAAUUUUCUGUAGAGUUGUGUUGUGCGUAAAAGUUUUGUUAAAUGUAAUCGGUAGGUGAAGAGAAUUUUUAGAAGCAUACAUCAAAGUAAUGAUCAAUAUAAAUAUUGAUUGUCUCAAGUUAGAUUCCACAAAGAUGAAAUAAUACUAGGCUAGUAAAUUCAAUCAUAAUAAUUUGACUUCCAUUAUAUUAAUUAUGUCCAAUCAUGCUACUUUAAUAAAGAACGCUCGACCAUUUAUAUGUAUACAACAUACGAAAUUAAUUACAAAACGAUCUUUGACAAAGUCUGACCGGUCAACUAUCCGUCAAAUUCUGUAUUGUGUUACCGUUGAACUCUCAUGUCAAAUAUGGAUAGACAGUGCUUUGGCUAACAGUGAGAUAUAUGCGAGCAUAAGAGCUUCGUUCUCUAUUUUAAUGGCGUUUCUCUUUGUGGUUGUUGGACAAACUGUAAUGUGAAUUUCUAUCUAAUGGGUAUCCUAAUGCUUUUAGUUAGUUUGGGAUUGUUGAUUUAUAUAUGACGUUCAGUAUCCAAAAUUCAGAUGAUGAUAACCUUCAGUACUUUUUUUGUCAUAUUUCCUUUCGUGUUGGUGUUAGUAUCUUAAUUUUGUACCCAAUGUUAAGGACAAUAUAUACCUAAUUUGAAACUUCUAUAAUUUUACAUAUAUAGAUGCAAAUUCAUUUUUAAGAGUGCAUUUAGGACCCGUUUGGGGCAGCUGUACUGCCACCGCGCAGCUGCUCCCCAGGCCAAUUUUAGGGAAAUAUUCCUCCAGAAUUGGCCUGGGGAGCAGCUGCGCGGUGGCAGCGUAGCUGCCCUAAACGGGUCUUUAAUCAAGCAAUCCAGGCAUUUAUACUGAGUAAUUGGUUCAAUAUUAAUACAAAAUUAUUUAAAGUAACAUGUGGCAUAUUCUAAUUCCAGUGAGCUUCCAACUCAAAUUCCCAAUUUACAAGAAACGUUUUCAAUUUUCUCCAGAACAUUCUACAAAACGUUUCUUUUAGUCUCUACGCUGUGCUAGAGUUUUCUCUAAGUUUUUUUUCCAAAGACUUCUAAAGAACUAUCAAGAUACCGAGCUAUAAUCCAAUCUAAGCGUAUAUAUCUCUCUCUAUUUCACAUCCCUCCAUUUCACCAGAAGAUCAACAAACACUUAGCUUCGAAACAAACACUCUAAAAAAGCUAGCUUAGCUACGCAGAUGGCGAAAUCAGGAAUUCUUGCAAUGACAAUCUCGUUUCUUGAUAUGGCAGCAACAUUGAUAAUCAUGGCAUCACAAGCAAACGCUCUGAUGCCGUACACAUGAUCACCUUUCUUUGACGUGAUGUUUGCAAUAACAGAAGAUCCUUUCAAGGUUCUUGAACAGACCCCUCUAACAAUCCCAAAAGGAGUUGAUCAUCAUAAAACUCUAGCCCUGGCGAGAGGAGACUAGAUGGAGCACCAACAGCACACGUGAUCACGAUCGACAUUCUAGGGAUGAAGAAAAAUGAAGUGAAGAUUGAAGUUGAAGAGAACAGGGUACUGAGAGUGAGUGGGGAGAGGAAGAGUGAUGAUUAUUAUAAGGAGGGAGUUGAAGGAGAGAAAUGGCACAGAGCUGAGAGAACAUUUGGCAAGUUUUGGAGGCAGUUUAGGAUGCCUAUGAGUGCUGACUUGGAACAUGUUAAGGUUCAUUUGAAAAAUGGUGUUCUGAGGAUCACAGUGCCAAAGCUUGCUGAGGAGAAGAGGAGCCGAGGAGGCAACCUAAGGUUAUUAGCAUUAAUGAAGAGCCUGUAGGUAAUUUUUCAGGUGAAGAUAUUAAGGCCACCAAGGCUCAAAGGUGAUUGAUUAAAGAAAGAAGUGAUUGCUUCGCUUGAUGUGCUAUUUGUUUAUGAUCUUUUCUUAGUUUUGUUGUGGGAUAUUUCUCUCUGGACAUUCUGUUUAUUGUAUUUUGAUGGGUUUUUGAAGAUGGCUUGUAUGUAUUAACAACAAGAAAGUGUUUUUUUUUUUAUAAAUCCGGGUCCUAAAUUUGUAAAAGAAAUUAAUACGCUUGGUUUAUUGUUAAUAAAAAAAAAAAGAAAAAGCCUUUUUCUUUGGCAUAUAUUAUGCAUUUUAAGAAAAAAAAUUCACACUCCAAUUCAUAAAGAUAUUCUUUUUCUGUCAUAUUAAUGUGUCAGUUUUGAUGAAUCUAAAUAUUCAAUAACUAAUAAAUUAUAUUUAUAAGUAUUAAAUAUUAAUAGCGAUGGCACAUAAAUAAUUAAUUCAAGAACUUGCCCAUAGUGCAUUAAUUUAAAGAGUAUAAGUAACAUUGCAAUACAGUCCAGCCCUUACGUGUUUAAUUAGCAAUUGAAAAUUACUUUAUAUUGUACAACACCAUUAAAAGAACAUUAUAACACUGUUGCUGAUGGGCAGCUGGUAAUUCUUUUGGUGAAGAUAUUAAGGCUGUUAAAGCUGAAAUGUAAUCAUAGAAAUAUAAUGUAUUCCCUUAGUUUACUUUUUGUUUUUUAUGCUUAGAUUGCUUUUUGUUUUUGAGAUUUUAUUGGCUUAGUCGUGGGAUAUUGUUUUCUCUUCUAAUUUUCUGUUUUUUGUCGUUAUGAGAUUUAAUGAUGGUGUGUAUGUACGAAAAUUAUGUAAUUUCAAUAAAUCAUGGUCGGUUUACUAUUAAUUGAUCAAAUUAAAUUUAUUCAAAUUACUCUGAUCAAAAUAAUUUCAAUUCCAUGAUAUAUAUGCACGUGUGCGCACACAAACAAAAUGUAAUUAACUUUUAAAUAUAAAAUAUUUAAAAUAAUCACCGUACUAACAAUUCACAAGUUAGAUUAUACAUAAAUAGACGAAAUAAUACUAAUCUAGCGAUUCCAAUCAUAAUAAUUUGAUUUUCAUUUAUAUUAAUUAUGUCGAACCAUGCUAUUUUAAUAAAGAACAUUUGAGAAUAUAUAUAUCCAACAGGUAAAAUUUCAGAACAAUAUUUGCCAAAUUCUGAUGAAGAGAAUAUACACGCACACACAUAUAACCGUACAACAGAAGGAUAAAUAAAAGAAAAUGAAGUUUCAACGGCUGAAUAAUUUUAUUGUUUAAUUUAAAAAAUUCAAAAACCCAUUAUAUACAUGAUAAAGACUCACCGACGCCGAACCAUAUUAAUUUAAAUUAGUUUUCAACUGAGAUUUGAAUUUUGAAAUUACAUACACAAACACGCCCAAUUUAAAAAAAGAAAGUCCUAAUUAUAAACAAUUCAAAUCUAUAGCAACAUAAGGUAUAUGGGUUAACAAGUCCCAAUAUUCUCCUCCAUCCUUUCUGCACUUCUCUGCUAUCAACGGACAUUCCUCGAUCUCUAAUUGCAAAAGGGAGGAAGGCAGGCCCUUCUCCGGAAAGUAUUUGAGCUUGUGACAAUUAUAGAGUUCCAAUGAAGUGAGGUUUUGAAGAUCAACAAUUGAAGAAGAUAGGCGUUCCAGAUUUGGAAAAUCUUCAAUCCUCAGUGAUGUUAGAGAGGCAGGAAGAGGAAGCGCGGUCCCUAAUCUUUUGUCCUCUAGUGGAAAUGACACCAUGUCGUCAUCGCAUCCGCUGAUUUUAAGAUGUCGCAGAGAGGAGAAUCUGUGAAAUCCCCGGCCCCGCUCAAUCAUUGACUUCCAAAUCUCCAUAUUACCCCAAAUACGAAGUGACUGAAGGUUGGUGGGAAGGUCAUCUUCUUCAAGGCUUGGAAGCUCACCUCCUAUUGUUAAUCCUUGAAGAGAGGUCAGAUUGUGCAAUCCCUUGGGUAAGGCCUCUAGUCUCUUACAAUCGUAUAUCUUCAGCCUCUUGAGUUUUGCACAAGGCAAUCCCCCACAACUCCUAAUACUAAUCUCUCGAAGCUGGCGGAGAUUACGUAAACCACUCGGUAAAAUUUUCAGAUUUCCACAAUUAGCAAUCCCGAUUUCUUCAAGAGAUGAGUUGUUGUCCAACCUUUCUGCUAUUGACUCCAGCUUUGAACAUUUAUAAACAUAAAGGGACUUAAGAGACGGAGGUAGAUUGCCAACUUCAAGGGACUCAAGCAUGGCAGGUAACUCGUUUUUUGAAUAUAUACAUGUCAAAGAUGGACAACGGCUAAUUUCUAACUUCUCAAUAAGAGAUGAGUUGUACCUUCCGCUGCUGCUGCUACUCUGGAUGACCUCUUCCACUGUCAAAGUCCUUAUAUUAUCGCAACGCCAGAUCGUCAACUUCUUAAGGCUCGAUGGUAGCUGGACAGCAGCAAUAUAUGUCAACGAACGGCAACCCUCAAUAUACAAGAUCUCGAGAGACGAAUUGGUGUCGCACAUCCAUGCCUCUGGUAACGAUUUCAGUGCAUCACAUUCUCUAAUCUGAAUUUUCUUCAACUUGGAAGGCAGAGCAACCUCAGGAAAGGAAACAAGGGAACUGCAGCCGUAGAAUUCUAUCUCUCUCAAGGAACUGAGGCUGAACGAUGAUUGUGGCAGCUUCACAAGGCCUUCGCAAUAAGUCAAUCUUAGAUAUUCAAGUCUGCAUGACAACUCGCACAGCUGCUGUUGUUGGUCUUUCUCUUCCUCCGCCACCAAGGAUUGAAGUUUGGGACAGCUUGUAAUCGUCAGUCUUUUGAGAGAGCAAAUGUCUUGCAGUAAUUCGUUAUGACUCUUCCAUAUAUAUGUUUCAUUUUUAAUAUUUUUUAUCCACAAUUCUUCCAGUUUUGGUAUUCGCGGCCUCAAUGGCCCUGCGAGAAACACUUGAUUUGAUGUAUCUCUACAAACCACUGAAUUCUGUGACCCGAGAUGAUCAGUUGCACUUCUCCACACAACCUUUUUACAUCCACCAAUAUGCAAGUUGCAAACAGCUGGAAGACUCGUAACUGAAACUGACAAUUCUUCACAUCCUUCAAUUACAAGCAUCUCCAAUGCAGGAAGGUGUUCUGGAAAUGUUCCUUGCAGCUUAGAACAACUUACAAUAUGAAGCUCUCUCAAUUUAGGAAACCCUUUAACUCCCUGACCAGAGCUAAGAGGAAUCCAAUCUUCCCAUUCUUGCAUGUCUUCAAAAUAAAGAGUUUCCAAGCAUGGAAAAGGAAUCGGAGAAUCAUUCCCAUAGAACUCUGAACCCAAACUCUUUACUCUACUCAUUCCACGCACUGCAAGAUGCUUUAGAGAAGGUAGUUGCCCGACUGACGGCAGGGUAGUACACACGUCACAAUCUUUAAAUUUUAAGGUCGCUAAAUUUGAGAAUGAGGAAUCUCCCAACCAAGUUGGAAAUUCUUUACCUCCAUAGCCACCGAUAUAAAAUUGUUCCAGAUUUUCAUGAGGUUUUAGCAUGUCGAGCACAUCCUUUUCAGUUUCUGCCUCCCUUGAAGACAAACCAUUGGUACUCCGUGUCCAUCGAAACUUUAACACUUUAAGAUUCUUCUUUCCAUCCAAUUGAGCCUCCUUCGCAUCACCAAUGUCUUUUACGUUCUCCAAUUUUGAAAUGUUAAGCGUCCCACGAAGAUGCGUCAACAAUUUUAGCUCUCGUAUCCCGGAACUACUGUCUUUUCCCACAACAAAAUUACACAGCGUCUGAAGGCAAGUCAACUUAACAAUUCCUAGUGGCAUCUCCUCCAAUGAAUCUGUCUUUGAAUUAUUGAGAUGAUGCAAUUUGAUGAGAUUUCCCAUGUCUGCACACAACUUCUUCAGUCGCCGACAGCCCUCCAACAGAAGGGUGUGCAAAUUGUAAAGCGUGUUGACUGAUUCAGGCAGAGUUCUAAUCUCAGUUUCAGAUAGGUUGAGGUACCUUAAAUACCUCAAAUCACCAAUUGAAUCCGGUAGCUCAGAGAUUUGAUAUCCAUGCAGUGAGAAGACCCUCAACCGUUGGAGUUUGAACAACUUAGGAAGAAUGCUACGAGCCAAGUAUCCACGCGAACUAUUUAUCAACAUUACUGGUAAAAAGGUUCGCAAAUGUUGGAUAUCGUACAAAUCCUCAAACCUUUUACCUCCAUCAAAAUAUUCAGGAAUGUAUGACAGAUGACGAAGAUUUUUGGAAAAACUUUGUUGCUUGUUAACCUCUGAGGUAUACUCCAUUGUGAAGUAUAUUUCCCCCGCAGCCCAUUGAGCAAGGUCGCUGAUAAGAUCGUGCAUCACAAAUCGUGAUGCAUCGUUGCUUGAUUGCUGGAAAAAAGAUCUUGAGUGCAGCUCCUUAAAGAUCUUACGACUGAAAUCGUCACAAGAAUUCCCACUCCCUUUGUGAUCCAAGAAAUCCGAAGCACACCAUAAUAAAAUUAUCUCCUCCUCUUCAAAUUCAUAAUCCUUUGGAAACAAUGAGCAGUAUGCAAAGCAUUGCCUCAAAGUUGGAGGAAGAUAAUAAUAGCUCACUGCAAGGGCUGGUAUAAUGCCACAUCUCUCUUCUGGUAAUUCCCAUAUCUUGCUACUGAGCACAUCUUCCCACUCACUUCUGUCAUGAUUCCCACGUAAAAGUCCUCCAAGUGUUUGUGCUGCCAAGGGCAAGCCAUCGCAUUUGGUCACUAUCUUCUUGCCGAUUUCCUCCAGUGACUUAUGUGAACUGAUAUCUCUUGUCCCCAAUGAAUGUUCAACGAAUACAGCUAGACAAUCAUUAUCUGACAACUUCUUUAGUUGAUAAGUCGGAACAGUACCCAUAAUUUUAGCAACCUCUUGAUUGCGAGUAGUGACAAUAAUUUUACUUCCUGGUGCGCCAACUUCAAAUGGACGUCUGAGUUGAUCCCAAUCAUCGUAAUUCCGGUUCCACACGUCAUCUAAAACAAGCAAAAAUUUCUUUCCAGAUAGUUGCUUAUUCAGUUUCCCUUGAAGUGAAUUCAAGUUGAGAUUAUCUACGUUCUGGUCAGUAACAAUGGAUGUUAAGAUUGUUUUUGUUAGCCUGAUAACGUCGAAAUCAUCAGAGACACAAGUCCAUGCCUUGAGAUCAAAAUGAUCCAGCACUUGCUUAUCAUUGUAGACAAGUUGAGCAAGAGUGGUUUUGCCCAGCCCGCCCAUACCUACAAUAGGUAUAACAGAGAAUCCACCAUCGUUGCUUAAAUCAUCCCUCAACAGCAGUUCAAUAACAUCCUUCUUUUCGAUUUCCCUGCCAUAUACUUUGGCUUCCUUCACCAAAGAGGUUGUCUCUCGCCUUUUCCUGUCUUUUGUGGUCCUCCCACCCGAACUUACAUUCAAACCCAGCGAGUCCUUCUGUGUUACAAUAUCUUGAAAUCUGCCAUUGAUCUCUUUGAUUUUGGACAUCAUGGCGUAAUCGAACUGAAUCGAUUGUGGAGUAAAAGUGGUGCAGCAAGUAGGAAUGAGCUUCCGAAACUUACUUGUUCUUGUACGACUGCUACUGGGUUGAUCGUGAGCCGCAGCUGGAUCUCCAUUUCCAAGCAGCAACUUCCUCCGGAAAGCCUCAGUUUGAAACUCAUCCAGCAAGUCUUCAACAUCAAAAGCCAAGUUCUGAAGCUCGCCAAGCCAGAACUUUACAGACUGAUCAGUCUUCUUCUCCUCAGCAUCAGCAAGCACCGCCUUGAUUAUCACCAACAUAUUCUUCCACUUCUUUAGGUCGGCUUGGAUUUGCUCUUGGCUUGCAAACAGCCGAAUCCCCUCUGAAGCUAACUUAUUGACCAGCAAAUCAACGGACGCCGUUAGGAUUGCCUCUCCGAUGAAUGACAUAUUUUUUUUCUUUUUCUUUUUCUUUUUUUUUUGGUUUUGCAAAGAAAGAAAGGAGCAGAAUUAUGGGUUAUGGAAAGCAGAAUGAGAAAAUGGAACAGGUGAGAAAAUGGAUAAUUAAGCAGAAUGAGUUUGUGAUUGUGAAGGGUCUGGCCCAGCAAGCUUAGUAGAAAUCACGCGUUGAUACUUUAUUGACCAAUGACUAAUAAUUUGGCAAUUCACUCAUCACCACCACUUGGUAAGCAAAAUGAAAAUGCUUAGUAAUUAAGUGUCAAGGGUCAAGCAAAAUACGACGUAAAAUGUGUCAAGGGUCUCCCCACUUGUUGUUCCUUGCAGCUUAGAAAAGAAGAACAGAGCCCACCACCCAUUAAUAUUUAGCAAUUCACCAAUCAUCACCACUUGUUACGAAACCAUCUCAUAAACCAAGUUCAAUCAAAACUCCUAAAACGUUUCUUUUUAGAAAUAUUUUACUUUAUUCAUCUAAUAUGUUAUCUAACAAAUAGACACAAUUGAAAUCACUCUAAAGUGAAGAUGAAAGGGGAAAAAAAUAACCUUCCAACCACCAGUAAUUUAGCAAGCUUCACUUUAUUCCACCAAAGUGUAAAUAAAGCCAGCCCCCACCACCAUCAAUAAUUUUGCAAGCUUCACAGGCUUGUUGUCUUCUCCUUGACGAACUGGACAUGAGUGGACCAAGAAUCAAUGACAGAAUUUUAAAAAUAAUAAUAUGAGAAAAACCUAAACAUUUUCGACUUAGAGUAGAACCGUAAUUAAUGCUAAAAUCUACUCAGCUAACAUUUUCAAAAUAUUGUUCUUUAUGAUUUUCAAAACCGUGAUUAAGUUUUAUCUCAAAUGUUUGAAGAGAGUCUAUCAGUUCUUCUACGCUAAGAAUCUCAAAAUUCUUACUUUUUCUUCAAACGUUGAAUAUUGAAAAAAAAAAGUUGAAUAUGAAAGAAAAUAGAAUGCAUCCAUCUUCGCUGUAGAAGUCUUCUACUUAUAAAAGUAAGUUAGAAUAAACGAUUUUAAUCUCUCUUUUUAUUCCUGUAAGUGCACUACAUUUUUUUUUUAAUCUCAAUGCGAAAAUUUUAGAUAAAACAAAUUCGACUCAUUUUUUAAAGGUAUAUAUUUAGUAGGUUACUAACAUAACUAACAAAACGUGAUUAUUACACUAAAUAAAAUAAAAGACAGUACUAUCACCAAUAAUUUAGCAAGUUUCGCAUGCACGUGUUUCUAGAAAUACUAUAUGGAAUCAAACAACGGUGAUACAAAGAGAAAAGUGGAAAUCCUCUGAUUGUAUUUUUUUUUUCUUUUUCAAAAGAAAUGGUGGGGUUGGUUUGUUUGCAAAGUUAUUAGCGUGGGUCUAUUUGUUUUUGUUUUAACUUUAUUAAUCAAUAAGCAAACAUGUAAUGAUUUGUAUAUAUCACUAGCAUCACAUUAUUGGGAGGUAUUGCGCUUAGUAUUCAUAAUGUUUGUAAGAUGAAUUUGUAAGACUUAUUAAUUUUGAUGAAAAUGUAUCGGUAUUAAGAUAUUAUUUAAUUCAUUAAGUUAACUUGAGGUAUUAAUAUUCACUGAUUGUGGUGCUGAUUAAUUUACUUAACUUGUCACUAUUUACAAUUAAGAAUGAGGUUCAAUCAAUUUAUUGGGAAAAAAAAUAAAGAUUUGAUUUUAAUUCUUAGGAUUUGAUUUCGCUCUCUUUCGCUUUUUUACGUUGCUAAAGAGGCAGUAAAAAGCUUGCUGAAUGUCAUCAAAUGCUUGUAUCUCAUCUCACAAAUUGACAAUAUUUGUUUGGUAUUUCAUCUCAACGGAUGCAGUAAGAAUUGCCUCUCCGAUGACUGACAUUUUUUUUUCUUUUUUCCGGCAAAGAACGAAACAGAAUUUUGAGUUUCGAAAAGCAAAAUGAGAAAAUUGAGCAAUUCACCAAUCGGUCAAGCAAAAUGUGCGUAACAAAUCUUCCGCUUGUUGUUUAGUCCAGUAAAGUGAGAAUAAAAACAGAGCCCACCACCCAUUAAUAAUUGAGCAAUUCACCAAUCACCAGUCGCCACCACUCGUUACCAUGAAUAUAAUAAAUUGCAUCUUGAUAUUUGCAGCGUCCAGCAACAUUGACCCAGUGUCCGGGUAAAUGCUGAAUAACGAGGAAAAUGGAAUGUAUCCGCUACGAACCUUCGCUUUAAAGUCUUCAAACUCAUAAACCAAGUUAAAUCAAAACGUUUAUCUCUCUCUCUCUUUUUGCCAUAUAAUUACUUUAUUUAUUGAAUUAAUUUCCAUGCUAAAAGGAAGACUUAAAACUGCACUACAAUUUUUUAUAAUCACAAUGGUAAUUUCUACUAUCAUGUUAUUUUAAUGUCGUGCUAAAAUAAAUUAUUAUAAAGUUUUUUUUAUGAACACUCUUUUCAUUUAUAAAUUUAUAAAUUUUUAAUAUUUUUCUCACUCUUUUAGUCUUAAUAUUUGUAUUUCUCUCUUCAAACUUUCUUUAUUAUUUAAUUUUUAAAGAAAAAUAUAAAAAAAAAGUAAGAAAAAUAUUAUACUUAAAAAAUAGUGAAUAUUUUAUGGGUCUAAUACAAGCCAGUAUUGUUUUUGACAAUGAAAGAGCACGCGAAAAAUCUCACUCAUAGAAAACUUUGUGAAAGGCAUUUGAAUGUGUGGCCACAUUUUCCGAACGAAACGAUAAGGUUUUAGCCUUCUAAUUGCAAUUAGUUUGUCUUGUAACUAAAUUAUUGCCGACAAACACCAUCAUGCUGACAAACCGUGCAUGCACGUCCUCUACUUGUGUAAAAUUCCCAUAUUUCCCAUUACUUCCCGUACUUUAUGCAUUAUUGUUUUGUAUGUCUUUUUGGUGUUUACGGUGUAGUUAGGGAUGGUAGCGGGUAGGGUCUGGUACGGGUUUGACAUCACCAAACCCGCAUCUACAAAAAAUUUUAAUUACGUAAUUCAAAUUAUAAAUUUAUAACUGUUGCCUAAAAAAAACCACAUAAAAUACUUAAUUCUAGAUUUUAUCAAUGUAAAUGAGAAAUGAAAAUAUCAACAUUAAAACAAAUACACAAAAUAUAUCAAUUUAACACGAAUUCUCAAAUUCAAUUAGCAAAUAAAUAAGUCAAUCACAGCUCGAAGUGCUUUCAAUUUAAAAAAAAAAAAAAGAAAGAGAAAAAAACAAAGAACUACAAAUCAAAGUAGCACCCAGACCUAUUUCAUAGGCUCAUUCGACACUAAGAUCUUAGAAUUAAGAUCUUCAAUUCAUUCAUUACCACUAGCACCCAUUCAAAGUGGUUUUUCUAAGCAAAAUAUAAAGUACAAAAUUACAAUAAGCAUAUGAUACUCCAUGCUUUAAGUUAAAGGUCCUUAUAUAAUUUUAUGAAUAAUGUUUUAGUGAAAUUUUAUGAUUAAAGUUAAAAAUACACAAAUAUUAAAAUAAGAAUGUUGGACACCUACGCAAUUAUUUGCCAAAUUUUUUCUCUAUAAAAAUUCACUUGCAACUUGCAGCAGGUUUAAAUUUAUAAUAUCAAACUUGAUUGUAGCUCGCAAAAUUUUUAGAUUUGCAAUCAUUUUACCACCCUAAGUGUAGUUAGUAUUGUAUAUCGUGUGUUUCCAAUUGGCUCUUAUAAAAAGCCUAGAAGUUGUUUGAAUAAUGAGGGAGACAAAUAUUUCCCAAACAUAUUCUCUUUUUCAAAUUUUUUUCUUUUCUCUAUUAUUGUAACUUCAAAUCCUUAAAAAUUACAUAUUACAGACAUGAACACAAUGUUUUGACAUAGUGGCUUUUGGCUUGUCCAGAGAAAUUUAGGAUAGAUUUUGAUGUACUAAGGCUCUGUUUACUAUUGAGAUUUUGGAACUUUUGAGCCACACUUGAAAUUUGUUUAAUUCUAAUAGAGUUGUAGCCUUCGAUAUGUGCUUGGUAUUAAUCAAGUGUUAUGUUUACAGCAGUUAAAGGCAUAUUGAAUCAAAGUCCACUUUUGAUUGAGAUUUUAAAGUAGGUUUUUAAUUUGAUAGCCACUCAAGUUCAAAUAUUGGAACCACAGUGCACCUUUCACUUGCUAGGCUUUAACCAAACAGACGACGUUAUACAAACUUCUAUCCAAUAAGGCAAUGCAAACAAAAGCAAGUGAAUUAAAAAUAAAUAAUUUCUCAUUAAUUUGCAACAAGUAUUAAUAAAGUGCAUGAGAAAAUAUGUCUUUUCUUAAAUGAAAAUAAAUGUGUUAAUUAGUCAAUUUAAAUGGUACGAUGUUUUGAAAUGAUAGAGCGAUAUGGAGUUUAAAUCUUACUCUUGACGUAAUAUUUAAUAACGAAUUUGAAGAACAAUUAAAAAUUAAAAGAAAAGAAAAAAAUGCUUUCUUUUUUAACAAUGGUAAUUUGUUCAGAUGAUGAAAAUUCUUAGAGUGGUAUAAUAAGUAUUUUUGAGUGUUGCCAUCGCCAAUAAUAUUUAAUUUCCUUUAUAUAGUUAUAUCUCAAGUAACAUUUAAACAAAAGCAAGUUGGAAAUUAAAAAAAAAAAUGAACCAUUGAGAGAAUGAAAAACAAACAAAAAAAAAGUUAAAAAAUUGUAUCUCAAUAAAUUUACUUGAGAGCUACUAUACUGAUAUGUGAAGAGAAAACACAAAGAAUAAUGAUGUAUCUCAAUUAAUAGGACAAUUUUUGUAUUUUUCGUUUAUUCAAGAAUCACGAAACUUCAUUUAAACUUGUUAUUUCAUUGAUAAUAUAUUAACAUUGAACAAUGUAGGGGACAUUCCUUUCCAAUUAUGCCCAUAUAUUAACUAAAGGCCACCAAAAAGUUCAGGGAUACUAUAGUAAUUUAAGUCAACAAUUACUAUGCUUGAAAUCAGCCAAUCAAACUCACUUUAGAAUAAAUUGAGAAAUCAAAAUCACAUUCUCCAAUUCUACGAUUUCAAUUCAUCUUCUUUCUUCAACUGAAGAAUUGGUUGUAUCUCGUUUAGAUAAAUAUAAAAUAUAAAUGACAAGGAGACUAGAAAAGUAAAAUCAAAAGAAGAGCAAGAGUUUUGUUGAAAAUGACUCUUUUUCAUCAUUGUGCCGGAGUGAAUGUAUCUACAUAUAAACUAAAGAAGCACGUUUGUUUGUAUUAGCUUUUUUAUUGUAUUUUUAAUAAUAAGUCAUUUUUCAAUGAACUUAUAUCAAUUUUUAUGAAAAUAAUAGGUGUUAGUUAGUUGAUUCAAAUGGCAAAACCUCUUGGGAUAGAGCUUGUAAUUUAUUGGCUCAUGAAUUGUCUAAAUUGACACUAACGAAGCCAAAUUACUGUGAUUGGUUAAAAAAGCUCCUGCUCAGCUUCAACUUUAUUAUUCUAUGAUGUUUGUUAAUAAAUAACAAUUUUAUUGAAAAAAAAAAGACCCCUUGAACUUAUACAAAAGAUUUGGGAUCUGAAUCUCACUCGAAUUUAGCUUGAGGUUGGCAUUGUUAGCAUAAUAUUUGAAGAAUUGAAGAUAGAUUUUUUUAAAUUAAAAAUCAAAAGAUAUAUAUAUAUAUAUAUUGGUUCACACUAGUUAGUUUUAACUCAUAGUGAGAUUUAAACAAAAGUGGAAUAAUAAAUCUUAACAUCCUGACUCAUGGAUAACAUCUAGAUAAGAUAGUAAAAUCUAUUAUGUCCAAAAUAAAAGGUAUGCAGUUUGAAUUUCGCUCACAUAGGUAGUAAGAGAAUCAAAUUAUUGUUAGAUUAAAUUAAUUAAAAAAAUUAUCUGAUAUCCAAAACAGCGUAUCAACAAAAUUGAAAUAAAAGAAAAUUGAAGAGAAAAACCAUUGAGAGAACGAAAAAUUAACACAAGAUAAAUUGGAUAACUAAUUGUAUCAGUGUGCGCUAACUUCACUUAUUAAAACUUGGUUAUUUCAUUUUCAUUGAUAAUCAUUUUGACAACGAUUUUUCUUUCCAGCUAUGCCCAUGAACUAAUAAGAGAACUGCCGAAAGGGUUCGGGGAUAAUAUGGUAAUUUAAAUUAACAUUUCCUGUGCUUCAAAUCACACUUCACAACAACAGAGAAAUCAAACUCACGGUUUCUCUCAUUUUUAAUUUAUUAUAUAAAGAUAAAUAUAUAAAAUUAAAUGGCGAGAAGACCGGACGAGGAAUACGAUUACUUGUUCAAAGUGGUAUUAAUCUAAAAACAAUAAUAUUAAAUAAAACACCUGGGAGUCGUAAUGGAAAGAAGAAUACAAUAUAUGAAACUUAUAAUGUUAUUUUUACUAUAUUAUAUUGAUACUUUAUUUUGUUAAUCAUAUAAGUCAAUCAGUAAUUAUUUAAUCAUUGGAAUUAAAACUAAUAUAUUAAUUAAAAUUCAAAAUCUAUUAUAAAAAUAGUAAAUAUUAAUAUAAAGAGAUGGACCUAUUACAAAAUACAUUCACCAAAAGUUCUAUUAUAUUUAAAAUUCUCAUUCACAAAAAAAAAAAAUAAUAGUUGAAUACAUGUACAAAAAAAGGGGAUAAAUAAAAAAUAAUAAUAAUAAAUAAUAAAAGAAUAGUUUAUAUAAUAAAAAAUAAAUUUAUUGAAUAGGGAUGUUAAUAAUAAAGAAUAAUAGCCUAUCAAACUCACAUUCUCCGAUUCUACAAUUGAAUCUUUUUCAUCAUUUUGUUGGAGUGAAUGUAUCUACAUAUAUUGGGGACCAUAAUGGAAACCGGUAGAACCUACAAGGGUUAAAAUCAAAACAACGAACGAUAUCUCAAGGUCGCCGAAACGUAAAUAAUUAAUCUUAUCUUUCAAUUGAUUUUUGUGGAGCCAGAGACAAUUAAACCCGAACAGCAAAUAGCCAUAAAUGAUAGGACAAUUAAAUUGGAACUCUUCACAGACCCACGAUUUAAUAUCUUUAGAUUGUAACGGUUUAACCCAAAAAAAAAAAAUAGUAAAAUAUUUCUUAAAAAAAUGAAAAAAAAAAUGUUGAAAAGAAGAACAAAAUUCUGGUCCACGUGUCAUUUCAAAAUAGGUUGCUGGCAUAAACAACCGGCCCCAUCCCGGACAGAUGUUAUUUGAGUGGUUGGUGCGCGUUUCCACUUUUUUGUUUUAGAUGCAACGACUUAUGUACUAUAUAUACAUCUCUCUCGUAUGAAUAAUGUAUAUAUAAAAUUUGCAUACAUUAUUCAUAUGAGAGAGAUGUAUCUUAUAUACAUAUAAGAUAGGAGGAUUCAUGAAUAUAAUGUUAUAUAUAUAUAUAUGGAUUCGGCUAUGGUACCACAGUGGUACCGUGCCACUUCUUUUGUUUUUUAUGGCUGUGUUAUUGUAAAUUUUCAUAUAACCCCUUUCAUUCAUUUUUAUUUACACUUUGUUUCACAAGUAUUAAGUUAAUUUCUCCCAAAUCCGUGAAUCCUUCAACGGUCGAUCAACGGCAAAUCAGCUCCUCCAGUAGCUGUCGCUGGUCGUAAAAGACAGAGGGAAUUGUGGGGAACAAAACUCAGGUGGUGGCGUCACCGGAAACCAACAAAAUCGUGGUGAAUUGAUCUGGCUUUUCACGGCUUCGAUCUGCAGCUUUUCGAACACUUUCCGGCGACAAGGAUGGCAUGGAGAUGACCGGCAUUGCAUGAGCUUCCGAUCUGUACCAACCUUGGCUGGUGGAGUGGCCGGAAACGGAAACGGCAUGCGGGUCGGGUUUGCGGGUUUGGUUUGACAUGGAGAUGACCGGCGUCGCACGAUCUUUCGAUCGGUACCAACCUUGGUUGGUGGAGUGGCCGGAAAUGAAAACAGAAUCCGGAUUGGGUUUACGAGUUCGGGUUGAUCCAAUUCUUUUCCUUGUUAAUUAUUUAAUCUAAAAAUUAUAAAGAGUGGGGUAUUGUGAUAUAGGUAUAAUAUAGAAUAAAAAUUUAUAAAUAAUAAAUAAUACAAGGUGCUAAUUAAAAUAUUUAUAUGGAUGUAGUAGAUAUUAACUUAAUAUUUGUAAAGUAAAGCUUAAAUAAAAAUGAGUGAAGGGGUUAUAACACAAAAUUUACAAUAACACAGCCAUAAAAAACAAAAUAAGUGGCACGGUACCACAAUGGUACCGUAGCCGGAUCCUAUAUAUAUAUAUAUAUAUAGAGGUAAAUGUAAUCCCUAUCUUACAUGCAUGUAAAAUAUAUUUCCCUCAUAUGAACAAUAUAUGUGUGGAAUUCACGUACUGUUUAUGUAAGAGAGAUAUAUCUUACAUACAUGUAAGAUAUGAGGAUCCAUGAAUCUAAUGUUAUUAGUUUAAAUAAUGGGUGCAACUCAUGUUUUUGAAACAUUAAGAUCUUUAGCCAUUCUCUUAUUAUCCCGUGGUUAUUUAAGUUAAAAGAGACAGUAAAAAAACAACGUCAUAUUUUAAUUACUUACACUAAAUAAAUUACUCACACUGAUGCCGCGACUGCCGCUUGCUUUUUUUCUUUUUUUUGCCCUUUUGAUUUUGACUUUUGCUUUUACUUUUUGACUUUUGCUUUUCGUUUAUAAUAAUAAUAAUAAUAACUACUUUUUAAUUUAAUAUAAUAUUAAAUAAUAUUUUUAUUUUUAAUUUUACAUUAUAAUUAUUAAUAUAUAAUUUAUUAUUUAAUAUUAUUAUAUUAUGUUUUUUAUUUUUACAUUAUAAUUUAUAAAUAAAUUUAUAAUUUAUUAUAACUAAUAAUAAAUAUUUAAAUUUGAAUAAAUUUAAAUAAUAUUAAUUUAAAAUUAAUAAUAAUAUAAAAUAUUAAUACAAUUUAAAUAUAAUAUAAUAUUUAAUUUGAAUUAAUCACAAAAAAUUAAUACAAUACAGUGUAGCACCAAACAUUGUACAUUAUUAUUAUAAUACAGUACUAAUACAAUGCAACAUAAUAUAAUACACCAACAUUAAAAUAAUACAAUCUAAUAUAAUAUAAUACAGUGUGCGAAAUGCACCGACAUGGUAUUACUUUGUUUGUCUUGUUAUUUACAAUUAUUUAAUCUGUAGACCCACUCAUGCUCCUUCUAUGUAACAUAGAUACAAUUUGAGGAAGAUUAUCAAUUUUUUUCUGAUUAAAAAUAAUAUAUACUACUUAUUUUUUAUUGUUUUUAUAAUGUUCAACAAUCCGCUUGAGAUAAAAAAAAUUAAAUGAAAAGGAGGAGUAAAUAGAUGAUUUACUUGAUGUUGUAUCUUAGAAAUAUAAAAUAUAUUUAUUUAUUAUUAAAAAUAUUUAAAAAUAAUAAAGAGUACAUAAAAAGUAUCUUAUCCUCAACAACAAGAUCAGACGACGUCAAUUCAGCAAAAUGACUUGAAUAACUUGAAAGUCUAGCAGCCGUCACCUCUAGGCGCACACAUGGCAACGUGCGUGGCUUUGGCAAGAGGUCUCCCAAAAGGACGAUUAAGAAAAGAUUGCAGGACAAAUCAUGAAAAUAGUAGUACAGAUAUGCAAUGGCUAAAUUUCCUCUAUUAAGUCCAUCGCAAUCAAGUCUUAGAAAUCACACCCCUGUAUUAAUUUCCAGAAAUAUGUUUGUUCCAUAUUCAUCGUGCACGUAUAUAUUGUAUGUAUUGGGAAUAGAAAGAGUAUGUAAAAAUUCUUCAUUCAUGGAUUAAAACUUAAUUUAUGUACGAGGGUUAAGUGUAGUGUUUUUAAAUUUAAAAAGGACAAGUGUCAAUCCACUGAGGCUUGCUUCAAUGGCUAGAGCCACACUCCCUCACAAAGUGGUUCGAUCUCCCACAAAUACAUUAUAGAGGUUUAAUUUAAAUUUUUUUCUUAAAUUUUGAGUGAAGACAGUCUUUCUUCCAGAAAUAGAAUUUUUCUGAGAGUUUGACGCCCCUCGAAUAUUUGAGAUGAUUAAAAUUUGAGCGGUGCUAUAUAAAAUAUAAAGUAAACUAAUCUAAAUAAUUGUAUAAUUAUAAAUAUAAUGAACAAUAGUCUCAUACAAAAAAAUGACAAGUGUAGUAAGUCCAUUUAAAUUAACUUAUAUUUGAGGGGAAAAUCUCUGUAUAUCAUAGUAUAUAUUAUAUAUCCAGUCGUGGGACCCAUACAUGGUUCCAUGUAAUUCGCACAGUUGAACUGGAGACACUGAUUAGUUCGUUGUCUAUUUACCAACUUAUGUACAACUAAGUAAUUUCAUGCACCAUUUGCGCCUUAUCUAUCCAGCCUGCUUGCAUUGCAUUAACUAAACAUACAAUGAAAUUAACCCUUGUAAUUUCGGCCUUUGCCAUAGUCGUUUUGUUUAUUAGGUUUAUGUUUAUCAACAUGAUAUAUUGUCAACCAUAAUCACAAUCAGGUUGUUAAUUAUUUUUAAAUAAUGUGAAGGAACAAGAUUUUGGUCUUUGAGUGUGGAGUUAAAAAUAUCUCACCUCAAUAUACGGUGUUGUGCUCUCAUCAUCGUAAUAUUAUUUGUUAAAAGUAUGUCAAAGAGGAAAGCAGAUUCAAACAUUACUUCAAUUUUCUUUAAGAGCAUAAAAAAAUCGUUAAUAGGCUACUGUUAUUUGUUAGUACGAUUUCACAAAAGGAAGCUAGAGGAAGAUGAAGCUUUCAAGUCAUGUAUGCAUCAAAGGAAGAAACAGAGCUAACGAGAUAUGGACAAUUUUAAAUUUGUCAGCAUUUUGUCAGUUCUGGCCAUAUUUUGAAAGAUUAGCACCCUAAUUUUCUUUUAAAGCUCCUUUUCUGUCGAAAUCUAUUUCAAUUUCCAAAAUAUCUUUUUUCAUUUUUUUAGUUUCUUUCUGAUUCCAAAAAAAAAAAAAAUCAGUUUCUUAAACAACUCCAACUACAAAUAUUUUUUUUUACAAAUUUUUGAAUUAUUAAAUCAUAUGUGUGUGUAUAAAUUGAAUAGAAUUAAAAGUGGACUCAAAUAGCUAUUAUGUAAUUUUUUUAUAAUUAAAGAAAAGUUUAGAAUGCAAAAGUGUGUGUGGGAAAACAAAAAAUAUAAAUUGCCUUUGAUAUAAUUAUAUAAAACGGGUAGGUUUUAUAAGAAUUUUUUAGAGGAGUGCCAAUAUUUCAACUCUUUUUCAAAUAAAGUGAUGUCCUGGAAUAAAAUCACUACUCUAUCAUUGCUAUUAGUUUGUCUUGUAUUUCAAUAAUUGCCGACAAGUAUUAAUUGUGAAUAUUAUUAUUUUAAAAAUAUUAUUAUUAUUAUCGUCGUUAUUCUUAACAGCAAUGACUAGAAUUAUAAUAAGAACAAUAACGUUAAUACAAUAAUAUAACAACAUAAUAAUAUUUUAAUUGAGAGGAUAAGAAUGAAAUUAUGAAAUUUAGGUUGGGUAAAAACGAUGAGUAUGAAGAAAUUAAAUUACCAUUUUUUAAGCUAAACAGUUCAUAAAUUCCACAUAUUUCAUACUUAUUUCUCUUAUAUUUUAACAAGUAAACAUUAUCAAUCGUUUAAUAUUUUAAUUAAUAAACACGGCAUUAACUACGGAACUAAAAGAUCCCAAAAAAAAAAAAAAAACACAGAAAGGCGUGUAUGUAUUGCUUGUGACAAAUCUCACCCAUGGAAAACUUUGUGAAAGGCAUUUGAAUGUGUGGCCACAUUAGCCUGAUGAUUGCAAUUAGUUUGUCUUUUAAUUAAAUUAUUGCCGACAAACACUAACACGACCCACGUCCGCUACUUGUGUUAAUGUGUGUAUAAAUAUCCGCAGCAUAUUAUCAAACCUGAUGCGUGAUCCUCUUUAACUUUUGGUUAGGGUUCAUCAGACGUUAGAAGACAUCUUUUCUAAUUUGAAGAAGAUGGAAACUCCUUAUCCAUGUUCUUAGGCCAUGUUCAAUUGAAUCUCAUUUAUAAUUUUUAUUUUAAUAUUAUGUAUUUAUGAAUACAAUUAUUGUUAUGACUUUUUUAGGUAAGAAUGGAUGGUCUGAGGGUAACCCAAUAACUAUGUACAGUAUUAUUAAUGAUGAGAGCGUGAAUGACAAUUUGGAUUUUUUUCUCGUCCCUCAAUACGGAAGAAAUCUUGACCAUAGCGGUUAAGUGCUAUGUAACUCUUUCGUAUUAUGUUUAAUUAAUAGUAAAAUGAUGGGUUAUUAUUACCUGUCAAUUACGUGAGUGUCUUUGUUUGGUUUAGUUCAACUUAUAUAAUCUCUUGAGAUAUACAAGAGAUUUUCUUUAUUUACUUUCAUGUACCGCGUCUUCUUGUAAAAAGAAAUUAAUAAAAAAAAUAUCAUUGUGUGCAAUGUAUUGACUAAGUUAGUGUAUUCAUGUUAGCUUAAUUGUGCUCUCUCUUCUUGGUUAAAACAAACUCCACAUAUUGUUGGUUAGCUAAUUCUUGCAGCUAGCAAGUGAUCCUUUUCUUUCCCCUACUGCUGUAGCAUCAAAUCCUUACCAUUACAUAUCAAGUGGUAUUCGAGCCGUCAAAUGAUCCAUGGAAACGCGCAACAAAUCAAAUGCUGAAUUUUGCGAAGAGAUUCACGAAAUCCUUGCUGUACAUGAGUCUAGUUUAUUUCAAACUACGCGUGCAAUGUUCCCGUUAUUGUUUAGUAUGUCUUUUGUUGUUUGCAAUGUAGUUAGGGAUGUUAGCGGGUAGGAUUUGGUACGGGUUUGAUAUUACCAAAAGCUGCAUUUGUAAAAAAAUUUUAAUUAUCAAAUUCAUUGUGGGUUUUAUUUAUUCUUUUAACAAAGCCCAUCAGCUGUGGGUUUAAAUGGUACCUGAUGGAUAUUUUGUGAGUUCCCACGUAUAAAAUCACACUUGCAACAAAACCUAAAAACUUAAAUUACGUAAUUCAAAUUAUAAAUUUAUAAUCAUAGUCUAAAAAACCACAUAAAAUACUUAAUUCUAGAUUUUAUCAAUGUAAAUGAGAAAUGAAAGUUUUAAUAUUAAAAUAAAUACACAAAAUAUAUCAAUUUAACACAAAUUUUCAAAAUUAAUUAUCAAAUACGUAAGUCUAUCGCAACUCAAAGUGCUUUCAAUUGAAAACGAAAAAGAGAAAGAGAAAAAAAACAAAGAACUACAAAUCAAAGUAGCACCCAUGACCCAUUUUGCAGUCUCAUUCAAUACCACUAGCACCCAUCCAACACGAUUUUUCUAAACAAAGUAUAAAGUACAAAAUUACAAUAAGCAUAUCAUACUCCAUGCUUUAAGUUAAAGAUCCUAAUAUAUUUUUAUGAAUAAUUUUUUAAUGAAAUUUUAUGAUUAAAAUUAAAAAUACAAACAUUCAAAUAAGAAUGUCGGACACUUGCGUAACUAUUUACCAAAUUUUUUCUCUAUAAAAAUCGACCUGCAACUUUCAAUAGGUUUAAAUUUAUAAUAUCAAACCUAAUUGCAGCUCGCAAAAAUUAUCCGUUGCGGCCAAGACUUUGGAUUUGCGAUGAUUUUGCCACCCUAAGUGUAGUUAGUAUUGUAUAUCAUGUGGCUCUUAUAAAAAGCCUAGAAGUUGUUUAAAUAACGGGGGAGACACAUAUCUCCCAAAGAUUUUCUCUUUUUCAAAUUAUUAUUUUUUCUCUAUUAUUGUAACUUCGAAUCCUUAUAAAUUACAGAUUGGAGACAUGAACACAAUGUUUUGACAUAGUAGACUUUUGGCUUGUCCAGAGUAAUUUAGGAUAGAUUUUUACGCACUAAGGCUCUAUUUACUAUUGAAGUUUUAGANNNNNNNNNNNNNNNNNNNNNNNNNNNNNNNNNNNNNNNNNNNNNNNNNNNNNNNNNNNNNNNNNNNNNNNNNNNNNNNNNNNNNNNNNNNNNNNNNNNNUAAAUAUAUAAUCCCAAGAAAACCAGUAAUAAUAAUGGAAUCCUCCGUAAACAAAUAAUUAAAUAAUAGCAAAUAAUAAGUGGACAAAGCUAAGUUCCAGAGAUGAUAUAGGAAAUUCUCCCGCACGACACGGCAGAAACAAACUUUCCCUUUCAUUUUCUUUUCUCUUUCUCGCUCUCCAAACAGAGCAAAAGGACCGUGGCAAGAUUCUUCACUUCCAUCCAAAAUCAUGAGCAACGAAUAGUGAGCCUCCCUGUUUCCUUCCUUUUUUUGAUAUUAACCUUGUUAACAUAUACUCAUUUUAAUUUGACAAUACUUCAACUUUUUUUAUUUUUUUGCCUUUUCAUUUUUUUUGUUGAAGCAAUUAUCUGUUCAAGCUGUUGCUCAUCGGAGACUCGUCCGUCGGAAAGUCUUGCCUGCUGCUCCUAUUUGCUGUCUGUUGACUUUUCCUUUCCCUUCUUAUUUUCUUUUUUUAUAUUAAUUACUUUCUAUUUUAGCUUUUUGUUCUCUGAAUUUGUGUUAUUAAAAUGAUAAUUUAGAUGAUAAAUAAUUGUUAUUCUUGUAAAUUUCGGUUUUCAUUACGUUAAUUGUUAGUUUUUAGGUUUAUUAAUGUAAUUUUUUUUUUCAAUUUUUCAGGAUGAUUCUUAUGUCAUAGCUACAUCAGUACCAUUGGAGUUGAUUUUGUGAGUCUCUCUUCUAUAUAUAUGUAUAUAUGUGUAUAAGUUAUAAUAUGAGUCUAUGUACGUGUAUGUAUGUAUGUGUAUGCAUAUGGGGAAAGAAAUGUUGGCAGACUUCAGCAUUUUACUCUUUUUUUUUUUUUUUUGGCAGAAAAUAAGAACUGUGGAGCUGGAUGGGAAGACGAUCAAACUGCAGAUUGUGAGUCAAAAUUUCCUUUUAUCUUGUAUUGAGAGAAAUUCGAUUUGUCUUAUUUAGUGAAGGUUAUUUUCAAGAACCUUGUCUUAUUUUCUUUGUUUGAAGAGUGGUAUGUUGAAAUGAGUGUAUUUGUCUUAUAAACAUCAUUUAGGUAAUGUCUUAUGUUUGAUUGUUUUUAAUCUGUUUAGUGGGACACUGCUGGACAGGAGCGUUUCAGGACUAUAACUAGCAGUUAUUACCGAGGAGCCCAUGGAAUCAUAGUAAGGAGCCUUCCCGUUCUUGGUUUAAAUCAGAAAGUUUGUGAUUUACAUGUGACAUCUUAACAGCAUUGUAUGUGUUUAUUAACUUAUUUUUCAUCUUUCAUUAAGCAGUACAUUUUCCAAUAAAUCUGUAUACAAGAUGAUGUAGUCCAAGAAUGGGAGCCAUAAUAUGAUGCAAAUUGUCUAAUAAAUUCUUAUGACAUAUGAUGUUGUCGGAAGUAAAAGUCUUGCAAUGCUGUAUUCUCUUUUAAGAAAGAAUAAGUGGUAAUUUUGUUUUUCCAAUUUUUUAAUUGAGCAACUGUAUGAGAUUAAUUAAAUGUGUUGGGAUUUCAACAGAUUGUCUAUGAUGUAACUGGGAUGGAGAGCUUCAAUAAUGUCAAGCAGUGGUUGAAUGAGAUUGACAGAUACGCAAAUGACAGUGUAUGCAAGCUUCUAGUUGGGAACAAAUGCGAUUUAGUUGUGAACAAGGUUGUGGACACACAGACAGCCAAGGUAUAUUCAUGACUUUUGUCGCCUGAACUUUGAAUAUAAUUUUAAACUCUUCUCAAGUGCAUUUGCUUGGUAAGUUUCUGCAUACCCAGGACACUCAAACUUUGGACAGUCUGUAUCUCGAGUUGGAAUCUUUUCUGUCAAUACGACUUGUUAAAAUAAGGGUUAUUAUUGUUUGAAUCAUUCAAGAAUUGCAAUAAAUCUAAAGUCCAUAAAAAAUAUGAUUCCAUCAUUUUACUAUUAUAUCUAGACAAAAUCCAUUAUUUUACUACAUUUCAUUGGCACCGAUAGUUGACCUGUUGGCUGACUGAUAAAAUAUCAAUUUUGCACUUUAUAUUAAUUAUUUUUUGGUUAAAAAAUAACACACAAAGUAUUACAAUAUUAUAAAUUCAAAAUAUAAAGUAGUUAAAAAUAAUUCCUAUUAGCCUAUGAAUAUAAUAUUUGAUACCUCUAUUUGUGUAAUUUUUUUCCAAUGGUGAAAUUGUUAUUUUUUUUGUACUAACGGAAAUGUAGUAAAAUCAUAAGUUUUGUAAAGAUAUAGUAGUAAAAUGAUAGACUAAAAUACUUCUUGUAGUUGUUUGAUAUAUUGUAAUUCUUAAAGUAGUCAAUUGAUAAUAUCCCCUAAAAUAAAUGUUCGUAAUAUGUUCUCAUUUUAAUGCAACUGAUUGUUUAAUAAAAUUGUAUUUCUUUGUUAAUCUUUUAUCAUGUGCAUGCUCAGUGAGAAUUUGACUUACUAGAACACAAGUUUGACUUUUCAUUUAAAUGUCUCUUGUAUCAUAUCCUUCAAUGUUGAGUGUGAUUCCAAUAAAAUUGAGUAGGGAGAUCCUUAAAUACCUUUUCCUUUUUUCCAAGGGCCUGCCAAAUUGCUCUAAGUGGCUCUACCCUUUAUCAAUGAAUAAUGAAAAUAAAAUUUUUAUUAAAGCAUUUUGUUCCUUAAAUGGUGACUAAUAGUACCCCUUUUUUUGGAGAGGAAAGCCAAACAUGCCCAAAGAGAAUCAUUUACUUUCCUCUAAUGUAUUUUCUAAUUCGUUUUGAGCCUUGAAUGUCUGUUUUGGUGCGUAUUCUCAUUCCAUGUCGAAUCUUAUCCAUAUGGACAACCCCACUUACAAAAAAGUCUAAUGAAUCUAUUGAAGUUCAUAUGAGGUUUGUGCUUUAGAUUUAGACCUCUCUCUCUCUCUCUCUCUCUCUCCACUUACAUGUCUUUCACUUACCUGUUUGCAUGCACGCCCAUGCACACACUUUCAAGAUAAUACACGGUCACUCGUACUUGUGUUUUGGUUGAAUUACUGGCUGCUAACCUCUGUAAUUCAGUUUGAAACUUGCCACCCUUAGUGCUUCACUCAAAUGGUUGGUUAGGGUGAGAUCUGUAUCGUUUUCCUGGUCUCUUUCCAAGGUUAUCUAAAGGGAUUUGGCAGUCUGAUUCUUUAGGGAAUAUCAUUGCAUAAGAUAUCUAUUGUUUGUUAAUGAAUAAUUUCUAUUUAACUAGUUAUCUAUAUAAAUUGGUAAAUUUUAACUGCAUAAUUUGCAUGCAAUAAGAUUUUAUAAGAAUCUUGUUUUCAACUCAUGACUUAGACUAAUGUGAUAUGUUGAGCAUUAAGCUACAAGAUCUGAACAUCAAAGUGCUUCACAAUGUUAAGGAGAAAGCAUCUUUUUCUGCUUCUUCAUGUGAUUUAAAGUUUCCAAGGUACUUAUUCUAUAAAAUAUCUUUCAAGACUUUGGAAAUGCUUUUAUGUAUGACUGAGAGAAACUUGUUGGGUUGGUUUUUAGCAACAGACGGAGUUAUGGACUUUGUGUUGACUUGUUAAUGAUUAAGACAGUACAUCGGCUGAUCUAUUGGCAUCAAGCAGCAGAUGCAGAAAUUAUGGGUGGCAUGUCAUUGUAUCCAAAUAAUGUACUACAUUGAUUUUUCUGACUUUCUGUUGGUCUCCGAGUGAAAUGCAGGCAUUUGCAGAUGAACUGGGGAUUCCUUUCCUGGAGACGAGUGCCAAAGAUGCAAUCAAUGUGGAGCAGGCUUUCUUGACCAUGGCCGGUGAGAUUAAGAAAAAGUAAAAUCACUUAACUCUUUCCUUCUUGCCGACUGUUCUUAUUCAACAAUCACCAUUAUUGCUGGUUAUGUGCAUUGUGAUGAAAAUUCUGCAAUGAAUAACUUUUUACCUAAUGUUUUCUGUUGGAACAAAUUACUCUGGUAGAAAAGCCCUACAGGGUUUGAGAAAUCCCAUGAUGUGAUGAUUGUGAGCAUUUUAGACACCGUGUAUGGGUUUAUUUUGUGACUAUAAAAUGUUAAGAUUGUUUCUAGUUUUGGUUUGUAGUGCAUAAAAGGAUUCAAAAUUUGACAUCUGUCUAAAUCAGAUUAAUAACAUGAUAAUGUACAUAUGCAAGAUGUGAGGAAUUGUUUUAUCUCACCCCUAAACUUUAAGAAAUUGAAACAUUAUCAUUCAAAAUAUUUACCAUUUCCAGAAUUGAUAGUUAGUCUAUUUGAGCAGUGACUGGUGGUUAUCAUGAACUGAUGUGUGGUUGUGGUGUCAAAUCUUGGUGAAACCUGUUGUCAUCUGCCGGUUAACAUAGCUAGUCUCUGAAAUAAUUUCUUGAUUCACUAAUUAUGAGUUCAAAUUUGAUGCAGAAUGGGCAACCAGCCUACUGCAAACAAAUCUUCUGGAACAGUUCAGAUGAAGGGACAGCCAAUCCAGCAAAACAGCAACUGCUGUGGUUAGCCGAGCAUCUUAUUUUACUUCUACAUGUUAGCUGACUGAUUGUAUACAGUUUUAACUAUGUUGACUGCAUUAUCUUAUGAGUCUUUUAAUAUGUCAAAUAUUUAUUUCCUGCUUUAAGUUCUUUCCGUUUAUAACAAAUUUAAUUUCUUGCUUCAUUGCAUUCCAAAUUCCUGUCAAUUUACGAGGGAAAAAGAAAAGGGAGACGAAAUCGGAGAAAAUGCUCAAAUUUGUUUGUUUAUUGUCGUGACCCUCUUGUAGCUUGUCUAUGACCUGGAAGUCCGGUCAUAUCGGAUGGGUAAAGUUACCAAAACGGCAUCAUUUUGGGUGAAAUAUCAUAUUUGAUAAUAUUUUUAUGCAACAAAAAAAUGUUCGCAGUACCCUUUUCACAUUGUGAAGCGCAUGAUCGGAUGAGAGCAGUCUGGAUUCUGGCAUCACAAGCUAAUGCUUUGAUUUGCUUAGUUUGUUUUUUGUUUCUGAUAUUUUCUUGGCAUUGGGUGGGAUAUUGUUUCUCUUUUGAGUUUCCUUUUUUUUUUUUUUUUGAUUAUGGAAUUUGGAGAUAGUGUACAUGUAUGAAGAUGACGUAAUCAAGUUGUUUUGAUAAAUUUCCCUGGUCGGUUUACUUCACUAACCAUUAAUGCGCAAAACCUCCUGAUGACCCUAAAAAAUCCCGUACAUAAUUAAAGAAUUUCAAUUUUAUAUGUACAAAAAUAAAUAACUCUCAAAUAUAUUAUUUGAUAAUUCCAAAAACAACUAUUCACUCUAAUAAAUCUCGUAGGAAAUACAUGGUCUAUAUUGUAAGUCUUUUCGAGACUAAUUCAAAAUACGAAGGACAUAUAAUUGACCUCUACAGAACUCUAAAUAUCAUAAAGAACUUUAAAUAAAUUUAUAUACGCAUCACAAUUAAUUACAGCCUUGAUACUUCAUUUGGUUUUUGUUAAUUUUCUAUACAGUUGUGCUGUGCAUAAAAGUUUUGUUAAAUGAAAUCGGUAGGUGAGGGUUAAUUAAUCAAUUAAUUAAGAUCCAGUUAAUGUAAUUAAUUUUAUUUGAUUUUUUUAAUUCGAGUUCUAAAUUAAUCAAUUAAUUUAGAUUCAUGUGAAAUUGAAGUGAAUUAGUUUCGAUCUGUUUUUGGUCCUAUGUUUGUAUGUGUUUACUCUUACUUUUCUUUUUGUUUAAAUUUUCGUUUUCUUAUUUUUUCCUGAAUAAAUUUCUGAGCUUUAUUUGAGUAUGAUGAUUGAUUUGUGAUUUUAAUUUGUGACUUUUUUUUUUGGAAUUUAAAUCUGAAUGCUUUUUAAGUUGAAUCUGAAUGUGUUGGGCUGCGAUUUAAUUGAGUGAUGUGUGAGCGCAAAAUAUACAAUAACUGAUAAAUUAUAUUUAUAAAUAUUAAUAGCGAUGGCACAUAAACAAUUAAUUCAAGAACUCGCCCAAAGUGCAUUAAUUUGAAGAGUAUAAAUAACAUUGCAAUACAAUCUAGCCCUUACGUGUUUAAUUAGCAAUUACACGAACAUUAUAACACUCUGUUGCUGAUGCGGCAGCUAGUAAUUCUUCUGGUGAAGAUAUUAAGGCUGUUAAAGCUAAAAUGUAAUCAGAGAAAUAUAAUGCAUUCCCUUAGUUUGCUUUUUGUUUUUGAUAUUUGUUUGGCUAAUGCUUUGCUUAGAUUGCUUUUUGUUUUUGAGAUUUUAUUGGCUUAGUCAUGGUAUAUUGUUUUCUCUUCUAAUUUUCUAUUUUUGUCGUUAUGGGAUUUGAUGAUGGUGUACACAUACGAAAAUUAUGUAAUAAAGUGCUUUCAAUAAAUCAUGGUCGGUUUACUAUUAAUUAAUUAAAUUUAAUUAACUCAAAUUACUCUUGUACACAACCAAAAUAAUUUCAAUUCUACGAUAUGUAUACACACGCGCACACACAAACAAAAAGUAAUUAACUUUCAAAUAUUUGCCAUGCUAUUUUAAUAAAUAGUACUUGAGAAUAUAUAUAUCCAACAGGUAAAAUUUCAAAACAAUAUUUGCCGAAGUCUGAUGAAGAGAAUAUACACGCACACACAUAUAUAACCGUACAGCAGAAGGAUAAAUAAAAGAAAAUAAAGUUUCAACAGCUGAAUAAUGCAAACUCAUUUUUUUUAACAAGCAUUUUAUUGUUUAAUUUAAAAAAUUCGAAAACCGAUUGGUCUUAUAUACAUGAUAAAGACUCACCGACGCCGAACCAUAUUCAUUUAAAUUAGUUUUCAACUGAGAUUUGAAUUUUGAAAUUACAUACACAAACACGCUCAAUUUAAAAAUAAAAAAUAGUAAUUAUAAAAUAUUUCUGUCGUCCUCCAUUCAAUUAUCAAAAAACGACUUUAUAAUCGAUUUUAACAUAAGGUAUAUGGGUUAACAAGUCCCAAUAUUGUCCUCCAUCCUUUCUGCACUUCUCUUCUAUCAACGGACAUCUCCAGAUCUGUAAUUGCAAAAGUGAGGAAGGCAGGCCCUUCUCCGGAAAGUAUUUAAGCUUGGGACAUCCAUGGAGUCGCAAUUCAGUGAGGUUUUGAAGAUCAACAAUUGAAGAAGGUAGGCGUUCCAGAUUUGAAAAUAAAAGAAUGCUCAGAGAUGUUAGAGAGGCAGGAAGAGGAAGCGCGGUCCCUAAUCUUUUGUCCUCUAGUGGAAAUGACACCAUGUCGUCAUAACAUCCUCCGAUUUCUAGAUGUCGCAUAGAGGAGAAUCUGUGAAAUCCCCGACCCCGCUCAACCAUUGACUUCCAAAUCUCCAUAUUACCCCUGAUAUGAAGUGACUGAAUCUUGGUGGGAAGGCCAUCUUCUUCAAGGCUUGGAAGCUCACCUCCUAUUCUUAAUUCUUGAACAGAAGUCAGGUUGUGCAAUCCCUUGGGUAAGGCCUCUAGUCUCUUGCACCAACGGAUACAGAGCUUAGUGACUUUCGCACAAGGCAGUCCCCCUUCGGGAAAGGACACCAGAUUUCCACACCUCUCUACACUAAUCUCUCGAAGCUGGUGGAGAUUAUGUAAACCACUCGGUAAAAUUUUCAGAUUUUCACACUCAGAAAUGUAGAUAUCUUCAAGAGAUGUGUUGUUGUCCAACCUUUCUGCUAUUGACUCCAGAUUUCCACACAUCUGUAUACUAAUCUUUCGAAGCUGGCGGAGAUUAUGUAAACCACUCGGUAAAAUUUUCGGACUUUCACAAUUAGAAAUUCUGAUUGUUUCAAGGGAUGUGUUGUUGUCCAAUCUUUCUGCUAUUGACUCCAGCUUUGAACAUCCAUAAACAUCAAGGGACUUAAGAGACGAAGGUAGAUUGCCAACUUCAAGGGACUCAAGCGUGGCAGGUAACUCGUUUUGUGAAAAUAUACAUGUCAGUGAUGGACAAUCCCUAAUUUCCAACUCCUCGAGAAGAGAUGAGGUGUACCUUCUGCCGCUGCUACUCUGGAUGCCCUCUUCCACUGUCAAAGUCCUUAUAUUAUCGCAACGCCAGAUCUUCAACUUCUUAAGGCUCGAUGGUAGCUGGACAGCAGCAAUAUAUGUCAACGAACAACAAUACUGAAUAUUCAAGAUCUCGAGAGACGAAUGGGUGUCGCACAUCCAUGCCUCUGGUAACGAUUUCAGUGCAUCACAAUGCCCAAUCUGAAUUUCCUUCAACUUGGAAGGCAGAGCAACCUCAGGAAACGAAACAAGGGAACUGCAGUUGUAGAUUUCUAUCUCUCUCAAGGAACUGAGGCUGAACGAUGAUUGUGGCAGCUUCACAAGGCCUUCGCAUCGGUUCAAUUCUAGAUAUUCAAGUCUGCUUGACAAUUCGCAGAGCUGCUGUUGUUGGUCUUUCUCUUCCUCCGCCACCAAGGAUUGAAGUUUGGGACAGCUGUCAAUCGUCAGUCUUUUGAGAGAGCAAAUGUCUUGCAGUAAUUCGUUAUGACUCUUCCAUAUAUAUGUUUCAUUUUUAAUAUUAUUUAUCCCCAAUUUUUCCAGUUUUGGUAGUCGCGGCUUCAAUGGCCCUGCGAGAAACACUUGAUUUGAUGCAUCUCUACAAACCACUGAAUUCUGUGAGCCGAGAUGAUCGGUUGCACUUCUCCACACAACCUUUUUACAUCCAUUAAUCUCUAAUUUGCAAAGAGCUGGAAGACUCGUAACUGAAACUGACAAUUCUUCACAUCCUCCAAUAACAAGCAUCUCCAAUGCAGGAAGGCAUUCUGGCAAUGUUCCUUGUAGUUUAGAACAUCUUGAAAUGCGAAGCUCGCUCAAUUUCGGAAACCCUUCAACUCCCUGACCAGAUCUAAGAGGAAUCCAGUCUUCCCAUUCUUGCAAGUCUUCAAAACAAAGAGUCUCCAAGCAUGGAAAAGGAAUCGGGGAAUCAUUCCCAUAGAACUCUGAACCCAAACUCUUUACUCUACUCAUUCCACUCACUUCAAGAUGCUUUAGAGAGGGUAGUUGCCCGACUGACGGCAGGGUAGUACACACGCCGCAAUCUUGAAAAUCUAAGGUCGCUAAAUUUGAGAAUAAGGAAUCUCCCAACCAAGUUGGAAAUUCUUUACCUCCAUAGCCACCGAUACAAAUUUGUUCCAGAUUUUCAUGAGGUUUUAGCAUGUCGAGCACAUCCUUUUCAGUUUCUGCCUCCCUUGAAGACAAACCAUCGGUACUCCGUGUCCAUCGAAACCUUAACACUUUAAGAUUCUUCUUUCCAUUCAAUUGAGCCUCCUUUGCAUCACCAAUGUCUUUUACGUUCUCCAAUUUUGAAAUGUUAAGUGUCCCACGAAGAUGCGUCAACAAUUUUAGCUCUCGUAUCCCGGAACCACUGUCUUUUCCCACAACAAAAUUACACAGCGUCUGAAGGCAAGUCAACUUACCAAUUCCUAGUGGCAUCUCCUCCAAUGAACCUGUAUAUGAAUUAUUGAGAUGAUGCAAUUUGAUGAGAUUUCCCAUGUCUGCACACAACUUCUUCAGUCGCAGACAGCCCUCCAACAGAAGGGUGUGCAAAUUGUAAAGCGUGUUGACUGAUUCAGGCAGAGUUAUAAUGCCAGUUCGCGAUAAGUUAAGGUACCUUAAAUACCUCAAAUCACUAAUUGAAUCCGGUAGCUCAGAGAUUUGAUAUCCAUGCAGUGAGAAAACCCUCAACCGUUGGAGUUUGAACAACAUAGGAAGAAUGCUACGAGCCAAGUAUCCACGCGAACUAUUUGACUGCAUUACUCGUAAAAAUGUUCGCAAAUGUUGGAUAUCGUACAAGCCCUCAAACCUUUUAACGCCAUCAUAUUUUCCACAAAUGUACGAUAGAUGACGAAGAUUUUUGGAAAAACUUUGUUGCUUGUUAACCUCUGAGGUAUACUCCAUUGUGAAGUAUAUAUCCCCCGCAGCCCAUUGAGCAAGGUCGUUGACAAGGUCAUGCAUCACAAAUCGUGAUUUAUUGUUGCUUGAUUGCUGGAAAAAAGAUCUUGAACGUAGCUCUUGAAAGAACUUUCGACCUAGAUCUUCAUUAGGAUUCCCACUCUCUUUGUGAUCCAAGAAACCCGAAGCACACCAUAAUAAAAUUAUCUCCUCCUCUUCAAAUUCAUAAUCCUUUGGAAACAAUGAGCAGUAUGCAAAGCAUUGUUUCAAAGGUGCCGAAAGAUAAUAGUAGCUCACUCUAAGCGCCGGUAUAAUGUCACAUCUCUCUUCUGGUAAAUCCCAUAUCUUGCAACUGAGCACACCUUCCCAAUCACUCCGGUCAAGUUUACCUCGUAAGAGUCCACCAAGAGUUUUCGCAGCUAAGGGCAAGCCGUUGCAUUUGAUCACUAUCUUCUUGCCAAUUUCCUCCAAUGGCUUGUUUGAACUGAAAUCUCUUGUCCCCAAAGAGUGUUGAGCGAACACAGACAGACAAUCAUCAUUUGACAGCUUUUUCAAUUGAUAAGCCGGAGCAGUCCCCAUGAUGGCUGCAACCCCUUGAUUACGAGCUGUGACAAUAAUCUUACUUCCCGGUGCGCCAGCUUCAAAUGGAAGUCUGAGUCGAUCCCAACCAUUGUAAUUCUCAUUCCAAACGUCAUCUAAAACAAGCAAAAAUUUCUUUUGAGAUAACUUCUUCUUCAGCUCCUCUUGAAGCAAAUUUAAAUCACUGUCAUCAGUAGUCUGCUUAGUAAUGGAUCUUAGAAUUGUUUUUGUUAGCCUGAUAACAUCAAAAUCAUCAGAGACACAAGUCCAUGCCUUGAGAUCAAAAUGACCCUGCACUCGAGCAUCAUUAUAGACAAGCUGAGCGAGAGUGGUUUUACCCAGCCCGCCCAUGCCUAUGAUAGGAAUAACAGAGAAUUCACCAUCAUUUCUCAAAUCAUCCCUCAACAACAAUUCAACAAUUUCCUUCUUUUCUGCUUCCCUGCCAAAUACCUUGGCUUCAUUCACCAAAGAGGUUGUGGGUAGUCUUUGCCUGCCUUUUCUGGACCUCCCAGCUGAACUUUCUUUCAAAUUCAGCAAGUCUUUCUCUGUUAGAAUUUCUUGAAAUCUGUCGUUGAUCCCUUUGAUUUUGGACAUCAAGGCGAAAUCGAACUGAAUCGAUUGCAGAGUAAAAGUGGUGCUGCAAGUAAGAAUGAGCUUCCGAAACUCACUUGUUCUUGUACGACUGCUACUGGGUUGAUCCUGAGCCGCAGCGGGAUCUCCAUUUCCAAGCAGCAACUUCCUCCGGAAAGCCUCAGUUUGAAACUCAUCCAACAAGUCUUCAACAUCAAAAGCCAAGUUCUGAAGCUCGCCAAGCCACAACUUCACAAUCUCAUCAGUCCUCUUCUUCUCCUCAGCAUCAGCAAGCACCGCCUUGAUCUUCAAAAGCAUCGCCUUCCACUUCAUUAGAUCGGCCCGGAUUUGAUCUUGGCGUGGAAACAACCGAAUCCCCACUGAAGCUAACUUAUAGACCAAUAACUCAACGGACGCCGUCAGGAUUGCCUCUCCGAUGAUUGACAUUUUUUUUCUUUUUUUUUUUGUUUUGCAAAGAAAGAAACAGAAUUUUGAGUUUUGAAAAGCAAAAUGAGAAAAUUGAACAGUAAGUGGGCAGAGUCAAGCAAAAUGCGCGUAACAAGUCUUCCGCUUAUUGUUUAUUCCAGUAAAGUGAAAAUAAAAACAGAGCCCACCACCCAUUAAUAAUUUAGCAAUUCACCAAUCACCAGUCACCACCACUCGUUACCAUGAAUAUAAUAAAUUGCACCUUGAUAUUUGCAGUGUCCAGCAACAUUGACCCAGUGUCCGGGUAAAUGCUGAAUAAAGAGGAAAAUGGAAUGUAUCCACUACGAACCUUCGCUUUACAAGUCUUCAAACUCAUAAACCAAGUUAAAUCAAAACGUUUAUCUCUCUCUCCCUUUUUGCCAUAUAAUUACUUUAUUUAUUGAAUUAAUUUCCAUGCUAAAACGAACACUUAAAAGUGCACUAUAAUUUUUUAUGAUCACAAUGGUAAUAAAUUUUUUUUAUAUGAACACUCUUUUUAUUUAUGAAUUUCUCAAUUUUUAAUAUUUUUCUCACUCUUUUAAUCUUAUUAUUUGUAUUUUUCUCUUUAAAUUUUCUUUAUUAUUUAAUUUUUAAAAAAAAUAUGAAAAAAAAAAUAUUAUACUUAAAAAAUAAUAAAUAUUUUAUGGGAGCUUAUUGACAAUGAAAGAGCACGUGAAAAAUCUCACUUCAUAUAAAACUUUGUGAAAGGCAUUUGAAUGUGUGGCCACAUUUUCCGAACGAAACGAUAAGGCUUUAGCCUUAUAUUUGCAAUUAGUUUGUCUUGUAACUAAAUUAUUGCCGACAAACACCAUCAUGCUGACAAACCGUGCAUGCACGUCCUCAAUCACCCACGUCCUCUACUUGUUUGAACCGUGAUUCUCAAAGACUUCGACAUCGUAUUUCCCAUUAUUUCCCGUACUUUAUGCAUUAUUGUUUUGUAUGGCUUUUGGUGUUUGCGGUGUAGUUAGGGAUGGUAGCGGGUAGGGUCUGGUACGGGUUUAACAUUACCAAACCCGCAUCUACAAAAAUUUUUAACAAAGCCCAUUUACUGUGGGUUUGGCUGGUGUGCCUAGAGCUGGCAAUAUUUGACACGAUCCGAUUAUCCGACACGAACACGACAUAAAUAAAUGGGUAUGGGUCGUCAAAUUUAACACGAUUAUUAAAUGGGUCGGGUCCGGGUCAACAUGAUUUUUUUCCGUGUCGGGUUUGGGUUAAAAUUCUUGACCCAUUUACCCGAUCAAUGACCCGAUUAUAUUUUCUAUCUUAAAAUAAUUUACAUAUUCUUAUCAUUAAAACUCAAAUAUUAGAGAUGAUUUUUUUUUAUUCUUUAAAAAGGUGAAUAUAAACACAGUGUUUUAUUUAUAAAAUUUUAAAUACAUUUAGAGCUUCAAUAGUGUAAAUGUGUAAAAAUUGAUAGACAUGUAUAUUUUAUAAUAUUGAUAUAUAAUAUUAUAUAUAUAUAAUUAAAACCUCAAUAGUGUAAAUGUGUAAUAUAUUGGUAGAUAUGUAUAUUUUAUAAUAUCGAUAAAUUAUGUAUGUUUGUAUGUACAUACGUAUGUAUGAUAGUGUGUAAAUAUUUGAUGUAACUUUUGUUCAAUAUAUAGAUAUUAAACGGGUUAUUGGGUAACCCGAUUAUUUUUCCGUGUCGGGUUUGGGUCUCAAUAUUUUGACACGAUUAUUAAAUGGGUCGGGUUUGGGUCGACCUAAAUUUGACACGACACGAAGCUGACACGACACGAACACGACCCGAUGACCCGUUUUGUCAGCUCUAGGUGUGCCUAGUGGAUAUUUUGCAAGUUCCCACUUAUAAAAUCAUGCUUGCAACAAAAUCUAAAAAUUUAAAUUACGUAAUUCAAAUUAUAAAUUUAUAACUGUUGCCUAAAAAAAACCACAUAAAAUACUUAAUUGUAGAUUUUAUCAAUGUAAAUGAGAAAUGAAAAUAUCAACAUUAAAACAAAUACACAAAAUAUAUCAAUUUAACACGAAUUCUCUAAUUCAAUUACCAAAUAAAUAAGUCUAUCACAACUCGAAGUGCUUUCAAUUAUUGUAACUUCAAAUCCUUACAAAUUACAUAUUACAGACAUGAACACUAUGUUUUGACAUAGUGGCUUUUGGCUUGUCCAGAGAAAUUUAGGAUAGAUUUUGAUGUACUAAGGUUCUGUUUACUAUUGAGAUUUUGGAACUUUUGAGCCACACUUGAAAUUUGUAUUAUUCUAAUAGAGUUGUAGCCUUCGAUAUGUGAUUGGUAUUAAUCAUGUGUUAUGUUUACAGCAGUUAAAGGCAUAUUGAAUCAAAAUCCACUUUUGAUUGAGAUUUUAAAGUAGGUUUUUAAUUUGAUAGCCACUCGAGUUCAAAUAUUGGAACCAUAGUGCUUUAUAACCAAGUGAGAGAACUUGUGUCCUAAAAGUUGAGGGCUGCAGAUCGAGUUUUACUACCAACAACAAAAGUUGGUGUUAAGACUUUAGUUCCCCUCCUACUAAUGGUUAAGGAUAAUUAGGACUUUACAUCCCCUCCUAUUAAUAGACAUGGGUUAUUAGGAAUUUUAAAAAAAGGUUUAAAUAUUGAAAAAUUAGGUUAUAAAAUUCAUAAUACAAGAACAGUAAAUCAAGAUAAAAAUUUAAAAAUUUAGAACAAUGAGAGCGUAACUUGUAAGUUUCAAAGAAGCAUGUGCAGAUAUAUGCGUAUCAAUACCCAUUAGGGGUGGGCAUUAAAAUCGGGUUAACCCGAACUGAACCUUCAAUUUAGCAUAGAUAAUGAAUUUAUGCCUGUACUCUAUAAUGCAAAUAAUAUUAUGUUUUUAAUUCAAUUUAGCACCCUACAAGAAGAGAUUACCUUAUCGCUUCCAAUCCUUCCUUUAGAUCUAAGCCACUUCAUGAACUUCUUGAUCCUUGAUUCGUUCCAAAAUGUGAUAGGAAGUAUAUUCCUAUCAGGCUGAUUGUUGUCAUAUGCACCAUUAUGGAGAUAAAAGAUCUGCAUGAGCAACUUAUAAUUAAGAAGAAUAAUAUUAUUCAUGGUAAGCAUAUGCUCAACUUUAGUUGCAGAAACUAUGUCACCUGUAGGAAGUGCAAAGAAAUUCCAAUGUAUGCUGCUUGUUGUUUCCACUAUUUCAUUGUCACCAGAAUGUGAGUUUGAAUGACCCAUCCUUUUAUCUCUCUUUUUGUACCUUGCCUUUUGUUCGGGAGGAAGUUCUUUGUAGGUUUUCCCAAUAUGUUUUCAUAACUGUCAAAAUGAUAAUGAAUAUGUCUUAAAACAUAAAAAACUCACAAAAUAAUAUCUGUACAUGCUACAUUUAAUGAAUAUACUAACCCCAAUCGUAACGGACAAAUCUAAAUUUUCACUUCUCAAACGCUUAACUUCUUCAUUGCUGCAAAAGCAUAACAUCUAAUUACUGAUAUUUGGUAUGGGCGUGUUUCUUUCCCGAUAGGUAAAUCACAACGACUACUUACAAGUAAGAGACAAAUCCAUAAGUUGAAGAAGUUGGAAUUGCAUCCUGACCAUUUGCUUUUAGAAUAAGAGCACUUUUUUUCUGUAAGCCCCCUAGUAGUUGUUUACGCUUUCGUCGGUGACUGUCCAAGAAAAAUUUUAAAUAAUUAAGUGAAGGAUAAUUAUUCCAUCAAUAUGUAUUAAAUUUUUUUUAAAAAAAUGAGUUCCCCCACCUGCUAUUCAAAGUCACUGUGUACUCCUUACUUUUUAAUCUAUAAACAUUCCAUAUAUGGUGGAAUUCAAGCACAAAUUAUAAUUUUAUUUUAUUUUUUUUCCUCAUUUAUACCAAUGAAGAAAAAGAUGACAAGAAUAACAAAGGAAAGAUCUUUAUUUUUGCCCAAGACUAAGACCUCUCACACACUCACAAUAAAUGAAUGACAGAGUGAAAAAAAUUGUAUAUAAUAAAGGGAUGGGAUCAAGAGCUCUCAUUUCUUACUACAAAAUUUACGAAAUCUAAAUAUUUCAACAACAUAAAAUUUAAUGGAUAAUGAUCUUUGCUGCAUACAUUAAAAUCAUGACUAUUACCGUGCCCUCAACUUUGCGUCAUACAAACAAAUUUCAUCAUGAAACAAAGUACAAUGCUUUUUUUUUUAAUAAAAACAUACAUUAAAGGCUGCUGCGAAUAUGUAGGGGAUGAUGGGUUGUAACCAAGAUCAAAAUCAAUGCAUUGAAACCAAUAUGACAAAAUCCAUACUAUGAAUUAUUAUAAACACCUAAUAUAGAGUUAGUAUAUCAGAGGGAUUGAUACCUGGAAUGUACUUCAGCAAAACAGGACCCCUGAAAAUAAGAAAGAAAAGUUUUGCUCAACAUUCCAAAAAAAUAGAAGAAAGUAGAGCAUUUUGUCAGCUCUUUUUUAAAAAUUAUAUCGUUGUAACUUACACAAAAUUCCACUUAGCACAAUCGUAAGAUUAAGAUAAAGGCCUGCUUGCUGCACCAGCUUGAUAAACUUCAGCAGAUCAGAAUUCCCCUCCAAGUAAUACUAAAACUAAUUAAAACAAAAACAAAAACAAAAAAACAAAAAAAGCAAAACAUUUACUAAAGAACUUAUUUAAAAUAUUACCCUAGAUUUGAGACUACAAGCAAACAGGGCCUUCUGAUAAAAACAAAUUACAUGCCAUAAAUAAAAUUAUUACAAGCCCACCAAAGAAAUUUUCAGGGUUAUAGUGAUUACAAACCUUCCCUAACUUUAUUUAUCUUCACCAAUGAAAAUAGGUCAACAUUUAACAUUCUUUUACAACCAAGUACACCAAGUCUUACAAUUAAAGGUUUAAGGUUACAAAGCAUAGUUACUUAAGACUCUUAGCUUUAUCGUAAGGCACCUUAGAAAAUUCUAUUACCACACAAAAACCUGGGCCUAUUUCUUAUAAACACGGCAACAAUCACAUCCAAGGUCAAGCAAAUUCAACAACAAGCCCAUACGGCAUAUACCCAGCACAUAC